AUAGCCAGGCAUUCAUGACGAUGGCACUUAUCAAGAAAAAGACACACAUUCUCUAUUUUGUUGCUCUUUUGCUGAUGUGUACCCCUUUUCUGUGUGGCCCUGUAGCAGCUGGGAGGGACAUAGGUAAUUUCCAAAUACGUUUCUUGAAUGAGUUUCUCGAUAUUCAACAAACCCAAAUGAUUAAGUAUCUUGUAUUCCAUAUGUAUUAAUUUGUAUGUUGUGGUGCUUCCUGCAUUGUGUUUAGGUACCAACACUGCAUUUGGAAACCAAUGUUUUACUUACUCGGUAUGCAUGGACCCAUAUCAAUACGCCGUUGAUUACUGCAAUAAAGAGUGAAAAAUUCUUGUCUAUGACGGGCAGAAAGGCUACUACAAGAAGGAGAAUAACGGCGUGUGUUGUUGUGUUGCUCCCUCCCUAAUGUGAAAAUCAUGUUAUACUAUCAUUUUAUAGAAAACCAUUGCUUGUAUUUGCUAGUCAGAAUACCAAUUUAUAUGAAUUAUAUGAGAAUUUCAAUAAAUUAUAGAGGUAGUUUCUUUCAAACACCAACUUGACUAGCCGAUCAAUUCUUCAGGUCAUUUGAAACAACAAUGAAGCAGCUAAAAAAUUGAAAGUACUAAAAAUCUUAAAAAAUAUAUUGGGGAGUGAAUUGAUGAAAAUAUAUCAAAAAAUUGGUAUAAAAUUUUUGUCAUUGAAAGAUGUUAGUUAAUAGUAAUUGAUGGACGUACAACUCAAAAUAUCCAUAAUUCAACCCUAGACUAUCACAAAUGUCUAAGAAUCAACCCCAAACUUUGAAACAAUCUAAGUUGCAAUUCUGAAAUGUCAAAGCCAAUCAAGUAUCAAUUUUUCCUCUCCUCAAACCGGUUUUUGGUGAGUUGAAGUGAUUUUGAACAGUUUACCGCCUAGUUAGCCGCCAUAGCACCCAAUAUUCUUCUGAUUAUGUAUUUUAUUGCAUUUUGUAGUAUGUUUGGUAGUAAUUUGUGGAACUUCCCAGAUUGAUCACCAUGGUAGUGUAGAUUUUAAGUAUUUUUAGGAAACUUUCAUUGUUUGUUAAAUAUUGAAAUAAGAGGCUGAAUAUGUAUUUUUCUUGUAUUUUUUAAGAGUGGCACAUCAUUGGGAUCAACAUGACCAUUUUUAGUAGCAAGCAUUUUCAUAGAGCAUCCAUUUUAUCACUCAAAGUAGAGACUUCCUUGGCUGAGUUUACCUUCUUACCAGUUGGAGCUCUAGAGGUGUGCCAUUGGUAAUUAUUUGUCAUUAUAUUAUCAUGGAGUUUUAUCGCUUCUCCCAAUGUGAUUCUCUUAAAAAUGCAUAUAAAGUAUCUGUCAGAAUCGGGACUCCGCGGACCCAAACAAGGUUUGAACUCCGGGGCGUGAACGAAGGAUCCAGCCUAGCUAUAGGUCGCUGCUCACCAUCCCAUGGCCUGGCUCCGACGAGUUCGGGCGAGCGGGAAGAAGAAGUGGAGACGGUGAUUUUCUGUAGCGACUAGACCUCAAACGGUCAAGUCUCAGAGCAUCUAUGUCAUCCCCGGAUUGGUAAUGAUGACACACAUAGUACUCGAGGAAUUAUAAUAGAGUCUCAAUCACACACUUAUUACAUCGAGUCCUCGUAAAGAUUAUGAUUACAAAAAUAUAAUGGCUGAAGGCCAUCUAAACUAGAUAACUGUGGACGCUUCGAAGGUAAAUGAGUCCAUCAACUCCAACGACAUAGCUGAGUGCAAAACAACAACCUAUCACACCUUAUUCGUCGUCUGAGUAGUCUGCAACAUAAGACGUUGCAGCCCGAAAUGGGUCAGCACAUGGAAUAUGCUGGCAUAGUUACACUGUAAAGCAAUGAAAUGCAAUAACUAUAUCUACAUGCAAUAUUUGGCUGGUGGAGGCUGUAAGUUUCAUGAUUUUUCAUAAAGCUAGUUUUUCCCUACAACAAAGGAAUAAAUUUAUUUAACUACUCCAAUGUUGCCCAUUAUUUGAGAAGGUAACCCCAACUCAAAUCCCAAUUAAAAGUAUCAUCAUUAACCCAACUCAAUUUAAUUAAAGUAACAUGACGAGAUCACAUCAAUAGAUUCAAGUACUAGAUACUCAAGACGUCCAUAACCGGGGUCAUGUCUAACCAUGAUUAGUUUAUACACUCUACAAGGGUUUGCACACUUUUCCCCACAAGACUUGACCGCAUCCAUGAUCGGAUGAUCGAGACAUAGCCUUUCUGAAGCAUUAACUCUCUACUCCGGGUAGACAGUACCACCUACAACCCUCUACAUCUGCUAGUCUACCUCUUCAAGAGCUCACGCAACUUACUCAACUAUGCCAGAGCCCAUAAUGGCUUGUGGCUGCACAUGGAAGUUUCUAGCUUGAAUAAUCUUAUGAUCCCUUUGGGCCCGGGUGGCAUUCCAUAGGAUAAUCACACAGAUACCCCGGGAUUUCCAAAAACAGGCAACACUGGGUUCCCCAGGUGCCUCAACCAAUCCACCUAGCUGUGUAUUAAAGUUGCCACCUUAAUGUUAUCCAUAAUUAAAAUAACUCUCAAACUUCCAUGUGUGAAUCACGAUCCAAUCCCCGUCUAUGAGCAUGGCUAAGCAACAAUAAGCAUAACGUAUAUUCCUGGGGUGAUCAAAAGGUAUUAGGUUCCUACCUCAAGCACUAUAACCAAAACCACAUGUUCCCAAUCCUACUAAAUGCAAAUAUUUGUGGGGCAAUACUAACGCAUAGUAAAAACUGGGUAUAAAAGAGUAUGAUCAAAGUGUAACUUGCCUUGCUGACGAUAUGCAAACUCUAGAGAUUCGUAGUAACUAGCUUUGCACUUCGGGUAAUCUAGCGUAGACAAACAAUAGCAUACAUAAGCAAUCACUCAAACAAAACACGAGAGACACCGAGAAAAGAUCCAAAUCAAACACGAAACAAGCAAACGGCUUAAACUAGCAAGUGUCAAAACCUAACAACAAUAUUAACAUGUGAAUUAGAUCUUAACAGUAGAUACAUGUGACUAGCUACGAUUCACAAAAAGAUUCAACUCAAACGGAGAAACGAAACUCAAAAUACGAAUGAAACAAGAUCGUUUACUAAUCUGGACUAAAAUCAAAUUUUUAUAGUAGCAAAAUGAUGUUCAAGUUGGUUAUCCGGAAAAAACAGAAUGAAACAAAGAUUUUGGCGCUAGUUUCAUGUAAUUUGGAUAAACGAGUAAAAAGUUAUGCUAAUUUAAAGAUCAGGGGCUAAAUCAUGAUAAAAAUAUUCACGGAUAAGUCUCUGGCCGAGAAUAAACUAAAAAGAAAAAGGCUAUCGAACGAACAUUCGCUGACUGAACUAAUCCGACGAAUAACGUUCGUUAAACGAACAAACGUCCGCUAAAUAAAAUAACCGAACGAAAAACCGAUCUAAAACAAAACCCCGAAAACCUUAAAAAAAUCGGGCGGUCCGAUUCGUACCUGUUUGGGAAAAACAGUUGGCAGCGGCGGGGUCAAUGGCGGCGGCGGAGGCUAACUAUGAGGCGGCGGCUUCGAGGCAGGGUGGCGGGUCCGGCGUCGCGGGGCGGCGGCGGCGGCAGCUAGAAGCGGCGGCGCGCAACGCGAGUGUCGGUGUCAAAACUGGGGGAUCUCAGGUAGGGGGUCCCGAACUGUGUGUCUAAGGCUAAUGGUAACAGGAGGCAGCGGACAUGAUGUUUUACCUAGGUCCGGGCCCUCUCGAUGGAUGUAAUACCCUACUUCAUGCUUGAUUGAUCUUGAUGAUAUGAGUAUUACAAGAGUUGAUCUACCACGAGAUCGUAGAGGCUAAAGAGCUAGCCUAUGAUUAUGAUUGUUGUUGUCCUACGGACUAAACCCUUUGGUUUAUAUAGACACCAGAGGGGGCUAGGGUUACACAGAGUCGGUUAUAGAGAAGGAGAUCUACAUAUCCGAAUUGCCAAGCUUGCCUUCCACACAAAGGAGAGUCCCAUCCGGACACGGGACGAAGUCUUCAAUCUUGUAUCUUCAUAGUCCAACAGUCCAGCAAAAGUAUAUAGUCUGGUUGUCGGAGGACCCCUUAAUCCAGGACUCCCUCAGUAGCCCCUGAACCAGACUUCAAUGACGAUGAGUCCGGCACACAGAUUGUCUUCGGCAUUGCAAGGUGGUUUCCUUCUCCGAAUACUCCAUAGAAGAUUUUGAACACAAGGAUCGUGUCCAGCUCUGCAAAACAAAUUCCACAUACCACCGUAGAGAGUACAACAUUCCACAAAUCUAAUCUGCCGACAACUUUUUCAUAGUGUGACAUCACGCCAUGGCCCGGUCAUUAUUUGAACCGUUUUUCACAACCUGCCACUGCACAUAUCGCGAGGCAGCUUUAUCGGCACGUCUCGUCGAAGCAGAUAUUGUGUCCCCUUAUCACGGGAUUUGCAUCAAUACGGGUGUGGGCAACCCAACCGUGCCAUCAAUCGUGGCGCUUGGGGAAUAAGCGAUUUUAGCGGGCAAGUGGGGAGGCGCAGGAUCUCUGCUGCCUUUAUAAGGGGAUAAGAACUUCCUUUUUCACCCACGCCCUCCUCUACUCAUCCAUUCCUUUUCGCUCGAGCCCUAGUGCCCAAGCGCUCCUCUUCUCCACCCAAAAAGGCUUCCCGAAAAUGUCCAGAUCCAGAGCAGGAGGUAAGUGGAUGGCCUCUACCGUCCGGGAGAAGGAUAUCAAAAAGCUUCGGGGGGCCGGGUAUCUGGCCAAGAGAAUUGGCCACCAUCUUCCAACGGUGGGACAAAUCAUCCCCACUCUGGAACUCUACAAGAGGGUGGUAUUCCUCCCUCAUUUUAUCCGCGGGCUAGGGUUUCCCCUUCAUCCGUUCGUUCGCGGCAUCAUGUAUUAUUACGGGAUUGAUUUUCAUGAUCUAUCCCCAAAUUCCUUCCUCAACAUCUCGACAUUCAUCGUCGUGUGCGAGGCCUUUCUCCGCGUCCCGCCGCACUCCGACUUAUGGCUGAAGGUUUUUAAUGUGAAUCCCAAGGUAGUGAGAGGAGAGCGUGCCGAAUGCGGAGGCGCCAUGGUGAGCAAGAUGCCCAAUGUUACAUGGCCAACAGGUACUUUUAAUGAUUUCGUCAAGGAGUGGCAGCAGCAGUGGUUUUACAUCACCGAGCCGCGUGGCAAGGAAUGGGCCGCCGCUCCAGAGUUCAGAUCCGGUGCCCCCCUGUGACUUACGUCCUGGCACAAGAAGGGCCUGAACUAGGCUUCGUCUGACGAGUUAUCAGAGCUCCAGACGCACGUCCAAGACAUGGAAGACAAGAACAUCAAGCUUGUCAAUGUAGUCCAGGUGAUGUUGGUUCGCCGGAUUCUACCAUGUCAACACCGGGCUUGCAAUCUAUGGGAGUUCGACCCGGCCAAGCAGCAGACCAUGCUAGAGCUCUUUGGCUCUAUGCACAAGGACAUCUGGAAGGUGCUUUUUAAGUCCGGCAAACCGUGGCCGGACUCCGCCGAGGACCGCGCGUACCAACUGUCCCGCCCCGCAAGUUCGGUAAGUAACUGUAAGUUGACAAUUCGUGUGUUUUAUCUGCACAUCCCCAGGAAAAUACUUAAUGUAUUUCCCAUCAAUUUCCUAGGGCUUGGCGAAGAAGGCGGGGCGGAUCUACUGUCCGGCCCCGCUGCAAAAAGAACCGGCCGGCCCACUUCUGAUGAAGAUGCUGGUCCCGGCGCCUUACAAGGCGCCAAAGAAGAAGGCCGAAAAGGAGGCCAAGAAGACCAGGGGCGGCCUCCGUCGUUGUGGAGCCUCGGACAAAAAAUCCGAAGACUCCAAUGCCCAUUCUUCCUCCGAAGAGGACGGGGAGGAGGAGGAAGACGAAUCCCCCGUGGGGAAAAAAAAGAAAAGGACGGCCUCCACAUCCUUGGAGGCCGAUUCGGCUAAGAGGGGAAAGACUCCCCUUCAAGAGGAGUCCACCGCCGCCGCCGAUAGCAUCCCAGAGUGUGAUCCCAGGGCCGAGCCCCUAGUGAACUCGUGAGUAUAAAAUUCGAACACGCUCAUGUGUCCAGACUUGUCACGGCGUGAUAUUUUAAUCUGAGCCAUACUUUUUCAGUCCGGCGAGGUCCCGCGCCGAACAAUCCUCGUCAGAGGAUUUACUAGGUUCGGAUGCAAUGGAGAGCGGGACACCGCCGAAGGCCCCCUCCCCCAAACAUAUGACUGAAACCAAGGUUUCAUCCCAGAAGGACCCAGGCCAUGGGGAGGGGGGGGGGGAGAUCGCAAAGGCGGCGCCAGGAGGCCAGACUUCAUGGUCCGGACAUACGGGAGAGAAGGCUCCCGUGAAUGUCGAUGAUGGGGGUUAUCUUGAAUCCGGCCCCCAGCCGGACACGAUCCUGGAGACCCAUAAUACUGUAGGGUCAGGAAGGCGACCUCCAUUAGCUGGAGGAGGUGUGUCUGUUCCACCGGCAACCUCUGUCCAACCAGAGGUGCCGGAUGCUUUAUUGGCAGCGCUGAAGGAUGCCUCCAUCGUUGAUGAACAUUGUACCCUUAUGGGUGCGGUGAUUGAGAAGAUUCAGUCUGCUGAGAGUGGACUAAAUGAAUCCUGUAUCAGCCUCAUAAGAGGCUUUGAGGUAUGUUUUAUGAAGUUUGGAAGAGUGUCAUGGUAUAGAUAGCAGCCCCUGAUACACUGUUCGGUGAAAGAAAGAACUGGACAGAGGAUCAAAUUUAUGUUUGCAGGAGACUCACUUGAUGACAUCUAUCACUCUUUUUAAUAAGCAGGUGUCUAGCGACUGCUGCCUCUCAUGCUGCGGAAGUAUCCAGACUGAGGCGUAGUCUGGAGCGGGCUGAAGGAGAACUUGGCCAAGUGAAGAAACAACUGGAGGGUAACAAAGGUAUGCAGAAACCUUGCUUAUUUAGCACAAAUGAAUAAGUGUGCAUGAUGAAAAUAUUUUGAUAAUGUGCUCUAGGGGUGACGGCCGAAAUUGAGGCUCUUAAGAAGGCUGUGGCCGAAGCCGAGAAGAAGGCACCUGCAGAGCAGGCUCUUCGUGAGAAGCACGAGGCCAGAGUUAUUGAAGCUGAGCGGGAGCUUCAGGAGGCCGUAAAGAAAUGCGAGUCCUUGGAGCAAAGCUUAUCAGGGAAAGAAUCUGAACUCUCCCAGGCUCGCCAAGCCACCAGUGAUUCCCAGGGGGAAGCCCGAGGUGUCGUGAAGGAAAUCCAGGAGGCGAGGACGAUUGCGGCUGGUAAGGCUUUUUCUAUACAAAGCGGGUAUUUGAGCGGAGAAAAUCAAGUUUGAUAGCAUGAAUUUUGAUUUCUACAGGGGUAUUCGCGGAGCUGCCGUGCAGCAUAUCUGAUGCCGCCCAAUUCUAUCGAGCCGAAGAGAGGAAUACUGCGGAUAAGCUCUUCUGGAUGCAGUAUCUGGCGCCGAAUUAUCCGGUGCCUUUCUCCGAUCAACUGAAGCAGUUGGUCGAACUACGUAAGGCGGACGAGCUAGCCAUGAAGGAUUUAAUUAUCCGGAUGUGGCCCACUGAGCCAAUUCCUAGCAGUUACUUCGGGCUCGUGAAGCGGCUUGUGAGUGCCUACCCUCGACUCGAAGUCAUCAAGCGGUCAGUCUGCAUAGAGGGUGCGCGAAUGGCCUUCGCCCAUGCAAAGGUGCAUUGGGGGAAGAUGGAUGCGGAAAAGCUGAUGACCGAGGGACUGCCGGAGGGGAAGGAGCACCGCAAGCCCGAACUGUAUUAUGAAGGUGUCUUGAAAGGAGCCCGCCUUGCGGUGGAGCAAUGCACUAAGACAUUAUAUUUCCUGUGCUAGUUCUUAUAUGCUGAAGACUAGUAAAUUCAAGUGGGAUUUACUGGAGAAGAAUUAAACGCAACUUUGAAGAUUGGGGUUCCGACGAUGGUAAGUGACGGUGUCCUGGACUAGGGGGUACUCACCACGUCGUCCCCCAAUCGGUUAGAUUGGGCCGAGGACCCCCAGGGCCGUAUACUCAUGGGCCAGUCCGAACAGCUGCCGCAUACAAGGAAGAAUCCACAAGACUCGGCGAUCAAGACAAGGACUCCUCCCCCACCGGCGUAUUCGGCUAGGACUCUUGUUAUCCUAGGCCUCUGGUGCAUUAUAUAAACCAGGGCCAGGCUAGUCGACAGAUACAACAAUCAUACCAUAACUAGCUUCUAGGGUUUAGCCUCCUUGAUCUCGUGGUAGAUCUACUCUUGUAACCCACAUCAUCAAUAUUAAUCAAGCAGGACGUAGGGUUUUACCUCCAUCAAGAGGGCCCGAACCUGGGUAAACAUCGUGUCCCUUGUCUCCUGUUACCAUUGAUCCUAAGACGCACUGCUUGGGACCCCCUACCCGAGAUCCGCCGGUUUUGACACCGACAUUGGUGCUUUCAUUGAGAGUUCCGCUGUGUGAUCGGCGAAAGGAUCGAUGGCUCGCCUGCAGAUCAACUACGACUUCGGCAUCUUCGUCACCAGCUCGACUGGUCACCUUGGUUCGAUCAAGGACUGUGCCCUACCUCCGAUUGUCGUGUUCGGAUGAGGGCCUUCAUCAUCAUCAACUCCGAUCUCUAUCAAGAUCAUGGAGGAAUCAUCCAGGGAGCCCGGGGGCUCAACGUCAACAUUGCCCUCGGGCGACCGUACUAUUUUUCUGGACAGCGGACUUGUGUCCGCCGCCACCGCCUCCCCAAGCGUCAUUUUAACGAUUGCUUCGGUGUAAUUGUGCGGAAUUGAGUCUACAACAACCCUGGAAAAUUUUGUCGAGUUCCGAUGGAGGAAUCUCUGGCAAUCUCCGAUAUACCGGAGCCGCAUUGAAUCUGGACGAGAAUCCGGACGAGUUUAGGGCAUGGUGUCCAGAUUCUAGCUCGGACUUCCUUUGGAAGAUCCAACCGUUGAUCGGCUGCGGAAUUCCUAUAUCUACCACCCCUCAAAAUUUCAGCUCGAUCUGACCGUCCAAACUCUAGGAACCUUCCGAUUAGUGCAUCACUUUUUGGAUCUGUUUUCUGCGCGAAAACGAAUCCGACGCGAGUUCGUCUUUUUUAUGAACGGGAUUUCGGACAUCCUUUUUGAAGGAAGUUUUGUAUGGGGUGUUGUGUUUUGUUCCCGAACACAUCCAACUAACUUUAAGAUCUUUUGAACAUGAUCUUCAACAUCAUGCUGGUGUCAAACCAGUCCGGCAAUAUUGCUCCACGGCUGCCGACCUGCACUAGACACGUCGUCACUUUGUUGAGCCAAGCUCAACUUCUUCGGAUCAUCAUCUUGGUAAGCCGAACAAGAGUCUGGCAUCACGAAGGAUAAAUCAUCACCAACAUCGCCGCCCCGCGGAUUACACGGAGCGGGCAUACCGGCAUCGCCACUUGGUCACUUCAUCAAGCCGGCAUUAACCACGUCACGACCUGCAUCGGCAGGGUUGCACUAUUGCUUCUUCAAGCUGGUGUCCAUCAUGCCGACCUACUUCGACUCAUCGGCUGACACCAAGGCCUUAUCACGUUAGCUGGACCGGGGGCUUCAUCAUCUCUUCAUCAACCUACUCCGGACACUUCGGCGUCACUAGCCGACCAGCUCCGUCACGUUAGCUGGGCCGAGGGCUUUGCCUCGGAGAGCCAACCUUUGCCGGCAUCAUCAUGCCGUCGUUUUAUCACCCAUCAGGCAAUGGGUGCGCGGAUCGAGUCCCGAUUCUGGGAAUCACCUUCCUUCAGAUUACUACAAUGAAUAAACUAGGUGCUAUUAAUCCUAGUAUUUUUUUGCUUGUUUGGGCUCAUUUUUUCCACGAAAUUAUUACUCUGGUUUGUCCAUCAUAUGUACACAGGUCUAUCAAGUGGUGGCCGAAUUAUCGACGGUUGCAUGAUGGUUCGGUCAGUUUCCGUACAAAGUCCGGCGAACGCCGCACCCGGAACUUGAACCGACCUGCGAAUUCAGGCCUUGCCAUGCCUUUACCACGUCACGCCGCCGCCCUGCACCGACUUCGGCGCCAGGCCAUAUUUCUUUUAUUACUCAUUUUGCAUAAAUUAUUUAUUAUGCAACAUUUUUUUUAUUAUCUCUGGUUUGCACUAUUUUUUGUGCACGGGAAAAUGAUCCAGCCGGACUUUAUCCUUCGACGUCACCUCGGCUGGACGGGGGGCUUCGUCAACACUUCAUUACUCCAUGCCAGGGACUUCGGCGUCACUCUGUCGUCCUGCAUUGACCGUGCUAUGUCACCACUUCACAGUGCCGAGCUCUUUGCUCCGCCACCUCGGGACCGGCUUGGGGGAUAGAACCUUGUCCCGCAUCAAGCUCAGACCGCAUCGUCAAUACCGAACACAUUAACCAGCUAAGUUUCAUUCAUGCUCAAAGUUUUAAAUUUCUAACUUGUGUUCGUUCGACCAAGCAUUAUACUUUUUUGUAAAAAAGUUGCUUGUAAAAAUUUUCCUUGUCGAAACUUUGUUCACACACACUUGACGCGCUACCCGCGCUCAUUAUACCUGGGGGCUUCUUUAACAGAAGCUUAUUAAUACGGGCUUUAUGCCCAACACAUGUGUCACACUUCUGCAUGUACCUUUUAUUCACCAUUAUAUGCAUCGAUAUGACUUAAGUUUUGGCCAAGCUGGGUUGCCUGGCUCCUGUGCUUACCCCUACGUUCCCGAUUGUUCGGCUAGGUGGUAAAGGGAGCACCUCUGCGAUUGUUACUGCCGGGUUAGCCGGAUGUGUACCUCAGACUGGGUGAAGCCGAAAGCUAGCGUUCUUAAGAGAAUACUCGGUCGGUGAACUAAAAGAUGAUUUCUUACCUAUUUAUUUACCUGCCCCCAGAUGUUUUUCUGCUCUUUUCGCAGUCCGGACAUGCACUUUAGGGCAUGCCUCCCAGGGAAAGGAACCCCUAACGGAACUAUUCUCCCUGGAACAUGUUUCUUACUAACCAUGUAAUAUAACAUAAAUAGUUGGGCACUUGUCUGAUAAAGCACUAAUGACCCCUACGCUUGGUCUCCACGCAUGCCCCGGUUUUUAUAACCGCGAGGGUGUUCGGACACACUCCGGACUAUUGGGUCCAGAGGUUGAAGCGAAAAGGUCCGCUACGACAAACGAUCUACAAUCCGGCUAGAAGGCAUUUUACAUGUCACCUUACAUUUUAUAGUCAACUUUUACCCAAGUCGCUUCGGGGCUCUCAUGUUUAUUUGAGCCGUUUCAUACUAAGUGUUUUUCUUCUUAGUCGUUGCAAAGUUAAAGCACGACAGAAGCACUUUUUUUUUCUAAAGUCCAAUUUUCGGAUUGGCACCGAACACUUGAUCUUGUUCGGACGUCAUGUUUUUACUGACGUUUUUUGGUUUUCCAAGCUUUUGGCACUUUUAACUAUUUGUGUGUUUUCAGCACAAGUCUCGCAGUGCAACGCCGGACACCUUUAAAGAUUCGGCAAAAACAUUCUCGGAUGUUGCUAUAUAUGCAUCAGCUUCGAAUUGUGUCUUCGGUCAAUAGUUGGGUUGCUCGGCUCCCGCGAUUGCCUCCUACGUUCCGCUUUGUUCGGCUAGGUGUGCAAAAGGAGAACCCCUGCGAUUGUGCUUCCAGCUCAUAUGGUUAAGCACCUCAGUGGAGAAAGCCGAAAACUAACUGUCACAAUAAGCAUAAACUGGUCGGUGAUCCGAUGACGGCGUUAAACGACGGGCCAUUCAUAACAAUGGCCGAAGUGUUUACGGCUUGACCUCGACUGUCGCCGAGCACUAGCGGGGGCUAUUAACUGGCCUCCCAAACUAAAUCCUCGAUAUUUUGCUCUUACAUUGGAGCUGAGGUUUCAUGAUCAUGCUUAGCAUGACAACCCAAAGAAAGGAACCGAUAGCGGGACUAUUUUCUUUGGAAGACAUUUCUUCUGUUAAACAGUAAUAUAACAUAUCUCUCUGCGUACCUUUGUUUAGAAAGCCGUAUGACCAGAUUGCCUUGUUUGUCGUAAAUCUUUGCCCUCAUAAAGGCUUUAUAAAGUAGGACAAACACUCCUCGGCUACCGGCUGAGGAGGUUGAAGCCCAUGGUCGGUCAACAAAGUUUUGUACAAUGCGGAUCCGAGCAUUAAUGACAUAAAGUACUUGGAUACAUUGAGUCAUUACACAUAAUUUGUGAUUUUACUAUGGAUAUUGAUCCUUAAUUCGGCCACCCGUGCCCGCAUUAAGGCUCGGGGGCUACUGGGCUUCGGGCUUAUUAUUUAAAAAUAUUAAAGGGGCACAUUGAUCCCCUGAUCUGGUGUUGCCACCCGACCAGUGUAUCGGGGGCUACUGCGUUGCUUGUUCUAUGCAGAAAAUCUUAAGUGCAAUACAGUUUCCAAGGAGAUUUUGAUCCUCAGGUUGGUCGGCCGCACCCAACCUGAGUCUCGAGGACUGAGCAUGCCGCUUUUUGUGUCCCGAAGUAUUCUGCCGAGCUAGGACUUGAUCCUCAGACCGAUUUUCCAAAUCAACCCGAGUCUCAGCGGCUAUGGGGAUCAGCGGUCUUAUGUCAUCCUUCAGGUGCAUCUCGGGUUUUAGACCGAUACAUACCUUGAGGGCUACUGGCUAUAUAUCUCGUUAGAGAAUAAAUUACAUCAAUAAAAAACAUUAACCAAAAAUCAGCCCAUGACCGAGGUGCUUAACCACCUCGGAAGCGGUUCGACAUAUAGCUCAGAUGCAAGUGGCUGGCUCCUUAGAGGGCAUUUCCGGCAUUAAGCUCGGCUAAACUCCUUCAAACUUCUUUGGACCAAGGUGAUUUUCGACACCUCGGAUACAGUCCGGCAUUGGAGCUCGGAUAUAGUCCGGCGUUGGAGCUCGGAUACAGUCCGGCGUUGGAGCUCGAAUACAUAGUCCGGCGAUAGAGCUGGGAAGCAGUCCGGCAUUGGUGCUCGGCUGCAAAAGAUACCUCGAAUGUAGUCCGGCGUUAGAGCUCGGACGCAAGAGGACACUGCCUCCCGGGCAUAACUUCAAACCCGAGGCGUGGCAUAAAAAUAAGGCAUUGAUAAAGGCCGUAAACUUAAAGGGGCUCCUCGGAUACCCAACGUGUAAACUCGUCGAAUGCAUUUCAGCGAUCCUCAAGAUAUAAGAUUUGUUGAACCAGUUUUCAAGACCGACGACCGAAGAUGAAGAACAGUUCGGAAGAAUCGAGGAGCGUCCCUAACUUGAAGACCGGUUCAGGGGGCUACUGACGGUGUCCUGGACUAGGGGGUACUCACGACGUCGUCCCCCAAUCGGUUAGAUUGGGCCGAGGACCCCCAGGGCCGUAUACUCAUGGGCCAGUCCGGACAGCUGCCGCAUACAAGGAAGAAUCCACAAGACUUGGCGAUCAAGACAAGGACUCCUCCCCCACCGGCGUAUUCGGCUAGGACUCUUGUUAUCCUAGGCCUCUCGUGCAUUAUAUAAACCAGGGCCAGGCUAGUCAACAGAUACAACAAUCAUACCAUAGGCUAGCUUCUAGGGUUUAGCCUCCUUGAUCUCGUGGUAGAUCUACUCUGGUAACCCACAUCAUCAAUAUUAAUCAAGCAGGACGUAGGGUUUUACCUCCAUCAAGAGGGCCCGAACCUGGGUAAACAUCGUGUCCCUUGUCUCCUGUUACCAUUGAUCCUAAGACACACUGCUUGGGACCCCCUACCCGAGAGCCGCUAGUUUUGACACCGACAGUAAGGAUUCAAGUAUGACACCUAAGUUUGAUUGUGUUAAAUCUUUUAUGGAUACCGAUGCUUUUCGUGGAUUUAGCGCUAAAUAUGGACUUGACUCUGAGAUAGUAGGUUCUUUCUGUGAAUCUUUUGCUGCUCAUGUUGAUCUCCCUAAGGAGAAGUGGUUAAAUACAAUCCUCCCAUUGAAGAAAAAGUAGUUGCACCUAUUACAGUUGAAGAAAAGUCUAUCACUUAUAAUGAUCCUAUUGUUCCUACUACUUCUGUUGAGAAACCACCUUUUCCUGUUAGGAUAAAUGAUCAUGCUAAAGCUGCAACUGUGGUCCGUAAGAGUAAUACUAGAACAUAUACACCUCCUGAGCAAAUUAAAGUUGAACCUAGUAUUGCUAUGGUUAAAGAUCUCUUGGAUGAUAAUAUAGAUGGGCAUGUUAUUUAUUUCUAUGGUGAAACUGCUAAUAUUGCUAGACCAAAUGCUAAGAUACAUAGACCUGUUGUAGGCAUGCCUGUUAUUUCUGUUAAAAUAGGAGAUCAUUGUUAUCAUGGCUUAUGUGAUAUGGGUGCUAGUGCUAGUGCAAUACCUAUUUCCUUAUACAAAGAAAUUAUGCAUGAUAUCGUACCCAUUGAGUUAGAAGAUAUUGAUGUUACAAUUAUGCUUGCCAAUAGGGAUACUAUCACACCAUUUGGGAUUGUUAGAGAUGUCGAAGUCUUGUGUGGGAAAGUUAAAUAUCCUGCUGAUUUUCUUGUUCUUGGUUCCCCACAAGACGACUUUUGUCCCAUUAUAUUUGGUAGACCCUUCUUGAAUACUGUCAAUGCUAAGAUUGAUUGUGAAAGAGACGUUGUUACAAUUGGCCUAGGGGAUAUGAUACACGAGUUUAAUUUUGCUAAGUUUCGUAGACAACCCCAUGAUAAAUAAUUGCCUAGUAAAGAUGAAAUUAUUGGUCUUGCUUCUAUUGUCGUGCCUCCUACUGAUCCGUUAGAACAAUAUUUGCUAGACCAUGAAAAUGAUAUGUUUAUCAAUGAAAGAAGGGAAAUAGAUGAAGUAUUCCUUAAACAGGGUCCUAUUUUGAAACACAAGUUGCCUGUUGAAAUCCUAGGGGAUCCCCCUGAGGGAGUCCUGGAUAAGGGGGUAUCCAGACAAUCGAACUAUAUGCUUUGGCCGGACUAUUGGACUAUGAAGAUACAAGAUUGAAGACUUCGUCCCGUGUCCGGAUGGGACUCUCCUUGGUGUGGAAGGCAAGCUUGGCGAUUUGGAUGUAGAUCUCCUUCUCUGUAAACCGACUCUAAGUAACCCUAGCCCCCUCCGGUGUCUAUAUAAACCGGAGGGUUUAGUCCAUAGGACACAACAACUAUCAUACCAUAGGCUAGCUUAUAGGGUUUAGCCUCUCUGAUCUCGUGGUAGAUCAACUCUUGUAAUACUGAUAUCAUCAAGAUCAAUCAAGCAGGAAGUAGGGUAUUACAUCCAUCGAGAGGGCCCGAACCUGGGUAAACAUCACAUCCCUAGUUUCCUGUUACCAUUAGCCUUAGACGCAUAGUUCGGGACCCCCUACCCGAGAUCCGUCGGUUUUGACACCGAAAUUGGUGCUUUCAUUGAGAGUUCCUCUGUGUCGUCGUUGUAAGGCUCGAUGGCUCCUCCAACCUUCAACAACGCCAUCCUGGGUGAGAUUUUCCUCCCCAAACAGAUCUUCGUGUUCGGUGGCUUCGCACUGCGGGCCAACUUGCUUGGCCAUCAGGAGCAGAUCGACAGCUACGCCCCUGGCCAUCAGGUCAGGUUUGGAAACCUAAACUACACUUCCGACAUCCGCGGGGACUUGAUCUUCGAUGGAUUCGGGCCCAUGUCAGGAGCACCGAACAAUCACGACAUGCACGACCUAGAUCUGCCGUCGGACAGUAUUCGGAACAUCGCACGUGCUACGGCUCCGGACGUUCCGGAGCAGGUCGUGUCUUCCGAGGACGGGUGGAUGGACCCCGCCCUGGAGGCCGCAUACUCAUCGGUGUUGGAGCCGAACACAGACUCUGCUCCUAAGGAGAUCUCUGUCUCCGGACCCCCGGACUAGUCUCCGGCCGUGUGUUCCGGACCGCGCGCACACAUGCCCAUUAAAUCUAAUUGGGCUCCGUGUAUGGAGUUCACCGCCACGGAUAUCUUUCAACACUCACCCUUCGUAGACGUGCUAGAUUUAUUAAGGUCUCUCUCUCUCUCUCUGUCAGGAGAUUCCUGGCCGAACCAUGUUCGGCUCGAGUGGGAAGCUGGCGACGAAGAAAUUCGUUACCCACCCACCACCCACUUAAUAGCCACGGUCGAUGACUUGAACGAUGUGCUUAACUUUGAUUCCAAAGACAUUGACGUUAUAGACGACGAUGAGGGAGCAGAACAGGAACCACUACCCACAGGCGCUGGACUGCCACCUCUUCAUAUGAUAUAUAUAUGGUGGAUACUCCCAAAGAAAACAAUGGCGAUGAGGCAACAAGAGAUAACCCCUCAGGGAAGAAAUCAAAGCAUGGACGUCACUGGCGCCGCUCCAAGCCCCACCACAGAAACACCGACACUGGAGAAGAAAAUCCAGAUGGUGCCGAAGAGGAAUAUGAUCCUGAUCAACCCACCUUCGAGCAAGCCGAAUAGGAACACGGGCAGGCCAGCCCAGACGAAUAGGCGACGGACGGAUACAUGGAGGACGAUAACUAUAUGCCUCCCUCCGAAGAUGAGGUGAGCCUCGGUGACGACGAAUUCGGCGUACCAGAGGAUCCCAUAGAGCAGGUGCGCUUCAAGCGCCGGCUUAUAGCCACUGCAAGAAGCCUGAAAAAGAAGUAGCAGGAGCUCCAAGUUGAUCGGGAUCUGCUCACAGACAGAUGGACUGAAGUCCUGGCAGCUGAGGAAUACGGACUCGAGCCCCCCAUCAGGGGUUACCCAAAGCACAAAUCGCUAGAAGAACAGGCCGAAGAGCCUGAACUUCCAGCACGAGAUGAGGCUGACCAGCCACCCCGUGGCCGGGACAAAACGGCAUAUCAGGCCAGAUACCAGCCCGCACCCCCACGCCGGUUCACUACGGCCCGGGGCAAUACGCAAGACCUGCGAGACAUAUUGGAAAACAACGCAUGACAACCAAGAUCGAUCUACGGAUCAUGGGGGCGCGCCACUGAUCGUUAUGCCGGAUAUAAUACUGAUAAAUCUGGCCGGGCCGAACACAACUGACCAGACCUAAUCGGACUGCGCCACGACAUAACCCGGCACAGAGGCGCCGCACACCCCCUCUGCUUCACUGAUGAAGUAAUGGAACAUGAAUUCCCAGUAGGGUUUAAACCCGUCAACAUCGAGUCAUACGAUGGCACAACAGACCCUGCAGUGUGGAUCGAAGAUUUUCUUCUCCAGAUUCAUAUGGCCCGCGGUGAUGACCUACACACCAUCAAGUAUCUCCCACUCAAGCUUAAAGGGGCAGCCAGACAUUGGCUGAAUAGCCUGCCAACAAACUCCAUUGGCAGUUGGGAAAAUCUUGAGGAUGCAUUCCUCGAUAACUUCAAAGGCACCUACGUGCGACCACUGGAUGCUGAUGACUUAAGUCACAUUACCCAACAGCCCUGAGAGUCAACCAGGUAAUUCUGGACUCGGUUCCUAACUAAAAAGAACCAAUUUGUCGAUUGUCUGGAUGCCGAGGCCCUGGCGGCCUUUAAGCAUAAUAUCCGCGACGAGUGGCCUGCCCGACACCUCGGGCAAGAAAAACCGAAGUCCAUGGCGGCCCUCACGACACUAAUGACCCACUUUUGCGCGGGUGAGGAUAGCUGGCUAGCUCACAGUAACACCGCACCAGGAAACUCUGGCACUUCAGAUAUCCAUGACAGUAACAGAAAGCCACGACGAAACAGACACAAACGUCAAAACAAUGGUGACAAUGCUGAGGAUACGGCAGUCAAUGCCGGAUUUAGCAACUCCAAAUCCGGUCAGCGGAAGAAGCCGUUCAAAAGAAACAAUCCGGGAUCGUCCAGUCUAGAUCGCAUACUUGAUCGCUCGUGCCAGAUUCACAGCACCGCCGACAAACCAGCCAAUCACACUAACAUAGAUUGCUGGUUGUUCAAACAGGCCGGCAAGAUAAAUGCCGAGAACAAGGACAAGGGGCUGCAUAGCAAUGAUGACGAGGAGCCCCGACGUCCGAACACUGGGGGACAGAAGAAAUUUCCCCCCAGGUGAAAACGGUGAACAUGAUCUAUGCCACUCACAUACCCAAACGGGAGCGAAAGCGUGCACUUAGGGACGUCUAUGCGAUGGAGCCCAUCGCCCCAAAGUUCAACCCAUGGUCAUUGUCGGUGUCAAAACCGGCGGAUCUCGGGUAGGGGGUCCCGAACUGUGUGUCUAGGCGGAUGGUAACAGGAGACAAGGGACACGAUGUUUUACCCAGGUUCGGGCCCUCUUGAUGGAGGUAAAACCCUACGUCCUGCUUGAUUGAUAUUGAUGAUGUGGGUAUUACAAGAGUAGAUCUACCACGAGAUCAAGGAGGCUAAACCCUAGAAGCUAGCCAAUGGUAUGAUUGUUGUUCGUCCUAUGGACUAAAGCCAUCCGGUUUAUAUAGACACCGGAAAGGGCUAGGGUUACACAGAGUCGGUUACAAUGGUAGGAGAACUACAUAUCCGUAUUGCCAAGCUUGCCUUCCACGCUAAGGAAAGUCCCAUCCGGACAUGGGACGAAGUCUUCAAUCUCGUAUCUUCAUAGUCUUGGAGUCCGGCCGAUGAUGAUAGUUCGGCUAUCCGGACACCCCCUAGUCCAGGACUCCCUCAGUAGCCCCUGAACCAGGCUUCAAUGAGGACGAGUCCAGCGCGCAUAUUGUCUUCGGCAUUGCAAGGCGGGUUCCUUCUCCGAAUAAUUUAUAGAAGAUUGUGAACACCAGGAUAGUGUCCGGCUCUGCAAAAUAAAUUCCACAUACCACCGUAGAGAGAAUAAUAUUUACAAAAGUUCAAUCUGCUGACGUAUUUUGUGGCGUGACGUCACACCACUACUAAGCCUUUACUCGAAUUGUUUUUACUGUACCACCUCAGCGUGUUUAGCGAAGCGGUUUCCUUGGCACGUCUUGUCGAGGCAGAGAUCGUGUUCCCCUUAUUCCUGGAUUCCCAUCAAUACGGACAUGGGUAACCCAACCGCGCCAUUGAUUGUGGCGCUUGGGAGAUAAGCGAGUUUUAUCAGGCCAGUGGGGACACAUGUUUUCGUCCGCCCAUAUAAGGGGAUAAAGAUCCAACCCUUGUACCUACGCCUUCUUCCUCCUUUGCUUAUCCAUCUCCGCGAACUCGAGCUCCAGCACCCAAGUCCGCACAUCUCACCUCAACCUUCUCCAACUAUGUCCGGAGCGGGAGGCAAGUGGAUGGCCUCCUCCGUUACGGAGGGGCACAUCCAGAAGUUGCGCAACACCGGAUAUCUGUCCAGCGACAUCGCGCACCGGCUCCCUGACGAGGGGGAGCUCAUCCCCACCCCCAGGCCCCAUGAGAGGGUAGUAUUUCUUUCCCAUUUCCUUCGCGGACUGGGCUUCCCACUCCAUCCCUUUGUCCGGGGGCUCAUGUUCUACUACGGCCUGGAUUUCCAUGAUCUGGCCCCGAAUUUCAUCCACAAUAUCUCGGUGUUUAUCGUCGUGUGUGAGGCCUUCCUGUGCAUCCAGCCUCACUUAGGCUUGUGGCUCAAGACCUUCAGUGUCAAGCCGAAGGUUGUGAAGGGCAGCCAAGCGGAGUGCGGAGGCGCCAUGGUGGGCAAGAUGCCCAACGUUACUUGGCUCGAGGGCACCUUCGUGGAAAACAUUAAGGGGUGGCAAUCGGGGUGGUUCUACAUCACCGAGCCGCGUGACCCUGAAUGGGCAGCGGCCCCCGAAUUCAGAUCUGGCAUCCCCAUACGACUCACCUCCUGGAAAGAGAGUGGCCCGACAUGGGGUGAUUCGGAGGAGCUAACCGGACUUCAAGCCUACAUCCAAAAGCUAGUGAACAAGAAGCUCAAGCUUUUCAACGUAGUCCAGGUCAUGCUCAUCCGCCGGAUUCUCCCGUGCCAACAAUGGGACUUCAAUAUGUGGGAGUUCGAUCCGUCGCAGCACCAGACUUUGAGCGGGCUCUUCAACACUACGUACGAAGAGGCAUGGAGGGUGCUGUUUAAGGGCACCGAGGCUCCCGCAUCCGGUACCGAAGAUCACGGAUUCAGCUCGCAGCGUCCGGCUAGCGAGGUAAGCGAUUUUGCCCUUUACGGGACACUUGUUUUCCAUAGUUUGACUCUAUGCGGGAUCUAAACCCCUCCUUUGACAGGACUGGCUGAAGAAGGCCGAACAGACUAUCUGUCCAGCCCCAUUGCCAGAAGACCCAGCGGACGCCCGCUUAACGGGGCUGCUGGCUCCGGCACCCCACGUGGUGCCGGAGAAGAAGGCCAAGAAGAAGGCCACGGGCCUCGAAAGAGUUCCCCUUUUCAGGUGUCAUCGGACGAUGACUCCGAGGCAGACUCCUCCCACAAAGGCGAGGAGGAGAAGAAGGAGGCCUCUCCCCCAGCGGGGGGAGGGAAGAAAAGGAAGGCCUCCUCAACGAGGGAGGCCGAAGGGUCCAAGAAGGGAAGGAAUCUUCCCCCGGACUGCUCCGCCAACGCCGGCGACGACAACGAGGAUUGGCCUCCAAGGGCCAAGCCUCUGGCGAGAUCGUAAGUAUCCGGACUCCUGAAUAACUUCAUGGUUUUUCUUUUCGCCACAUGGUGUCUUCCUAAUGCCGCAUACUACCCUGCAGUCCACAUGAUCCUCCCGCUUCGUCGAGCGGGUCCUUGGGUGCAUCAGAUAUGGAUUGUCUUCCGACCGCCUCCACCCCCCGUGAUGCAGACGAUGCCGAGGUGGGAUCCUGGGAAGGGACCCGCCAGGAGGAGGAGUCCCUGGAGGUGCCGCAGGGCAACCUCUCGGACUUUGCACCGGACUCCACCCCAGAACCUGUAGUGGCUCCGGAGUCCGGCGGGCGGCCCCUUCAUAAGAAGGGCAAGACCAUGACGCCGGCGGCCUCCGUCCAACCGGAGGCGCCGGAUAGCUUGCUGGAGGCGCUCAACGGCGCCUCCAUCGAAGAGGAUCAGCGCACUGUCAUGAGUGCGGUGAUUCAGAAGGUUCAGCUCGCCAAGAGCAGGCUGACCGAAGCCUGCAGCAGCCUUCUAACAUGCUUUGAGGUAAGAAUUUUGAUAUAUGUAAAAUAGUACCGCAUAGACAGUAGCCCCUGAUGCUCGGUUCGGUAUUCAGAAAGAAAAGCCGGACUGAGGAUCUAAAAAGAUAUACGCAGGAGUCAUAAAAAAAGUAUGUCAAUAUGGGAUUGCAGGCUGUGCUGCUGACCUCUGCCGCCCUGACUGCGGAGGGCAAUACUUUGAAGCAAAGCCUCGAGUGGUCCGAGAACGAGCUCGGCCGUGCCAAGAAGCAGCUCGAGGAUAAGGAAGGUGAGUAACACCUUAUUAAAAUUGUACCUUACAGAAAAGGAUUUGGUUGCAAGAAGGAUGACAAGGAUAACAUGGGUAUUGCAGGGGCCACGAACGAGGUGGCGACCUUGAAGGAGGCGGUGUCUGCGGCCGAACGUAAUGCGGCCGCGGAGCGCACCGAGCGAGAGAAGCAGGAGGCGCGGGUGGCGGAGGUACAUCAAUAGCUGCAGGCUCUCGUGGAAAAACAUGGGAGUUUAGAGCAUGACUCGAAGACUCAAGAGUCCGAGCUUGCAUCGACUCUUGAGAGUGCCAAAGCCGCUAAGGCCGAAGCCUACCAGGCCCUCCAGGAAAUCGAGGCGUUGAAGAAAAUAGCGGCGGGUAAGGCAUUUUUCAUGCAAAGUAAGCAUGUGAGUGUGAAUUACCUAUCACUUACCCGAAUUCGGAGCUCUCCAGGAGCGUUCGCAGAUCUACCCUGCAGCGUGUCCGAUGCUGCCGCUUUCUAUAGGGCCAAGGAGGGGAGCUCGACGGAGAGGGUCUUCUGGUCUCAGUAUGCUGAGGCCGGACAUCCGGUGCCCCUUAGCGACCAGCUGAAGCAGUUGGUCGAGCUCCACAAGGUGGCCGAACAGGCCAUGAAGGGCCUCAUAGUUCGGCUGUGGCCUAAGGAGGCCAUGCCUGGGAGCUACUUCGGCCUGGUGCGGCGGCUGGUGGAUGCGUGUCCACGGGUUGAAGUCAUCAAGCACUCCGCCUGCAUUGAAAUUGCCCGUCGGGACCUUGCCCGCGCAAAGGUGCAAUGGGGCAAGAUGGAUGCUGAGAAGCUUGUGACGGACGCGCCACCGCCGGGCAAGGAGUAUCGCACGCCCGAGAUGUAUUAUAAGAGUGUCCUGAAGGCUGCCCGCAUUAUUGCGGGUGAGUGCUCCAAAGAUGUAAUAUUUGAGUAGACUCACAUUUUGUUAUCCCGUGCGCUGAAAACUUUGCUCAUAUGCGCUAAGCAACGCUUUUUAAUUUAAAAUAUUACCUUCUGUGCGGCCAUUUAUCAAAUCUGAGAGAUGGCAAGUCGUCGGCUUCAACCCCCAUGCCACGAGUGCUGGGGUGUUCGGGAUAAAUUUUAGCACUCUUGUUCCCAUUUUUGGGUCCAUCUAGGGAGGCGCUCAACACAACGAACAAGGCAACCGGACUUAUAAUGCUUGAACACUCUCACUUAGCCAUAGAAUUCUAUAAUUUUAAAUUUCGGUGAAGCCCCUAGUGUUCGGAAGGCCAAAUUUGGGGCGCUAUCCACACCUGGGCCGGACAAAGCCGGUUCCUCGCUCUAAGCGGCAUAAGUCUUUCGGGACUCGAAAAAACCUCUCGAACAGCGACUGGCUCUCGCCGCAUCAUGACGGUCAGUUUUAGCUUUCUCCACUGAGGCGCUCGCCCAGCUCAACUGGGGCGCAAUUGCAGUGGUUCUCCCAGUGCUACCUUAGCCGAUACAACGGAACAUAAGGUACCAAAACAUGGGAGCCGGGCAAACCCAACUAUUGACCCAAGACAUGAUUCGGAGCCGAUGCAUAUAAUGCUAUAAGUUCGGGGUGCCGCACUUGUGAAAGUGUUCGGACUUAUCACACCAUGAUGAGGGAAGCAUAAGCCCCUGGUGUAUUUAGCCGUACCAAAGUGUACGGAUGCAACAUGUCAUAUAUGUAUAAGAAAGAAAUGCAAUUAUAAGCAAAAUGGUGCUGCAUUGUUUAUUCAAGAAAUACUGCUGUGAAUGCAUAACGAUACAAAUGGUGCGAUAAGCAAGGGAUGGGACUAUUAAACCUGCCCCCCUCCAGGGGUAGGCUGCGGAAUGGUGUAUUAAACAGAUUAAUGCUCGUAAUGGAGACCACCUGGAUAUUCAUCGUAGCCUUUCUCCUUCCCUGGCUGUUGCAUCGUGAGUUCGGCAGGUCUACUACCGGACAGGGCCUCUAAUGAACAGAGUCCUGUGGAUAAAAAAAAGAAAAAGAGAGAAAAAAAGAACGACACACUUGAGAGCCCCUGGUGUAGUUAAGCCGCAUUCUGGGCCUAUCGUGGUCGUGCCCCUCCCCCUAUGCCCAUGGUAUCUCCAGAGUGUAAUGAUGUACGCGAAGGACCUGUCUUGAAAUUUUGCAGGGGCUGGGGUUGGGGCCGCAUUGCUAUGCGUGCUCGGAACGUGCCAGGUGGUCUUGUUGUAGGUUACUCCGGGCGCGUUUAGCCGUGUCCGGUCGCUUAGCGGCCGGACUCGAGAAUUGCCUUAAGAGGCUGCACUGUACUUCUGACGCGAGAGCCGCUGUAUGUUCCUCCGUUCGGAGAGAGCGUUCAGUGUUUCCAUUGACCGUGAUGACUCCUCGAGGGCCUGGCAUCUUGAGCUUGAGGUAUGCGUAGUGCGGCACCGCGUUGAACUUUGCAAACGCGGUACGUCCGAGCAGAGCAUGAUAGCCGCUGCGGAACGGAACUAUGUCUAAGAUUAACUCCUCGCUUCGGAAGUUAUCCGGGGAUCCGAAGACCACUUUCAGUGUAACUGAGCCUGUACAAUUGGCCUCUACACCUGGUAUGACGCCUUUAAAGGUCGUCUUUGUAGGUUUAAUCCUUGAGGGGUCUAUGCCCAUUUUGCACACCGUAUCCUGAUAAAGCAGGUUCAGGCUGCUGCCGCCGUCCAUCGGGACUCUGGUGAGGUGAAAUCCAUAGAUGAUUUGGUCUAAAACCAAUGCGGCGAAUCCGCCGUGGCGGAUGCUGGUGGGGUGGUCCCUUCGAUCAAAAGUGAUCGGGCAGGAGGACCAUGGAUUGAACUUCGGGGCGACUGGCUCCAUCGCGUAUACAUCCCUGAGUGCACGCUUCCGCUCCCUUUUGGGUAUGUGGGUUGCGUAUAUCAUGUUCACCGUCCGCACUUGUGGGGGGAAACCCUUCUGUCCUCUAUUGUUCGGCGGUCGGGUCUCUUCCUUGUCAUCGCUAUGCAGCCCCUUGUCGUUAUUUUCGGAAAUUAACUUGUCUGCCUGCUUGAAUACCCAACAGUCCCUGUUGGUGUGGUUAGCUGGCUUUUCGGGGGUGCCGUGUAUCUGGAACAAGCGGUCGAGUAUUCGGUCCAAAUUGGACGGACCCGGAGUAGUUCUUUUGAAUGGCUUUUUCUGCUGACCGGGUUUGGAGCCUCUGAAUCCUGCAUUGACUGCCGUAUCCUCACUAUUGUCGCUGUUAAUGCGGCGUUCGUUUUUGUUGCGACGCGACCUGCCAUUGCGGUCCUUGAUAUCCAGACUGCCAGAAUUUUUGCUGAGGUUGUUGCUGCGGGCUAGCCAGCUGUCCUCACCCACGCAGAAGCGGGUCAUGAGUGAUGUGAGGGCUGCCAUGGAUUUCGGCUUUUCUUGUCCUAGGUGUCGGGCAAGCCACUCGUCGCGGAUGUUAUGUUUGAAGGCCACGAGGGCCUCCACAUCCGGACAGUCGACGAUUUGAUUUUUCUUAGUUAGGAACCGUGUCCAGAAUUGUCUGGCCAAUUCGUCUGGCUGCUGAAUUAUAUGGCUUAGGUCGUCAGCGUCUGGUGGUCGCACAUACGUGCCUUGGAAGUUAUCGAGGAAUGCGGCUUCUAGGUCUUCCCAACUCCCAAUUGACUCUGCUGGCAAGCUAUUAAGCCAAUGCCAGGCUGGUCCUUUAAGCUUGAGUGGGAGGUAUUUGAUGGCGUGAAGAUCAUCACCGCGGGCCAUGUGGAUAUGAAGGAGAUAGUCCUCGAUCCAAACCGCGGGGUCUGUUGUACCAUCAUAAGAUUCAAUGUUCACGGGUUUAAACCCUUCGGGGAUUUGAUGAUCCAUUACUUCAUCUUUGAAGCAUAGUGGGUGUGCGGUGCCUCUGUAUUGGCCAAUAUCACGACGAAGUUCAAAAGAGCUUUGUCUACUGUGUUCGGCCCGGCCGGACUUACUGUGUCCGGCGUGAUGGUUGUCGUCACGUAUCAUGGGGCUCCCAUGCGAUCCAUAGAUCGAUCUUGAUUGUCUUGCCUUAUCCUCCAAUAUAUCUCGCAAGUCCAGAGUGUUCCCCUGUGGCCUUGUGCUUUUCGAGCGAUGCCGGGGUACGGUUCUAGUGGAGGGCCUAGAGGCCUCUCUGUCGCGGCCACGGGGUGGUCGGUCAGCCGUAUUGUCCGCUGGUGAUGCAAGUUCAUAUGCCUCCUCCCCUAAUCGGGGGAGCAGCUUGCGUUUAGGGUAGCUUUUGGAGGGGCGUUCGAGCUCAUGCUCUUUGGCCGCAAGGACUUCAGUCCAUCUGUCGGCUAGCAGAUUUUGAUCAGCUCUAAGCUCUUGCUGCUUUUUCUUGAGGCCGUUUGCCGUGGCCAUAAGCCUUCGUUUAAAACGCUGUUGUUCGACGGGAUCCUCAGGUACGACGAAUUCGUCGUCGUCGUCGAGGCUUGCCUCGUCUUCGGAGGGAGGCAUGUAAUCCUCUACCUCUUCGUCUGCCGCUCUCUCAUGAGGGCUGGCGUCUCCGUCCUCCUGUGCUGAAUCUUGCUGGAGGGGGUUGUCUUCGGCACUGUCUGGGGUGUUAUUAUCUCCGGUGCCGGAAUCUCCAUUCUUGCUGUGGCGGGAUUUAGAGCGGCGCCGCUGACGAUGGCGCUUGGGCUGUUUCUUGGAGGGGUCAUACUUCGCUGUUCCUUCGCCAUUCCCAUCCUUUGGGAUAUCCACCAUGUAUAUGUCAUAUGAUGAGGUGGCUUUCCAGUGCCCAGUAGGCGCUGGUUCUUGGUCGUCUCUGGCAUCGUCGUCCAUACCGUCGAUGUCUUCGGAGUCGUAGUCUAGCAAGUCGGUUAGAUCGUCGACAGUGGCUACUAAGUAGGUGGUGGGUGGGCUUUGAAUUUCUUCGUCAUCCGCAUCCCAACCGUCCUGACCGCAGUCCGGCCAGGGCUCUCCUGAUAACGAGAGAUACUUUAGCGAACUCAAGAUGUGGCCAAAAGGUGAGUGUUGAAAGAUGUCCGCAGCGGUGAACUCCAUGAUCGGCGCCCAAUCGGAUUCGAUUGGAGGGGGCAUGGGAGGUUCGGAGUCCGGCGAGGAGUCCGGCACCUCGGAGUAACGAGCUUCAUGAGGGACAAGGUCAGUGUUCGGCUCCAUCGUCAUAGAGGUUGCAGCCCCCGAGGCAGUGUCUAGCCACCCGUCCUCGAUCUGCACAGCCGGCUCCGAAUUGAGGAUCGGAGCGGACUUGUGUGCGGCCUCCAGGGCACUGUCCGGCUGCAGAGCUAAAUCAUGCCCAUCGUGACAGUGCGGCGCGGUCGGCUGUGGCUCGAAUCCAUCGAAGAUCAAGUCUCCAUGGAUGUUAGCCGUGAAGUUCAAACUUCCAAAUCUGACCUGACGGCCAGGGGCGUAGCUUUCGAUCUGCUCCAGAUGGCCAAGUGAAUUGGCCCGCAGUGCAAAGCCGCCGAAUACGAAGAUCUGUCCGGGGAGAAAGGUCUCACCCUGGACUGCGUCGUUGUUGAUGAUCGAAGAAGCCAUCGAGCCUAUUGGUGACGACACAGAGGAACUCUCAAUGAAAGCACCAAUGUCGGUGUCAAAACCGGCGGAUCUCGGGUAGGGGGUCCCGAACUGUGCGUCUAGGCGGAUGGUAACAGGAGACAAGGGACAUGAUGUUUUACCCAGGUUCGGGCCCUCUUGAUGGAGGUAAAACCCUACAUCCUGCUUGAUUGAUAUUGAUGAUGUGGGUAUUACAAGAGUAGAUCUACCACGAGAUCAAGGUGGCUAAACCCUAGAAGCUAGCCAAAGGUAUGAUUGUUGUUCGACCUAUGGACUAAAGCCAUCCGGUUUAUAUAGACAACGGAGAGGGCUAGGGUUACACAGAGUCGGUUACAAUGGUAGGAGAUCUACAUAUCCGUAUUGCCAAGCUUGCCUUCCACGCAAAGGAAAGUCCCAUCCGGACACGGGACGAAGUCUUCAAUCUUGUAUCUUCAUAGUCUUGGAGUCCGGCCGAUGAUGAUAGUUUGGCUAUCUGGACACCCCCUAGUCCAGGACUCCCUCAGUCAUCCUGCCCGAUCACCUUUGAUUGUAGGGACCAUCCAACCAGCAUCCAUCAUGGCGGCUCAGCCGCAUUGGUCCUUGACCCAAUCAUCGACGGAUUCCACCUCACACAAGUCCUCAUGGACAGUGGCAGUAGCCUGAACUUGCUUUAUCAGGACACAGUGCGCAAAAUGGGCAUCGAUCCGUCAUGGAUCAAACCCACCAAAACCACCUUCAAGGGUGUAAUUCCAGGGGUAGAGGCCUGCUGUACGGGAUCAAUAACACUGGAAGCGGUCUUCGGAUCUCCAGAUAACUUCCGAAGCGAGGAGUUCAUCUUCGACAUCGUCCCUUUCCGUAGUGGCUAUUAUGCACUACUUGGACAAACCGCGUUUGCUCGAUUCAAUGCGGUACCACACUAUGCAUACCUCAAGCUCAAAAUGCCAGGACCUAACGGGGUUAUAACAGUCAAUGGAAACACAGACCGUUGCCUCCGUACGGAAGAGCACACUGCGGCCCUCGCGGCAGAAGUACAAAGCAGCCUCCUUCGACAAACAGCCAAUUCAGCAACAACAACCCCGAACACCGUCAAGCGAGUCCAGAGCACCCCGCAACAGGACCGUCUGGCAUGCCAGGAGCUCGAUUAGCAAUCCGGCCUCCACCCCAGCCCCAUUUAGGCGGCAUUCAUGCCACGCGUACACAAAUACACGCUUAAAAUACCAUGGGCAUAGGUGGAGGCGAGACGACCAUGCGGCCUGCAGUGCAGUUCAGCCGCCAUGAGGCCCGCACACCAUUUUUCUUUCUUUCUUUCAGGACCCUACUUUCGGGCAGCCCCUUCAGAGAGAUCGGAUAACCAGACUCAUCCCAGGAGGGAACACCAAGUAGGCAAGCGGCGUUGCACACAAGGGAGUACCCAAGUGGUCUUUGUUAAUGAUCGUUAUACCUGUUUUACGUACCUGCAUGCAGCCUGCCCUUGGAUAGGACAUGUCAAAUGGCCCUAUUUGUUUUCGCUUAAUGCAUUAAUUGUAAACAUACGCCUUGACGUAUUAUACAAAUAACAAUGGGAAACGAUAUACCAACGUCAACUUCUUACUAAUAUCUUCAUAUUUUCCCUUGAAUAUUUAUUUAAUAUUGCAUCCGUACAUUUUGGUAUGCUCAAUUUGCCAGGGGCUUCUUAUCGAGCCCCAUAACAUGGCAAGAAAAGUCCAAACACUUUCGACAGUGCGGCACCCCGAACUAAUAGCAUUAUAUGCAACAACUCCGAAUUAUGUCUUGGGUCAAUAGUUGGGUUAGCCCGGCUCCCUUGUUUUGGUACCUUACGUUCCGUUAUAUCGGCUAAGGUAGCGCAGGGAGAACUACUGCGAUUGUGUCCCGGUUCUUCCGGACGAGCACCUCAGUAGAGAAAGCCAAAGACUGACCUUCAUGAUGCGGCGAGAGCUAGUCGCUGUUCGCGAGGUACUAAAUCCUUAAAUAUUUUUUCCGCUUAAGGCGAGGAAUCGGCCUUUCUCGAUUUAGGCGUGUAUAGCGCCCUAGUUCGGCCUUCCGAAUAUUAGGGGCUUCACCGAAAUUUAAAAUUAUAGACUUCUAUGGCCAAGUGAGAGUUAUAAAGCCGAAUAGCCCAAUUGCCUUGUUUGCUGCGCUAAACACCUCCUUAAAGGACCAAGAACUUGGAUAAAUAGUGUUUGAGUUUCCACCAACACCCCAGUACUAGUUACAAGGGGGCGGAAGCCGACGACUGGCCUACUUUCAGAUUUUGAUAAAUUGCCGCAGAGAAGGUAAUAUUUUAAAUCAAACAAAGUGAUAUAUAGCACAAACAAACCCGUUCUCAUAUUACAAGGACGACAUGAGUACAUUCACUCAAAAAUUAUGUUCUUAGGACAUUCAUUUGCCACGAGCCGAGCGCCUUUCAUAACGCCAUCAUAAUACUUUUCGGGGUAGCGAUGCUCCUUACGCUCCAGGGGUCCAUCCAUCAUGAGCUUCUCAGCAUCCAGUUUGGCCCAAUGCACCUUCGCGCGGGCAAAGGCCCGCCGGGCACCUUCAAUACAGACGGACAGCUUGAUAACUUCUAGCCGUCGACAGGUAUUCACCAUCCGCUUUAUCAGGCUAAAAUAGCUGCCGGGUAGGGGCUCGCCAUGCCACAUCCGGACUAUGAGGUCCUUCAUGGCCCGUUCAGCUGCAUUGUGGAGUUCGACCAGUUGCUUGAUACGUCUCCAACGUAUCUAUAAUUUUUGAUUGUUCCAUGCUAUUAUAUUACCUGUUUUGGAUGCUUAUGGUCUUUAUUUUACAUAAUUAUAUUAUUUUUGGGACUAACCUACUAACCGGAGGCCCAUCCCAUAUUGCUAUUUUUUUCCUAUUUUAGUAUUUCGAAGAAAAGGAAUAUCAAACGGAGUCCAAACGGAAUGAAACCUUCGGGAGCGUUAUUUUUGGAACAAAUCUGAUCCGGAGAGCCUGGAGUGCAAGUCAAGAAAGCUCCGAGGGCCCCAUAAGAUAGAAGGGCGCCCCCCUGUAGGGCGCACCCCCUGUUUCGUGGGCCCAUCGGGCGUCCACCGACAUACUUCUUCCUCCUAUAUAUACCUACGGACCCCGAAAACAUCCGGGGGCACCACGAAACACAAUUUCCACCACCGUAACCUUCUGUAUCCGUGAGAUCCUGUUGGGGGAGGCUGAUCUACCAACACCUAUGGGGACAGGGCCCCUUUUGGUUCGGUGGGAGGCGGAGAACGCACAAAGAGCGGAUCGAGGCGGUACACGCGAGCGGUUUUACCCAGCUCCGGGCCGCACGGAUGCGUAAAACCCUACUGCUGCUUGUUUGUGUGUAUUAAAUUCUUGCUCAGGAGCGAUGGACGCUGCCAGACUGAGCGUGAGAGUGUUCCUGGUGUUUCGAAUGAGCCUAACCUCCUCUACGUUGCGCUUGGGCCUCCUUUUAUACUCUCAAGGGGUUACCCACAGGUGGCAACGUAGACUAGAAGGGUAGAAAUGGAAAAGGAUGCGGUAGGUGCAGCUACCGCUACUGUGGACACAGUGCACCCUACCUAACUCUGACGGCAGGGGACAAGGUCAUUGAAUGCUCGUCUGUGUCGCCUAAACAGUACCGAAACGGACCGCUAGGGACGCCACCGCUUGCCACGAUGGUUAUCUUGUCAGCGCCUGCUUGCCACCGCGCACCCCUAGCUGCACGGCCUCCUGCCACGUGCGCUUGGGAGAGUCCUAGAGCGACACGUUAGCAGGUGUGCUGGAGCGCGGGCACGAAGUGGGGGUUUCCCGCGACAAGCUCCUUGCCGCGGUCGUCGUCUUGUCGUGUUCGGGAGCUUGCCGCUCACCGGGCCUUGCCGGGGCGCGCGGCGCAUCGCGGCAAGCUUUCUUGGUAUGCCUUGAGUGGUCUUCCCGGCAAGCUCCUCUUGCCAGGGUCUUGUCUGGCCUUCCCGGCAAGCUCCUCUUGCCGGGGUCUUGUCUUCUUCCCGAUCAGCUUCUCUUGCCGGGGCCUGGGUUGGCCUUCCCGGCAAGCUCCUCUUGCCGGGGCCUUGGUUGGCCUUCCCGGCAAGCUCCUCUCGCCGGUGCCUUGGUUUGAGUACUUUGUUCUUGAAUGGUCUUCAAGGGAACCACGGAGGGUCUUGGCGGUCACCCGGCAAGCCUUGCCGCGGGAUGCUGCGACCGCCCGUGCACAAGUUCGGGGUAAUAGGGUACCCCUACUCUAGUACACCGACAGAUCCCAUCUUGGAGCCUUCGCCGGCACACUGCUGGAGGGGGAAACGACCACAGAGGGCCUCUACAUCAACAUCCUUGCCCCUCCUAUGAGUUGUGAGUUGUUUACCACAGACCUUCGGGUCCAUAGUUAUUAGCUAGAUGGCUUCUUCUCUCUUUUUGGAUCUCAAUACAAUGAUCUCCCCCUCUCUUGUGGAGAUCUAUUUGAUGUAAUCUCUUUUUGCGGUGCGUUUGUCAAGAUCCUAUGAAUUGUGAGUUUAUGUUCAGAUUUAUCUAUGGUUAUUAAUUGAAUCUUCUCUGAAUUCUUUUAUGUAUGAUUGAGUUAUCUUUGCAAGUCUCUUCAAAUUAUAGGUUUGGUUUGGCCUACUAGAUUGAUCUUUCUUGCCAUGGGAGAAGUGCUUAGCUUUGGGUUCAAUCUUGCGGUGUUCUUACCCAGUGAUAGAAAGGAUUGCAAGACACGUAUUGUAUUGUUGCCAUCGAGGAUAAAACGAUGGGUUUUAUAUCAUAUUGCAUGAUUUUAUCCCUCUACAUCAUAUCAUCUUGCUUAAUGCGUUACUCCGUUCUUAUGAACUUAAUACUCUAGAUGCAUGCUGGAUAGCAGUCGAUGUGUGGAGUAAUAGUAGUAGAUGCAGGCAGGAGUCGGUCUACUUGUUUUGGAUGUGAUGCCUAUAUACAUGAUCAUGCCUAGAUAACAUCAUAAUUAUUCGCUUUUCUAUCAAUUACUUGAUAGUAAUUUGUUCACCCACCGUAAUACUUAUGCUCUCGAGAGAAGCCUCUAGUUAAACCUAUGGCCCCCGGGUCUAUCUCUUAUCAUAUUUGCUUUCAAUCUACUUUUAUUUGCAUCUUUACUUUUCUUGCAUCUAUAUUAUAAAAUACCAAAAAUAUAUCUAUCUUAUCAUACUAUCUUUAUUAGAUCUCACUUUCGCAAGUGGCCGUGAAGGGAUUGACAACCCCUUUAUUGCGUUGGCUGCGAGUUCUCAGUUUGUUUGUGUAGGUGCGUGGGACUUUUGAGGAGCCUCCUACUGGAUUGAUACCUUGGUUCUCAAAAACUGAGGGAAAUACUUACGUUGCACUUGCUACAUCACCCUCUCCUCUUCGGGGAAUACCAAUGCUAGCUCAAUACGUAGCAAGAAGGAUUUGUGGCACCGUUACCGGGGAGGUCUUCGCUCAAGUCAAGACAUACCAAGUACCCAUCACAAACUCAUCUCCCUCGCAUUUACAUUAUUUGCCAUUUGCCUCUCGUUUUCCUCUCCCCCACUUCACCCUUGCCGUUUUAUUCGCCCUCUCUUUCCCAAUCUCCUCCUCUCUUUUUCGGUUGCCUCCUUUUGUGUGCUUGUUUGCCGUUUGACCUUAUGGCUACGCCUAAGUAACCUGAACACCUUCUCAGAAGGAUGGAUGAGAUUGAAUCAAAUAAUAGAAGCUUUAUGAAUUUGCAAUUUGAGCAUAAUAAUAUCUUUAGUAAAGAGCUUAAGGAACAAAAAAGUUUUUGGGAUUUAUAAACAAAGAGCUUGAUGAUAUGAAUAAAGAAUUCUAUGGUGUUAACGCUCAAAUUACUCGACUUGAAAAUGCUAUAGCCAAAAUUUCUGACAAGCCAGCCACCUUAGUCAAUAAGAUGGCCGCUAAACCAGAAAAAAUACAUGAAAAUAUUGAUGAGGAUCUUAAAGUUAUUGAUACGUCUCCUAUUAGAUCUAUGUUGUGCAAUAUGAAUUUUGAUGAUUAUGGGACUGAUGAUGAAUCAACUUUGCCUAGAAGGCGUCCCAAAAAUUCGGAGUCUUUAGAUCUUAAUGCUAAAUUUGGUAAAAGAGAGAUUGGAGAAUCCUCAACUUCUAAUAAUAUUGAACCUACUAUGUCGGAUUUCAAGGAAUUUGAUUAUGAUAAUUGGUCUUUAAAAGGUUGUAUUUCCUUGUUGCAAUCCGUUGUUAAUUCUCCUCAUGCUUAUAGUCAAAAUAAAGUUUUUACCAAACAUAUUGUUGAUGCCUUGAUGCAAUCUUAUGAUGAAAAACUUAAGUUGGAAGUUUAUAUACCUAGAAAACUUAAUGAUGAGUCGGAACCUACUAUAAAUAUUAGAAUUAAAGAUUUUGAGUGUUUUGCUUUGUGUGAUUUGGGUGCUAGUGUUUCCACAAUUCCGAAAACUUUAUGUGAUAUUCUAGACUUCCAUGAUCUUGAUGAUUGCUCUUUAAAUUUGCACCUUGCGGAUUCCACCAUUAAAAAGCCUAUGGGAAGGAUCAAUGAUGUUCUUAUUGUUGCUAAUAGAAAUUUGGUGCCCGUAGAUUUUAUCGUUCUUGAUAUAGAUUGCAAUUUUUCUUGCCCUAUUAUUCUUGGAGGACCUUUCCUUAGAACGAUUGGUGCGAUUAUUGAUAUGAAGGAAGGGAACAUUAGAUUCUAAUUUCCUUUAAAGAAAGGCAUGGAGCACUUUCCAAGAAAUGUAGUCAAAUUACCUUAUGAAUCUAUCAUGCGUGCUACUUAUGAAUCAAGUGCCAAAGAUGGCACUCGUUAGAGCUAUCCUUGCUUUUAUGCCUAGCUAGGGGCGUUAAACGAUAGCACUAGUUGGGAGGCAACCCAAUUUUCUUUAUGUUCUUUGUUUCUGUUCCUCUUUAGUGUUAAAUUUUGUUUCUACUUUCUGUUUAGAUGUGUUUUUAUCUUUUGUUUAGUGUUUGUGCAAAGUAGAACCUAUAGGUUAAAAUAUGAUGAUGGUUGAUUUGAUUCUGCUGAAAAACAGAAACUUUGCGCUCAUAAGAAAGAAUUCAAUAAAUCAGAGAAAAGAGAUUUUGCGUUGAUUCAUUUUGAUGCUGAUCAAUAAACAAAGUUUCCAGUACGUCCUAUUUUGGUAGGAUUUUUAGAGUUCCAUAAGUUUGCGUUAGUUACAGAUUGCUACAAACUGUUCUGUUUUUGACAGAUUCUGUUUUUCGUGUGUUGUUUGCUUAUUUCAAUGCAUCGAUGGCUAAUAAAUUAGUUUACAAACCAUAAGGAAGUUGGAAUAAAGUAGGUUUAACACCAAAAUAAAUAAAGAAUGAGUUUAUUUCAGUACCUUAUGUGGUGGUUUUGUUUUUUUUCACUAACGGAGCUUAUAAGAUUUCCUGUUGAGUUUUGUGUUGUGAAGUUUUCAAGUUUUGGGUAAAGCUUUUAUGGACUAUGGAAUAAAGAGUGGCAAGAGCGUAAGAUUGGGGAUGCUUAUGGCACCCCAAGGUAUUCAAGAAUAGCCAAAAGCCUAAGCUUGGGGAUGCCCUGGGAUGGCAUCCCCUCUUUCGUCUUCGUUCAUUGGUAACUUUACUUGGAGCUAUAUUUUUAUUCGCUACAUGAUAUGUGUUUUGCUUGGAGCGUCGUGUAUUAUAUUGGUCUUUGCUUGUUAGUUUACCACAAUCAUCCUUGCCAUAACACACCUUUUUGGAGAAGCCUAUUUGAUUAGAAUUUGCUAGAAUACGCUAUGUGCUUCACUUAUAUCUUUUGAGCUUGAUAGUUUUUGCUCUAGUGCUUCACUUAUAUCUUUUAGAGCAUAGUGGUGGAUUAAUUUUAUAGAAAUUGCUAGUCUCUCAUGUUUCACUUAUAUUAUUUUCAGAGUCUCUUAGAGCAGCAUGGUAUUUGCUAUUGUCACAAAGUUGGUCCUAGAAUGAUGAUCAUCCAAGUUGGGUAUAAUAAAAACUAUCAUAGAAAGUGAAUUGGAUGCUAUGAUCAAUUUGAUGCUUGAUAAUUGUUUUGAGAUAUGGAGGUAGUAAUAUUAAAGUCAUGCUAGUUGGGUGAUUAUGGAUUUAAAUAAUUCUUGUGUUGAAGUUUGUGAUUCCCGUAGCAUGCACGUAUGGUGAACCGCUUUGUGAUGAAGUUGGAGCACACUUUUAUUUAUUGAUUGUCUUCCUUAUGAGUGGCAGUCGGGGACGAGCGAUGGUCUUUUCCUACAAAUCUACCACCCUAGGAGCAUGCGUGUAGUGCUUUGGUUUUUGAUGACUUCUAAAUUUUUACAACAAGUAUAUGAGUUCUUUUGAUUAAUGUUGAGUCCAUGGAUUAUACGCACUCCUUUCCCCCUCCAUUAUUGCUAGCCUGUCUUGUAUCGUGCAACUUUCGCCGGUACCAUACACACACCAUACUCCUUCCUCAAAACAGCCACCAUACCUACCUAUUAUGGCAUUUCCAUAGCCAUUCCGAGAUAUAUUGCCAUGCAACUUUCCACCGUUCCGUUCAUAUGACACACAUUACUUUUGUCAUAUUGCUUUUUGCAUGAACAUGUAAUUGACAUUGUAUUUGUGGCAAAGCCACCGUUCAUAAUUCUUUCAUACAUGUCACUCUUGAUUCAAUGCAUAUCCCGGUAUACCGCCGGAGGCAUUCAUAUAGAGUCAUAUUUUGUUCUAAGUAUCGAGUUGUAAUUGUUGAGUUGUAAAAAAAAUAAAAGUGUGAUGAUCAUCAUUAUUAGAGCAUUGUCCCAGUGAGGAAAGGAUGAUGGAGACUAUGAUUCCCCCAUAAGUCGGGAUGAGACUCCGAACGAAAUAUAUAUAAAAAAGAGGCCAUAAAAAGAAGAGCAAAGGCCCAAAUAAAAAGAAAUAUGAGAGAAAAAGAGAGAAGAGACAAUGCUACUAUCCUUUUACCACACUUGUGCUUCAAAGUAGCACCAUGAUCUUCAUGAUAGAGAGUCUCAUAUGUUGUCACUUCCAUUUACUAGUGGGGAUUUUUCAUUAUAGAACUUGGCUUUUAUAUUCCAAUAAUGGGCUUCCUCAAAAUGCCCUAGGUCUUCAUGAGCAAGCAAGUUGGAUGCACCCCACUAGUUUUCCUUUGUUGAGCUUUCAUAUAUUUAUAGCUCUAGUGCAUCCGUUGCAUGGCAAUCCCUACUCACUCACAUUGAUAUCUAUUAAUGGGCAUCUCCAUAGCCCGUUGAUACGCCUAGUUGAUGUGAGACUAUCUUCUCCUUUUUUGUCUUCUCCACAACCACCAUUCUAUUCCACAUAUAGUGCUAUGUCCAUGGCUCAUGCUCAUGUAUUGCGUGAAAGUUGAAAAAGUUUGAGAUUAUUAAAGUAUGAAACAAUUUCUUGGCUUGUCAUCGGGGUUGUGCAUGAUUAAAUACUUUGUGUGAUGAAGAUAGAGCUUAGCCAGACUACAUGAUUUUGUAGGGAUAACUUUCUUUUGGCCAUGCUAUUUUGAGAAGACAUGAUUACUUGCUUAGUAUGCUUGAAGUAUUUCUAUUUCUUAUAUCAAUAUGAAUUUUUAUUUUGUAUUACUUGGAUAUGAUCAUUCAUGCCACAAUGAAAGAAAAUUACAUUAUGAAUUAUGCUAGGUAGCAUUCCACAUCAAAAAAUUUCUUUUUAUCAUUUACCUACUCAAGGAUGAGCAAGAAUUAAGCUUGGGGAUGCUCGAUACGUCUCCAACGUAUCUAUAAUUUUUGAUUGUUCCGUGCUAUUAUAUUACCUGUUUUGGAUACUUAUGGGCUUUAUUUUACAUAUUUAUAUCAUUUUUGGGACUAACCUACUAACCGGAGGCCCAGCCCAUUUUUUUUGCCUGUUUCAGUAUUUCGAAGAAAAGGAAUAGCAAAUGGAGUCCAAACGGAAUGAAACCUUCAGGAGCGUUAUUUUUGGAACAAAUAUGAUCCGGAGAGCCUGGAGUGCAAGUCAAGAAAGCUCUGAGGGCCCCACGAGAUAGGAGGGCGCACCCCCGUGUCUCAUGGGCCCCUCGGGCGUCCACCGACGUACUUCUUCCUCCUAUAUAUACCUAUGGACCCCGAAAACUUCCGGGGGCACCACGAAACACAAUUUCCACCACCGUAACCUUAUGUAUCCGCGAGAUCCCAUCUUGGAGCCUUCACCGGCACUCUGCCGGAGGUGGAAACGACCACGGAGGGCCUCUACAUCAACAUCCUUUCCCCUCCUAUGAGUUGUGAGUAGUUUACCACAGACCUACGGGUCCAUAGUUAUUAGCUAGAUGGCUUCUUCUCUCUUUUUGGAUCUCAAUACAAUGAUCUCCCCCUCUCUUGUGGAGAUCCAUUCGAUGUAAUCUCUUUUUGCGGUGUGUUUGUCAAGAUCCGAUGAAUUGUGAGUUUAUGUUAAGAUUUAUCUAUGGUUAUUAAUUGAAUAUUCUCUGAAUUCUUUUAUGUAUGAUUGAGUUAUCUUUGCAAGUCUCUUCGAAUUAUCGGUUUGGUUUGGCCUACUAGAUUGAUAUUUCUUGCCAUGGAAGAAGUGCUUAGCAUUGGGUUCAAUCUUGCGGUGUUCUUACCCAGUGACAGAAAGGGUUGCAAGACACGUAUUGUAUUGUUUCCAUCGAGGAUAACAAGAUGGGGUUUAUAUCAUAUUGCAUGAGUUUAUCCCUCUACAUCAUAUCAUCUUGCUUAAUGCCUUACUCCGUUCUUAUGAACUUAAUACUCUAGAUGCAUGCUGGAUAGCAGUUGAUGUGUGGAGUAAUAGUAGUAGAUGCAGGCAGGAGUCGGUCUACUUGUUUUGGAUGUGAUGCCUAUAUACAUGAUCAUGCCUAGAUAACGUCAUAAUUAUUCGCUUUUCUAUCAAUUGCUUGAUAGUAAUUUGUUCACCCACCGUAAUACUUAUGCUCUCGAGAGAAGCCUGUAGUGAAACCUAUGGCCCCCGGGUCUAUCUCUUAUCAUAUUUGCUUUCAAUCUACUUUUAUUUGCAUCUUUACUUUUCUUGCAUCUAUAUUAUAAAAUACCAAAAAUAUAUCUAUCUUAUCAUACUAUCUUUAUUAGAUCUCACUUUUGCAAGUGGCCGUGAAGGGAUUGACAACCCCUUUAUUGCGUUGGUUGCGAGUUCUCAGUUUGUUUGUGUAGGUGCGUGGGACUUUUGAGGAGCCUCCUACUGGAUUGAUACCUUGGUUUUUUAAAUUGAGGGAAAUACUUACGCUACACUUGCUGCAUCAUCCUCUCCUCUAUGGGGAAAACCAACGCUAGCUCAAGACAUAGCAUUGCUUAAGUUGUUCACUUAGAGGCAUCAGCUUUUCGGUUCCAAUGUAUUGGGACCAGAACAACUUCUCCAUUGAGCUCCCCUCUUCAGCAUGAUAGAACUCUGCGGCAUCCAAAAUGCUGCAUGGCAGAUCUACGAAAGCCCCUGGAGAGCUCCGAAUUCGUGUAAGUAACAAAAAUGACUCCUCCACAUGCUUGCUUUGUAUAAAGAAUGCCAUACCCUUCGCUAUCUUCUUGGCCACUUGGAUCUCCUGGAGGGCCUUUUGGGCUUCGGCCUUGGCGUCUGUCGCACUCUGGAGGGCCUUCGCAAUCUCAGACUCUUGCGUCUUGAAGUCAUGCUCCAAGGACUCAAACUUCUUGCUGUACCUCUCCCACCCGAGCGUCUUGCUUCUCGCGCUCGGUGCACUCCGUAGCCGCCUUGGCUUCAGCCGCGGACAUCGCUUUCUUCAGGGCCGCCACUUCGCUCGUGGCUCCUAUCAAAAACCAUGAUGCUUUUUGUUAGCAUCAUUACUUUUUCUCCUCUAUAUGACACACAGACGGGGCUUCUUCUUCACGAGGCCGAGCUCUUCUUCGGCCUGCCAUAGUUCGCGCUUGAGUCCGGCAACCUCAGCCGUGCGUGCAGCGGCAGUCAGCAGCAAUGCCUGUUUGUUCACAAAGACAAGUACUAUUAGCUUCCUAUGGUUUUUUAGUUGACCCUCCGUUUGGCUUUUUCCCCCAAACACCAACCAGAGUAUCAGGGGCUACAUUCUAUCGGGUGAUAUUUCCUCACACUUUUUCGUUACUUACCCUGUUAGUAGGCUGGUGCAGGCUUCGGUCAAUCCGCGCUUGGCGGACCGAACCUUUUCAAUCACCGCACUCAUAAGAGUACGGUGCUCAUCAUCAAUGGAAGCGCCUCGAAGCACUUCCAACAAAUUAUCCGAUGCCUUAGGCUGGGGGGAGGUCAUUGGCACGGCCGGCUCGCUCUCCUUCGCGAGGGUCUGCCUUCUAUAAUCCGGAGCUUUUGGAGGCUCCGGCGUAGUAACCGGCUGGGAGCCAGACUUGUUGUGGCUCCCGUCAGCAUAAUCCAUGGGGGUCUUACCCCCCAUGCGCCCGGCGUCUUGGAUCUCGCCUUGGGGCAUCUCCGGAGCCGUCGCCUCCUGCUUUGGUAUCCUUCGGGACAACACCUCGUUGUCGUCCGCAGGUCGUGGGGAGGUGGCCGUCGGGAGUGAAUUCAUCUCCGACUCGCCCAAAGACUCCUCCGAAGAGGACACCCCGAGAUUGGACCCGGCUGGACUGCAUAUACGUUUUCGGCGUUAUUGAAAGCCAUAAGGUGAAAACCGCACAAAAAAUAUUACAGAAUGCGGAUACUUACGACCUCGCCCGGGGCUUGCCCCUGGGCAGCCACUCCUCGUCGCUAUAAGCAGCGGUUGAGGAGUGAUCUGGAAGGGAUGCCUUUCCCUUCUUCGGUAUCCCGGCCUCCCCCGACGGGGCGGCCUUCCUUUUCUUCUCCUCCCUGGUACGGGGAGGGGGCAUUUUUUCAUGUUUUCCCCCGUCUUCGGGAGGAGGGGGAAUCUUCCUCGUCAUCUUCGGAUGACGAUUGUAUAACGACCUUGCACCGGAGACCUUUUCUGGUCCCCGCGGCCGCCUUCUUGGACCCUUCGGCCCCCUCGGUUGAGGCGGCCUUCCUCUUUCUCUCCUCCCCUUUGUGGGAGGAGUGCGCUUCGUCAUCUUCGGGCGAGGCGUCGGGCGCGGCCUCGCGCCGGAGACCCUUCUGGGUCCCCAUGGCCUUCUUUUCGGCCUUUUUCUCCGGCACCUUGUAAGGCGCUGGAACCAGCAUCUCCGCCAGGAGUGCGUCUACUGGGUCCUCAGGCAAUGGAGCCGGACAGUCAAUCUACUCCGCCGUCUCCACCCAAUCCUGUUUGGUCAGCAUGGUGACUUAAAAAUCCUCCCCCGCAUGUACUAGGAACGGAACAUCUUGUAAUAGUCAGAGAACUUACCGGACUGGCGAGGCGCAUUGCGUUGAGCCCAUGGUCCUCAGAAAGGGGAGGAGGAACUUCGCCGGUCUUGAACAUCACCUUCCAAAUUUCUUUGUGCAUUGUGUCGAAAAGCUCCAGCAGCAUCUGAUGUUCGGCCGGGUCAAACUCCCACAUAUCAAAUGCCCGUCUCUGACAUGGGAGAAUCCGGCGAAUGAGCAUGACCUGGACCAUGUUGAUGAGCUUGAUAUUCUUGUCCCUCAUAUUUCUGAUGCAGGUCUCGAGUACGGUCAGCUCCGUGGGUUCGCCCCAGGCCAGGCCCUUCUUCUCCCAAGAAGUGAACCGCUUGGGGAUUCCGGAUCUGAAUUUGGGGGCCGCCACCCAGUUGGCGUCGCGCGGCUCGGUGAUGUAGAACCACCCUGAUUGCCACCCUUUUAUGGUCUCCAUGAAGGAGCCAUCAAGCCAUGUGACGUUGGGCAUCUUGCCCACCAUGGCGCCUCCGCACUCCGCCUGUUGGCCGCUCACGAUCUUCGGCUUCACGCAAAAGAUUUUCAGCCACAGGCCGAAGUGAAGCUUGAUGCGGAGGAAGGCCUCACACACGACGAUGAACGCCGAGAUGUUGAGGACAAAAUUCGGGGCUAGGUCAUGAAAAUCUAGCCCGUUGUAAUACAUGAGCCUGCGGACAAAUGGGUGGAGUGGAAAUCCUAGUCAGCGGACGAAAUGAGGGAGAAAUACUACUCUCUCCCGAGACUUUUGGGUCGGGGUGUCCCUCUGCUAGAAGCCUAUGCGCGAUGCCCUCGGCUAGUUAUCCGGCCUCCCGAAGCUUGGUAAUGUCCUCCUCCAUGACAAAGGAGGCCAUCCACUUGCCUCCCGCUCCGGACAUGCUGCGGUCUUAUAGAGAAAGUGAGAACUUGGGCGCUGGAGCUCAAGGGUGCGAGGACGGAUGAGCAAAUGAGGAAGAAGGCGUGGGUGAAAAUGGGGGAUCCUUUUCCCUUUAUAAAGGCAAUGCAGGAUGUGCGCCUCCCCACUUGCCUCUCUAAAUCAUUUAUUUUCCAAGCGCUUCGAUUGAUGGUGCUGGUUGGGUCACCCAUACGCGUAUUGAUGGAGAUCCCGUGAUAAGGGGACACGAUCUCUGCUUUGACAAGACGUGCCCGAGAAACCGCCUCGCGAUGUGUGCGGGAGCUGGAUGUAAAAAGCGGUUCGAAUUAUGACCGGACCACGGCGUACUGUCACACUGCGAAGGACUGUCGGCAGAUUAGAUUCGUGGGCUAUUGUUCUCUCUACGGCGGUAUGUGAAGAACCGGACACGGUCCUUGUGUUCGGAAUUUAUCUUGGAGUAUUCGGAGAUGGAACCCGCCUCGCUAUGUCGAAGACAAUCUAUGCGCCGGACUCAUCGUCAUUGAAGCCUGGUUCAAGGGCUACUGAGGGAGUCCUGGAUAUGGGGGUAUCCGGACAGCCGGACUAUAUGCUUUGGCCGGACUGUUAGACUAUGUAGAUACAAGAUUGAAGACUUCGUCCCGUGUCCGGAUGGGACUCUCCUUGGCGUGGAAGGAAAGCUUGGCGAUUCGGAUGUAGAUCUACUUUUCUGUAAACCGACUCUAUGUAACCCUAGCCUCCUCCGGUGUCUAUAUAAACCGGAGGGUUUAGUCCGUAGGACACAACAACUAUCAUACCAUAGGCUAGCUUCUAGGGUUUAGCCUCUCUAAUCUCGUGGUAGAUCAACUCUUGUAAUACUCAUAUCAUCAAGAUCAAUCAAGCAGGAAGUAGGGUAUUACCUCCAUCGAGAGGGCCCGAAUCUGGGUAAACAUCGCGUCCCCAGUCUCCUGUUACCAUUAGCCUUAGACGCAUAGUUCGGGACCCCCUACCCGAGAUCCGCCGGUUUUGACACCGACACCCCCUCCACCCAAGGGUGAUCCCGUGUUUGAGCUCAAACAUUUACCUGAUAAUCUUAAAUAUGCUUAUCUUGAUGAAAAGAAGAUAUAUCCUAUUAUUAUUAGUGCUAACCUUUCAGAGCAAGAAGAGGAAAGAUUAUUGAAAACUCUGAAGAAGCACCGUGCUGCUAUUGGAUAUACUCUGGAUGAUCUUAAGGGCAUUAGUCCCACUCUAUGCCAACAUAAAAUUAAAUUGGAUGAAGGCUCCAAACCAGUUAGAGAUCCUCAAUGACGGUUGUCGGUGUCAAAACCGGCGGAUCUCGGGUAGGGGGUCCCGAACUGUGCGUCUAGGCGGAUGGUAACAGGAGACAAGGGACACGAUGUUUUUACCCAGGUUCAGGCCCUCUCGAUGGAGGUAAAACCCUACUCCUGCUUGAUUAAUAUUGAUGAUAUAGGUAGUACAAGAGUUGAUCUACCACGAGAUCAGAGAGGCUAAACCCUAGAAGCUAGCCUAUGGUAUGAUUAUUGUAUAUCUCUAUCGACUAGCCUGGCCUCGGUUUAUAUAAUGCACCAGAGGCCUAGGAUAACAAGAGUCCUAGCCGAAUACGCCGGUGAGGAAGGAGUCCUUGUCUUGGUCACCAAGUCUUGCGGAAUCUUCCUUGUAUGCGGCAGCUGUCCGGACUGGCCCAUGAGUAUACGACCAUGGGGGUCCUCGGCCCAAUCUAACAGAUUGGGAGAUGACGUGGUGAGUACCCCCUAGUCCAGGACACCGUCAGUAGCCCCCUGAACCGGUCUUCAAGUUUAGGGACGCUCCUCGAUUCUUCCAAACCGUUCUUCAUCUUCAGUUGUCGGUCUUAAAAAUUGGUUCAACAAAUCUUCUCAUCUUCGAUCUUGAGGAUCGCCGAAAUGCAUUCGACGAGUUUACACGUCGGGUAUCCGAGGAGCCCCGUUAAGUUUCCGGCCUUUAUCAAUGCCUUGUUAUUUUUAUGCCACACCUCGGGUUUGAAGUUGUUCCCGGGCGGCAGCGUCCUCUUGCGUCCGAGCUCCAACGCCGGACUGCAUUUGAGGUAUCUUUUGCAGCCAAGCACCAAUGUCGGACCGCUUCCCAGCUCUAACGCCGGAAUGUAUCCAAGCUCCAACGCCGGACUAUGUAUCCGAGCUCCAACGCCGGACUGUAUCCGAGCUCCAACGCUGGACUAUGUAUCCGAGCUCCAACGCCGGACUGUAUCCGAGGUGUCGUAAAUCACCUUGGUUCAAAGAAGUUUGAAGGAGUUUGGCCGAGCUUAAUGCUGGAAAUGCCCUCUAUGGAGCCAGCCGCUAGCGCCUGAGCUUUAGGCCAGACUGCUUCUGAGUUGGUGCACCACCCCGAAUGUGGGCCGAUUUUUGUCAAUAUUUUUGAUUGGUGCAAUUUAUUCUCUGCCGAGAUAUAUAGCCAGUAGCCCUCAAGGUGGGUAUCGGUCUAAAAGCCGAGAUGCACAUGAAGGAUGACAUAAGACCGCUGAUCCCCGUAGCCGCUGAGACUCAGGUUGAUUUGCAAAAUCGGUUUGAGGAUCAAGUCCUAGCUCGCUAGAAUACUUCGGGACACAAAAAGCGGCAUGCUCAGUCCUCAAGACUCAGGUUGGGUGCGGCUGACCAACCUGAGGAUCAAAAUCUCCUCGGAGACUGUAUUACACUUAAAAUUUUCUGCAUUGGACAGGCAAUGCAAUAGCCCCCGAGACACUGGUCGGGUGGCAACACUAGAUCAGGGGAUCGAUGUGGCCCUUUAAUAUUUGUAAAUAAUAAGCCCGAAGCCUAGUAGCCCAGUAGCCCCCGUGGCUUAAUGCGGGCACGUGUGGCCGAAUUAAGGAUUGAUAUCCAUAGUAAAAUCAAAAAUCAUGUGUAAUGACUCUAUGUAUCCAAGUACUUUACGUCAUUAAUGCUCGAAUCCGCAUUGUACAAAACUUUGUUGACCGACCAUCGGCUUCCACCUCCUCGUCCAAUAGCCGAGGAGUGUUUGUCCUACUUUAUAAAGCCUUUAUGAGGGCAAAGAUUUACAACAAACAAGGCAAUCUGGCCAUACGGUUUUAUAAACAAAGGUACGCAGAGAGAUAUGUUAUAUUACUGUUUAACAAAAGAAAUAUCUUCCAAAGAAAAUAGUCCCGCUAUCGGUUCCUUUAUUUGGGUUGUCAUGCUAAGCAUGAUCAUGAAACCUCAGCUCCAACGUAAGAGCAAAAUAUCGAUGAUUUAGUUUGGGAGGCCAGUUAAUAUCCCGUGAUAGUGUUCGGCGAUAGUCGAGGUCAAGCCGUAAACACUUCGGCCAUUGUAUGAAUGGCCCGUCGUUUAACACCGUCAUCGGAUCGCUGACCAGUUUACGCUUAUUAUGACAGUUAGUUUUCGGCUUUCUCCACUGAGGUGCUUAACCAUGUGAGCUGGAAGCACAAUCACAGUGGUUUUCCCUUUGCACACCUAGCCGAACAAAGCGGAACGCAGGAGGCAAGCGCAGGAGCCGGGCAACCCAACUAUUGACCGAAGACAUAAUUCGAAACCGAUGCAUAUAUAGCAAUAUCCUAGAAUGUUUUUGCUGAAUCUCUAAAGGUGUCCGGCGUUGCACUGCGAGACUUUUGCUGCAAACACACAAAUAGUUUAAAAGUGCCAUAAGCUUGGAAAACCAAAAAACGUCAGUAAAAACUUGAUGUCCGAACAAGAUCAAGUGUUCGGUGCCAAUCCGAAAAUUAGCCUUAGCAAAAGAAUUGCUUCUGUCGUGCUUUAACAUGAUACAUCCUAUCUCAAGGCUUCAAGCGGGUCAGCCUACGUAUUCAACCUCCUAUCCCGAGGGCGGAGUACUUCUCAUUAGUCCAGUUUAGCAAACUAAACUCUAGCGGCUUUGAGAGAGAAAUUAGGCUCCCCGGCUAGUGACCACACGAUCGUGUCGAAAAAAGGAGUGAUAGAUAAUAAUAAAAACUUUGCAACGACUAAGAAGACAAACACUUAUUAUAAAACGGCUCAAAUAAAUUUAAGAGCCCCCAAGUGACUUGGGUAAAAUAAUGAUUGCAUGUACCGAAGACUUAUAUCAUAUAUAUGUUCAACCGAACUUUAAACGCGUCUUAACCGACCGUCGGCUCCUCCCUCUUCGGUCAAGGACCGAAAAGUAUUAUGUACUCCAUCUGUCGAGAAUAUCGACGGUGUUUCCAAUAACCAGGCAAUCAGGCCAUAAGGCUGUAACAGACAAAGCACGCUCAGGGAACUUAUGCUAUAUUACUGCGAAGUGUAAGAAGCAUCUUCGAAGAAAAUAGUACCCCCACCGAUACCUUUCUUCGGUGCUCAUUGUUAUUAUGAGACUUGUGCAAUAGAUUUUUUGUACUCAUGAGUUCCGUUGUGUGCCGACCAUCAUUGAAAACUAUAAGAGCGCUAGCUUUCGGCGUCACCCAGUCUGAGGUCCGGCUCGGAUGACCCGAUCCUGACAAUCGCAGAGGUGCUCCCUUUACUCCCUAGCCAAACAAUCGGGAAUGUAGGGGUAAACACAGGAGCGAGGCAACCCAGCUUGCAAAUCGCUUAAGUCAAUAUGGUGCAUAUUGUGGCGUAAUACACGAACAAGGAAUGAAGCCGUACAAGUAUAAUCAUAUGCAAGAGGAAAAGCUUCAUGAGGGAAGCCCCCAAGUAAACGGGGUAUUUGAAUUUGCACGUCACAAACAAAGUUUGGACAAGGAAAUUUUUGCAAGCAACUUUUUUCCAAAAAAGUAUAAUGCUUGGAUGAGCCAAACACAAGUUAAAAAUUUAAAACUUUGAGCAUGAAGGCAACUUAGCUGGUUAAUGUGUUCGGUAUUGAUGACGCGGUCCGAGCUUGAUGCGGGACAAGGUUCCAUCCCCCAAGCCGGUCCCGAGGUGGCGGAGCAAAGAGCUCGGCACUCUGAAGUGGUGACAUAUUCAUGAAGGAAGCUCAAUGUUGGACGACAAGGUUAUGCCGAAGUCCCCGGCAUGGGGUAAUGAAGUGUUGACAAAGCCCCCCGUCCAGCCGAGGUGACGCCAAAGGAUAUAGUCCGACUGGAUCAUUUUCCCGUGCACAAAAAAUAGUGCAAACCGGAGAUAAUAGUAAUAAUAAUAAAAAAUUCAUUGCAUAACAAAUAAUUUAUGCAAAAUGAGUAAUAAAAGAAAUAUGACCUGGCGCCGAAGUCAAUGACGAUGCAGGGCGGCGGCGUGAUGCGGUAAAGGCAUUGCAAGGCCUGAAUUCACAAGCCGGUUCGAGUUCUGGAUGCGGCGUUCGCCAGACUAUGUAUGGAAACUGACCGAACCACCAUGGGACCGUCGUUAAUGCGGCCACCAUUUGAUAGACCUGUGUACAUAUGAUGGACAAAUCAGUGUAAUAAUUCGUUGGGAAAAAUGAACCCAAACAAGCAAAAAAUACUAGGAUUAAUAGCACCUGGCUUAUUUGUUGUAGCAAUCCGAAGAAAGGUGAUUCCCAAAAUUGGGACUCGAUCCGCGCACCUAUCGCCUGAUGGGCGAUAAAGCAACGGCAUGGCGAUGCUGGCAAAGGUUGGCUCGCCGAGGCAAAGCCCUCGGUCCAGCUAAUGUGAUGGAGCUGGUCGGCCAGCGACGCCGAAGUCUCCGGAGUAGGUUGAUAAAGAGAUGAUGAAGCCCCCGGUCCAGCUAACGUGAUGAAGCCUCGGUGUCAGCCAAUGAGUCGAAGUAGGUCGGCGUGAUGGACACCAGCUUGAAAAAGCAACAGUGCGGCCCUGCCGAUGCAGGUCGUGACGUGGUCGAUGCCGGCUUGAUGAAGUGACCGCGCGGCGAUGCACGUGUGCCCACUCUAUGUAAUCCGUGGGGCAGCGAUGUUGGUGAUGAUUUAUCCUUCGCGAUGCCGGACUCUUGUUCGGCUUGCCGAGAUGAUGAUCCAAAAAAGUUGAGCGCAGCUCAACAAAGUGACGAUGUGUCUAGCGCAGGUCGGCAGCCGUGGAGCAAUAUUGCCGGACUGGUUUGACAGCAGCAUGAUGUUGAAGAUCAUGUUCAAAAGAUUUUAAAGUUAGUGGGAUGUGUUUGGGAACAAAACACAAUACCCCAUACAAAACUUUCUUCAAAAAGGAUGUCCGAAAUCCCGUUCGUAAAAAGGAUGAACUCAGGCCGGAUUUGUUUUCGCGUAGAAAACAUAUCCAAAAAGUGAUGCACUAAUCGGAAGGUUCCCGGAGUUUGGACGGUCGGAUCGAGCUGAAAUUUUGAGGGGUGGUAGAUAUAGCAAUUCCGCAGUCGAUCAACGGUCGGAUCUUCCAAAGGAGGUCCGAGCUAGAAGCUGGACACCACGCCCUAAACUCAUCCAUAUUCUCGUCCAGAUUUGACAGGGCUCCGAUAUAUUGUAGAUUGUCGGAGAUUCCUCCAUCAGAACUCGAUGAAAUUUAGCAUGGCUGUUGUAGAUGUAAUUCCGCACUAUUCCACCGAAGCAAUCAUCAAAACUACGCUCGAGGAGGCGGUGACGGCAGAUACAAGUUUGCUGUCCAGAAAAACAGCACGGUCGCCCGAGGGUAAUGUUGAUGUUGAGCCCCCGGGCUCCCUGGGUGAUUCCUCCAUGAUCUUGAUAGAGAUCAGAGCUGAUGUUGAUGAAGGCUCUCAUCCGAACAUGACGAUCUGAGGUAGGGUGCAGUACUUGGUCGAACCAAGGUGACCAAUCGAGCUGGUGACGAAGAUGCCGAAGUCGCAGUUGAUCUGCAGGCGAGCCAUCGACCUUUUGCCGAACACACAGCAGAACUCUCAAUGAAAGCACCAAUGUCGGUGUCAAAACCGGUGGAUCUCGGGUAGGGGGUCCCAAACUGUGCGUCUAGGCGGAUGGUAACAGGAGACAAGGGACACGGUUUUUUUACCCAGGUUCGGGCCCUCUUGAUAGAGGUAAAACCCUACUCCUGCUAGAUUAAUAUUGAUGAUAUGGGUAGUACAAGAGUUGAUCUACCACGAGAUCAGAGAGGCUAAACCCUAGAAGCUAGCCUAUGGUAUGAUUGUUGUAUAUCUCUAUCGACUAGCCUGGCCUCGGUUUAUAUAAUGCACUAGAGGCCUAGGAUAACAAGAGUCCUAGCUGAGUACGCCGGUGGGGGCAGAGUCCUUGUCUUGGUCGCCAAGUCUUGCGGAAUCUUCCUUGUAUGCGGCAGCUGUCCAGACUGGCCCACGAGUAUACAGCCAUGGGGGUCCUCGGCCCAAUCUAACAGAUCGGGAGAUGAUGUGGUGAGUACCCCCUAGUCCAUGACACCGUCAAUGGUUAAAUCCUAAGAUGAGAGAAUUGGUAAGAAAGGAGAUACUAAAGCUCCUUGAGGCAGGUAUAAUUUAUCCCGUUGCUGAUAGUGAUUGGGUAAGUCCUGUCCAUUGUGUCCCUAAGAAGGGAGGUAUUACUGUCGUUCCUAAUGAUAAAGAUGAAUUGAUCCCGCAAAGAAUUAUUACAGGUUAUAGUAUGGUAAUUGAUUUUCGUAAAUUAAAUAAAGCUACUAAGAAAGAUCAUUACCCUUUACCUUUUAUUGAUCAAAUGCUAGAAAGACUAUCCAAACACACACAUUUGUGCUUUCUAGAUGGUUAUUCUGGUUUCUCUCAAAUACCUGUGUCAGCGGAGGAUCAAUCAAAAACUACUUCUACUUUCCCUUUCAGAACUUUUACUUAUAGACGUAUGCCUUUUGGUUUAUGUAAUGCACCUGCUAUCUUCAAAGAUGCAUGAUGGCUAUAUUCUCUAACUUUCGUGAAAAUAUUUGUGAGGUAUUCAUGGAUGAUUUCUCUGUUUAUGGAUCCUCUUUUGAUGAUUGCUUGAGCAACCUUGAUCGAGUUUUGUAGAGAUGUGAAGACAGUAGCCUCGUCUUGAAUUGGGAAAAGUGCCACUUUAUGGUUAAUGAAGGCAUUGUCUUGGGGCAUAAAAUUUCUGAAAGAGGUAUUGAAGUUGAUAAAGCUAAAGUUGAGGCUAUUGAAAAGAUGCCAUGUCCCAAGGACAUUAAAGGUAUAAGAAGUUUCCUUAGUCAUGCCGGUUUUUAUAGGAGAUUCAUUAAGUACUUUUCUAAAAUCUCUAGGCCUCUGACUAAUUUAUUGCAAAAAGAUAUUCCUUUUGUAUUUGAUGAUGAUUGUUAGAAGCAUUUGAGAUACUUAAGAAACCUUUGAUCACUGCACCUAUUGUUCGGCCACCUGAUUGGAAUUUACCCUUUGAAAUUAUGUGUGAUGCUAGUGAUUAUGCUGUAGGUGUUGUUCUAGGGCAAAGAGUUGAUAAAAAAUUAAAUGUUAUCCAGUAUGCUAGUAAAACUCUUGAUACUGCCCAGAGAAAUUAUGCUACUAUUGAAAAAGAAUUCUUAGCGGUUGUAUUUGCAUGUGAUAAGUUCAGACCUUAUAUUGUUGAUUCUAAAGUUACUAUUCACACUGAUCAUGAUGCUAUUAAAUAUCUUAUGAAAAGAAAGAUGCUAAACCUAGACUUAUUAGAUGGGUACUCUUGCUCCAAGAAUUUGAUUUGUAUAUUAUUGAUAGAAAGGGAGCUGAGAAACCUGUUGCAAACAACUUAUCUAGGUUAGAGAACGUUCUUAAUGAUCCACUACCUAUUGAUGAUAGCUUUCCUGAUGAACAAUUAGCGGUCAUUAAUGCUUUGCGUACUGCUCCAUGGUAUGCUGAUUAUGCUCAUUACAUUGUUGCUAAAUUUAUACCACCUAGUUUCACAUACCAGCAAAAGAAAAAGUUCUUUUAUGAUUUAAGACAUUACUUCUGUGAUGACCCACACCUUUAUAAAGAAGGAGUAGAUAGUGUUAUUAGAUGUUGUGUACCUGAGCAUGAACAUGAACAUAUCCUACGCAAGGGUCACUCCAAACCAUAUGGAGGGCACUACGCUAGAGAUAGAACUGCACAUAAGGUAUUGCAAUCCGGUUUUUAUUGGCCUACUCUCUUCAAAGAUGCCCGUAAGUUGGUCUUGUCUUGUGAUGAAUGUCAAAGAAUUGGUAAUAUUAGUAGACGUCAAUAAAUUCCUAUGAAUUAUUCUCUUGUUAUUGAAGCAUUUGAUGUUUGGGGAUUUGAUUAUAUGGGACCUUUUCCUGCCUCCAAUGGAUAUACACAUAUUUUAGUUGCUGUUGAUUACGUUACUAAGUGGGUAGAAGCUAUUCGAACUAGUAGUAUUGAUCAUAACACUAUGCUUAAAUAAGUUAUUUUUCCGACGUUUGGAGUCCCUAGAUAUCUCAUGACUGAUGGUGGUUCACAUUUUAUUCAUGGUGCUUUUCGUAAAAUGCUUGCUAAGUAUGACGUUAAUCAUAGAAUUGCAUAUCCUUAUCACUCAUAGUCUAGUGGUCAAGUAGAAUUGAGCAAUAGAGAGCUCAAAUUAAUUUUGCAAAAGACGGUCAAUAGAUCUUGAAAGAAUUGGUCCAAGAAACUUGAUGAUGCAUUAUGGGCCUACAGAACUGCAUAUAAAAAUCCUAUGGGUAUGUCUCCGUAUAAGAUGGUAUAUGGGAAAGCAUGUCACUUACCUCUCGAACUUGAACAUAAAGCAUAUUGGGCUAUUAAAGAGAUCAACUAUGACUUCAAACUUGCCGGUGAGAAGAGGUUAUUUGAUAUUAUCUCACUUGAUGAGUGGAGAACCCAAGCAUAUGAGAAUGCUAAGCUGUUCAAAGAAAAAGUUAAAAGAUGGCAUGAAAAAAGAAUACAAAAGCGUGAGUUUAACGUAGGUGAUUAUGUGUUGCUAUUCAACUCUUGUUUAAGAUUUUUUGCAGGAAAACUUCUCUCUAAGUGGGAAGGUCCUUACGUUAUUGAGGAGGUCUAUCGUUCUGGUGCCAUAAAAAUCAACAACUUCGAAGGCACAAGUCCGAGUGUGGUGAACGGUCAAAGAAUUAAACAUUAUAUCUCAGGUAAUCCUAUAAAUAUUGAAACUAAUAUUGUUGAAACCGUAUCCACGGAGGAAUACAUAAGGGACACUUUCCAGAACAUUUCAGACUCCGAAAAGGAAUAGGUAUGUGGUACGGUAAGUAAACCGACUCCAAAACAAUUCUAAUGGCAUUUUUUCUCCAUUUUGGAAUAUUUACGAAUUUGGGAAAGCAAGAAGUAAUCCGGGAAGGACACGAGGCCUCCGCGAGGGUGGAGGGAGCCCACCUUUACUAGGCGCGCCCCCUGUCUCAUGGGCACCUCGUGUGCCUCCCGGACUCCAUUUUCUUGCAUGCUACUUCUUUUGGUCAGUAAAAAUUCAUUAUAUAAUCUCCAGAAGGUUUUGACCACCGUAUCACGUAAAAAUCUUCUAUUUUCAUUUCGAGCCGUUUUUCUGACAGAUCUAAAGCAUAAUGACGUCACCCUCCUUCAACAAUGAAGACAAGGAUGCUUGGCUAUUGAAGAUAGAGCUGAAAAGAGAAGGACCUGAGGAGAUCAACAAGGAUGAAGGGAUCAAGAAGGCCAUGGAGGAUCAAGCUUCGGCUGUGGAAGAAGAAAACACCCCCAACCUCUACCUAACCUCUUUACCCCAACUGACAUUGAAGCUUUCAAGAUGAUUGAGUUAGCUCGCAUACAAAACAAGUAUCUCACACAGGAAAAUAUUUUGUUGAUGGAUCAUAUCAUUGCACUCAAGGGCAUUAUCCGCAAGUUGGAAGAGCUUUUACAUUCGAUGUGCGAUUAUCCACCAUCAUCAUCACCACCUUCAUCACCUCCGAGGACAUAACCACAUGGGUAUGGGCACUCCCCUUGGCAACUGCCAAGCUUGGGGGAGGUGCCCCGGUAUUGUAUCACCAUCACACUCCUAUCUUUACCGUUUUUCUUAGUUCGAUCCUUUUAGUAAUAUCUUUAUCUAGUAGAAUAAAGUUUUGGUAUGAAUUAGUUUUGAGUUUUGCUUUGUGAUCCUUCUAUGUAAUCGAGACUGUGGGCUAUAUAAUAAAGAUUAGUGUUGAGUCAAGGGCUUUGCUAUCUUGCUAUGAUCUUGAGAAAUAGAAAGAAUAAAAAGAAUAAAAGAGUUCAUAUUGAUCUUAUGGAUAGUAAUGACUUCACACAUAGAGAGUAUGAUGCUUAAAAGUUGUUGAAAGUUGACAAACAUAGUUUUGGUCAUCGUUGCAAUUAAUAGGAAGUAAUAAAGAAAGAGAGGUUUUCACAUAUAAAUAUACUAUCUUGGACAUCUUUUAUAAUUGUGAGCACUCAUUAAAGUAUGACAUGCUAAAGAGUUGAUGUUGGACAAGGAAGACAACGUAAUGGGUUAUGUUUUCUCACAUCUCAGUUAAAGUAUAUAGUUAUGGAUCAUUCCAACAUGUUGAGCUUGCCUUUCCCCCUCAUGCUAGCCAAAUUCCUUGCACCAAGUAGAGAUACUACUUGUGCUUCCAAAUAUCCUUAAACCCAGUUUUGCCAUGAGAGUCCACCAUACCUACCUAUGGAUUGAGUAAGAUCCUUCAAGUAGGUUGUCAUGAUUGCAAGCAAUAAAAAUUGCUCUCUAAAUAUGUAUGACUUAUUAGAGCGUAGGAGAUCAGCUUUAUAUGAUCGUGUGAUAUGGAAGUAAUAAAAGCGACGAACUGCAUAAUAAGAUAUUGUGCAUCCAACCCUCAAAGCACAUGACAACCUCUGCUUCACUCUGCGAAGGGCCUAUCUUUUACUUUAUGUCUUUUACAUUAUGCAAGAGUCAAGGUGAUCUUCACCUUCCCCUUUUUCAUUUUAUCCUUUGGCAAGCACCUCGUGUUGGGAAGAUCCUGAUAUAUAUAUAUAUAUAUAUAUCCAAUUGGAUGUAAGUUAGCAUGAACUAUUAUUGUUGACAUCACCCAAAGGUGAAUAUGUUGGGAGGCGAAAUUAUAAGCCCCUAUCUUUCUUAGUGUCUGAUUAAAACUCCAUAACCAUAAGUAUUGCAUGAGUGUUAGCAAUUGUGGAAGACUAUAUGAUAGAUGAGUAUGUGGACUUGCUGAAAAGCUCUAUUCUUGACUCUUUCCAAUGUUAUGAUAAAUUGCAAUUGCUUCAAUGACUGAGAUUAUGGUUUGUUAGUUCUCAAUGAAGUUUCUGAACCAUACUUGACAUUGUGAAUAGAUUGUUACUUGAGCAUAAGAAAUUAUAUGACAAAAUCUAUAUAUGUUGCUGUUAUAAGAAUGAUCAUGAUGACCUCAUGUCCAUAUUAUAUUUUUAUUGACAGCUCUAUGUCUAAACAUGUGGACAUAUUUUUUGUUAUCGGCUUCCGCUUGAGGACAAGCAAGGUCUAAGCUUGGGGGAGUUGAUAUGUCCAUUUUGCAUCAUGAUUUUAUAUCAAUAUUUAUUGCACUAUGGGAUGUUAUUACACGUUAUGUCACAAUACUUAUGGCUAUUCUCUCUUAUUUUACAACGUUUUUCAUGAAGAGGGAUAAUGCCGACAGCUCAGAUUCUGGCUGGAAAAGGAGCAAAUAUCGGAAACCUAUUCUGCACAGCUCCAAAAGUCCUGAAACUCCACGGAAGUCAUUUUUGGAAUUAAUAAGAAUUAUUGAGCAAAGAAAGUACCAGAGGGGGACCACACCCUGGCCACGAGGGUGGGGGCCUCCCCCUACUGGGCGUGCCCCCCUAUCUCGCGGGCCCCUUGUUAGCCCUCCGGUUCCCAUCUUCUGCUAUAUGAAGUCUCUUACCCUGGAAAAAAUCAUAAGCAAGCUUACAGGACGAAACUCCGCCACCACAAGGCGGAACCAAUCUAGGGCUCCGGCGGAGCUGUUCUGCCGGUGAAACUUCCCUCCGGGAGGGGGAAAUCAUCACCAUCGUCACCACCAACGAUCCUCUAAUCGGGAGGGGGUCAAUCUCCAUCAACAUCUUCACCAGCACCAUCUCCUCUCAAAACCCUAGUUCAUCUCUUGUAUCCAAUCUUGUAUCAAAACCACAAAUUGGUACCUGUGGGUUGCUAGUGGUGUUGAUUACUCCUUGUAGUUGAUGCUAAUUGGUUUACUUGGUGGAAGAUCAUAUGUUCAGAUCCUUAAUGCAUAUUAGUACUUCUCUGAUCAUGAACAUGAAUAUACUUUGUGAGUAGUUACGUUUGUUCCUGAGGACAUGGGUGAAGUCUUGCUAUUAGUAGUCAUGUGAAUUUGGUAUUCGUUCGAUAUUUUGAUGAGAUGUAUGUUGUCUCUCCUCUAGUGGUGUUAUGUGAACGUCGACUACAUGACACUUCACCAUUAUUUGGGCCUAGAGGAAGGCAUUGGGAAGUAAUAAGUAGAUGAUGGGUUUCUAGAGUGACAUAAGCUUAAACCCUAGUUUGCGUUGCUUCGUAAGGGGCUGAUUUGGAUCCACUAGUUUCAUGCUAUGGUUAGGUUUACCUUAAUACUUCUUUUGUAGUUGCGGAUGCUUAAAAUAGGGGUUAAUCAUAAGUGGGAUGCUUGUCCAAGAAAGGGCAGUACCCAAGCACCGGUCCACCCACAUAUCAAAUUAUCAAAGUAACGAACGCGAAUCAUAUGAGCAUGAUGAUAACUAGCUUGACGAUAAUUCCCAUGUGUCCUCGGGAGCGCUUUUCUCAUCAUAAGAAAUUGUCCAGGCUUUUCCUUUGCUACAGAAAGGAUUGGGCCACCUAGCUGCACCUUAUUUACUUUCAUUGCUUGUUACCCGUUACAAAUUAUCUUAUCACAAAACUAUUUGUUACCUACAAUUUCAGUGCUUGCAGAGAAUACCUUACUGAAAACCGGUUGUCAUUUCCUUCUGCUCCUCGUUGGGUUGGACACUCUUACUUAUCUAAAGGACUACGAUAGAUCCCCUAUACUUGUGGGUCAUCAUGCGGCCAUGCUCUUUCCUAUACUCCAGCUUGGUGCAUCCAGGUAGAAAUCAAUAGGCUCUGUUGUUGGCGCAAAGGUCAUCCCAGGUAUCCAUACUUUGAUCUUCUAGCGCUCCUCUUCCGGUACAGAGGUGGAGAAAGUGCCUGUGAAGCUUGGUAAUUCGAUGUUCAAAUACUUAGUGACUUCCUUCAAGUGCUUUCCGAAAGGGGUGUCGCCAUCCGGUUGAGUGAACUUGUUCCUGGGAUUCACCAUCUAUAGAGUAGAAAGCAAGGAGAAUUAGAAACGAGUAGAGAAAAGAAAUCAUGUGGCUCAUUCUAGUGGUCACAUCCUGCAGUCAGCGUGUGCUCUAAUACCAUCUUGUAGUGACCAGACCGCAAACGGUCAAGUCUCUGUGCAUCAGUGUCAUCCCUGGAAUGGUAAUGCUGACACACACAGUACUUGAGGAAUUAUAACAGAGUCUCAAUCACACUUAUUACAUCGAGUCCUCAUAAAGAGUAUGAUUACAAAAAUAUAAUGGCUGAAAGCCAUCUAAACUAGAUAACUUCGGAAGCUUCAAAGGUAAAUGAGUCCAUCAACUCCAACGGCAUAGCUGAGUGCAAAACUGCAACCUAUCGCACCUUAUUCGUCGUCUUAGUAGUCUGCAACAUAAGACGUUACAGCCUGAAACGGGUCAACACAUGGAAUAUGCUGGCAUAGUUACUCUGUAAAGCAAUGAAAUGCAAUAACUAUAUCUACAUGCAAUAUUUUGCUGGUGGAGGCUGUAAGUUUCAUGAUUUUGCAUAAAGCUAGUGUUUCCCUACAACAAAGGAAUACAUUUAUUUAACUACUCCCAUGUUGCCCAUUAUUUGAGAAGGUAACCCCAACUCAAAUCCCAAUUAAAAGUAUCAUCAUUAACCCAACUCAAUUUAAUUAAAGUAACGUGAUGAGAUCACAUCAAUAAAUUCAAGUACUAGAUACUCAAACGUCCAUAACCAGGGACACGGCAAACCAUGAUUAGUUUAUACACUAGACAGAGGUUUGCGCACUUCUCCCUACAAGACUCGCCCGCAUCCAUGAUCGGAUGAUCGAGACAUAGCCUUUCUGAAGCAUUAACUCUCUACUCCGGGUAGACAGUACCACCUAGGACCCUCUACAUCUACUAGUCUACCUCUUCAAGAGCUCACGCAACUUACUCAACUAUGCCAGAGCCCAUAAUGGCUUGUGGCUGCACACGGAAGUUUCUAGCAUGAAUAAUCUUAUGAUCCCUUUGAGCCUGGGUGGCAUUCCAUAGGAUAAUCACACGGAUACCCCGGGAUUUCCAAAAAUAGGCAACACUUGGUUCCCCAGGUGCCCCAACCAAUCCACCCAGAUAUGUAUUAAAGUUGCCACCUUAAUGUUAUCCAUAAUUAAAAUAACUCUCAAACUUCCAUGUGUGAAUCACGAUCCAAUCCCCAUCUACGAGCAUGGCUAAGAAAUAAUAAGCAUAAUGUAUAUUCAAGGGGUGAUCAAAAGGUAUUAGGUUCCUACCUCAAGCACUACAACCAAAACCACAUGUUCCCAAUCCUACUAAAUGCAAAUAUUUUUUGAGCAAUACUAAUGCAUAGUAAAAACUGGGUAUAAAAGAGUAUGAUCAAAGUGUAACUUGCCUUGCUAACGAUUUGCAAACUCUAGAGAUUCGUAGUAACAAGCUUCGCACUCCGGGUAAUCUAUCGUGGACAAACAAUAGCAUACAUAAGCAAUCACUCAAACAAAACACGAGAGAAACUGAGAAAAGAUCCAAAUCGAACAUGAAACAAGAAAAUGGCUUAAACUAGCAAGAGUCAAAACCUAACAGCAAUAUUAACAUGUGAAUUAGAUCUUAACAGUAGAUAUAUGUGACUAGCUACGAUUCGCAAAAAGAUUUAACUCAAAUGGAGCAACGCAACUCAAAAUACGAACGAAACAAGAUCGUUUACUAAUCUGGACUAAAGUCAAAUUUUACAGUAGCAAAAUCAUUUUCAAGUUGGUUAUCCAGAAAGAACAGAACAAAACGAAGAUUUUGGCGCUGGUUUCAUCUAAUUUGGAUAAACAAUUAAAAAGUUAUGCUAGUUUAAAGACGAGAGGCUAAAUCACGAUAAAAAUAUUCGCGGAUAAGUCCCUGGCCGAAAAUAAACUGAAAAGAAAAAGACUACCGAAUGAACGUUCGCUGACUGAACUAAUCCGACAAAUAAAGUUCGUUAAAACGAACGAACGGACGAACAUCCGCUAAAUAAAAUAACCGAACGAAUAAUUGAUCUAAAACAAAACCGCAAAAACCUAAAAAAUCCAGGCGGUCCGGUUCGUACCGGCUCAGGAAAAACUGUAGGCGGCGGCGGGGUCAAUGGCGGCUGCAGCGGCUGACGGCGGCGAAGCGGGGUGGUGGGUCCAGCGUCGCGGGGCGCUGGUGGCGGUGGCUAGAAGUGGCAGCGGCAUGCGGCGGCGACGGCACGCAGCGUGAGCGGCGGCGGGGCGGUNNNNNNNNNNNNNNNNNNNNNNNNNNNNNNNNNNNNNNNNNNNNNNNNNNNNNNNNNNNNNNNNNNNNNNNNNNNNNNNNNNNNNNNNNNNNNNNNNNNNNNNNNNNNNNNNNNNNNNNNNNNNNNNNNNNNNNNNNNNNNNNNNNNNNNNNNNNNNNNNNNNNNNNNNNNNNNNNNNNNNNNNNNNNNNNNNNNNNNNNNNNNNNNNNNNNNNNNNNNNNNNNNNNNNNNNNNNNNNNNNNNNNNNNNNNNNNNNNNNNNNNNNNNNNNNNNNNNNNNNNNNNNNNNNNNNNNNNNNNNNNNNNNNNNNNNNNNNNNNCCGGGAGAGGGAGGGGGGGGGGGCGACGACAGCUUGCGGGAUGGGGCAGCUAGGUCAGAGUGAGAGAGGACUUCGGCUCGGCCACGGCGGCGAUGUCGGUGGCGGCGGCGCGGGCCGGCUUGGCUGGGCCAUUGGCCCAAUCGGGCGAAGGAACUUUUUUUUAAAAUAAAUUCGCCCAAAGAAAAAAUUUCCUAAUAAAAUAUAAAAAAUCUAGAAAAUGCCAAAAACAAUUUUCACCAUCUUAUUAAAAUAUUUAGAACAAACUCAACAUUUUUCUGGCAUAAAAUGCAAUUUUCAAAAAUGUUUAUUAUUCUAAUUGAAAUAAAAUAGCAGAUAAAAAUACAAAUAAAAUCAUAAUUUGAUUUUGAAAUUCUUUCUCCAAUAUUUCUCUUAAUUUUGAAGAAGUCAUAUUAUCUCUCUAAGUUAAUUUUAAUAAUGGAAAUAAUUGGAGAGAAAAAUAAUAAAAAUCAAAUUGACCCAUUCUUCAAUUUUGAAAUGAAUGCAAAUAUGAUUUUUGUGAAACCUACAUCUCUCUCCUUGGGUCCUUGAGUUGCUUAAGAUUUCUAGGAUCUCAACAAAAUGCAAGAAUAUGAUAUGCACAUGAUGACCUAUGUAUGACAUCCAAAUUGAAAAUUGGGAUGUUACAUUUCCCAAGUUCGGGCCACCUUGCGGUGUAAAACCUACUCCUGCUUCGUGGUGGAUUUCCUUGGUAGGAGGAUGAGUAUGAAUUAGUACAUGUGUGAGCUGCCUCCGGAGGGCUCAAUGGCAGAAUGAUUCAAUAUUUCUCCAUGGUGGAGACUAACCUAUAUUUAUAGUGGCCUUGGUCCUCUUCCCUCAUAGCUUAGGCGGGAAGGGAAAUCACAACGGCCAAUUUUGAAGGGGGACAGGAGUACACCCUAUCUUGAGUAAAGGUGGUCUUCGCCUGCAAAUCUUCUGGUCAUGACGUAGUGGUGGGCUCGGUGAUGACCUUCGUCCUACCGAGCCCGCGGUCUUGGUAUUGUUGCGCUGGAAUAAAACCUUUGGGGGAUUCCUUGGGAACCCGUGUACGUCCUUGCCUACUUAGCUCCAAAGAGGAAACUGCACCGUAUUUUUCCCGCUGGCGCCCUGCUGGCCUUGGUUGUCAUGGCUCACGUCACCGUGCGCCUCGCGAGGUGAGGUGAUUGCCUAGAGAUAUCUGCUCCACGGGAGGUGUCCUCAGGUGGUCGCUCCUUGGGAGAUCUUGAUGUCGAUCGCCUCGCGGGGUGGGGGGCCUCGUAAGGGUCUUUGCUUGUUCGUGAGCUCCUGCUGCUUGGCCGCGCCGGGCCAUGUUGAGGCCACGCGCUAGGCCACGGGCAGAAGGGUCUGGGUACCCUUGGUCCCAGAACGCUGACACCAGCACCCGGGCCCAUGGCACGCUCGGCAUAGCUUUGAGGCCAAGGCAGAGAGGGGAGGGCGAAGCGACGCGGGCCCUAACUGCCUAAGGGUCAGGCUUGACGCAUGGGACACGACGGGCCACAGACACCCCACUUACCCAUGUCGCGUCGAUAAUUGCCCGGGCUAACAAAAAGCUGGCGCUUGUGCAGCGAGGCCAACCUUGCUCGAAGGUGGAGGGGCACCGGUUGGCCCUCUCUGAUCUCCUAUAAGAAGGCGAAGGGGCUGAACCGCUAACCAUCUCUGUCUUCUUGUCGACUCACCUCCAGUCCUUGUCGCGGUAGCCGUGGCGCCUGUGAGGAGGUUCACUACCGCCGAGAAGGGCAAGGCUCCGAAGGAGGGACCGGAGCCGCCGCAGCCCAAGACGGGGCACGACCUUCCCCACAAGUCCGCUGCUACACGUGCAGUGUCAUCUCGGUGUCGUGGGCGCCCUCCAUUGGUGGUCUGCAUUGGCUCCGGCAGCCGUGCAAAGAGACCCACUCACGAAAGCGGUUGUGGAGGCCAUGGCGGUCAUGGCUAUGGGGGGAAUGGGGCGGCCGCCCGUCCUCCCUGACCACAGUCCCACUCCGCCGACAAGGCCUGCAAGUUCGUCAUGUGGAUGGAGAGUCCACCCCGCACCUGGCUCCAUCGCGCGCUCCUUCGUGACGGAGCUGGCAGCGGACAGGCCCAUUGAGUUAUGGCUGCAGCCCUCCGGCUGCUACAACAAGUCCUCAUGGGCGGUGGUCGAAGUCACUCCCUCCGGCUAUGUUUACAUGACUCGGGGGUGACAGUCGUUCGCCUGUUCCUGUGGCCUGGAGGGAAGGCACACCCUCCAUUUUAGGUUUGACAGGGUGGUGACGCUCUUUGUCAAGAUCUUCGAGGAGGCCGGCGGAUGCUUGUGAUGCUGCCCGGAGGGCGACAGCAGCGGCAACGACCAACCUCCUGUAAUGACGACAGCGUGCGGAGGUGGCGGCGACGUCCGCGGCAGUGAACUUGCACCUGGCGACGGCCGCGGCACCUCCUCCGGGGACAGCGGAAGGGACAAGACUACGACGAGCCGCGACGCCACCGCAUCAAGCUGGAGGAUGACUCUGACUAGGCGCCCGUGCGGUCGGAGCUGGCGCUUCAGGAGCUACGACCCUCGGGAGGCCGUUUCUUUUGCGCUUUUUUUAUUUCCUGCAUUGAAACCAUCAAGGGCCCCAUGGGGUCGUGUAAGGAACCAUGUCACUUGCACCUAUAUCUUUAAUGCUUUCCACUUGUGUUUUGAGUUGUGUUGGCGUAUUUCGUUUGGCCUCGAGUCCCUUUUCCUUUGCGAUAACUUAGUGCUCUGCAUCAUCGGGACCCAGUCCCCAGGAAAACUUCUAACAUCACUGGUAUGCCAGGUCGUGAUGCCGUGUGCAAGGCCAGGAGGUCAGCGGCCCGAGGUCCGGUAAGAGCUCCUGAGGCGCGAUGCUCGGGAGGUCCCCCUUGACGCGCAAGAGGCUUUUGAGAGAAAAUGGGGUUUUCGUCCGUGCAAGAUCGCAAAAACGAAAGUGAGGCGUGAAUGGUAAGGCUCGCACCAGGCCGUUGAUACAUCCAUUUUGCAUCAUGCUUUUAUAUCAAUAUUUAUUGCAUUAUGGGCUGUUAUUAUAUGUUAUGUCACAAUACUUAUGCCUAUUCUCUCUUAUUUUACAAGGUUUAUCAUGAAGAGGGAGAAUGCCGGCAACUGGGAUUCUGGCUGGAAAAGGAGAAAAUAUUGGAAACCUAUUCCGCACAGCUCCAAAAAUCCUGAAACUCCACGAAAGUCAUUUUUGGAAUUAAUAAGAAUUACUGAGCAAAGAAAAUACCAGAGGGGGCCCACACCCUGGCCAGUAGGGUGGCGGGCGCGCCCCCCUACUGGGCGCGCCCCUGGUCUCCUAGGCCCCCUAUUGGCCCUCCGGUGCCUAUAUUCUGCUAUAUGAAGGCUUUUACCCUGGAAAAAAUCAUAAGCAAGCUUACGGGACGAAACUCCACCGCCAUGAGGCGGAACCAAUCUAGGACUCCGGCGGAGCUGUUUUGCUGGGGGAAACUUCCCUCCGGAGGGGAAAAUCAUCACCAUCGUCAUCACCAACGAUCCUCUCAUCCGGAGGGGGUCAAUAUCCAUCAACAUCUUCACCAGCACCAUCUCCUCUCAAAACCCUAGUUCAUCUCUUGUAUCCAAUCUUGUAUCAAAACCACAAAUUGGUACCUGUGGGUUGCUAGUAGUGUUGAUUACUCCUUGUAGUUGAUGCUAAUUGGUUUACUUGGUGGAAUAUCAUAUGUUUAGAUCCUUAAUGCAUAUUAAUACUCCUAUGAUCAUGAACAUGAAUAUGCUUUGUGAGUAGUUACUUUUGUUCCUGAGGACAUGGCUGAAGUCUUGCUAUUAGUAGUCAUGUGAAUUUUGUAUUCAUUUGAUAUUUUGAUGAGAUGUAUGUUGUCUCUCCUCUAGUGGUGUUAUGUGAACGUCGACUACAUGACACUUCACCAUUAUUUGGGCCUAGAGGAAGGUAUUGGGAAGUAAUAAGUAGAUGAUGGGUUGCUAGAGUGACAGAAGCUUAAACCCUAGUUUAUGCGUUUCUUCGUAAGGGCUGAUUUGGAUCCACUAGUUUCAUGCUAUGGUUAGGUUUACCUUAAUACUUCUUUUGUAGUUGCGGAUGCUUGCAAUAGGGGAUAAUCAUAAGUGGGAUGCUUGUCCAAGAGAGGGCAAUACCCAAGCACCGGUCCACCCACAUAUCAAAUUAUCAAAGUACCGAACGUGAAUCAUAUGAAUGUGAUGAAAACUAGCUUGACGAUAAUUCCCAUGUGUCCUCGGGAGCGCUUUUCUGAUUAUAAGAAAUUGUCCAGGCUUGUCCUUUGCUACAAAAAGGAUCAGGCCACCUUGCUGCACUUUAUUUACUUUCAUUGCUUGUUACCCAUUAGAAAUUAUCUUAUCACAAAACUAUCUGUUACCUACAAUUUCAGUGCUUGCAGAGAAUACCUUACUGAAAACCGCUUGUCAUUUCAUUCUGAUCCUCGUUGGGUUCGACACUCUUACUUAUCGAAAGGACUAUGAUAGAUCCCCUAUACUUGUGGGUCAUCAGGCGCGUAGAAGGUGACUUAGCUUAGGGUGGUCGUAGCUCGCGAAGGAUUCCUGCGUCAUGAGGGCAAGCUUCCUUGGAGCUUUGAUCCUCUGUACGCUUCAUCUCAAGCGAUGCCCGCGCUGCAGGACCGCGCCCCUCUUCCCGUGCUCCCUCGCGAGGUUUACCCAUUGUUUCCUCGCUCCCCAAGGUGCUCUACGUCCUCAGGACCCGGCCCUCGAGUGGAGCUCAGCCGCCACUGGUAUAGCAGGUCGUGAUUCCUGGGACAAGGCCAGGGGAUGAGGGCCUAAUAGCUAGUAGGGGUUCCUGAGUCAUGAUGCUCAGGAGCCACCCUUUUAACGUGCAAGUGGCUCGUGGGAAAAGGAGUGGUUUGCCUCACUGGGAUUGCAAGGGAAAGGGACUUUGGCCAGCAAAACGUGGCAGCUCAAGUGAUUUUACUUAGCCUGUAACAGGUCAAACCGCCACCUGAUUAAGGCGGAUCCUCCUGAGGCGGCAGGGCAUCAUGGAGGAGCUACUCGAACGCAUGUCUCCCAAGGUUCCCGCGCAUUUGAUAGAUAACGAAAUACAAGGGCCGACACGUGCUUGCUGGUCUGCUCAUGAUUGUUCCAUGAGAAGAUGAAGGCACUAAGGACCUGGUGAGGUGACGUGCACGGGGCUGGCCCGUGAGCCAGAGCUCAGUCGCUUAGAUUUAUAAGUGCUGUUGGGACGGACCCAAGCAUAGGCGCCGUGCCAGUAGCCCUAUGAUAGCCUGGUUUUUGCCGCCUCUUCUUUGCCCGAUUUUCAGUUGGUUUGAAUUUGAGUUUGGAGUUUUUGAAUCCUUUCAUUGGACUUAACCAAUUGGGUACCCCUUGACUUUCACCCAAGUGCUUCAUCUCCCUCUCAAACCAUCACUCCAUCUCUGGUUCACCUCAUAAUAUCAUUUAGAAUAUUUUUCUUGAAUGAAAAAUAUUCAUUUUCCCUCCUAAACCCUAGCUAUCUCAAUGUGCUCCAAAGCAACCCGAAUUUUUCUUGCCCAUAAAAUCCUGAGAAAAAAUCCAAUUAUUCUUUGAACCCUAGGGCACCUUUCUGAGAAAAAAUAUAUUUCAUCACUUUUGGAAUAUUUUGGCUAUAGAAAAUAUUUUCAUUUCUGGACAGAAAUGGUAGUUUCUUCAGCAACUACCAUUUUACUUGCUCCAUUGUAGCUGGUUUUUCUUGUGCUUCUUCACCUUAGUAAAUGUUGGUUAGCCUCCAAAGCCCAACCCUCAACUCCCAGUGGUUUGACCACAAUAAAAUCUCAAAGUUACUGUCCAGAAACUUACUUGGAGUGUAAAUUCAUUUCUACUACACCUGAAACCCAACCCAAGUGUGGUAACAGACAAAUCUACCAUGGACUACAUGCCAGACAUGAAGUUUGGGCUUACGUUGGCUUGAGGUCAUAGUUCACGCGGUGACUGUGUUUGUCCAGGCAUGCUGGCAUGCAAAACACGUGCUCUGAGUGCCGCCGAGCGCUCUGUUGCGCGCGUUGAGGGAGUCCCGGAUUAGGGGGUGUCCGGAUAGCCGGACUACCAUCAUCGGCCGAACUAUCAUCGGCCGGACUAUCAUCAUCAUCGACCGGACUCCAAGACUAUGAAGAUACAAGAUUGAAGACUUCGUCCCGUGUCCGGAUGGGACUUUCCUUGGCGUGGAAGACAAGCUUGGCGAUACGGAUACGUAGAUCUCCUACUAUUGUAACCGACUCUAUGUAACCCUAGCCCUCUCCGGUGUCUAUAUAAACCGGAUGGCUCUAGUCUGUAGGACCGAACAACAACAACCAUUACAAUCAUACCAUAGGCUAGCUUCUAGGGUUUAGCCUCCUUAAUCUCGUGGUAGAUCCACUCUUGUAAACAUCCACAAUAUCAAUAUCAAUUAAGCAGGACGUAGGGUUUUACCUCCAUCAAGAGGGACCGAACCUGGGUAAAACAUCAUGUCCCUUGUCUCCUGUUACCAUCCGCCUAGACGCACAGUUCGGGACCCCCUACCCGAGAUCCGCCGGUUUUGACACCGACACGCGUGCUCGCUGCUUUGCCUGCCCGAUCGUGCCAAACCGCGCCACCAUCAUCGUCUCUACUCAAUUAACUCCGCCCUGGCACUCGCCAUAGUGCGCGGCGCACUGUGCUCGUCGUCUUCCUCUCGCCCCUGUGCUCGUCCCCGUCCGCCAACAAUCCCCGCGUGAGCUACGUCUUCUUCCCCGUCUCUCACUGACGCUGUUCGCCGGGCGCCACGGGCAGGUGUCUAACGGCAGGGCCCGAACCCCGCUAGCUGCUCGCCAAUAAAUACGGCCACCCCCCAGCCUCCUCGAGCACCCUCAUCCACUACCACACACUCCACAAGCACGUAGAAAGCCGUAGCCGGCCGGGCAGGCCGCGGGCUGCCGUCCCCGAGCUCGAGCUCGCCGGCGAUCCCCUCGGGUCGUCCCCACAGCUCCAGCCCCUCCCGGGCCGUGGCAACCCUUCCAGGGCCUCCGCCACUCUCCGGUGGUGUUGUUCCGCCCAGUUGGAGCCCCUGGAGUCGCCCCUAGUUGCCGUCGUCUUCGUCUCUACGACCGCUGCUCUCUGCCUCCGCUGGAGAGGCUGUUUCCAGCACCGUCCGACCACCCCUAGCCACUCUACGGGUACGGGCAGGUGCGCCUCCGUCUCCUCUCUCGACCCCUCCCUCUCGUUUUGGCCCAAGAGCCCUCGCCGCCGGCAUGCACUCUGGCGAAGCCUCGCCGCUCCUUGUUUCCUCCUCCCCUCCACCUCACCUGACUAGCGGGGCCCGCUAGUCAGCCACUCUAUACGCGCGCAAAGCAGUACGAGUGGUGGCGCCCUGGGCUUUUACGCCUACGAUGUCACACCCCCCAGUCUGUUUAUUUUUAAUUCAAAUUUCAUUUAAAUCCAGAGAACUUCAAACGGCCAAAACUUUUUAACCAUAAGUCCAAAUGAUUUGGUUCUUUUUGCAUUGUGUUCUUUAUCAAAAAAUCUAGCAGCUCACCAAGAUAGGGUUUUCCCCUGCUGUCUAGAUUUUCUGGUGAAUUUUAGAAGGUUUCUUGAUGAUUUCUUUUUGUGUUUUUAAAUAUUUUCAGAAGGCCAGGCUUGUCUUGAGGAUCACCAGGAGGAUUGUGAACCUCAUCUGCACUAAGGCAAGCCACAGAAACAUUUUCAUAGUGCGACUACAAUAUUUGUUAUUUUCUACUUGAACAAAUGAUUAUCCAUGCUUUUAAAUUAUUAAUAUGUUAAUUAUAUUCUGUUAGAUGCUUGUUAAAGUGAAUAUGCUUGAUUUACAGAAAGCUUGAAGUGAACUUACUUGGUAAACUAGCAAGGAUUUAGUUUUUGGGUGAUGAAAGAAUAAUAUGGCUAUGGAUAUGAAUAAUUAGUGGAAUUAUUUUCUUGCAUGAGUAAAAAUGAUAAAUUUGCUAGAAAAGGUUCUGGUUGAAGUGAGGCUCGAUCUUAACCAGAGAAGCAUCAUGAGUUGUUGAUGCUCAGUGUGAGCAUAGUUGACUUAGUCAUUUCCGUUGAUAUGUGAUGCAUAUGUUGGUGAUGCAUGCCAUGGCAUUAUGACGCUGGUUAUUUUCACUUUAAGUUGAACCUGAUAAUAACUCAACUUGAAUAUGUUGUUGACCGGGUCAUGGUGCCGCUGAAUCGAGUCUUUCCCAGUGCAACCACAUUUGCCGGUAUGGGAUGGACUUCAUUCGUUUGAUUGUCAUGCCUCUGGUCGGUGCGUCCAACUAGGGAAGGUUAUGGGCGUGUUGUACCCUGGCCCGGUAAGCAGGCAUAACCUUGUGUGCCCGUUGUUAAGUUUUUGGUACCGGGUCCUCGUGUGGGAUCAUUUGGCCACAACGGUGGUCGUUGUGUCUUUGGUAGACACAGGGCCACCCAGGACUAGCCCGAUGGGGAGUGAGUCAGAGUGGCUGGGAGAGUGUCAUGGCAAUGGAGGGGUUUCUUCGGAAUGCCAUUGGUCCACCCAAAUGGGAGUGCGAGGCCAUGGGUUCCAUCAUGUGGGUCCAGUGCGCUACCUCUGUAGAGUGUAUUAAUCUAUCGAUAGCUGAGUCCACGGUUAAGGACACGCUCGAAAGUACGUCACACCAUGGGUCAACAUUUAAUGAAUUUUGCACACUAAGUAUGAAGUUUGCAUUGUGUUGGUGGCGGGAAGGCCAUUGUGUUGAUUUGGACCAGAUGUUGGUCGUCGUUGUGAUCGCCGUAAGGAUCACGAGCCAAAUAUUGGUGGUGGUUGUGAUCGCCGUAAGGAUCACGGGCCAAAUAUUUGUCGUGGUUGUGAUCGCUGUAAGGAUCACGGUUUGGGGCCAAUUAUUGGUCAUGGUUGUGAUCACCGGAAGGAUCACGAGAUGUCUCUGGGUUGGCACGUUUGUGAUCCAGGAACAAUCACGUUUGGUAAGCCAGUCCGAGGGACGAUUAUCACAAGAGCAUGGUCACAUCAUGUUGAAUAUAUUGUUGCAUGGUUAUAAAUUGGUUAAUUGUCAUGAUAUUAUUUCUCAUUAUGUUUAUGCUUGUUGUGAUCUUGCAAGUACAUUCAAUGUACUGACAUGGCGUGUCAUGCCAGAUUUCAGGAAAGUCCCGUUGGAAAGGAGUGCUGUCCGAGUCUAGAUUGUGUCCACAUCGAUGUCCUUGUGCUAUGGAGUUCCGCUACAACGUUGUUCCGCUGCCGCGUAGUUAUUAGGAUCGAGGCCCCUUUAUGUUCACUAAAUAAUUUACAUAUUGUUUAGCCGCACUGCGUGUGCCGCUUGGCCUCGCCAACUGUUGUAAUAUAAACUUUGAUCCGCUAGCAUCAAUAAAGCGGUUGUUUUCUGUACCAAGUUGUUGUGUGUUGCCAGAAGACAAGGUCUCUGGGCUGGCAAUGCAUGGUAAACCGGUUGCUCUAAGCCGGGGUGCCAGAAUGCUUGGUAUUAGAGCCGCGCUAACUGUAGGCCAUGCUAGACUACGGCGAGUUAACCGGAUGCUAGAUACGAGUUGUAGUUGAGUGCCGGUAGCAUUUGUAGCUGGUUGUUUCAUUGCAUGCACUGAAUUUAUUUUUAUGCUAACCUGCUAAUGGUUGUGAGUGUAGAUGGCUCUGGUGCCGUAUCCGUGCCAGUUACAGCUGAUACCGUACACGUCGUUGCAUCUCCUUCGCAACGUGUGGCAUCGGCUGUACCCCCUCGGUGACGACCCAGCCUAUCGUGUGUACCGGGAGCGUCUAGCUGACUCAGUGUAUGAGUAUCAUGCCGUGGUUACUUUGCGCACCAGUUUCGAUUCCAGCACUUACACUCGUACCUCUCGGAGCGGUUACGCUUCUACCGCUUCUCAGGCUGUCCAGUUUGCUGCAUUCGAGGUACUUGUUGAGCUUCACUACAACGAGGUUUGGAUGCAGAAUCACCUAGGUUUCUACUACUAUCCUUCUCUACAUGAUAAUGGUCGUGUCCGUUUCCCUAUCAUUGAUCCAGAGUCUGAUAGUGUUGCUAGCCACCUUUCUCGUUAUAUCACUGCUAGCUAUCUUAUGAUCUACGAGCUGGCUCAAGAGCUAACUCGUGCCCGUACUGCUCUAGCGUCUGCUAGAUCAGUCACUACUCCAGCUUCUGUGGGAUUUACUCCUUAUAUUCCCGCCAAUUCUAGUUCCCCUGUUUCACCGGUUACUCCUCCAAGUAGCUCGGGCACCGCGACCGUGAGUCCACUCAGUGCUCCUGUUGAGUGGUUUCACUUCUCGCCACUUCCGUAGCCCCGAUGCUUCACCCUCCACCUACCCCAAAGGGAGAACCCUCGAGGCAGCGUCGUCGUGUCACCUUUAACCCAGAGGUCUCAGUUAACCAUGUCAGUUCAGGAUCCGAGUCCGCUUCAGGAGAGGACCCCCAGCACUAGCAUAGCAGUAGAGUUUCCGAGUAUCCGCAGUCGUCAGUAUGGUGUACGGAUGUAGUCGUACGAGCCAUGAUGUUUCGUUUCUUGUAUGAGAUUAGCUGAACCUAGCAUGUUGUUAUCUUUCAUGUAUGAGUCUAUGUAUAAUUAUGUUGGAACUCUAUUUUAUUCACCGUAUUUUCUUUGUCAUUUCGGUUUUUCUUGGGCUUUUGUUGCUGGCUUUCCCCCAAUUUAUUUUGAAUGCUUCUCAUCUCGGUUCCGUUGCCUUGGGAAAAAUCAUAAUAGGAUGACGCGGGGAGGCAGCAGUAGCAACGUUCGCAUGGGUUCUGUUGUCCGUCGUACCGCACGACAAGCAGGACACUCACCUGAGCCGUACGUUCCACCACCGCCUCCACCGCCAAAUCCGCCUUCCACCGAGAAAAUUCUGCGUAUGUUUGAGGAAAGGCGGAAUAAUGAUCUGAUUGAAAUAUUAAGAAGUGUUCAAGUUGUGGUUGGACAGAAUGGGAAUCAGCCCGGUCAUCACUCCAAGCUGUCCGAUUUUCAAAGGACGAAGCCUCCCUGUUCAGUCAGGCUAUUGAUCCCUUGGAUGCAGAUGAUUGGUUGAGACCCAUGGAGAAGAAGCUUGAGAUUGCUCGUAUUGAAUGAGAUAAGGUUCCAUUUGCAACUCAUUAUCUUGAAGGCGCUACUGCCAUAUGGUGGGCGAAUGAAAAAGCCAUGUGGUGUGCUGAUGAAGAAGUCACCUUGUCAAGAUUCAAGGAACGAUUCCAAAAAUAUCACAUCCCUACGAGUGAUGGGGGUUGGGUGUGACAUAUGCCAAAGGAUGGCUUAUCAUGGUGGAAGCGAGUAGAACGUCACCGGUGCCUGGAAGCGGGAUGAGGCGUAGACACGAAAGCCGGCACACUUUACCCAUGUUUGGGGCUCUCCUAGGAGAUAACACCCCUAGUCCUGCUCUGUGGGGUCUCCGCAUGACCACUAAGGCACAAGUGAUUCAAUGGUGCUCCUUGAGCGGUAUGCUAGAGGUAGAAGGAGGCAGGGCUAGCUAGCUCUCUUCUUCCUCUAGGGUGGAGUCUAGUUAUAACAGGUUGGGAACCCUUCGCAUGGGUGCCCUGGGGUUUAUAUAGGCCUACCCCCAGGGGUACAAUGGUAAUCUGGACGGGUGUUGGACCCGGCUAUUAGUGUCUCUGAUCGCCGGCUUCUCCGCCGGCUGCUGGGGCCCGCCGCCUGGCAGGCUCCGCUGAAUGGUCUGGUACGGAGCCGACAAGCCGCUCCUACCGCUUGCGGGUCUGGUGGGUGUCUGGUCGCUGUAGCCGUGACGCUAAUGAUGCAGGCUUGGUCAGUGGAGCGUGGCUACAGUCCUGCCGCCUGGUGGGAGAUCACUAUAGCCACACCAUGUCUUAUCUGGUUAAUGGUGCACGUGCCUCAAGGGAGGAACUGUCCGCCUGCUGGAGGCCGGCCUCCCUAAGGUCUGGCUGGUCUAGCCUCCGUCAUCUUUCGGGCUCUCACUACCUAGUAGAGCCCGCCGCUUGGAGGCCGUACUGACAGGCCGUCGUGGGAGCAGGGCUCCGCCUGUCAAGAGUGACGUGGAGGGGGAGUGGCAACAGUGUCGCGCCGUGCGGAGAUCUCUGCCUGUAUGGGGCAUUGUAGCCAUGCCAAGCCCAGGAUUUGGGGAUGAGGUACUACACUGUAGCCUCACUCUGUCUUGUCCUCUUGAUAAAGGGCACAAACUCUGAGGGUGCGGGGAGGCCAUCUGCUAGGACUGACCAUUCUUGGUGUUGUCUGCUGGUGGGUGGCCGCCUUCGGGCAGCCGUCCAUUGAGCUAGCCGGCCACUGGAAGGCAGUGCUUCAUUCUGAGGUCUCGUGGGGCGAAGCCAGCCCAAAGUCUUGAAAUGCUCAGGGACUCGGGUGAGACUAACCGUGGCCCAUUACUCUGACAGUAGUCCCUGAAGUUGGUGGGGCGUCGUGGUCGAUGGGCCAUGAAGUCCAAGCAUCUCCCCCUCUCGUCGCGCUCUGAUCGAACGCUCGACCCGUCUUGUGACGCGCCGACUGCCGGAGUUGACCUGACAAGGCGGGCUCGUCCGCCAAUUUCGAACUCCAAGGCGGGAAACAGAUGGCGUCCCUGCUAAGCUUCCCCAGGCCUGCCGCCCUCCACGAGCACGCCACGCGGCGCACGUCAGCCUGGCCAGCCUGCCAUCCCAUGCUCCUAAUGGGAUGUGACAGUGGGCCGGGCCCGCCACUACUGGGCACCGGCACACGGGCGGAUCCGCUGCGGCCGAGGCAAGCGGUUGCGAUUCCCGCAAGAGUUACUGCGCAUUAACUCUGCGCAAUAAUCGGGGGGUCGUGGGGUCAUGGGCGCAAUUAAUCCCACGAUCCAAUGUCCUGCCCCCUCGGCUUCACAACCCGAGGGCUAUAAAUGGGGGGAGGCAGGGGAGCGGCGGAGCACGCGCACCCUCCUCCCCACACUUUCUUCCUCCUCUCUCUCUCUGCUGCUGCUGCUUAGCGCCCGCCGUAGUGCCGCCGCAGCUUGCCAUUGUCGAGCUCUUGCUCCACACACAGCUCCGCUCGAUCACCAUGGCGCGCGAGAAGGGUGGGGAUUGGGACGGUUCGACAGUGAUCGAGGAUCACCUUACCUUUCUCCGGGCCACGCACAGGAUGCCCAAUGCGGCAUUCGUCAAGGUGCGGGUGCCGCCGCGGGAGGAGAUCUUGCCGGCGCCGCAGGGGGACGAGUGGGUCGUCUUCCGAUCGCACUUGUUCAGGGACUUCAACCACAUCCAGCCGCACCACAUGACGCCCAACAUCGUGACGCUGUUGUCCGCCUUCGUCACGGUGUGCGAUGGCUACCUCGGCAUCCUCCCCACCAUCGAGCGGUGGGGAGCUUUCUUCUACGGCAAGCUGGGCACCUCCGCCAAGGAGACGGCGGCCGAGUGUGGCGCCUACGUCGUCGUGCGCUAGCGGGCGAAGAGGAACGCCUUCCCGGUCAUCAAGCUGUCACAGUCGGUGAAACUGUGGCAGCAAUCCUACUUCUACGUUGAGAACAUCGACCCGGCAGUCGACUUCCUCAAUCAUCCGGCCUACGAGGCUGGCUCCCCUGUUGGCCUUUGGCCCAACUGGGGCUACAAGCCGAAGCCUGUGUCGGCGGACGCGGCUGCCGCCAUCUGCCGGCUCCGGGUGCUUCAGGAGUCGGAGGGUCUCGUGGUGUCUGACCUGCUGAUCGCCUUCAUCGAGCGCCGGGUUCUCUCGCUCGAAGGCCGCCCUCAUCUGAUCUGUCGGAUGAGUGGGCACCACGACCCGAGCAGGAUGUGCAUGAAGGAGAUGCCGACUACCGAGGUGGCGAGGAUGGUGAACGACAUCUCCGACCUCAAGGUGUCGGAGGGAGCCUGGCGGUUCGGAAGCGGCCGUACUCCCGCGACGACCCGCUGCCUGCCGUAAGUUUUUUCUUUUUAGUUCUUGCUUUAGUCUUGGUCUUGGUAUGAAGUGGCUCCUUCUCUGGAGUGCAUAUUUAUAUGUCUGCGGUGACGGCGGCCAUCGUGGGGCCGGGUGGUGACUACCAGCCGGACCGGGAGGUGAGCGACAAGAUCGACCCCAACUUGGGGGCGGCUGCCUUGGAGGAUGACGCUAUAGGCGGCGGCGACGGAGCAGGCGGCUCCGAAGAAGGGGGCGGCAUGGAGACCUUGCCCACCGACGACGACGAUGAAGAUGAGUCGCGCCCUGCCCGGAGCACCGCUAACACUGGCGUAGGCCCCUCCGCCGUACCGUUUGCUCGAGGCGGCAAGCGCAAGCAGAAACAGGGCGCCACCCUGUUCGGCAGCGCGCCGAAGAAGCCCAAGAACCCGGCCGCGGCGACCAGGCGGAAAGAGGCCGCGACGAAGGUGGCCAAGUACCAGAGGCAACCAAAGGUACCGAUCAUGGUGUCAGUGUAAGUAUUUCUCUUAUGCUUCCACUUUCUUGCCGAUCUGGCCUAAAAACUUCUUUAUCUUUCUUUCUUAUCUCAGGGCCCUCCUCGCCCUUGAAAAGUCGGCCACCACCUUGGUCAUAAGGUCGGCGGAGACCUCCACCACCACCCGGCGAAUCGAUCCAGCCACCGACCUCCGGGAGGCGCAGGAGCGAAACACGUGGGGGGUUGCGUGAGGAGCAGGAAGCCGCCCAGCUGGAGAAGGCAGAGGCUGACAAGGCGGCGACAUUCGUGGCGAGGAAGCUGGCGUAGGCGGAGGCUGAUGCUGCGACGAAGGAUCGUCUUGCGGAGGCCGCGCACCGCCAUGAGCCGCUGCUCGUGGCUCCCCUGAAUUCCGCGCCCCCUCUGCCAGAGUUUGUGGCGACGACCGGGGGAGCCGGCGAUGAUCAGCCGAUCAUGGAGAGGGAAGGAGGCGACGUUGCCAUGCCGGGCGUCAUCGUGCAUCUGCCACCGUCGACCGGCGGAGCACAACACAGGCAGCCGGCUGGCUAGCCGGUGCCGCCAGCUGGGAUCGAGGUGGUGACGGGCCCAACUCCUGAGGCCCACUGAUACGUCUCCGUCAUAUCUAUAAUUUUUGAUUGUUUCAUGCCAAUAUUGUUCAACUUUCAUACACUUUUGGCAACUUUUUAUAUUAUUUUUGGGACUAACAUAUUGAUCAAGUGCCCAGUGCUAGUUCCUGUCUGUUGCAUGUUUUAUGUUUCACAGAAAACCAAUAUCAAACGGAAUCCAAACGGGAUAGAAACGGACGGAGAAUUAUUUUGGAAUAGUUGGGAUUUUCCGGAGGAAGAAUCAAGGCGAAACAGUGUCCGAGGUGGCCACGAGACAAGGGGGCGCGCCCCCUACCCUUGGGCGCUCCCUGGGCGCUCGUGGGCCACCCAUAAGGCGGUUGAGGCCCUUCUUUUGCCGCAAGGAAGCUAAUUUUACAAGAAAAAUCUGGGCGAAAGAUUUACCCCAAUCGGAGUUACGGAUCUCCAGAUAUAAAGGAAACGGUGAAGGGGUAGAAUCAGGGAACGCAGAAACAGAGAGAUAGAUCCAAUCUCGGAGGGGCUCUCGCCCCUCCCACACCAUGGGAGCCAAGGAACAGAUAGGAAACCCUUCUCCCAUCUAGGGAGGAGGUCAAAGGAAGAAGAAUAAGAAGGGUACCCCUCUCCCCCUUGCUUCCGGUGGCACCGGAGCGCUGCCGGGGGCCAUCAUCAUCACCGCGAUCUUCACCAACACCGCCGCCAUCUUCACCAACAUCUCUACCAACUCUUCCUCCCUCUAUGCAGCGGUGUAACCUCUCUCUUAUCCGCUGUAAUCUCUACUUAAACAUGAUGUUCAACGCUAUAUAUUAUUCCCCAAUGAUGUAUGGCUAUCUUAUGAUGUUUGAGUAGAUCCGUUUUGUCCUAUGGGUUAAUUGAUGAUUGUGAUUGGUUUGAGUUGCAUGUUUUAUUAUUGGUGCUGUCCUAUUUUGCCCUCCGUGUCGCGCAAGCAUGAGGGAUCCCCGUUGCAGGUUUGCAGUAUGUUUAUGAUUUGCUUAUGGCGGGUGGCGUGAGUGAACAGAAGCACAGACCCGAGUAAGUAGGUUGUUUGCGUAUGGGAUAAAAGGGGACUUGAUACUUUAAUGCUAUGGUUGGGUUUUACCUUAAUGAAUAUUUAGUAGUUGCGGAUGCUUUCUAGAGUUCCAAUCAUAAGUGCAUAGAAUUCCAUGUAAGGGAUGAUAUGUUAGCCUAUGCCUCUCCCUCAAAUAGAAUUGCAACAGUGAUUACUGGUCUAGUUAUCGAUUGCCUUGGACAAAUAACUUCCUCGUAACAAAAAGCUCUCUACUAAUAUUUACUUUGUUGCUUCUUUAUUUAAACAACCCCUAGCUUUUAUUUACAUGCUCUUUAUUAUCUUGCAAACCUAUCCUAUCACACCUACAAAGUACUUCUAGUUUCAUACUUGUUCUAGGUAAAGCGAACGCCAAGCGUGCGUAGAGUUGUAUCGGUGGUCGAUAGAACUUGAGGGAAUAUUUAUUCUACCUUUAGAUCGUCGUUGGGUUCGACACUCUUACUUAUUGAAAACUGUUGCGAUCCCCUACACUUGUGGGUAUUCACCCACAGACCCGCGCGCCACCGUGUUGCGAAGGCGUUCUCGGCGCCGUGACCACUGGAGGCCGGUGCCGCGAGCUCGUCGGUCCCGGACACCGAGGCGACUAGUGCCGCGCCCACUGGCUGAGUGUGUGGAGGCGGGACGGGAGCCUUGAACGAGGCGGCCUUGGAUGGCCAGGCCAAGCUUCGGGCCGAAGCCGACGCCCUCAAGCGGUGCAACGAGGCAUUUCUGAACUCGCCAGCAGUCAUCCGAGUAAACUUCUCUCUUGUUCGUUUUUGAUCUUCUUGUUUCUUGGUGGGGGCACGCCAGCGCACCCACUGGGUGUAGUCCCCAAGUUUCGGGCCGGCUGCUGAGCAGGCGGUCCGGAACUUUAACUUGCAAGCAUCAAACGCUAACUUCUUCUGACAACCUUAUUGCGGGAUUCCCACAAUCUUCGCGCGACCACCUUCAACUCCGGAGUCCGGGAGCUAGAGAAGCAGACCGCCAACUUGUCCAAGAGCCGGAGUAAGUCUUGUCUUCCUUUCUCCGCGGGGGCGCGCUGGCGCACCCGCGGGCUGUAGUCCCCGAGAUUUGGGCCAACAGCUGAGCAGUCAGGCCGGAUCUUCCUAGCAACCGUAUUUCUUUUGUUGACUGUUGAUAACUUCUUUCUCUGCGGGGGCGCGAUAGAGCACCCGCGGGCUGUAGUCCCCGAGAUUCGGGCUGAUUGCUGAGCAGUUGGGCCGGAUCUCCUCGGCAACUGCAUCUCUUACUUGCUAAGUGUUGUUGUUCUUUCUUCUUUUUUCUUUGUAGAAGCCAACGCCGCCUUGCAGCAGCAGCUGGGCGAAGCCAACACCGCGCUUCGUGAUAAGGAGGCGGAGUGCAGCAAGCUGGCCGAGGAGCGUGACCGACUGGUCACGCAGCUCGUGGAGUAGACGGAGCAUCUCAAGACGGCUCAGAAGGAGGCGAAGAUGAAGGAGACCAACCUCCUUGCUGAGUUCGAGAUCGAGCGCUCCGCUUGGGCCGACAAGGAGGCGUAGCUGAUUGCGUGCUUCAGCAGCAUUGAGGACUUCAUCGCCGGUAGGCCUCUUCUUUUUUAUUUCUUUCUUUGAGUCGCCGGCCCUUAUCCAGGCCUACUGUUGGCUUCUGACAUCUAACUUUCUUGCCCUUCAUUCAAACAGACUUGUUCCCAGGCCACUCCAUCGCCGCGAACCAGGCCAUCGAGGCUCAACGCCAGGAGCGGAGGGCUGAAGGCAUGCAGAUUGCCGCCGACGCCCCCCGGACCCUUAGCGAGCAACUCCUCAGCAUCCAGGGCCGCCUGCGAUCAGCCCAUGAGAUGUUGCGCUGUCUUCAGCAUGUCGGGGCCCAGGCGAUCUCCACCCUCUGGCCGGGCAUGCAGGCUCCGCGCACUCCCAGUCAGACUGUCGACUGGCUGGAGGUGGCGGCCGGCCGCGUGGAGGCCUGGAAGGGCUCCUCGGCCCGGGAUGGAGCGCGCCGAGCCCUGGAGUUCGUUAAGGCAUGGUACCCUGGGCUAGAUCUAGCCCAGCUGACCACGUUUCGACUGGAGGCGCAGGAGGAGCUAGUGGCAGUGGAAGGCGACCUUGUCAGUAGGGCGGCGGCGAUCACCGACUACACCGACACCAGCGUCUUCAUCCCGAAGGUAGUUGAAGAGGGCGCCGAGGUGCCGCUGGAGUGGCUCAGGCUGAACCCGGAGGACAGCGAGGAAUCGACUGAGAUAAUCGACUCCAACAACAAAGGGGAGGAGGGGGAGGAUGAGGAAUGCGAGGAUGACGCGCCGGAGGUCGGAGCGGAUGGCCAGCCUCAACCUGACCGCGCCUCGAGCAACGACCCGCGCUCAAGUGCGCCGACUGCUGCUGAAGGCAACCAGGCGGAGACCGACCAACCGCCUGUUCCACCGACUAGCGCCGCCGACUCUGCUGUCCAGUCGUCCACCGCUCCGACCGAUGCCACCGACUCCGCCAUCCAGUCAGGACCUUCUACUGCCCCAACCGGCGCCACUGACUCCACCUUCCAGCCGGAACCCUCUGUUGCCCCUUAGGGCGUUGUCUUUAUUUUUCUGCUCAUUAGUCUCGAAAAACUUUUAUUAAAUUUGCACAAUUCCACUCGCAGGCUGUAUAUCAAACUCUGUUGAAUGCUGGCGAGUGGGCCUUUUGCUAUGUAAAUAUCCCUUGUCGCCAAUUAUGCUUUGUUUGUCGGCUUCUGAUUUUCCUUGCUUUCUGCUCCUUGCUUUUUUCCUUUGCCGCCCUCCCUUGGCUACCCUCUUGCCAGCCAAACAGCCGCUCUGCCGACUAUAGCCAGGUUGAGUAAUUAGCUAUUUAUGGGAGGGCAAGUACUUAGCCGCUUGGAGUGUUGGCAAGGUAAGCAUAAGCCGGCCGGCCGGCUGCUCGGCAGCCGGCUGAAAAGGCGGGAUGCCGGCCUCAGCUAUAUGCGCAAUUUUCCUUAGCCAUUUUUCAUGUGGGCAUUGUUUUGCAACCCCUGCCUGCCGUACAGUCGCUCUGCAAGCUGCGGCUUCUGACAGGGGAAGUUUUUUGGUGCCGACACACUACUUGUCCGACUACAGGAGGCGGCAUAUAGCAGAAGGCGGCUAGCCUCCGGGCCGUCUGGUCGAACCUGGUGCUAGGCGGAAUAAUAAAACAACACGCUCAUAGGCAUAACACUUAUCAUAUAGAUAAAAGAGGGUAGUCCCCGAGCUCUUCUUAGGGGACCCGGAGUCGUCGUACUUAAUACAAAGGAUAGCGUGAUACAUACUGCUUUUAACUGUAAAAUCUUCGGAGAAGAUUUGUGUUCCAUGGCCUUUCCAUCUCCUUGCCUGAGUCAUCACUUUUGCGUGCUCUGGGCUUCUGAGCAUCGAUCAGGUAGUAGGAACCGUUGCCCAUCACUUUGCUGACAAUGAAAGGUCCUUCCCAAGGUGCCGAGAGCUUGUGCUGGCCGCCUGUUCGCUGGAUCAGCCGGAGCACAAGGUCUCCCUCUUGGAAGGAUCUUGGCUUCACCUUGCGGCUGUAGUAUCGGCACAGACUUUGCUGGUAGAUGGCAGAUCGGCUGAGUGCCAACAGCCGGCCCUCUUCCAUCAGGUCGACGCCGUCUUCUCGUGCCUCCUUGGCGUCUGCCUUGGUGUACAUGGUGACUCGUGGGGAGUCGAACUCUAUGUCCGUCGGGAUGACGGCUUCAGCGCCGUAGACGAGGAAGAAGGGCAUGAAGCCAGUCGACUUGUUUGGAGUUGUGCGCAGGCUCCAGAGGACGGCCGACAGCUCAUCGAGCCAACAGCCAGCCGAAUGUUCUAGAGGCUCGACCAGUCGGGGUUUGAUGCCUGACAGAAUGAGGCCGUUUGCUCGCUCCACUUGGUCGUUUGACUGCGGAUGAGCAACGAACGCUAAGUCCAGUCGGAUGCCCUGUGUCGCGCAGAAAUGAGCCAAGGCUCCUUUGGCAAAGUUUGUGCCGUUGUCGGUGAUGAUGUUGUGUGGUAUGCCAAACCCAGUGGUGAUGUCGGCGAUGAAAGUCAUGACAGUUGGCCCAUUCAGCUUCUUGAUUGGCUUUGCUUGUAUCCAGUUGGUGAACUUGUCCACAGCGAUAAGAAAAUGAGUCAUGCCACCACGGGUUGUCUUGAAUGGCCCCACAAUGUCCAGCCCCCAAACGGCAAAGGGCCAGGAAAUGGGGAUGGUCUUGAGCGCAGAAGCCAGCAAGUGUGGCUUGGAGCGGAACUUCUGGCACCCUUUACACUUCUGGACCAACUCCUUGGCAUUUUCUAGAGCAGUCGGCCAGAAAAAACUGUGGUGGAAAGCUUUGGUAACAAGGGAUCUUGAAGCCUCGUGGUGACCACAUUCACCUUGGUGGAUAUCUUUGAGGAUUGCUUGAACCUAGUCCGGCUCUACGCAGCGCUGGUACACACCAGGGACACUGCACCGCACCAGCUCCUUGUUGACUAUGGUGUAUGCUGCUACCCGCCGUUGCACUUGUCGGGGUAGGAUCUCGUCAGUCGGCAGCUCUUUAUUCACCAGAAAGUUGAGGAUGGGUUGAGCCCAUGAAGGUGUUGCUAUUUCUUCGAUUGCCACGACUGCAACUUGUACAAGGGCAGUUGGGCCUGGAGGUGGCGGGUUGAAGUUGGCUACCGCCUGUUGAGCUGAAGAAGUCCCCGGGCCGACUGCUGCAGCCCCCGGGCCGGGUUCUGAAGUCCCCAGGCCAGGUGCCACGGCUGUAGUCCCCGGGCCGUUUGUCGAGGUCCCCGUGCCGGAUUCUGGGGCCCUCAAGUUGGAUCUGACUGCUUCAGGAGGGGCCGACACGAAUAUGGAGUCGGAAUCUGGUGACGGCUUGACAGAUGGCUUGAGGAGGCGCUGUAGGGCGACACCGGCUGGUAUUGCUUGCCGGGUGGAGCCGAUCCGUGCCAGGGCAUCUGCUUGCUCGUUGUCAUUUCUUGGCACAUGGAGGAACUCGCACCCGUCAAAAUAUCCACUGAGUUGUUGUACGAGGAAGCAGUAGCUCGCCAUAUUUGCAUCUUUGGCAUCCCAGUCGCCUGACGACUGCUGGACCACUAAGUCGGAGUCACCAUAGCACAGGAUCCGGCGAAUGCCGAGUUCCAUGGCAAGACGGAGCCCGUGUUUGAGUGCCUCGUAUUCAACUACGUUGUUGGAGGCGGCAAAGUGGAUUUGCAGCACAUAUCUGAGCUUGUCGCCUUUGGGAGAGGUGAGGACGAUGCCUACUACGUCUUGAGCUUGCGUUGGUUUUCUUUGAAGAGGAAAGGGUGAUGCAGCAUAGUAGCGUAAGUAUUUCCCUCAGUUUUUCAGAACCAAGGUAUCAAUCCAGUAGGAGGCUCCUCACAAGUCCCACGAACCUACACAAACAAACAAAUAACUCGCAACCAACGCGAUAAAGGGGUUGUCAAUCCCUUCACGUCCACUUGCGAAAGUGAGAUCUGAUAGAGAUAAUAUGAUAAGAUAAAUAUAUUUUUGGUAUUUUAUAAUAUAGAUGCAGAAAAUAAAGAUGCAAAUAAAAGUAGAUUGAAAGCUUAUAUGAUAAAGUAUAGACCCAGGGGCCAUAGGUUUCACUAGAGGCUUCUCUCAAGAUAGCAUAAGUAUUACGGUGGGUGAACAAAUUACUGUCGACCAAUUGAUAGAAAAGCGAAUAAUUAUGAGAUUAUCUAGGCAUGAUCAUGUAUAUAGGCAUUACGUCCGUGACAAGUAGACCGACUCCUGCCUGCAUCUACUACUAUUACUCCACACAUCGACCGCUAUCCAUCAUGCAUCUAGAGUAUUACUUUCAUAAGAACAAAGUAACGCAUUAAGAAAGAUGACAUGAUGUAGAGGGAUAAACUCAAGCAAUAUGAUAUAUACCCCAUCUUUUUAUCCUCGAUGGCAACAAUGCAAUACGUGCCUUGCAACCCUUUCUGUCACUGGGUAAGGACACCGCAAGAUUGAACCCAAAGCUAAGAACUUCUCCCAUGGCAAGAAAGAUCAAUCUAGUAGGCGAAACCAAACUGAUAAUUCAAAGAGACUUGCAAAGAUAACUCAAUCAUACAUAAAAGAAUUCAGAGAAGAUUCAAAUAUUAUUCAUAGAAACUUUAUCAUAAACCCACAGUUCAUCGGAUCUUGACAAACACACCGCAAAAAGAGAUUACAUCGAAUAUAUCUCCACAAGAGAGGGGGAGAACAUUGUAUUGAGAUCCAAAAAGAGAGGAGAAACCAUCUAGCCAAUAACUAUGGACCCGAAGGUAUGUGGUAAACUACUCACAACUCAUUGGAAGGGCUAUGGUGUUGAUGUAGAAGCCCUCCAUGGUGGAUUCCCCCUCCGGCAGAACGCCGGCGAUGGCUCCAUGAUGGGAUCUCGUGGAUACAAAAGGUUACGGUGGUGGAAAUAUUUCUUCGGUGGCUCCCUAGAUGUUUUCAGGGUAUGUAGGCUUAUAUAGGAGGAAGAAGUACGUCGAUGGCCGCCUGAGGGGCCCAUGAGACAGGGGGCGCGCCCUGUAGGGGUGGGUGCGCCCCCAUCCUCAUUGCUGCCUCGGCUGCUUCUUGACUUGCACUCCAAGUCCUCUGGAUCAUGUUCGUUCCAAAAAUCACGCUCCCGAAGAUUUCAUUCCGUUUGGACUCCGUUUGAUAUUCCUUUUCUUCGAAAUACUAAAAUAGGCAAAAAAACAGCAAUAUGGGCUGGGCCUCUGGUUAGUAAGUUAGUCCCAAAAAUGAUAUAAAUGUGUAAAAUAAAGCCCAUGGACAUCCAAAACAUGUAAUAUAAUAGCAUGGAACAAUCAAAAAUUAUAGAUACGUUGGAGACGUAUCAAGCAUCCCCAGCUUAAUUCCUGCUCGUCCUCAAGUAGGUAAAUGAUAAAAACAGAAUUUUUGAUGUGGAAUGCUACCUAGCAUAAUUCUGAAGCUAAUUUCUCUUUAUUGUGGCAUGAAUGUUCAGAUCCAGGUGAUUCAAAAUAAAAGUUCAUAUUGACAAAAGAAAUAGCAAUACUUAAAGCAUACUAAUAAAAGCAAUCAUGUCUUCUCAAAAUAACAUGGCUAAAGAAAGUUCAUCCCUACAAAAUCAUAUAGUUAGUCUAUGCUUCAUUUUCGUCACACAAAGAUGUACCCAACUUCUAUACCCCCGAUGACAAGAUAAGCAAUUGUUUCGUACUUAAAUAAUCUUUUUCAACCUUCAUGCAAUACAUGAGCGUGAGCCAUGGAUAUAGCACUAUGGGUGGAAUAGAAUAAUGAUUGGGGAUUGUGUGGAGAAGACAAAAAGGAGAAAGUUUCACAUUGACGAGGAUAAUCAAGGGGCUAUGGGAAUGCCCAUCAAUUGAUGUCAACAUGAGGAGUAGGGAUUGCCAUGCAACGGAUGCACUACAGCUAUAAAUGAAGGAAAUCUCAACAAAAGAAAACUAGUGGGUCUGCAUCCAACUUGCUUGCUCACGAAGACCUAGGGUAUUUGAGGAAGCCCAUCAUAGGAAUAUACAAGCCAAGUUCUAUAAUGAAAAAUUCCCACUAGUAUAUGAAAGUGACAACCUAUGAGACUCUCUACAUGAAAACAUGAUGCUACUUUGAAGCACAAUAUAUGAGACUCACUACAUGUAGAACAAGGUGCUACUUUGAAGCACAAGUGUGGAAAAAGAGAUAGUAGCAUUGCCCCUUUAUUUAUUUUACUUUUUUUUCUUUGGCCUUUUUUUGGCCUUUCUUUUUUCUUUUUGGGCAAUGCGCUAAUAAUGAUGAUCAUUACACUUUUAUUGAUUACAACACAUGAAUUACAACUCAAAACUAGAACAAGAUAUGACUCUAUAUGAAUGCCUCCGGUGGUGUACCAGGAUGUUGCAAUGAAUCAAGAGUGACAUGUAUAAAAAAUCAUGCAUGGUGGCUUUGCCACAAAUACGAUGUCAACUACAUGAUCAUGCAAUGGCAAUAUGACAAAAGUAAUGUAUGUCAUGAUGAUGAUGAACGGAACGGUGGAAAGUUGCAUGGCAAUAUAUCUCGGAAUGGUUAUGGAAAUGCCAUAAAUAGGUAGGUAUGGUGGCUGUUUUGAGGAAUAUAUAAGGAGGUUUAUGUGUGAUAGAGCGUAUCAUAUCAUGGGGUUUGGAUGCACCGGCGAAGUUUGCACCAACUCUCAAGAUGAGAAAGGGCAAUGCACGGUACCGAAGAGGCUAGCAAUGAUGGAAAGGUAAAAGUGUGUAUAAUCCAUGGACUCAACAUUAGUCAUAAGAAUUCAUAUACUUAUUGCAAAAAUGUACAAGUCAUCAAAAACCAAGCACUACGCGCAUGCUCCUAGGGGGAUAGAUUGGUAAGAAAAGACCAUCGCUCGUCCCCGACCUGCCACUCAUAAGGAUGCACAAGCCACGUACACUUCAUGCUUCAAAUUUGUUACACAACUUUAACCAUACGUGCAUGCUACGGGACUUGCUAACUUCAACACAAGCAUUCUUUAAAUUCAUAAUCACCCAACUAGCAUGACUUUAAUAUCACUACCUCCGUAUCUCAAAACAAUUAUGAAGUAUCAAGUUUAUCAUAGCAUCCAAUUCACUUCUUAUGAUAGUUUUUACUAUACCCAACUUGGAUGCUCAUCAUUCUAGGACCAAUUUAUAACCAUAGCAAACCAUGCUGUUCUAAAAGACUCUCAAAAUAAUAUAAGUGAAGCAUGAGAGAUCAAAAAUUUCUUCAAAAUUAAUCCACCGCCGUGCUCUAAAAGAUAUAUGUGAAGCACUAGAGCAAAAACUAGCUAGCUCAAAAGAUAUAAGUGAAGCACAUAGAGUAUUCUAAUAAAUUUCAAUCAAGUAGGCUUCUCCCAAAAGGUGUGUUACAGCAAGGAUGAUUGCGGUAAACUAAAAAGCAAAGACUAAAAUAAUACACGACGCUCCAAGCAAAACACAAAUCAUGUAGCAAAUAAAAAUAUAGCUCCAAGUAAAGUUACCAAUGAACGAAGUCGAAAGAGGGAUGCCUUCCGGGGGCAUCCCCAAGCUUAGGCUUUUGUCUAUUCUUGAAUAUCUUGGGAUGCCUUGGGCAUCCCCCAAGCUUAGGCUUUUUCCACCCUUUAUUCCAUAGUCCAUCAAAUCUUUACCCAAAACUUGAAAACUUCACAACACAAAACUCAACAGGAAAUCUCAUAAGCUCCGUUAGUGAAAGAAAACAAAACCACCACAUAAGGUACUGUAAUGAACUCAUUAUAUAUUUAUAUUGGUGUUAAACCUACUGUAUUCCAAGUUCUCUAUGGUUCAUACCCUUACAUACUAGCCAUAGAUGCAUCAAAAUAAGCAAACAACACACGAAAAACAGAAUCUGUCAAAAACAGAACAGUCUGUAGAAAUCUGUAAGUAACGCAAACUUAUGGAACUUUAAAAAUCCUACCAAAAUAGGAAGUCCUAAAAAAUUUGUUUAUUAAACAUCAGAAAAAAGAAUCAAUGCAAAAUCUCGUUUAUGUGAUUUAUUGAAUUGUUUCUCGUGAGUGAAAAGUUUCUGUUUUUCAGCAGAAUCAAAUCAACUUAUACCAUCGGUUAUCCUAUAGGUUCUACUUGGCACAAACACUAAAUAAAACAAGAAAACACAUCUAGUCAGAAAGUAGAAACAAAUUUUAUUGAAUAACAGUAAGGAAAAAUCUUGGGUUGUCUCCCAACAAGCGCUUUUCUUUAAAUCCUUUUUAGCUGGGCAUUGAGAUUUCAAUGAUGCUCACAUGAAAGACAAGAAUUGAAGCAUAAAGAGAGCAUCAUGAAACACGUGACAAACACAUCUAAGUAUAACAUACUUCCUAUGAAUAGGCAUAUUAUAAGCAAACAAAUUUCAAGGCAAGCAAGAACUAGCAUAUGAAAGGAAGAAGAAAGAGAGGAUAGCAAUCUCAACAUGACGAGAGGUAAUUUAUUAAGAUAAAAAUUUCUACGACCAUAUUUUCCUCUCUCGUAAUAAUUACAUGUAGGAUCAUAGGCAAAUUCAACAAUAUAGAUAUCACAAAACAUAUUCUCAACAUGAUCCACAUGCAUGCAAAGUUGACACUCUUCCAAGAUAGUGGGAUUAACAUUAACUAAAGUCAUGACCUUUCCGAACCCACUUUUAUCAAAAAUAUCAUAAGAUUGAACAUACUCCAAAUAUGUGGGAUCUAAAGUUUACACUCUUCCAAACCAACUUUCAAUAUUAUUGCAAACACUAUUAUCAAUCUCAUAUUCAUUAUGGGGCUUAAAUAAAUUUUCAAGGUUAUAAGAAGAAUCACCCCAAUCAAGAUCAUUGAAACAAGUAGUAGACAUAGCAAAACUUGCAUCCCCAAGCUUAGGGUUUUGCAUAUUAUUAGAACAAUUGACAUUGAGAGAAUUUAUAGGAAAAUCAUGGAAAUCAUGCUUUUUAUUCAAGGAGUUAUCGUGAAUCUCUUCAUAAAUUUCAUCAUCGUAAUUUUCAGAUUCACAAAUUUUUAGCAAAGCUUCAUAAAGAUAAUCUAAUGCACAAAACUCACUAGCAAUUGGUUCAUCAUAAUUGGAUCUCUUAAAAAGAUAGCAAGCGGAUGAGGAUCAAUAGAUCUUAAGUUCUCUGUUUAGCAAUAAAUAAAAAACUAGUCCAACCAAACGAGCAAAUGAGCCAAGUAAUACAUCAAAGCAAAAAGACGAACAACAGAAGGGCGAAUAAAACGGCAAGGGCGAAGUGGGGGAGAGGAAAACGAGAGGCAAAUGGAAAAUAAUGUAAAUGCGAGGGAGAUGAGUUUGUGAUGGGUACUUGGUAUGGCUUGACUUGAGCGAAGACCUCCCCCGCAACGGCGCCGAAAAUCCUUCUUGCUACAUCUUGAGCUUGCGUUGGUUUUCCUGGAAGAGGAAAGGGUGAUGCAGCACAGUAGCGUAAGUAUUUCCCUCAGUUUUUGAGAACCAAGGUAUCAAUCCAGUAGGAGGCUCCUCACAAGUCCCACGAACCUACACAAACAAACAAAGAACUCGCAACCAACGUGAUAAAGGGGUUGUCAAUCCCUUCACGUCCACUUGCGAAAGUGAGAUGUGAUAGAGAUAAUAUGAUAAGAUAAAUAUAUUUUUGGUAUUUUAUAAUAUAGAUGCAGAAAAUAAAGAUGCAAAUAAAAGUAGAUUGAAAGCUUAUAUGAUAAAGGAUAGACCCAGGGGGCAUAGGUUUCACUUGAGGCUUCUCUCAAGAUAGCAUAAGUAAUACGGUGGGUGAACAAAUUACUGUUGAGAAAUUGAUAGAAAAGCGAAUAAUUAUGAGAUUAUCUAGGCAUGAUCAUGUAUAUAGGCAUCACGUCCGUGACAAGUAGACCGACUCCUGCCUGCAUCUACUACUAUUACUCCACACAUCGACCGCUAUCCAGCAUGCAUCUAGAGUAUUAAGUUCAUAAGAACAGAAUAACACAUUAAGAAAGAUGACAUGAUGUAGAGGGAUAAACUAAAGCAAUAUGAUAUAAACCCCAUCUUUUUAUCCUCGAUGGCAACAAUACAAUACGUGCCUUGCAACCCUUUCUAUCACUGGGUAAGGACACCGCAAGAUUGAACCCAAAGCUAAGCACUUCUCCCAUGGCAAGAAAGAUCAAUCUAGUAGGCCAAACCAAACUGAUAAUUCCAAGAGACUUGCAAAGAUAACUCAAUCAUACAUAAAAGAAUUCAGAGAAGAUUCAAAUAUUAUUCAUAGAUAAACUUGAUCAUAAACCCACAAUUCAUCGGAUCCCGACAAACACACCGCAAAAAGAGAUUACAUCGAAUAGAUCUCCACAAGAGAGGGGGAGAACACUGUAUUGAGAUCCAAAAAGAGAGAAGAAGACAUCUAGCUAAUAACUAUGGACCCGAAGGUAUGUGGUAAACUACUCACAACUCAUCGGAAGGGCUAUGGUGUUGAUGAAGAAGCCCUCCGUGGUGGAUUCCCCCUCCGGCAGAACGCCGGCGACGGCUCCAAGAUGGGAUCUCGCGGAUACAGAAGGUUACGGUGGUGGAAAUAUUUCUUCGGUGGCUCCCUGGAUGAUUUCGGGGUAUGAAGGCUUAUAUAGGAGGAAGAAGUACGUCGGUGGCCGCCCGAGGGGCCCACGAGAAAGGGGGGCGCGCCCUGUAGGGGUGGGCGCACCCCCCACCCUCGUGGAUGCCUUGGCUGCUUCUUGACUUGCACUCCAUGUCCUAUGGAUCACGUUCGUUCCAAAAAUCACGCUCCCGAAGGUUUUAUUCCUUUUGGACUCUGUUUGAUAUUCCUUUUCUUCGAAAUACUGAAAUAGGCAAAAAAACAGCAAUACGGGCUCGAGCUCCGGUUAGUAGGUUAGUCCCAAAAAUGAUAUAAAUGUGUAAAAUAAAUCCCAUAGACAUCCAAAAUAGGUAAUAUAAUAGCAUGGAACAAUCAAAAAUUAUAGAUACGUUGGAGACGUAUCAAUGCCGGUUCCCAGACCGGUGCGCAUCUUUGAACCAUCAAAUCGCAUUCGCCAAUGGGUGGAGUCUGGCACUGGCGGCAUAUACUGGGUCUCAGCCCAGUCGAUGAGGAAGUCGGCCCAGUGACUUGAUGGCGGUGCGAGGUUGGUAGUAGAUGGUGUAGGGGGCCAGAUAAAUGGCCCAUUUGGCCACUCGGCCUGAGGCAUCUCGGCUUCCAAUGAUCUUAGUAAGUGGAGCAGUGCAGACAACAGUAAUUGGGUGCUCUUGAAAUUAAGGCUUUAGCUUCUUGGCGGCAAAGGGCACACCAUAGCACAUCUUCUGAUAGUGGGGGUAGUUUUGCUCGGAAGUGGACAACACCUCUCUCAGGUAAUACACCGGCCUCUGGACCGGCAAUGCUCUACCUUCCUCCUUGUGCUCCACCACUUUGACUGUGCUGCCACCCGACUGGUGGCGGCGAUGUAGAGGAGCAUGGGCUCUUUUUCAGUCGGAGCCGCCAUGAUAGGCGGGGUGGUCAACAUCUUCUUGAGCUGGAGAAAAGCUUCGUCCGCCUUGUCGUUCCACUCAAAAAAGUGGUCUUCUUCACGAGCUGGUAUAGGGGAAGAGCCUUCUCGCCCAGCCGACUGAUGAAAUGGUUGACUGAUGCCAGGCAACCAGUGAACUUCUGCACGUCCUGUCGGAGUAAUGGGCCACGGGUAGGCUAACCCGAGCCCCAAGACAUUUCAGGACAUUGGGGAAGGCCGCGCCCCUCAGGCCGAGUCCCAGAAGCGACUCCAAAGUAUGCCGAGUCCCAGACGGCGACUCCGGAGAGGCCGACUCCAAGCUGGCGACCUCCAGAGAGGCCGACUAUGGAGAGUCGGCCCGUGACUCCUCCCCCGUCCUGAAGCACGACGCGGGGUACGGUCACGGCGUGGCUGUUCCCCCCUCCCUGCUCACGAAGGGCCAGCAUGGCUACAGUGGGCCGUAUCGCUGGAAGAUCUCCGGCGAGGCGCGGCACUGUUGCCAUGCCUGCCCUGACCUCAGCCAUAGUGCGCAGAACACUGUGCCCACGACGUCGGCCUGUACAACCCGAGGGCGGCGGGGCCGCCUGUCAGUGGGUGGGCCGAAGGCGGCCUAGGUGCCCGAAGACGGACCUGUGGGAGUCGGCCUCCCUGGAGUCGGCCGACUCCUCCCCAGGGCCCCACGAGCCAUUAACCAGAUAAGAUCGGGAAUGUCAAUAGUGAUCGCCCGAUAGACGGCGACACUGUUGCCACGACCCAAUGACCAAGCCUGCGUCAUCAGGAGUGCCGCUACAGCGUCGCGCCUGUCCGCAGGACCCGCCAGCCGGCGGGCCCAGAAGCCGGCAGGAAGGACAGUGGCCUGAGAGACAGACGGCUAGGACCCGCGCCCAGCCGUAUUACUAUUGUACCCCCAGGGGGUAGGCCUAUAUAAACCCCCUGGGGCACCCAUGCAAAGGGUUUGGAUCUGAAUAGAGAUAGACCAGAUAGCACGGUAGGAGAGAGCUAGCCUUGCCCUCUCCUGCCUCCCAAAACAGCUCUAGGAGCACCAUUGUAGUCACCUUGCUUGAGUGAUCAUGCGGAGACCCCGCAGAGCAAAAGUAGGGGUGUUAUCUCCUAGGAGAGCCCUGAAGCUGGGUAAGUUCCGCUGGCGUGCAUGUCUUCGCCUCAUCCCGCUUCCAGGCACUAGCGACGUUCUACUCGCUCCCACCAUGAUAAGCCAUCCUUUGGCAUAUGUCGCAUCCAACCCCCGACAUUUGGCGCCCACCGUGGGGCGAGGUGCACCGUCGUCCGGAGAUCUGCUCUAGACGGGAACCGUAUUCCUUCCCGGCGAGCACGGCGAGCCCGGCACACCGGAUGGCGUUUGUGACGACGCACUGCACGGCGCAGAGAUCGCCUGUGCGGCCAGCUGCCUCACCGAUCUUAUCGGUGAGGUUCGCCUCUCCGAUGAGCCUGCGUCCGACGCAGGCACGAGUGUCCCCGAGGCCUCCUCGCGGGCCUCCUCGACCAACUCCACGUCGCCGGCGAGCCUGCCACGGACCUGGAGUCCAUAGGAUCCACCGACCCGAUGCUGGUCGACUCCGACACCGCGUCGCUCGACGCGUUCCCCACCAACAUGGUGGUCUACGACGAGCCGCUCUCAUACGCGGGGAGCGGCGGAAGCACCGUCACUGAGGUCCUCGUCCUCGAGAACGGCGAGCUCUCCGGCGAACGAGUGCAUGACCCGCUCGACGCGGCCCUGCGAGGCCUUGCGGCGCCGAUUCCAGAAGACGCCGACGCCGAGACGCUGGAGGCACUCCGCCUUCAGCUCGUCGAGGGCGCGAAGAAGCUGGCAAGCAUGAGGCGCUUGUCAGAAGCUUACCAACGCGAGAUGGAUCGUGCCAUAGGCGGCUCGCCGGCUCCGACUGGGCCUAGCCGCCUAGGCGCGGUCCGACAGCGCGGCGUGGCAAUCGCCAACAUCUUCGGGGCUGAUCGCCCUGUGUACGCCACGCCCGCAGAGAAUAUCCGUGCCGCCCAGGCGGCGGCAAACGAGCUCGACAACUUCGAAGGUGAAGAGCGCCGCAUAAUGACGGAGCGAGUUCAACAGCUCCUCGACGCGGCCGCCGCGCAGAAUGGUGCCGGCUGCCGCACCGAGGCGCCGCAGCGCCAAAACGACAACCCACCACCUCGCGGAGAUCAAGGUGAGAUGUCUCGGACGCUGACUGGAGGGGCCCGUGGGAAGAAGGACAAGGAGCCGGCUGUCAGCCACAGUCGGACUCACAUCACCAUCGAGCGCGACCAAGACGGCCGCCCCAGAGCGGUGGAACGGCGGGACGACUACCAGCCUCCCCCUCCUCGUGGAGAAAGGCGAGUCUCCCCACCGCCCGUGGAACAUCCGACUCUCGGCGACCGCCUUGGCCGCCGAGAGGGAGUCAGAGAGAACGACGCCCGCCACCGGAUCGACUGACUCCAUCGAUCCCUGGCGCUGGAAGAAGAAGACGAGUUGGGUCCCCCCUGCUUUGGACCCGGCAUCCGGGACGAGCCCUUUCCCAAAGGGUUCACGCUCCCCCGAGACACGCCCAAAUAUAUCGGCACCGUGAAGCCGGAAGAUUGGCUGAUCGACUACUCCACAGCUGUCAACAUAGCGAACGGCAACAAGCGUGUUGCCGUAGGAUAUGUCCCUCUCAUGCUCCAGGGCUCGGCCUGGACGUGGUUAAACAGUCUGAAGCCUCGCAGCAUCAAUAGUUGGGUUGACUUCAUCGAGGCUUUUGUCCGCAACUUCACGAGCAUGUACAAGCGACCUCCCAAGCCACGCCAGCUCUCCUUGUGCGUGCAAGGCCCUGACGAGUCUACUCGCGACUACCUCACGCACUGGGGCGAACUCCGGAACUCCUGCGAGGGCAUGCACAAGGUGCAGGCCACCGAGUACUUUACUGCCGGCUGCAGAGAAGGCACCCUCCUCAAGCACAAGCUCCUCUGCGACGAGCCGGAGACCCUCGACGAGCUGCUGAUCACGGCGGACAAGUACGCCACGGCCGACUCCUCCAUGAAGGCGGAGAUCUGGGUCAGCACAACUGGCAAAGUCACCCCUCAGGCUCCAAGAACUCUGGCUGGAGACACCAGUCGGCGGCAACACCAGAAUGACCAGAAGCGCAAAGCCUCGUAGCCGAUUUCCAGCAGUCGGCAAGUGGCGACAGCAGAAGACCAGCAAUUGGAGGGACCGCCUCCGGUGAAGCGGCAGAAGGGCGGCCAGUCCAAUUGGCUGCCGGCUUUCUGCUACGAGCAGACUCUGGAUGGUCCCUGCAAGUUCCACAGCGGCGCAAAGCCGUCCAACCAUACCACAAGGAAAUGUCACUGGCUGACCAGAAUGGCCCCAGUAGCCGGCCGUCAGGCCAGUCGGCGCGAUACAAGACGAGUUCCCGGACGAACACGGAGCCUAUGUGGUGUUCACAAGUGUAGCGAAUGACCGGCGUAGCAGGCGCCAACAGCAGCAAGAAGUAAAUGCGGUUGCAUCAAGUACUCCAGAGUUCAUGCAUUGGUCCGAAAAGCCUAUCAGUUGGAGCAGAGCUGAUCACCCAGAGGUGAUGCCGAGUCCAGGCUCCUACGCCUUGGUCUUAGGCGCCACGCUUGCGACGGACAGGCGGGCCGCUCGCUUCUCGCGAGUACUGAUAGACAGAGGCAGCAGUAUCAACAUCCUGUACAAGGAUACGAUGGAGAAACUAGGAAUCAAGCGAAGACAACUUCAGAGCAGCCGGACUGUGUUUCACGGAAUCAUCCCUGGCCUUUCCUGCUCGCCAAUCGGCAAGAUCCUGAUAGAUGUCCUCUUCGGAGACAAGGAUCAUUUCCGCCGAGAGCCAAUUUGGUUUGAGGUGGUGGACCUUGAAAUCCCAUAUCACGCAUUGCUUGGCCGACCCGCCCUGGCCAAGUUCAUGGCGGUACCCCACUACGCCUACCUCAAGAUGAAGAUGCCGAGUUCCAAGCGAAUCCUAACCGUGGCCGGCGACUACAGGAAGUCGUCCACCUGCGCGGCCGAAAGCAGCCAGCUGGCCGAGUCCUUGGUGAUCACAGCUGAGAAACGGCUUCUUGAUCGGGUCGUGACGAUGGCCGGCAAGCAGCCCAAGUUAUCGCCCGACCCCAAGGAGUCGGAAGCAGAAGGAUCAUUCAAGCCGGCCAAAGAAACAAAGAAGAUACCGUUGGACCCAGGGCACCCGGAGAGGUACGCUAUCAUGGGCACUGGCCUUGACAGCAAAUAGGAAGGCGAGCUCGCCGAUUUCCUCCGUGAGAAUCGCGACAUCUUCGCAUGGUCCCCCAAGGACAUGCCUGGUGUCCCGACGGAAUUCACCGAGCACUAGUUGCAUGUCCGAUCUGAUAUGAAGCCCGUCAGGCAGCCCUUGCGCCGCCUGUCAGAAGAAAAAAGAAGAGUUGUUGGAGAAGAAAUAGUCCGGCUCCUGGCGGUCGGCUUCAUCAUGGAAGUGUUUUUCCCAGAGUGGCAGGCAAACCCGGUACUGGUGCUGAAGAAGAACAAGCAGUGGCGGAUGUGCAUUGAUUAUACAAGCCUCAACAAAGCUUGCCCCAAGGACCCAUUUGCUCUGCCAAGAAUCGAUCAGGUGAUAGACUCCACAGUCGGAUGCGAGCUGUUGAGUUUCCUAGAUGCAUAUUCAGGAUAUCACCAGAUCAAGUUGAACCCGGCUGACGGUGUCCUGGACUAGGGGGUACUCACCACGUCGUCUCCCGAUCAGUUGGAUUGGGCCGAGGAUCCCCAUGGCCAUAUACUCAUGGGCCAGUCCGGAUAGUUGCCGCAUACAAGGAAGGUUCCACAAGACUUGGCGAUCAAGACAAGGACUCCUCCCCCACCGGCGUAUUCGGCUAGGACUCUUGUUAUCCUAGGCCUCUGGUGCAUUAUAUAAACCGAGGCCAGGCUAGUCGAUAGAGAUAUACAACAACAACCAUUACAAUCAUACCAUAGGCUAGCUUCUAGGGUUUAGCCUCCUUGAUCUCGUGGUAGAUCCACUCUUGUAAACAUCCACAAUAUCAAUAUCAAUCAAGCAAGAUGUAGGGUUUUACCUCCAUCAAGAGGGCCUGAACCUGGGUAAAACAUCGUGUCCCUUGUCUCCUGUUACCAUCCGCCUAGACGCAUAGUUCGGGACCCCCUACCCGAGAUCCACCGGUUUUGACACUGACAUUGGUGCUUUCAUUGAGAGUUCCUCUGUGUCGUCACCGAUAGGCUUGAUGGCCUCUUCAAUCGACAACGACGCAGUCCUGGGUGAGACUUUUCUCCCCGGACAGAUCUUCGUAUUCGGCGGCUUCGCACUGCGGGCCAACUCACUUGGCCAUCUGGAGCAGAUCGAAAGCUACGCCCCUGGCCAUCAGGUCGGGUUUGGAAGCGUAAACUUCACGGCCGAUAUCCGCGGGGACUUGAUCUUCGAUGGAUCUGAGCCACAGCCGAGCGGGCCGCGGUGUCACGAUGGGCACGACCUAACUCUGCCGCCGGACAGCACCUUGGAGGCCGCACACGAAUCCGCUCCGACCCAUAGUCCGGAGCCGAUCGCUCAGAUCGAGGACGGAUGGCUGGACACCGCCUCGGGAGCUGCAACUUCUACGGCGAUGGAGCCCAACACUUACCUUGUCCCGCAUAAAGCUCAUGACUCCGAGGUGCCGGACUCUCUGCCGAACCCCGAACCUCCUGCGCCCCUGCCAGUCGAAUCCGACUGGGCGCCGAUCAUGGAAUUCACCGCUGCGGACAUCUUUCAGCACUCACCCUUCGGCGAUAUCUUAAAUUCGCCGAAGCAUCUCUCGCUAUCCGGAGAGCCCUGGCCGAACUACGGCCAGGAUGGUUGGGACGCGGACGACAAAGAAAUUCAGAUACUUCCGCUUUAUUCUCAAACACAUCCCAUUAAUAUUAAAAGUAUUUUUACAAUACGAUCUUCACCAUCGCGCCGGUGUCAAACCGGCUCGGCAACAUCACUCCACGACGGCCGACAUGCGCUAGACGCGUGGUCGCUUUGUUGAGCCGACCUCAACUUCUUCGGAUCAUCCUCUCGGCAAGCCGGACAAGAGUCCGGCAUCGCGAAGGAUAAAUCAUCGCCAACAUCGCCACUCCACGGAUUACAUGGAGCGGGCACACCUGCAUCGCCGCACGGUCACUUCAUCAAGCUGGCAUCGACCAUGUCACGACCUGCAUCUGCAGGGCCGCACUCUGGACCGGGGGCUUCAUCAUCUCUUCAUCAACCUACACCGGAGACUUCGGCGUCGUUGGCCGACCAGCUCCGUCAUGUUAGCUGGACCGAGGGCUUUGCCUCGCCGAGCCAACCUUUGCAAGCAUCGCCAUGCCGUUGCUUUAUCGCCCAUCAGGCGAUAGGUGUGCGGAUCGAGUCCCAAUUUUGGGAAUCACCUUCCUUCGGAUUGCUACAACAAAUAAACCAGGUGCAAUUAAUCCUAGUAUUUCUUUUUGCUUGUUUGGGUUAAUUUUUCCCAAGGAAUUAUUACUCUGGUUUGUCCAUCAUAUGCACACAGGUCUAUCAAAUGGUGGCCGCAUUAUCAACGGUCGCAUGAUGGUUCGGUCAGUUUCCGUACAUAGUCCGGCGAACGUCGCAUCCAGAACUCGGACCGACUUGUGAAUCCAGGCUUUGCCACGCCUUUAUUGCAUUACGCCAACGACCUGCAUCGACAUCGACUUCGGCGCCAGGCCAUAUUUAUUUUACUACUCACUUUGCAUAAAUUAUUUAUUAUGCAACAUUUUUUUUAAUUCCUAUUAUUACUAUUAUCUCUGGUUUGCACUAUUUUUUGUGCACAGGAAAAUGAUCCAGCCGGACUAUAUCCUUACGUCACCUCGGCUGGAUGGGGGGUUUCGUCAACACUUCAUUACCCCAUGCCAGGGACUUCGGCAUCACUCUGCCGUCCUGCAUCGACCGUGCUAUGUCACCACUUCGGAGUGCCGAGCUCUUUGCUCCACCACCUCGGGACCGGCUUGGGGGAUGGACACUUGUCCCGCACCAAGCUCGGACCGCGUCGUCAAUACUGAACACAUUAACCAGCUAAGUUGCCUUCAUGCUCAAAGUUUUAAAUUUCUAACUUGUGUUCGGUUCGACCAAGCAUUAUACUUUUUUGUAAAAAAAAGUUGCUUGUAAAAAUUUUCCUUGUCCAAACUUUGUUUGCACAUACUUGAUGCGCUACCCGCGCUCAUUAUACCUGGGGGCUUCUUUAACAGAAGCUUAUUAAUUCGGGCUUUAUGCCCAACACAUGUGUCACACUUCCGCAUGUACCUUUUAUUCACCAUUAUAUGCAUCGAUAUGACUUAAGUUUUGGCCAAGCUGGGUUGCCUGGCUCCUGUGCUUACCCCUACGUUCCCGAUUGUUCGGCUAGGUGGUAAAGGGAGCACCUCUGCGAUUGUUACUGCCGGGUCAGCCGGAUGUGUACCUCAGACUGGGUGAAACCGAAAGCUAGCAUUCUUAAGGGAAUACUCGGUCGGUGAACUAAAAGAUGAUUUCUUACCUAUUUAUUUACCUGCCCCCAGAUGUUUUUCUGCUCUUUUCGCAGUCCGGACAUGCACUUUAGGGCAUGUCUCCCAGGGAAAGGAACCCCUAACGGAACUAUUCUCCCUGGAAGAUGUUUCUUACUAACCAUGUAAUAUAACAUAACUAGUUGGACACUUGUCUGAUAAAGCACUAAUGACCCCUACGCCUGGUCUCCACGCAUGCCCCGGUUUUUAUAACCGCGAGGGUAUUCGGACACACUCCGGACUAUUGGGUCCAGAGGUUGAAGCGAAAAGGUCCACUACGACAAACGAUCUACAAUCCGGCUAGAAGACAUUCUACAUGUCACCUUACAUUUUAUAGUCAACUUUUACCCAAGUCGCUUGGGGGCUCUUAUGUUUAUUUGAGCUGUUUCAUACUAAGUGUUUUUCUUCUUAGUCGUUGCAAAGUUAAAGCACGGUAGAAGCACUUUUUUUUCUAAAGUCCAAUUUUCGUAUUGGCACCGAACACUUGAUCUAGUUCGGACAUUAACCUUUUUGGCUUUUCGAGCCCAUGGCACUUUUAAACUAUUUGUGUGUUUUCAGCACAAGUCUCGCAGUGCAACGCCGGACACCUUUAGAGAUUCGGCAAAAACAUUCUCGGAUAUUGCUAUAUAUGCAUCGGUUUCGAAUUGUGUCUUCGGUCAAUAGUUGGGUUGCCCGGCUCCUACGCUUGCCUCCUAUGUUCCGCUUUGUUCGGCUAGGUGUGCAAAGGGAGAACCACUGCGAUUGUGCUUCCAGCUCGCAUGGUCAAGCACCUCAGUGGAGAAAGCCAAAAGCUGACUGUCACAAUAGGUGUAAACUGGUCAGCAAUCUGAUGACUAUAUUAAAUGACGGGCCAUUCAUAAAAUUGGCUGUUUCCGGCUUGACCUCGACUGUCGCCGAACACUACCGGGGGCUAGUAACUGGCCUCCCAAACUAAAUCCUCAAUAUUUUGCUCUUACAUUGGAGCUGAGGUUUCAUGAUCAUGUUUAGCAUGACAGCCCAAAGAAAGGAACCGAUAGCGGGACUAUUUUCUUUGGAAGACAUUUCUUCUGUUAAACAGUAAUAUAACAUAUCUCUCCGCGUACCUUUUUUUAUAAAACCGUAUGGCCAGAUUGCCUUGUUUGUUGUAAAUCUUUGCCCUCAUAAAGGCUUUAUAAAGUAGGACAAACACUCCUCGGCUAUUGGCCGAGGAGGUGGAAGCCGAUGGUCGGUCAACAAAGUUUUGUACAAUGCGGAUCCGAGCAUUAAUGACGUAAAGUACUUGGAUACAUAGAGUCAUUACACAUAAUUUGUGAUUUUACUAUGGAUAUCGAUCCUUAAUUCGGCCUCCCGUGCCCGCAUUAAGGCUCGGGGGCUACUGGGCUUCGGGCUUAUUAUUUACAAAUAUUAAAGUGGCACAUCAAUCCCCUGAUCUGGUGUUGCCACCCGACCAGUGUCUCGGGGGCUACUACAUUGCCUGUUCUAUGCAGAAAAUUUUAAGUGCAAUACAGUUUCCGAGGAGAUUUUGAUCCUCAGGUUGGUCGGCCACACCCAACCUGAGUCUCGAGGACUGAGCACGCCGCUUUUUGUGUCCCGAAGUAUUCCGCCGAGCUAGGACUGGAUCCUUAGACCGAUUUUGCAAAUAAACAUGAGUCUCAGCGGCUACGGGGAUCAGCGGUCUUAUGUCAUCCUUCAUGUGCAUCUCGGGUUUUAGACCGAUACCCACCUUGAGGGCUACUGGCACCAAUCAAAAAUAUUGACAAAAAUCGGCCCACAUUCGGGGUGGUGCACCACCUCAGAAGCAGUCCGGCGUAAAGCUCGGGCGCUAGUGGCUGGCUCCAUAGAGGGCACUUCCGGCAUUAAGCUCGGCUAAACUCGUUCAAACUUCUUUAAACCAAAGUGAUUUACGACACCUCGGAUACAGUCCGGCGUUGGAGCUCGGAUACAUAGUCCGGUGUUGGAGCUCGGAUACAUAGUCCGGUGUUGGAGUUCAGAUACCAUCCGGCGUUGGAGCUCGGAUACAUAGUCCGGCGUUAGAGCUGGGAAGCAGUCCGGCAUUGGUGCUCGGCUGCAAAAGAUACCUCGAAUGCAGUCCGGCGUUGGAGCUCGGACGCAAGAGGACGUAGCCGCCUGGGAACAACAUCAAACUCGGGGUGUGGCAUAAAAAUAACAAGGCAUCGAUAAAGGCCGGAAACUUAAAGGGGCUCCUCGGAUACCCGACAUGUAAACUCGUCGAAUGCAUUUCGGUGAUCUUCAAGAUCGAAGAUGAGGAGAUUUGUUGAACCAGUUUUCAAGAACAACGACCGAAGAUGAAGAACAGUUCGGAAGAAUCGAGGAGCGUUCCCAACUUGAAGACCGGUUCAGAGGGCUACUGACGGUGUCCUGGACUAGGUGAUACUCACCACGUCGUCUCCCGAUCAGUUGGAUUGGGCCGAGGAUCCCCAUGGCCGCAUACUCAUGGGCCAGUCUGAACAGUUGCCCCAUACAAGGAAGGUUCCACAAGACUUGGCGAUCAAGACAAGGACUCCUCCCCCACCGGCGUAUUCGGCUAGGACUCUUGUUAUCCUAGGCCUCUGGUGCAUUAUAUAAACCAAGGCCAGGCUAGUCGAUAGAGAUAUACAACAACAACCAUUACAAUCAUACCAUAGGCUAGCUUCUAGGGUUUAGCCUCCUUGAUCUCGUGGUAGAUCCACUCUUGUAAACAUCCACAAUAUCAAUAUCAAUCAAGCAGGACGUAGGGUUUUACCUCCAUCAAGAGGGCCCAAACCUGGGUAAAACAUCGUGUCCCUUGUCUCCUGUUACCAUCCGCCUAGACGCACAGUUCGGGACCCCCUACCCGAGAUCCGCCGGUUUUGACACUGACACCGGCUGACAGACUGAAGACCGCUUUCAUCAUGCCGUUUGGAGCCUUCUGCUACCUGACCAUGACGUUCGGCUUAAGAAACACCGGCGCCACCUUUCAGCGUUGCAUGCAGAAGUGCCUCCUGAAGCAACUUGGCAGAAACGCCCACGUCUAUGUGGAUGAUGUAGUGGUGAAGACGAAGAAGCGUGGAACCCUGCUGGAGGACCUCAAGGAAACCUUUGAGAAUCUGCGCCAAUUCCAGAUCAAGCUCAACCCAGAGAAGUGCGUUUUUGGAGUACCAGCCGGCCAGCUCCUCGGUUUCUUGGUCUCCGAACGCGGCAUAGAGUGCAAUCCUAUGAAGAUCAAGGCCAUCGAGAGGAUGGAAGUACCCAGACGACUGUUAGAUGUGCAGAAGUUCACCGGCUGUUUGGCAUCCAUCAGCCGAUUCCUCAGUUGGCUGGGCGAGAAGGCUCUCCCCUUGUAUCAGCUCAUGAAGAAGACGGCCUUCUUUGAGUGGACUCCCAAGGCGGACGACGCUUUUCUCCAACUGAAGAAGAUGUUGACUACUCCCCCUGUGCUGGCGGCUCCGACUCCCAAAGAGCCCAUGCUCCUAUACAUUGCCUCCACCAGCCGAGUAGUCAGCACAGUCAUUGUAGUCGAGCGCAAGGAGGAAGGCAAGGCGCUACCUGUCCAGAGACCGGUAUAUUACCUGAGUGAAGUACUGUCGACCUCCAAGGAGAACUACCCCCAUUACCAGAAGAUGUGCUACGACGUGCAUUUUUCCCGCCAAGAAAUUGAAGCCUUACUUCCAGGAGCAUCCAAUCACCGUGGUCUGUACAGCUCCGCUGGCCGAGAUCAUCGGAAGUCGAGAUGCUUCUGGCCGAGUGGCCAAAUGGGCCAUUGACCUGGCUCCCUACACCAUCUACUACGUGGCCCGCACCGCCAUCUAGUCGCAAGCGCUGGCCGACUUCCUCGUCGACUGGGCCGAGACCCAGUAUCUGCCGCCAGCGCCCGACUCCACCCAUUGGCGGAUGCACUUUGACGGCUCCAAGAUGCGCACCGGCUUGGGAGCCGGCAUUGUCCUCACAUCCCCCAAGGGCGACAAGCUCAGAUAUGCGCUGCAGAUCCACUUCGCCACCUCCAACAACAUGGCCGAGUACGAGGCGCUCAUACACGGGCUCCGGCUUGCCAAAGAACUCGGCAUUCGCCGGAUCCUGUGUUAUGGCGACUCUGACUUGGUAGUCCAAUAAUCAUCCGGCUAUUGGGAUGCCAAGGAUGCAAAUAUGGCGAGCUACCGUUUCCUCGUCCAGCAGCUCAGCGGAUACUUCGAGGGAUGCGAGUUCCUCCACGUGCCAAGGAACGAGAACGACCAAGAAGACGCCUUGGCACGGAUCGGCUCCACCCGCCAGGCAAUACCAUCUGGUGUCGCCCUCCGGCGCCUUCUCAAGCCUUCUAUCAAGCCGUCACCAGAAUCAGAUUCAAUCUUUGUACCGGCUCCGCCUGAGGAAGACGGACCCGACUCCAAGAAGCACAUAGUCGAAGCCGGCCCAGGGACUUCAGAACCCGGCCCGGGGACUGCUGCGGUAAGAUCGAAGACCCCAGAGCUCGGCCCGGGGACUACUCCAGUCAGCCCCGGGACUUUUUCAAACCAUCCAGCGGCUGCGGACUCCAACCCGCCGCCUCCCAGCCCGGCCGCCCUUAUCCAGGUCGCACUAGUGAUAGUUGAAGAAAUAGCAGCACCUUCAUGGGCCCAGCCCAUCCUCAGAUUCUUAGUAAACAGAGAGCUGCCAACUGAUGAAAUCUUGGCCCGACAAGUGCAACGCCGUGCAGCAGCCUACACCAUAGUCAACAGAGAGCUGGUCAGGCGCAGCGUUACCGGCGUCUUCCAACGCUGUGUCGAAGCAGAACAAGGCCAGGCAAUCCUCAGAGACAUCCAUGAAGGCGAGUGCGGUCACCAUGCGGCCUCCAGGGCACUCAUCGCCAAAGCCUUCCGGCAUGGUUUCUUCUGGCCAACCGCCCUGGAAGAAGCCAAAGAGUUAGUCCAAAAGUGCAAGGGGUGCCAGAUUUUCCGUUCCAAGCCACUUCAACCAGCUUCCACACUCAAGACUAUCCCCAUCGCCUGGCCCUUUGCAGUCUGGGGUCUGGACAUGGUCGGACCAUUCAAGACGGCACGAGGUGGCUUGACUCACCUGCUUGUCGCAGUGGACAAGUUCACCAAGUGGGUGGAGGCGAAACCCAUUAAGAAGUUGAAUGGUCCGACUGCAGUGACCUUCAUCGCUGACAUCACAACUCGGUACGGCAUCCCACACAACAUCAUCACCGACAAUGGCACGAAUUUUGCCAAAGGCGCCUUGGCCCGUUUUUGCGCGACACAGGGCAUCCGACUGGACCUAGCGUCCGUUGCCCAUCCGCAGUCAAAUGGCCAGGUGGAGCGAGCGAACGGCCUCGUCUUAUCCGGCAUCAAGCCUCGACUCAUCGUCCCGCUGGAGCGAUCUGCCGGCUGUUGGCUUGAGGAGCUGCCAGCCGUCCUCUGGAGUCUACGCACGACACCAAACAAGUCAACCGGCUUCACACCCUUCUUCCUCGUCUAUGGUGCCGAAGCCGUCAUCCCAACGGACAUAGAGUUCGACUCCCCACGGGUCACCAUGUACACCGAGGAAGAAGCAGAAGAAGCACGACAAGACGGCGUUGAUCUGCUGGAAGAGGGCCGGCUGUUGGCACUCAGCCGGUCCGGCAUCUACCAGCAGAGCCUGCGUUCAUACUACAACAGGAAGGUCAGGCCAAGAUCUUUCCAAGAAGGCGACCUUGUGCUCCGGCUGAUCCAGCGAACAGCCGGCCAGCACAAGCUGUCGGCACCUUGGGAAGGCCCCUUCAUCAUCAGCAAGGUGCUAGGGAACGAUGCCUACUAUCUGAUCGAUCCUCAGAAGCCCCGAGCGUGCAAGAAGGACGACUCCGGCAAAGAGGCAGAGCGCCCGUGGAAUGCAAAUUUUCUUCGAAGAUUUUACAGUUGAUGCAGAAUGUAUCGCACUACCCCUCUAUAUUAAAGUAUUAAGAAUUUGGGCCCCCCCGAGACGAGCUCGGGGACUGCCCCUUUUGUUAUCUGUAUGAUAAGAAUUAUGCCUUCGAGAACAUCACUUUCAUUACAAGCCGCUUGGCACCGGGCCAGUCGGCCCGGGGACUAGCCGCCUUGUGCUAUAAAGAGCUUCCCACAGUCAGACAAGUAGUGCGUGGUGCCCAAUCCGCCUCCUGGCAAAGCCGCAGCUCGCAGAGCGACUGUGAGGCGAACAGGAGUAAGGAAGAACGGGCACCCACACGAAAAAUGGCUAAGGACCUAAAGCAUGAACAUAGCGUAAGACGGCCUCCAGCAUUUCUAAAGCAGAAAGCCGACUCAUGAGUAGCCGGCUCGCCGUCUUUAUUAGCCUUCUGUCAAGGACGGCCGACUCUUGGGUAGUCGGCCUUUCGCUUUCUAUCCGACUUGCUAAAGAAACUCUAAACGGCCAAGUACUUGCCUUCUCAAAGUAGCCGAGCACUUGACCCAGCAACAGUCUGUAGAGCGGCUGUCCGACUGGCAAGCAGUGACUAGGGGAAGGCGGCAAAGGAAAAAGGCUAAAGAGCAGUAAGCAAGGAAAGACGGAAAUCGGAUAAAUAUUUACAUAGGCCCUUGGCCGAAUCUUCGAUUAGAAGUUCAAGAACCACCCCGCGGGUGGAAUUGUUCGAAUCUAACAAGUUUUUCAAAAGAUCACUAAGACAGACAAGCAGUGGCGAAAAAUGAAGCCUAGGAGGCGGCGUCGGGGAUCGGAGGAUCGGAGGAGACGGCGGUGUCAGGCGCUGGGUUAGUCGGCUGGGCGGUCUCGGCUUGAUCAGCUCCGGCGGCAGUCGCCUUCUCUUGACGCGGCUCAUUGCUGGAGGCGCGGUCGAGCUGAGGCUGGCCGCCUGCUCCGUCUUCUGGCACCUCCGCCUCGCCUUCAUCCUCCGCCUCGUCCUCCUCCUCAGUGCUGGAGUCGAUCACCUCCGCCGAAUCUUCGCCAUACUCCGGGUUCAUCCCGAACCACUCUGGCGGCACUUCCUCGCCGCCUUCGGCCCGCUCGGGGACGAAGACACUGGUGUCCAUGUACUCAGUGAUGGCCGUUGCACGCUCGAUAAGGGAGCCCUCCAUGGCCUCCAGCUCGGCCUGGGCUUCUGACCGGAACGUGGCCAGACGGUCCAGGUCCAGCCCUGGAUACCACGCCUUGACGAACUCCAAGGCCCGGCGUGCUCUGGCCCGGGCCGAGGAGCCCUUCCAAGCCUCAAGACGGCCGGCAGCGACCUCCAGCCAGUCGGCAGUUCGGCUGGCGGUGCGCAGAGCUGGCGUGCCUGGCCACAAGGCGGCAACCGCCUGGGCACCGGCACGUUGGAGCCAGCGCAACAGCUGGUAAGCCGGACGAAGACGGGCUUCAAUGCUCAGAAGCUGCUCUUCGACGGUUCGGGGGGAAUUAGCGGCGAUCUCCUCAUCGUUUGCCCUUCGCGCCUCACGAGCAGCCUCGAUGGCCAGAGGAACUGCCUGCGAAUGACCGGGGAAGAAGUCUGCCAAGACAAAAAAGAAGCAAGUCAAAAAAAUCAGAAGUCGGCCUAACACAUAGUCGGAAGCCCGAAGAAGCGAAAGAAACUUAUCAUCAACGAUAUCCUCGAUCUCGUGGAAGCCGGAGGUCAGCAUCGCCUCCCUAUCAGUCCAGGAGGAGCGCUCGCUCUCGAACUCGGCCAGGAGUGCGGUCUCCCACUUCUCGGCCUCGUCCUGCGCCUUGUUGAGCAGCUCCUUCUGCUCGGCCAGCUGCGCCGCCAGCAGGUCGCAUUCCGUGGCGAGCUUGCCACACUCCUCCUCCUUGGCACGACGGGCGGUAUUGGCCUCGCCCAGCUUCUCCUGAAGAACGGCGUUGGCUUCUAAGGAGCAAAAGAAGAGACAAAGUAAGUCGUUAGCAAAAAAAAGAUCGCCGGGAAGAUCCGGCCCGACUGCUCAGCAGUCGGCCCGAAUCUCGGGGACUACAGCCCGCGGGUGCGCCAGCGCGCCACCGCGAAGAAGAAGAACUCACUCCGGCUUUCCGACAAGUCGGCAGCCCGCUUGCUCAACUCCUCAACAUUGCGGUUGAAGGCAGUGGCGCGGAGGUUGUGAUACUCCUGCAAUAAGUCACUGAAGACAAAGUUAGUGUUUGGAACUCGCCAGAGCGAGUUCCGAACCGCCUGCUCAGCAGCCGGCCCGGAACUCGGGGACUACACCCAGUGGCUGCGCUGGCGCGCCCCCACAGAGAAAAAACAAGAAUCCAAAGGGAAAGAAACUUACUCGGACGGCCGUUCGUGCGGCCAGAUGCGCUCUGGUGCAGGCUUGAAGGGCGUCGCCCUCGGCCCGCAGCUUCGCCUGGACUUCCAGGAGCAGUUGAUUUAAUGGCCCGGUGCCGCCUCUGUGCACCCACCCGGUGGGCGCGGCGCUUGUGGCCUCGGUGUCUAGGGUUGCCGAGCUGGCAGCGCCGAUCUCCAAGGAUGCGGCGCCGAGGUCGCCCUCUCAAGACGACAGCGCACUGGCGAGGCGACUUGGAGAAGCAGCCGCGCCUCGGCCUCGUCCAUGACCGGCGGCUCCGACUGACUCACCGGCUGUUUGCCGUGCGGCCUCCCAGACGGCGGUGGAGGCGGUGGUGGUGGAACGAGGGUGUCCAACAUAGAAGCCUCGCCGUCCUCCUUCUCCAUGAUGGGGUUCUCGGUGCCGGCCCCUCCGGUUUGCCCCGUGAACUCCGGAGGCGGCCGCACAGACGAGAGUGGGGGGACGAGCAUCGCUGAUCGGUGACGCGCGGCCUCCUCGGCACGCCGUCUCGCUGCGAGGGUAGCUUCGGCGUCCUCCAGCUUCUUCUGGGCGGAGGCGGCCGCCUUGUCGGCCUCCGCCUUCUCCAGACGUUCGGCUUCCUCCUCCUCGCGCUUCUCCCGCGCGUUUCGCUCCGUCGCCUCCCGGAGGUCGGCGAUGGGGUCGGCCCGCCGAGAAUUGGCGAACGUCUCCGCCGACCCCAUGACGGAGGGGACGACGACUCUCUCAAGGGAGAGAGGGUCCCUGGAGAAGAUUGGAGGGAGCAUAAAGGAAAACCCGGACGAGAUUCGAUAAAGGAAAAUAAAAAAGCGUAAAGACUUACGCAGAGACUAGUGGCGGCCUCCUCACUUCCGUUCGGAAGCGGUUGGCCUUCGCAGCCGCCUCCUCCCGUCUGGUCGCGGCGGCCACCCCCUUUAUCUUCUUCAACUUGGUGCCAGACGCACUCGGCCCGGCGUGACGCCUCUUCAAACCACCCUGAUUGGCGGAGGAUCCGACCUUCGGCUGGUGGCGUGGGGCGACUUCCCCUUCGGCGUCGUCGUCGGGCCAGUCGGCGAAGGUGGCCGAAGGCCUGAAGUCGCCUUCCGCUCCUUCUCCCCCGCCUUCGGCGUCGGCUUCCAUCGCCGCUGCCCCCAGGUCAGGGUCGUCGACGUCGCUCUCCGCACGGUCGGGAUCAUACUCGCGGGGCUGUCUCGUGGCACCGGCGGCAGGCUGCAUAAGAGGAUUCUAGUUCAGAAGAAGCCAACAAGAGUCAGAAGCCGGAGUCGGCUGCGGAAAAAUGACAAAACAGUAGGAAGACGCGACUUACCACUGGUGGAGGGUUGUCGCGCGAGUACGGCUCCUUGCCGAACUGCCAGUCCUCCUCGUACUCGCAGUGCGUGAUGUAAUUCACCAUAUUAGCCACCUCUUUGCGGGGCAUCUCCUUGGUACUCAUCCGACUUGGGUCUCGGAGGCCGCUCAUCUGACAGAUCAGGUGAGGCAGGCCUUGGAGCGGGAGAACUCGGCGCGCCAUGAAGGCGGUCAGCAAGUCGGCCCCGACGAGUCCCUCCGACUGUAUCAAGACUCGGAGUCGCGCUACGGCGGCGGCUCCGGCAAGGGUUAGCGACUUGACUCGGUGAGACCAGCUGGGGAGCCUCCCGGUCAUGGGAGCGGCGUUGUAGGGCGGCAGCUUGACCCAGUCACCGUCGGAGGCAAGGUUCUUCACGUAGAAGUACGAGCGCUGCCACAUCUUCACCGACUUGAUCAGCGCGAUGGGAGGAAAGGGGUUGUCAGCCGUCGAGCGCCGCAUCGCGAUGAAGGCGCCGCACUGAGCCGGCACACCAGCGAUGUGCGUGCCAAGCUUAGAAGAGAAGAAUUCUCCCCACAGCUCGACGGUGGGGAGAACGCCGAGGAAACCUUUGCACAGAGUGGUGAAGGCGGAAAGCAACACCACCAUGUUCGGAGUGAGUUGGUGCGGCUGAAGACUGUGGAACUCCAGGAACGAGCAGAAGAAGCCGCUCGCUGGCAGCCCCAGGCCGCGCAUAAGGUGCGAGCGAAAGACAACCCGCUCGCCCUCUUCCGGCGCCGGCCGGAUUUCCUCCUCCGGUGCGGCGCGGGCGCGCACGAGGUCCGCGCUGGGAAGACGGCGUGUCCGGCGGAGGAACUCGAUGUGUUCUUCCUCUAGCUCCGAGCUGUCCCACACGCCGGAGCGCACGGCAGGGGCCGCGGCAGAGGAAGAGCUCAUCGCCGCAGUAUGGUGUGCUCUUGCUCAAUGGCGGAGGAAGGAAGGAGAGAAAGCAAGAUGAGGCGGGGGAGCGGGGAAGAAGGGCGCGCGAGCUGUGCCGCUCCGCUUCCCCCCGCCUACUUAUAGCCCUGCGGGCUGAGAAGCCGAGGGGGCGGGCGUGGGAUUAACUACGCACGAUGUCCCACGCCGCCCCACGAUUUACCCCACGAAGUUACUGCGCGCAGUAACGACGUGGGAAAACCAACCGUCCACGGCCGCAAUGGAUCCGUUCGUAUGCUGAGGCACGGUAGUGGCGGGCCUCGCCUGACGGCCCGUCCCAUCGCGCGUGUGGGUAGGCAGACUGUUCUCUCCACGUGGAACCACGCGAUAGGACCGCCCUGAUGGCAGCGGGGAGGUGUAUCAGGCACGCCGCCUGGUUUCCUGCCGCGACUUUCGAACUGCGGCUCUUCACUAAAACUCCGACUUUCGACAGUCGGCCCAAGGGAAGACGACCCGAGUUCCAGAGUCUGCACUUUUAAAGAUUGAAGCUAUUGAAGCCCCACAAUGCAGCGACCGCAGGGCUUCACCAGCUUCGGGGACUACUGUCGGAGUAAUAGGCCACGGGUAGGCUAACCCGAGCCCCAAGACAUUUCAGGACAUCGGGGCAGGCCGCGCCCCUCAGGCCGAGUCCCAGGAGCGACUACAAAGUAUGCCGAGUCCCAGACGGCGACUCCGGAGAGGCUGACUUCAAGCUGGCGACCUCCAGAGAGGCCAACUAUGGAGAGUCGGCCCGUGACUCCUCCCCCGUUCCGAAGCACGACGCGGGGUACGGUCACGGCAUGGCCGUUCCCCCCUCCCUACUCACGAAGGGCCGGCAUGGCUACAGCGGGCCGUAUCGCUGGAAGAUCUCCGACGAGGCGCGGCACUGUUGCCAUACCUUCCCUGACCUCAGCCACAGUGCGCAGAACACUGUGCCCACGACGCCGGCCUGUACGACCCAAGGGCGGCGGGGCCGCCUGACAGUGGGUGGGCCGAAGGCGGCCUGGGCGCCCGAAGACGGACCUGUGGGAGUCGGCCUCCCUGGAGUCGGCCGACUCCUCCCCAGGGCCCCACGAGCCAUUAACCAGAUAAGAUGGGGAAUGGCGAUAGUGAUCGCCCGAUAGACGGCGGCACUGUUGCCAUGACCCAAUGACCAAGCCUGCGUCAUCAGGAGUGCCGCUACAGCGUCGAGCCUGUCUGUGGGACCCGCCAGCCGGCGGGCCCUAGAAGCCGGCAGGAAGGACGGUGGCCUGAGAGACAGACGGCUGGGACCCGCGCCUAGCCAUAUUACUAUUUUACCCCCGGGGGGUAGGCCUAUAUAAACCCCCUGGGGCACCCAUGCAAAGGGUUCGGAUCUGAAUAGAGAUAGACCAGAUAGCUCGGUAGGAGAGAGCUAGCCUUGCCCUCUCCUACCUCCCGAAACAGCUCUAGGAGCACCAUUGUAAUCACCUUGCUUGAGUGAUCAUGCGGAGACCCCGCAGAGCAGCAGUAGGGUUGUUAUCUCCUAGGAGAGCCCUGAAUCUGGGUAAGUUCUGCCGGCGUGCAUGUCGUCGCCUCAUCCCGCUUCCAGGCACCGGCGUCGUUCUAUUCGCUCCCACCAUGAUAAGCCAUCCUUUGGCAUAUGUCGCAUCCAACCCCCGACACGUCAAGCAGUCGGGUGGGCACCUCCAUCUUCUCAAUGGCCUUGAUCUUCACAGGGUUGCACUCUAUGCCGCGCUCUGAGACCAGGAAGCCGAGAAGCUGGCCAGCUGGUACUCCAAAGACGCAUUUCUCCGAGUUGAGCUUGAUCUGAAAUCGGCGCAGGUUCUCAAAUGUCUCCUUGAGGUCUUCCAGCAGCAUGCCACACUUCUCCGUUUUCACCACCACAUCAUCCACGUAAAUGUGGGAGUUUCUGCCGAGUUUCUUGAGGAGACACUUCUGCAUGCAAUGUUGAAACGUGGCGCCGACAUUUCGCAAUCCGAACGUCAUGGUCAGGUAGCAGAAGGCUCUGAAUGGCGUGAUGAAGGCAGUCUUCAGCCUGUCGGCCGGGUUAAUCUGAUGGUACCCUAAGUACGCAUCCAAAAAACUCAGCAGCUCGUGUCCGGCUGUGGAGUCUAUUACUUGGUGAAUUCUUGGCAAGGCAAAGGGAUCUUUGGGGCAAGCUUUGUUGAGGCUGGUAUAAUCAAUACACAUGCCCCACUGCUUAUUCUUCUUCAGCACAAGAACUGGGUUGGCCAACCAUUCUGAAAAGAAUACUUCCAUGAUGAAGCCGACUGCUAGAAGCCGGGCUAUCUCUUCUCCGACAACUCUUCUCUUUUCUUCCGACAGGUGGCGCAAGGGCUGUUUGACCGGCUUGGCGUCAGGUCCGACAUGUAACUUGUGCUCGGCGAAAUCCGUCGGAACACCCGACAUGUCUUUGGGAGACCAUGCAAUGAUGUCCCGAUUCUCACAGAGGAAAUCGACGAGCUCGCUUUCCUAUUUGCUGCCAAGGUUUGGACCAAUGACAGCGUGCCUCUCCGAGUGCUCCGGGUCCAAGGGUAUCUUCUUUGUUUCCUUCACCAGCUUGAAUGAGCCCUCAACUUUCGACUCCUUGGGGAUGGGUGACAUUUCCGGCUUCUUGGCUGCCAUCACCACAACCCAGUCAAGGAGCUGCUUCUCAGCUGCAAUCACAAGGGACUCGGCCAGCUGGCUGCUGUCUGCAGUGCGGGCGGAUGACUUCUUGUACUCUCCGACUAUGGUCAGGAUUCCCUUGGUGGUCGGCAUCUUCAUCUUGAGGUAAGCAUAGUGGGGGACCGCCAUGAACUUGGCCAGAGCAGGACGGCCAAGUAGCGCAUGGUAGCGGCUCUCAAGGUCCACCACUUCAAAUCAAACUGUCUCUCAACGGAAGUGAUUCUCGUAUCCAAAGAGAACAUCAAUCUGGGUCUUGCCGAUUGGUGAGCAGGAAAGGCCAGGGACUAUGCCAUGGAAUACAGUCUGACUGGGUUGAAGCUGCUUCUGCUUGACUCCCAAUUCCUCCAUUGUGUCACGGUACAGGAUGUUGAUGCUGCUGCUGCUAUCUAUCAGGACUCUAGAGAAACGAGCUGCCCACCUCUCUGUUGCGAAGGUGGCAUCUAAGACCAGGGCGUAAGAGCCAGGGGAGGGCAUCACCUUCGGGUGGUCGGCCCUGCACCAACUGAUGGGCUUUUCAGACCAAUGCAUGAACUCUCGAAUAUCUGAUGCCACUGCUUGUACUUCUUGUUGUUGCUGCCGUCUGCUACGUCUGUCGUAGGCCACACUGGUGAAAACAACAUAGGCUCCGUGCUCCUAUGGAUACUCAUCUUGUAUGGCGCCCACUAGCCGAACAGCCGGCUGCUGGGGCGGAGGAGGCGGCGGGCCGGCAGGAGGAGGAGGCAGGAGUCCAUCUCCCUUAGCGAUUCUGGUGAGCCAAUGGCACUUCCGAGUGGUGUGGUUGGACGGCUUCACACCACUAUGGAACUUGCAGGGUGCAUCAUUGGGCUUGACGCCCUUCUGAUGGUUGGGUGGAGGCUGCCCCUCCGGCUGCUGGUCUUCGACUGUCGCCACCUGCCGGCUGGUGGAAGCCGGCUGCGUGGCCUUGCGCUUGUUGUCGCUUGGCUGGUGUCGCCGACUGGUGUCACCAGCCGGUGUCCGAGGAGCCUGAGGAGCUACCUUGCCGGAUGCAUCAACUAGGAUCUCCGCCUUCAUGCAGGAAUCGGCAGUAGCGUGCUUGUCAACGAUGAUCAGCAGUUUGUCGAGCGUCACAAGGUCGUCACAGAGAAGUCGGUGCUUGAGGAGGGUGCCCUGUCGGCACCCAACGGUGAAGUAUUCGAUGACCUCCACCUCGUGCACGCCUUUGCAAGAGUUGCGCAGCUUGGCCCAGCGUGUGAGAUACUCACGAGUCGAUUCGCUGGGCCCUUGGACGCACAAGGAGAGCUGGCAUGGCUUGGGAGGCCGCUUGUACAUUAUGGUGAAGUUGCAGAUGAAGGCUUUAGUGAAAUCAACCCAGCUGUUGAUGCUGCGGGGCUUCAGGCUGUUAAGCCACGUCUGGGAUGUGCCUUGAAUUAUGAGCGGAACAUACUUCACAGCAACACGCUUGUUGCCGUUCGCUAUGCUGAUGGCAGUGGAGUAGUCGACCAGCCAGUCCUCCGGCUUCAUGGAGCCAAUGUACCUGGGCGUAUCUCUUGGGAGCAUGAACCCUUUAGGGAAGGGCUCAUCUCGGAUUCGUGGGCCGAAACAAGGUAGACCCAACGCGUCUUCUUCUUGUAGCGCCAGGGAUCGGUUGAGGCGGUCGAUCCGGUGGCGGGCAUCGUUCUCUCCGACUCCUUCUCGGCGGCCAAGGCGGUCGCCGAGUGUUGGGUGCGUGAUAGGCGGCGGAGUGGGGUGCCUUUCUCCGUGAGGCGGAGGGGAGGCGGGUCGCCUUGCCGCUCCACUACUCGAGGGCGGCCGUCUGCGUCACGCUCGAUGGGGAGGUGAGUCCGACUGCGGCUGGCAGCCAGCUCAUUGACUCUUCUUCCGCAGGCGCCGCCAGUCAGCGUCCGGGAUGUUACGCCAUGGUCCUGGCGAAGGGGCGGUUCGUUGUUCCGACGGACGGGCACUUCGGCACGAUAGCCAGCUUCGUGCUGCUCAGCGGCCGCGUCAAGGAGUUGCUGGACUCACUCCGUCAUGUGGCGACACUCGUCGCCCUCGUACUUGUCCAACUCAUACGUCACCGCCUGGGCGGCCCGGAUGUUUUCUGCAGGCGUGGCGUAGACGAGACGAUCCAUCCGGAACAUGCUGGCGAUGGUCGCGCCAUGCUAUGGGAUCGAGCAAAUGUGGCUAGGCCCCUCAGUAACUGGUGUGCCACCAACAGCUCGGUCCAUCUCGCGCCGGUAGGCUUCCGAGAGGCGUCGCAUGCUGGCCAGUUGGCCGGUGCUCUCGAGGAGUUCAACGCGGCGUGCUUCCAGCGUCUCAGCGUUUGCGUCUUCCUGGAUGGGCGCUGAAGAGUCUCGCAGCAUCGGAUCGAGUGGGUCUCGGACGCCUCCGUCCGAGUGCUCACCACUAUUGAUGACAAGCACCUCCGUGAUGGUGCUUCCGCCGCUGUGCUCGCGAGGAGGCGGCUCGUUGUAGACGACCACGUUGGUGGUGAACGCGUCAACCGACACCGUGUUGGAGUCGAUGAUCAUCGGGUUAGUGGAGCCAACCAACUCCAAGUCAACAGCAGGCUCGCUGGUGACAUGGAGGUGGUUGAGGAGACUGACGAGGCGGCUCUCGGGGCGGUCGGUGCCCGCGUCGGAGGCAGCCUUGUCGGAGAGGCGGAUCUCGCCAACAAGGUCGGUGAGGCAGCUCACCGCGCAGGCAAUCUCCGCAUCGUGCAGCGCAUCGAGGCUGACUCCGUCGGGCGUGCUAGGCUGGCUGCGCUCGCUAGGAAGGAACAAGGUUCCUGUCAAGAGAAGAUCUCCAGAUGACGGUGCACCUCACCCCAUGGUAGGUGCCAAAUGUCGGGGGUUGGGUGCGACAUAUGCCAAAGGAUGGCUUAUCAUGGUGGGAGCAAGUAGAACGUCACCGGUGCCUGGAAGCGUGAUGAGGCAUAGACACGAACGCCGGGGCACUUUACCCAGGUUCGGGGCUCUCCUAAGAGAUAACACCCCUAGUCCUGCUCUGCGGGGUUUCCGCAUGAUCACUAAGGCACAAGUGAUACAAUGGUGCUCCUUGAGCUGUAUGCUAGAGGUAGAAGGAGGCAGGGCUAGCUCUCUUCUUCCUCUAGGGUGGAGUCUAGUUCUAACAGGUUGGGAACCCUUUGCAUGGGUGCCCUGGAGGGUUUAUAUAGGCCUACCCCCAGGGGUACAAUGGUAACCUGGUCGGGUGCUGGACCUGACUGUCAGUGUCUCUCGUCGCCGGCUUCUCCGCUGGCUGCUGGGGCCUGCCGCCUGGCAGGCCCCGCUAACUGGUCUGGUACGGAGCCGAAAGGCCCCUCCCGCCACUGGUGGGUCUGGUGGGUGUCUGAUUGCUGUAGCCAUGAUGCUAAUGACGCAGGCUUGGUCAGUGGAGCGUGGCUACAGUCCCGCCGCCUGGUGGGAGAUCACUGUAGCCACACAAUGUCUUAUCUGGUUAAUGGUGCACGGGCCUCGAGGGAGGAACUAGACGCCUGCUGGAGGCCGGCCUCCCUCAGGUCCGGCUGGUCUGGCCUCCGCCGUCUUCCGGGCUCUCACUGCCUGGUAGGGCCCGCCGCCUGUAGGCCGUACCGAUAGGCCGUCCUGGAAGCAGGGCUCCGCCUGUCAGGAGUGACGUCGAGGGGGAGUGGCAACAGUGUCGCGCUGUGUGGAGAUCUUCGCCUGUACGGGGCACUGUAGCCAUGCCAAGCCCAGGAUUCGGGGGUGAGGGACUACACUGUAGCCUCACUCUGUCUUGUCCUCUUGAUGAAGGGCACAGAUUCUGAGGGCGCGGGGAGGCCGUCUACUAGGAGCCGGCCAGUCUUGGUGCCAUCUGCUGGUGGGUGGCCGCCUUCAGGCAGCCGGCCGUUGAGACAGCUGGCCACCAGAAGGCGGUGCUUCAUUCUGAGGUCUCGUGGGGCGAAGCUGGCCCAAAGUCUUGAAAGGCUCAGGGACUCGGGUGAGACUACCCGUGGCCCAUUACUCCGACAACGGGAAUUAUGAAGACUAAGCAGCGUGAAUUUCUUGCGCUCCUCCAAGUAAAUCAGCCUGUGGAUGAAUAUUUGCAAAAAUUCAAUCAUCUCGCAUGUUACUCCCUAUGGCAACUGAAGAAAGAAAGAUUGACAGAUUUCUUGGCGGAUUAAACCCGCAACUACGGUGUACUCUUAGUAUGUUCAAUUUCCUAGACUUCCAAACCCUGGUGAUCAAGGCUUUCAUUGCUGAAUGAGAGCACAAGCUUGUAUCAGAUAAUAGGUCUGCUAACAAUGAUCACAAGCGCAAGUUUGAGCCAAGGAAGGAGGUAAAACCAGCGCAAAAGGCUCGUACCUAGCAACAGACUCAGGUGGAAUACAAGCCCAAUUGGCAACAGAAUGUUAACAAGACCACCACUCAAGUCAAGAAUGUCGUAACCAACCCAGUGCAAGAGGAGCGUCUGCGUAACAAUUCUUGCUUUAGUUGUGGGCAAACCGGACAUUAUGCCAAACAGUGUCCCAAGAACAACAGGUUGAAUGCUAUAUUCUAGCCACAAGUCCAUUUUAUGGAGGCAGGCUUGAACCAGCAAAAUAUCACGGCAUACAUUCGUCACCUCUCCCCCGAUGAAGCCCAAGAGAACCCCAAAGUCGUCAUUGGUAUGUUUUCUGUUAAUAACAUACCUGCAGUGAUUUUAUAUGACUUUGGGGCUUCCCACUCUUUUAAUUCUCGGAGUUUUGUUGCCCAAAACAAAUUUCCAUGUUCGCUUUUGGGCAAGAAUAUGCUGGUACAAACCCCGGGAUCCUUAAUCAGAAGCAAUCUAGUCUGUCGAAAUCUGGAAGUCAAUACCAAUGGAGUCUGUUUUCCAAGUUCCUUGAUACUUAUCGAGUCUAAUAAGUUGGAUGUUAUCUUGGGUAUGAAUUGGCUGACUCAAUAUCAAGUAUGCAUAAAUUGUGCGACCCGAGAAGCCACUUUGACCAGCCAACAAGGGCAGACUACAAAAUUCUGUGCUCGUAGAAGCAUACCCGCGAAACAAAUGGUCUUCACCGCAGUGGCGGAAUUUGAAUUAAUUCCUGUGGUCAGUGAGUUUUCUGAUGUAUUUCCAGAAGAAGUGCCAGGCAUGCCACCGGAUCGAGAGAUUGAGUUUGCAAUAGAUCUUAUGCCCGGGACCACACCAAUACACAAGAAGUAUUACCGAAUGCCUGCAUCAGAAUUAGUGGAGCUAAAGAAACAGCUUGACGAAAUGCUCCAGAAAGGAUAUAUCUGUCCCAGCUCUUCACCAUGAGGAUCACCUGCUAUCUUCGUGGACAAAAAGGAUGGCAGCCUCCGCAUGUGUGUGGAUUACCAUCAGCUGAAUGAUGUCACAAUCAAAAACGAAUGUCCACAACCAAGAAUUGAUGACCUAUUUGAUCAGCUCAGUGGGGCCAAGGUAUUCUCCAAGAUUGAUUUAUGGACUGGAUACCAUCAGCUCAAGAUUAAAAAGGAGGAUAUUCCUAAGACCGAAUUCACCACUCGAUGCGGUCUUUAUGAAUAUACAGUUAUGUCUUUUGGUCUCACCAACGCCCCUGCCUUCUUCAUGCAUAUGAUGAACAAAGUAUUCAUGGACUUCCUCGAUAAGUUCGUGGUAGUCUUCAUUGAUGAUAUACUUAUUUACUCAAGAAGUGAAGAAGAGCAUAAAAAACACCUCCGAGCAGUGUUACAACGACUCCGUGAACAUCCGUUAUACACCAAAUUCAGUAAAUGUGAGUUUUGGCUCAAGCAAGUUGGAUUUAUUGGACAUGUGCUCUCCGCCGAAGGUAUAGGCGUGGACCCGAGCAAAGUAAAGGAUGUACUCGAUUGGUUGCCACCCACAACUGUAUCUCAAAUCCGGAGUUUUCUUGGAUUAGCCGGAAAUUACCGUCAUUUCAUUGAAGGGUUCUCCAAGAUUGCUAAACCCAUGACAGAGCUGCUCAAAAAGGAUAAGAAGUUUGAAUGGACUGAGGAUUGUGAAAAAAGUUUCAAUGAGUUAAAGAAACAGUUGACAACUUCACCGGUAUUGACUCUUCCACAUAUCUACCGCAGUUUUGAUGUGUAUUGCGACGCUUCCAGGCAGGGACUUGGAUGCGUACUUAUGCAAGACGGCAAGGUAGUAGCUUAUGCCUCACGACAGCUACGACCCCACGAGGGAAAUUAUCCUUCUCAUGAUUUGGAGUUGGCAGCGGUGGUUCAUGCUUUAAAAAUUUGGAGACACUAUCUCAUCUGGAAGAGGUUCCAAAUUUUUACAGAUCACAAAAGUGUCAAGUAUAUAUUUACUCAACCAGAUUUAAAUCUCCGUCAACGAAGAUGGCUUGAGUUAGUCAAGGAUUAUGACCUUGGAAUAAAUUACCACCCGGGUAAGGCCAACGUGGUUGUCGAUGCGCUCAGUCGAAAGCCCGUCAACCUAAAUGUCAUAUUGGAAUCCUUGCCUCCUGAACUCCAAGAAGAGAUUGCUCAGCUCAACCUGGUCAUAGUAGAUGCUGGCCUUGCUAACAUUUUGGCAGUUACCCCCACAAUUGAGGAAGAGAUCCGCAAGGCCUAGUCGGAUCACACUGAUCUACAGAAACGUGCCAUGCAUAUGGUAGCAAGUCAGACUUUCGAUUUCUCGAAGGAUCAGAUUGGUACCCUCCGAUUCCGGGGAAGGAUUUGUGUUCCCAAUUAAGCAGAUUUAAAGUCGAAGAUCCUGUCAGAAGCACACGAAUCCUCGUAUUCAAUUCACCCUAGAGGUACGAAAAUGUAUGAAGACCUUCGACAAACAUUCUGGUGGGAUGGGAUGAAGAAAGACAUUGACUAUUUCGUGGCCUGUUGCAACAUAUGCAACAAAGUGAAGGCAGAGCAUCAGAAGCCAGCCGGACUUCUCCAACCGCUGCCAGUGUCAUAAUGGAAAUGGGAUGAUGUCUGUAUGGAUUUCAUCACAGGACUACCUAAGACUCGACGCGGCAAUGAUGCAAUCUGGGUCAUAGUGGAUACAUUAACCAACGUAGCCCACUUUAUCCCGAUCAGAACCACAUAUCGAGCAGAUGAACUUGCACAAUUGUAUGUAUCCAGAAUAGUCAGUCUGCAUGGAGUCCCCCGAACCAUCACUUCUGACCAAGGUUCACUUUUUACCUCCACUUUUUGGUCCUGACUCCGUCAAGCCUUGGGGACAGCAUUAAAAUACAGUACCGCUUAUCAUCCUCAGACUGAUGGACAGAUAGAGCGGGUAAACCAAAUACUCGAAGAUAUGCUGCGAGCCUGUGCUUUGGCCCAAGGACUGAAAUGGGAAGACUGUUUGCCCUAUGUUGAGUUCUCCUAUAACAAUAGUUUCCAGACCAGCUGAAAGAUGUCACGGCAUGAGGCUUUGUUUGGCCCUAAGUGCCGCACUCCUUUAAAUUGGUCUCAAACUGGAGAUAGCCACAUUUUCGGAACUGAUCUCAUGCUGGAAGCCGAGAAGCACGUCAAGGAAAUCAGAGACAGAUUGUAGUUGGCCAAAUCUCGACAGAAGAUUUAUUAUGAUGCAAAGCACCGACAGAUCAGUUUUGAACCCGGAGAACAUGUAUACCUUCGAGUCACGCCUAUGAAAGGAGUCAAGAGAUUUCAGACUCAUGAAAAGUUGGCACCCAUAUUUAUUGGUCCAUUUCCAGUUAUGUCACGAGUGGGUACUGUUGCAUAUUAGUUGGAGCUACCCCCUGAAUUGUCAGACGUGCACAACGUGUUUCAUGUUUCAUAGUUACGGUGUUGCAUAUCACCGCCGGAGAAAAAGACUGAUAUGACGGAAAUAGAGCUGGCCAAGGAUUUAACCAACAAAGAGAGGCCAGUUAGAAUCUUGGAUCAGAUGGAAAGAGUCACUCGCAGUAAGGCAUGGAAGUUUUACAAAGUCCAACGGAAGCAUCACACAGAGUCAGAAUCAACAUGGGAAUCAGAAGAAUAUCUAAGGGCACAUUAUCCAGAAUGGUUUUCACAAGCAAACUAAUCUCGAGGACGAGAUUCAUUCUAAGUGGGGGAGGUUUGUGACAGCCUGGUUUUUGCCCCCUCUUCUUUGCCUGAUUUUCAGUUGGUUUGAAUUUGAGUUUGGAGUUUUUGAAUCCUUUCAUUUCGACUUAACAACUUGGGUACCCCUUGACUUUCACCCAAGUGCUUCAUCUCCCUCUCAAACCAUCACUCCAUCUCUGGUUCACCUCAUAAUAUAAUUUGGAAUAUUUUUCUUGAAUGAAAAAUAUUCAUUUUCCCUCCUAAACCCUAGCUAUCUAAAUGUGCUCCAAAGAAACCCCAAUUUUUCUUGCCCAUAAAAUCUUGAGAAAAAUCCCAACUAUUCUUUGAACCCUAGGGCACCUUUUUGAGCAAAAACAUUUCAUCACUUUUUGGAAUAUUUUGGCUACAGAAAAUAUUUUCAUUUCUGGACAGAAAUGGUAGUUUCUUCAGCAACUACCAUUUUACUUGCUCCAUUGUAGCUGGUUUUUCUUGUGCAUCUUCACCUUAGUAAAUGUUGGCUAGCCUCAAAAGCCCAGCUCUCAACUCCCAGUGGUUUGACCACAGUAAACUCUCAAAGUUACUAUCCAGAAACUUACCUGGAGUGUAAAUUCAUUUCUACUGCACCUGAAACCCAACCCAAGUGUGGUAACAGUCAAAUUUACCACGGACUACACGCCAGACAUGAAGUUUGGGCUUAGGUCGGCUUGAGGUCAUAGUUCACACGGUGACCGCGUUCGUCCAGGUGUGCUGGCAUGCAAAACAUGCGCUCUGAGUGCCGUCGAGCGCUCUGUUGCGUGCGUGCUCGCUGCCCUACCUGCCCGAGCGUGCCAAACCAUGCCACCAUCAUCGUCUCUACUCACUUAACUCCGCCCUAGAACUCGCCGACUCGGGAGCUCGCCGCAGCGGGCACGGGCACGGUCCGACCAAUGCCACAGUGCGCGGCGCACUCUGCUCGUCGUCUUCCUCUCGCCCCUGUGCUCGUCCCCGUCCCCGAGCUCGAGAUCGUCGGCGAUCCCCUCAGGUCGUCCCCGCAAGUCCAGCCCCUCCCAGGCAAGGGAAACUCUUCCAGGGCCUCCUCCCCUCUCCGGUGGUGUCGUUCCGCCCGGUUGGAGCCCAUGGAGUCGCCCCUAGUCGUCGCCGUCUUCGUCUCUGUCGACUGCUGCUCUCUGCCUCCGCUGGAGAGGCUGUUUCCGGCACCGUCCGACCACCCCUAGCCACUCUACGGGUACGGGAAGGUGCGCCUCUGUCUCCUCUCUUGAUCCCUCCCUCUCGUUUUGGCCCAAGAGCCCUCGCCGCUGGGCCCGCUAGCAAGGCCCGCUAGCGAAGCCUCUCCCCCUCCACCUUACCUGACUAGCAGGGCCCGCUAGUCAGCCACUCUGUACGCGCGCGAAGCGGUACGAGUUGUGGCACCCUGGACUUUUACGCCUUCGAUGUUACCCCCCCACACACACACAGUCUGUUUAUUUUUAAUUCAAAUUUCAUUUAAAUCCAGAGAACUUCAAACAGCCAAAACUUUUUAACCAUAAGUCCAAAUGAUUUGAUUCUUUUUGCAUUGUGUUCUUUGUCAAACAAUCUAGUAGCUCACCAAAGAUGGGAUGUUUCCCUGCUGUCUAGAUUUUAUGGUGAAUUUCAGAAGGUUUCUUGAUGAUUUCUUUUUGUGUUUUUAAAUAUUUUCAGAAGGUGAGGCUUGUCUUGAGGAUCACCAGGAGGAUUGUGAACCUCUUUUGCACUAAGGGAAGCCACAUCAACAUUUUCAUAGUGCCACUAAAAUAUUUGUGAUUUUCUACUUGAACAAAUGAUUAUUCAUGCAUUUAAAUUAUUAAUAUGUUAAUUAUACUCUGUUAGAUGCUUGUUAAAGUGAAUAUGCUUGAUUUACAGAAAGUUUGAAGUGAACUUAGCUGGUAAACUAGCAAGGAUUUAGUUUUUGGGUGAUGAAAGAAUAAUAUGGCUAUGGAUAUGAAUAAUUAGUGGAAUUAUUUUCUUGCAUGAGUAAAAAUGAUAAAUUUGCUAGAAAAGGUUCUGGUUGAAGUGAGGCUUGAUCUUAACCAGAGAAGCAUCAUGAGUUGUUGAUGCUCAGUGUGAGCAUAGUUGACUCAGUCAUUUCCGUUGAUAUGAGAUGCAUAUGUUGGUGAUGCAUGUCAUGGUAUUAUGACGCCGGUUAUUUUCACUUUAAGUUGAACCUGAUAAUAACUCAACUUGAAUAUGUUGUUGACCGGGUCAUGGUGCUGCUGAAUCGAGUCUUUCCGAGUGCAACCACAUUUUCCGGUAUGGGACGGACUUUAUUCGUUUCAUUGUCAUGCCUCUUGUCGGUGCCUCCAACUAGGGAAGGUUAUGGACUUUAUUCGUUUCAUUGUCAUAACCUUGUGUGUCUGUUGUUAAGUUUUUGGUACCGGGUCCCCGUGUGGGAUUGUUUGGCCACGACGGUGGUCGUUGUGUCUUCGGUAGACACGGGGCCAGCCAGGACUAGCCCGAUGGGGAGUGAGUUAGAGUGGCCGGGAGAGUGUCAUAUCAAUGGAGGGGUUUCGUCGGAAUGCCGUUAGUCCACCCGAAUGGGAGUGCAAGGCCAUGGGUUCCGUGGUGUGGGUCCAGUGCACUACCUCUGCAGAGUGUAUUAAUCUAUCGAUAGCCGAGUCCACGAUGAAGGACACGCUCGAAAGUAGGUCACACCAUGUGUCAAUAUUUAAUGAAUUUUGCACACUAAGUAUGAAGUUUGCAUUGUGUUGGUGGUGGGAAGGACAUUGUGUUGAUUUGGACCAGAUGUUGGUCAUGGUUGUGAUCGCCAUAAGGAUCACGGGCCAAAUAUUGGUCGUGGUUGCGAUCACCGUAAGGAUCACAGUUUGGGGCCAAUUAUUGGUCGUAUUGUGAUUGCCGGAAGGAUCACGAGAUGUCUCUGGGUUGGCACGUUUGUGAUCCAGGAACGAUCACGUUUGGUAAGCCAGUCAGAGGGACGAUUAUCAUAAGAGCAUGGUCAUAGCAUGUUGGAUAUAUUGUUGCAUGGUUAUAAAUUGGUUAAUUGUCAUAAUAUUGUUUGUCAUUAUGUUUAUGCUUGUUGUGAUCUUGCAAGUACAUUCAAUGUACUGACCUGGCAUGUCAUGCCAUAUUUCAGGAAAGUCCCGUUGGAAAGGUGUGCUGUCCGAGUCUAGAUCGUGUCCACAUUGGUGUCCCUGUGCUAUGGAGUUCCGCUACGACGUUGUUCCGCUGCCACGUAGUUGUCAGGAUCGAGGCCCCUUUAUGUUCACUAAAUAAUGUACAUAUUGUUCAGCCGCACCUCGUGUGCCGCUUGGCCUCGCCAACUUUUGUAAUAUAAACUUUGAUCCGCUGGCAUCAAUAAAGCGGUUGUUUUCUAUACCAAGUUGUUGUGUGUUGCUAGAACACAAGGUCGCUGGGUUGGCAAUGCAUGGUAAACCUGUUGCUCUGAGCCGGGGUGCCACAAGCCCCGUCUCAUGGGACGUUCAGGAGGAGAGUGGGCAACGCGCGGAGCCCGCAGGGUAGAGAAUCCAUGUGACAUCAAGUGCAGGGAUUAAUAGUCAUCAUAACUCAUGAAAGCAUAACUGUUUCAAGGUACAUGAACGGAAUGAUGCAACUGCAGGAGCGGACCCUUACCGCCGAGGAUAAUGCAGCCCAAGGGGCACCCUCAAUUGAACAAACAAAAGGUCACGUGGUAAAGAUGUUACGAAGGCGUCGAGGUAGUCGAUGAAGCGUGUCGUGAAGGUUGAACCCUCAUGAGUCGGACGGCUCCGGAGCCUCGAGAGGCUUGUGAGGUCCAUGGGGCACGCGAGGGCCAGGUCUCCUAAGUCGCCACUGUGGCACCCCGGCUCAGAGCAACCGGUUUACCUUGCAUUGCCGGCCCAGAGAUGAAGUCUUCUGGCAAUACACAGCAACAUGGUACUGAAACAACCACUUUAUUGAUGCUAGUAGAUUACAUAGGUCUGAUAUUACAUCAAGAUUCGAGGCCAAGCAUCACACACGGUGCCGCUGCACGGUAUGUACAUUAUUUAAUGAAGAUGAUGGAGCCUCGAUCGCACGAUCUAUGCAGCAGCAGAAGAAAAACGUAGAGGAACUCCAUAGCACAGGGACACCAAUGUGAACACGGCCUAGACACGAGAUGCGGUCCGAUGCGAACUGACUUGCGUGAAAGCUGGCAUAACACGCCAGGUCAGUACAUUGAAUGUACUGGCAAGCUCACAACAAACAUAAGCACGAUGACAAACAAUAUCAUGAUAUUUAAACAGAUUUAUUCAAUGCAAAACUACUACUACCAAACAAACAUUUCAUGCAAUGAGUCCAAUAGACUCGCUUACGAGACGGUUACCACAUAACCAAACAAUGACCAUACGCUGGUGACAACGGAAACCAAUCACUCAUGAGCACCUCAAGUGUUCAUGCUUUCGUCACGAACCAAUGCAUCACAUCACUCACUUAGUUUGCGAGAUUAUUAGAAAAGUUGAUCCAUGGUGUGACUUACUUCCGAGUUUUGCCCAUAACCGAGGACGCGGCUAUCGAUAGAUUAAAUACACUCUACAGAGGUAGCACACUUUACCCACACUACAGAAUACCUAGCCCCGCAUUCCCGUUCGGGUGGACCAAAGCAUUCCGACGAAACUCUUUGAGGGAGUCCUGGAUUAGGGGGUCCUCGGACAACCAAACUAUAUACUUUGGCCGGACUGUUGGGCUAUGAAGAUACAAGAUUGAAGACCUCGUCCCAUGUCCGGGUUGGACUCCCCUUUGCGUGGAAGGCAAGCUUGGCAAUUCGGAUAUGUAGAUCUCCUUCUUUGUAAUCAACUCUGUGUAACCCUAGCCCCCUCCGGUGUCUAUAUAAAUCGGGGGGUUUAGUCCGUAGGACAACAACAAUCAUAAUCAUAGGCUAGCUUCUAGGGUUUAGCCUCUACGAUCUCGUGGUAGAUCAACUCUUGUAAUACUCAUAUCAUCAAGGUCAAUCAAGCAGGAAGUAGGGUAUUACCUCCAUCGAGAGGGCCCGAACCUGGGUAAACAUUGUGUCCCCCACCUCCUGUUACCAUUAGCCUCAGACGCACAGUUCGGGACCCCCUACCCGAGAUCCGCCGGUUUUGACACCGACAUUGGUGCUUGAAUUGAGAGUUCCACUGUGUUGUCACGAUAAGGCUUGAUUGCUCCUUCAAUCAUCUACAACAAUACUAUCCAGGGUGAGGUUUUCCUCCCCGGACAGAUCUUCGUAUUCGGCGGCUUCGCACUGUGUGUCAACUCGCUUGGCCAUCUAGAGAAGAUCGAUAGCUACGCCCAUGGCCAUUAGGUCAUAUUUGGAAGCCUGGACUACACCGCCGACUUCCUCGGAGAUUUGAUCUUCAACGGAUUCGAGCCCAUGGCAGGCGCGCCGAACAGUCACGAUGAGCAUGACUUAGAUCUGCCAUAGGACGGUGUUCAGGAGAUCACACCUACGGCUACCCCGGCUUUUAAUCCGGAGGUGAUCGUGCCAUCCGAGGAUGGGUGGAUGGACCCCGCCACAGAAGCCGCACACUCUUCAGCGCUAGAGCCGAACACAGACUUCACCUCCACAGAGGUCUGUGUCAUCGAACCCUCGGACUCGUCUCCGCCAUAGGUUCCGAACCACGCACAUCUAUGCCUAUCGAAUCUGAUUGGGAACCGAUCAUGGAGUUUUCCUCCACGGAUAUAUUUCAGCACUCACCCUUGGGCGACAUGCUAAAUUCACUGAAAUUUCUCUCCCUGUCAGGAGACUCUUGGCCGAACUAUGUCCGGCUUAAGUGGGAAGCGGAUGACGAAGAAAUUCGUUACCCACCCACCACCCACUUGGUAGCCACUGUUGAUGACUUAACCGACAUGCUUGAUUUUGACUCUGAAGACGUCGACGAUAUGGACGACAAUGCUGGAGAGGAACAGGAACCACCGCCCAUAGGGCGCUGAACAGCCACCUCAUCAUAUGCUAUAUACAUGGUGGACACCCCCAAAGAAAGUGAUGGCGAUGAGUCCACAGAGGAUAAUCCCCUUGAGAAGCAAUCUAAGCAUCGGCGUCAUUGGCGCUUCUCUAAGCCUCGCCAUAGCAAAAAUGCGAUACGGGUACAACAGACAAUAACGCUCCAAAUAAUGCCGAAGAUGAAAACAAUCCCGCCCAGCCAGGCUUCGAGCAGGCCGAGCGGAAGGAUGGGCAAGCUGGCCCUAAGGAACAGGCAACAGAUGGAGAAUCAGAGGAUGACAAUUACAAGCCCCUCUCUGAAGACGAAGUGAGCCUUGGCGACGAAGAAUUCAUCGUGCCUGAGGAUCCCGUCGAGCAGGAGCGCCUCAAGCGCUGGCUUAUAGCCACUACAAACAGCUUGAAGAAAAAGCAGCAGUAGCUUCAAGCUGAUCAAGAUCUACUAACGGAUAGAUGGACUGAGGUCCUGGCAGCCGAGGAAUACGGACUCGAGUGCCCAACCAAAAGUUACCCAAAGCGCAGGUUGCUACCUCAACUCGAGGAGGAGGCAUUAAAGCCAACACUACCAGCGCAGGAUGUGGCUGACCAGCCACCUUGUGGCCGAGACAAAGCGGCGUAUCAGCCUGAACACCAGCCCGCACCCCGUCGCCAAUCAAACAAAAACACCAAGGCCUGGGGCUACACGCAGGACCUGCAAGACGUAUUGGUAAAGCAGGAUAGAUAAGAUCGAUCUAUGGAUCACGGGGGCGCCCCCCAAUGCGUGACGAUGACCGUCAUGCCGGAUAUACUAAAAGCAUAUCUGGCCGGGCCGAAUACAACAGACCAGACUCAUUUGAACUGCGUUGUGAUAUAACCCGGCAUAGAGGCGCCGCACACCCCCUAUGCUUCACUGAUGAAGUAAUGGAUCAUGAAUUCCUAGAAGGGUUUAAACCCGUGAACAGUAAAUCAUACGAUGGUACAAUAGACCCCGCGGUAUGGAUUGAAGAUUUCCUCCUCCACAUUCACAUGGCCCGCGGCGAUGAUCUACGUGCCAUCAAGUACCUCCCAGUAAAACUCAAAGGACCGGCUCGGCAUUGGCUGAAUAGCCUGCCGGCAAACUCCAUUGGUAGUUGGGAGAACUUGGAAGACGCAUUCCUGGACAACUUCCAGGGCACUUAUUGCAACCAUCAGAUGCUGAUGACUUAAGUCACAUAACCCAACAGCCCGGAGAGUCAGCCAGGAAAUUCUGGACUCAGUUCCUAACUAAAACGAACCAGAUUGUCGACUGUCCAGAUGUCGAAGCCCUGGCAGCCUUUAAGCAUAACAUCCGCGACAAGUGGCUCGCCGUACACCUCGGCCAAGAGAAGACGAAGUCCAUGGCAGCCCUCACGACACUCAGGACCCGCUUUUGUGCGGGCGAGGACAGCUGGCUGGCUCGUAGCAACAUCACAUCAAGAAAUCCUGGCACUUCAGAUGCCAGAGAUAGCAAUGGCAAGCCACGACGCAAUAGACAUAAGCGUCGCAACAAUGGCGACAACACCGAAGACACGACGGUCAAUGCCGGAUUUAGUGGCUCUAUGUCCGGCCAGCGGAAAAAGCCAUUCAAAAGAAACAAUCCAUGCCCGUUCAGUCUUGUCAGGACCCCGACUCAAUGCCACACCGAUCUAGCAUGUAACACCUCAUAUCACUUUGCGGCCUAACACAUGGUAUUCCCACGGGUGACGCCUUGCCAGGCCUGGGACCAUUUGCGCCUUUUGGCACAUGUAUACGAUAGUGUCGCUAGCAUCCAUAUGACAAGUAGCCCGGGCUGACAUGGCUAGUCGUGAACCCAAAGUGGCGCUAACUUACAGGGACAAGCAUACAUGACCCAACAACGAACGUGUCGGUCGUCAGCGAGUGAAUUCGGGCUGUAGCAGCUGGGCUAGCAGGACUCCGGAGAAUCCGGGCUAUACCAGGCUAACAGGACUUCGGUAGACACCGCGUGACAUUUCCCCGAAGGGACAGACACAGGAUCAAAGAAGGACACAUGCAGGCUAGCCUAAGUGCUCCGGAGCAGUAGCAAGCUACCAAGGCUCAAUGGAAGCACUAGGAGAGAUUUCCCGGUAAGAGAUGCUACCAAGGAUAAACAACUAGAUAGUCAGAUCCCACACAUACCAAGCAUUUCACUAGCAUACACAGAAUAUGCUCAAUAUGUGCAAAUACAACAUGGCAUCACAACAUGACUCUACAACUCAAGUAUUUAUUCAAUAGGCUCCGAGGAGCGAGAUAUUACAAACAUGGGUCUCAUGACCCAACAUUCAAAGCAUACAAGUCAAAUCACAUGCGGAAGCUUAACAUGUCUGAGUAUAGACAUCUACAAAUGAAAAAGGCUGAGAAGCCUGACUAUCUACCAGAUCCUGCCGAGGGCACAAGAUCGUAGGUGAGGUAACAAGCUAAACGUCGAAGUCUACGUGGAACUACUAGCGAGACUGAAGUCUCUCUGCAAAAAACAUAAAUUAAGCAACGUGAGUACAAAUGUAUCCAGCAAGACUUACAUUAGAACUAACUACAUAUGCAUCAUUAUCAACAAGGGGGUGGUGGAGUUUAACUGCGGCAAGCCAGCUUUGACUCGGUGGCGAUCCUGAACUAUGACUGCAAGUAAAUCUUUUGAGGUGGCGCACAUGAGUCCACAUAUUCAUCAUAUCAAUACACCACUAUGGAUCUGCUCCCAUCUCUCUACGAGAACGCCAUCCAUAGCACUCUCGCUUAUCUUGCGUAUUUUAGAGUGUCCACUUUCACUUGUCUAUGAACUAUAUAGGCAACCCAGAAGUCCUUUACCGCGGACACGGCCAUUCGAAUAGAUCAUAUUAACCCUAUAGGGGUGUACUUCUUCACACACGCUCUCGCCACUUACCGCCAUGUACACGUCAUGUAUCUCGGCAACCUUCAAGCAGAAGCCUGGCGAGGGUGUCUUCCACAACCUGACUAACUAGACAAGUAUCUCGUCCAGGUUUAUCGCCUAUUCGGGUUCCAUCCGCAAGGAGAUCUGGCCGGGGUGUCGCUCACGGCCCCAAACGAUGUGUGAAAGUUCCCAAUCCCACCAUCCGGGUGCCACUUGGUACACCGGGCCACUGUGCCUAGUCUGUCCCAAGCCCACCUGUACCGGGUGCCACUUGGUAGACUACUAACACUACCUACAAACACCAGAAACUAGUUGCAACUCCUCGACAGAGAUCAUGUUGAUUAAUAAGUCGAGAGGGGUCGAGUUACCAGAACCCAAUGUGUGGUAGUAACAGUUCAUGGAUCACAAAGAGAGGACUCAGUUCCUAAGGACGGCUUCAAUGAGACAACCCACCAUGUACUCCUACAUGGCCUCUCACCGCUACAUUUAUCAAACCAUGUUCACACACUUAGCUCACACACAGUAGGACAUGUUCACAACAUUCCAAUUCAUCCCCGAUGAAUCAGACCAGACUCAACUCUAAGAAGUAGCAGGCAUGAAAAACAAGCAUGAAUGAGUAGGCACAUCAGGGCUCAAACAACUCCUACUCAUGCUAGUGGGUUUCAUCUAGUUACUGUGGCAAUGACAGGUCAUGCAGAGGAAAGGGGUUCAACUACCGCAGCAUGUAACAGUUGAAUCGUUGUGUUCCUAAUGCAGUAAAAGAGAGCAGGAGCGAGAGAGUGGGAUGGUAUCGGAAUGAACAAGGCGUUUUUGCUUCCCUAGCACUUCUGAAGAUAGUAUAAUUGUUCAUUUGUGUCAUUGAUCACAUCGUCGAAAUGCGUCUACCAAGAGGGGGCAAUUACCGGCAACUGAGAAAGAAACACAAUCAAUGCAAUGCACAAUAUGAUGCAUGCUCAUGACAUGGGAAUAUGAGUGUGUUGGCCUAGUGCAACUACGACCAGAUGUAUUUGGGUCAUUUUGAACCGAAGGUUCAAUCCCAAACUCAAAUUAUGAAUUUAAAUAGUGCCUUAUCAUGUUUUGAUAUAAACAGCAGGUUUAAGUUGCUUUAUCAUGCAUGAAACUAGUGCAGAUGGAUAGAUUGGAUUUUUGUGAUCAUUUUUCAUAUAUAACUUGUUUCAUUUGGAGCUACGGUUGAAUUUAUAUGAUUUUUAGAAUUUACGCCUUUUUCUGGAUUUUCUGAUUAAAUAGAACUAAACUAAUUCCAGAAAAGGAUUUACUGCAUCAGCCUGACGUCAGUGUGAUGUCAGCAGGUCAACUAAGUCGGUCCAGGUCAAACCUGACUAGUGGGGUCCACUGGUCAGUGGCUGGAGAUGGCUAGUGCCGCUGACAAGUGGGCCCAGUCAACAGCCAUGUCAGCUUGGUCAAAGCUGGCGCGUGGGUCCCGUUGGGUUAUAACUAAUCUAAGCAGAAAUAAAACUGGAGUUAAUUAGGGUGUAGGGCCCAUGUGUCAUUGGCUCAAGGGGUUGUUUAGUGGGAUGAUUAGCCGCUAAUUACGCGGCCACGUCGGACGCGCCGGCGAUUAAAUGACGGCGACCACGGCUCGUGGCGGCGACGCUCGGGAUCGGGCUGUAGGCCAUGGUUUCGAGCGCAGUUUGGUCCUAAGAGACGCUGGUGCUCGUCCGCAUCCAACGGAGCCAUCGGCUCGCGCUGGGGUGGACCGUAGUUACAUCGGCGACGACAAGCCCGGCGGCCGGAGCUCGGGCAAGCUCGGCAACGACGCUGCGGUGCAUGGGGGAACUGGCUGACGAUGGUUUUGGGUUUCAGGGAACAUUCUGAGCAUGUAGCGGUGCUUGGACGCGACGAAAACGACCUCUAGCCACGGCGGCUUGAAGUCUGGCGGCGGUGAGCUCACGGCUCCGGCGACUAACGUGGUUGAGGGAGGAAACGAUGGCAGGCUAGGGGGAAAAGAGAAGGAGCUCGUAGCGCGUCGGGUGAGGGUCUCAGCGAGCUCGGGGAAGGCCUGACGAUGGCGAAUCAAGCGGCGGGGAUCGUCGGCACCGAGGUUGAAGAAGACAUCCAGGAUGGUGACGCGGUGCUUCCCGGUUUUUUGGCUCGGCGUGGACGAAGAGGGCGAAGAUGCGGAGCUCAGGGACGCGGAGAGGGAGCGAGGGAGUGGCUGUGGCCACGGUGCUGCUCAUCGGCGGCGGCGGUGCGGUUCGAUGAGGUGGGCAAAAGGCAAGGGAGGAAGAACCAGAGGAGGGGGAGAGCUCCAGGGAGAGACGGGAGAAGUGCAGGGUCGUGCUCAUCCCCUGGGCCUGUCGUGCUGGCUAGGGAAGCAGGCAGGAAGGAGGUGGCGUUGGCGUGUGCGCAUCCGGCACGCAGCUGCUUCGGGGCGAGGGGGAGGAAGACGACAGAGGGGAGGAGGUGGGCUGGGUCGGCCAGCUCAGAUGGGCCGCCAGCUGGACUAGAGCGCCUGGUAAGUGCCCACGUGAGCCUCUCUCUCUUUUAUUCUCUGUCUUUGUUUCUGGAUUUAGUAAAAAUACUAAACCUAUCUAAAAAUCCUGAAAUAAAUUGUGGGCACUGUUGAAAUGUUUUUCAGUGGCCCUCAACCAUUAUCAGAAUUAUUUGGGCAAAUAAAAUAUUUAUAGUAUUUAAAUGGCCAAAUUCAAAUACUUUAUGAUUUAAUUCAAAAAUCCAGAAUGGUCCUAGAAAGGUGUGCACCAUUUUUGGCAGGGGUUCUAGACCAAUUCAAAAAUGAUGAACUUUUCCAAAGGCAUUUUGGGUUCAUUGAAAAUGACUUUUAUUUGAACCUAGUUGGAUUCAUUUGUGCUAGGGUUUGGAUCAAUUCCCAUUUCAAGUUUAAAUGCAAUUUAAACAUGAUACAACAAAUGUCUAGCUAGCCCACAUCAUAACAGAUCUAGGGAUGUGACAGCUCACCCCCACUAAACAAGAAUCUCAUCCCGAGAUUCAAGACGUGAGGUAGGAAGACAGAAGGGACACAAAGCUAGCACAAACUUCAUGAUUCAGGUUGCACUUCAUAAGAACAUUGAUUUGAUCCUCAUCUUUGUCUCGAUGUCUUUCUUUGAGAACUCCAACCAACAUGACAACGAGAAGAAAGGAAAAUCUCUAGAAGAAUCAGUCUUCUUGAAGAUCGAACAACUCAGGAUCAACUCACAUAAUGAGAUAUUGAAACAUCUCUCGAGCUGAGGCAUAGAACAUACAACUAGAGGGAUGGAGUGAAACAGACGACGAAGGUUCACUAGAUAGGCGAUAGUUCCACACUUAAGAAGGUGGUGAAUGGUUGUGAAUGUAGCGAGAAGUUGAGUUGCCAUGAUUCUAUAACGGGGCACCUUAGAGGAGGUGAUUCGUAGAAUUAUCCCUUAAGUGGAAAAAAGAAUUACUUUUGAUACAUAGAUCAUUGAAAAUCUUCUUACCAGGCUAAGGCAAUUCACAAAUGAUUGUUUGACGGAGUUCGAAGAAAUUGCAUACUCAGAUCGGAAUGGAAACUAUUGUUAUAGAACAACUCGGCAAACGGAAGGCACAUUCCAAUUGAUACCGACAAUAUAACCAAGUGACUGAGCGUGCUCUCAAGAACUCGAGCAUUUCCAUAUUCAUCAAGGUCUUACCAGCAUCCGUGCCAAGGAUCCUGGCCACAACAUACUACCAUGAUGAAUAAUGAUGGAGGAUGCAGGUGCAGAGAAGGACAACACUUUCUCAGAUUUUACCUUGACGACGCCAAGCAAACAAAAUCUGGAGGAUCAACCGAGAGACAUUUAGCACUCCGCUUCUAAUGUUCUCCUUGACGUUCCAGGUACCACGAUCAUGCUUAAAAGCAUCGACAUGGCCAUCAAGUAAAGGUCGGACUUCGGAAUACAAAGGAUCCAUAAGGAACAACUUCUAUAAUAAGUCACUCGAAAUCCGCAUGGAGAAGAUGGUCGACUUGCUCAAUCAAGAUACUAAAAUGAUAGAUCUUUCGGCUAGGUGUGUCAGCCAGAACAUCAACCUUGUCGGGACCUACAUCAUAGAUCUUGGAAGGGUUCCAACCAUCAUAUCUGCUUGAGAUUCAGAUCUGGUUGGUAACUGAAUAUUUUAGACAACAUGUGUGGAAAAGAAAGUUUGCAACACAAACCGACGAGAUGACGUUGCAAGAUUCUCGGGAUAAGAACUACGAUACCAAGCUCAAAAACUUGAGCUGGCUCUGCUACAUACAUGUGAACAUGCUGUCCCAGACAAGCAUGACCACGUAGUAUUCUUAUAAUAAAACACUACCGAGUUUAGGUGGGGAACCAUCAUCAAGGAUAUUGGAAUCUUGUGCAUGAACUAAUAUUCACACAACAACUCCUUUUCCUCAAACAAAUCAAUCAGUGGCUUGGUGUGCUAGAAACACAUACGGAGUGGAGGCGGCCAACCUACCAAACCAUAGAGUACUUCCCACAUAUGCGUGACUAACUUGGGAUGAUCCCAGAGGAAGCAAAAACAAGCUUUCUCGAAUUCACAGCGGCAACUUGCAUCAAAUGCACAUGAAUUUAGAGCAAGCCACUUCUUUCAUACAAACAUAUGCUUCAUGAGCUAGCAUGAAGAAAUGCUUUCAAAAAUUUCCAACACCAGCUUUAAUGUUCAACAUGAAUCAUGGAGGAGAUAAAGACGUUGUCGAUGGGCUUAACACCAAUUUAUCAAGAUUUCCAUAAGAUGGUUUGCAUGGUUAUGUGAACAAGAUGAUAGCAUUGAUCAGGCCAAAAGAUGUAAUGAUGUAUGCUCGAGGGAUCAACCACGAGUAAGACAACAUUACGAACAUCGUUGGUACCGAUUUGAUUUGGUGAUAGCCCAUACUCAAAUCAAAGUUUUUAUAAGACAAUAGGUCCAUCAACUGAACACAGGGACCAAUCGAUGAAGAUAUCAUCUUUCUUCAACUAACACACAGACACAAAGAUAUCCCUUUGGAAUGAGCUAAGUUAGGCAAGCUUUUAUCUUCCAACUCUCCAAGUUGUUGUUUAGCUUAACCAACUAGCUCAGGGGUAUCCAACACAGAUUCUUGGAGAAAGGCAUGGCUACAAGAAACCAACUUGAUCACGAACUCAACAUAGCGGUCAGGUGACAACCUAGUAACACUUCCGAGAAGAUAUUCGGAAAAUCACGAACCACCGAUAUGUUACUAAGCUAGAGAACAAUGUUGCUUUUCAGGGCAAGAUGAUGUGACCAAGAGAGUGAUGGAUUGCCAAAAUCCUAACUCAUUGAUCGAAGAGUACACCGAAAAUAAGGACUAGGUAGCACAAUCUAUCUUAGAAUGAUGAUUCAAGAACCAACACGCUAAGAAUGAAAUUAUUGUCCUUUAACUACCAAGCAACUGGGUUGCUAGGAGUAUUGAUUUCACGCAUCAUAGUUCACCUGUCGGCAUUCCGGUUGCAACAACACAGAAAACUGAGGAAUGAGCAAUGAUGGCAGGAAGAAUCACUGCGUCAAGAAUUCAUAAGAGGUGGUGCAAUUCUCAUGACAUUCUUGACAUAAAGAUGGUAGCACUCCAGGUUAGAACAGAGCAAAAGCUGGAUUGGCAUUUUGAUCUGCUGAAUACAACUACUUUGACUCAAUCCUAGAAAUGGACGAGGUACUGGAGUUUGUUUCUCCUAGUCAUUCCGGAAUAGUAUGGCUUGACGGACCACAAGAAUAAUAGGCAUCGAUAUCACGAAUGCACAACCAGUCCUGACUAUCAAUUGAUAGAUGAGGGCCAGAAAACAACUAAAGAGGGACAACUCAAAAGAACAUCUGAUUUUCUAAGUUGUGGAUGUAUAGAUUAGUGUGUCGAGCAAAGCUCAACAUUUCUUCCUGAUAAUCUAUGCAGAAAGGUAGGACUGGCAGAUUCACAAUGCAGAAUGGAGGACUCAUCAAGAGCACUCUUAUUGUGAUCUUUUGGUUCAAGAACUUCUGCCAUAAGAAGUUUAUGGUAUUUGGAAGAAGGAUAUACCACGGACCUCGAGGACUAUCGCAAAGGUUACUAAUAUCCUAAAGGAACUAGCAAACACUAACAACAUGAAGUGAGUAGGGUUAAUCUCGGGUUAAAAACCCAGGAGUAGAAUACCUACUAACUAAAUUGCAUCACGGGAUGCUUUCGAGAAUGGUGGCCAGAAUCAUCACACUAGGAACGCAAAACAUGGUUAGCUUACUAGGUGGCACUCUAAGACACCUAGGGUCAUAGUAAUAGCUCUAACAUAUAUGCCAAGGCAACAGAGUACCUCAACUGAACGAUUAGUGUGGUUAAUCUGGCCCAAAGGGACAUCAAAAUGAGAGGAAGGGAUUUUGCAAAUGCUUCAGACUAUUUAGAAACCUAGGAUGACUCGGACAGCAUAACGGCUGUAAAUGCUCAAAGGAUUUGAGACAUCCUACAAAUGAUGGCAUAACCACUCGAGCGUUACAAUAUCAAGGUUCCGAGAUCAACUAUGAACACACAGAGGUAGAAGAAACUGGACUAAGGCUUAAAUCCAACAAUCUUAUAAGUCUAUGGAUUAGUAACACGUGAUCCUGAUAGAAAGAAGAGAUAGCCUAGUUCCUUAACCCGUAGGAAAGAUAAGACGACUCGGAUCAGAAGGGCAUAGGGUAUAAGGAGAAAAAAGAGCCUUACGUUCCAUCCCAUAAUCAAUUCCCUUAUAUAACUAAAGCAUUUCUAGACUCAAGUUCGACCAGUUUGGCUUGGUAAUCCUACAGGCAGUCAGGCUCUGAUACCAAAGCUGUCAGGACCCUGACUCAAUGCCACACCAAUCUAGCAUGUAACACCUCAUACCACUUUGUGGCCUCACGCACGGUAUUCCCACGGGUGACGCCUUACCAGGCCCGGGACCAUUUGCACCUUUUGGCACACGUAUAUGAUAGUGUUGCUAGCAUCCAUAUGACAAGUAGCCCGGGCUGACAUGGCUAGUCGAGAACCCAAAGUGGCGCUAACUUACAGGGACAUGCAUACAUGACCCAGCAACGAACGUGUCGAUCAUCAGCGAGUGAAUCCGGGCUGUAGCAGUUGGGCUAGCAGGACUCCGGAGAAUCCGGGCUGUAGCAGGCUAACAGGACUCCGGUAGACACCACGUGACAUUUACCCGAAGGGACAGACACAAGAUAAAAGAAGGACACAUGCCGGCCAGCCUAAGUGCUCCGGAGUAGUAGCAAGCUACCAAGGCUCAGUGGAAGCACUAGGAGACAUUUCCCGGUAAGAGAUGCUACCAAGGAUAAACAACUAGAUAGUGAGAUCCCACACAUACCAAGCAUUUCAAUAGCAUACACACAAUAUGCUCUAUAUGUGCAAAUACAACAUGGCAUCACAACAUGACUCUAUAACUCAAGUAUUUAUUCAAUAGGCUCCGAGGAGCGAGAUAUUACAAACAUGGGUCUCAUGACCCAACAUUUAGAGCAUACAAGUCAAAGCACAUGCGGAAGCUUAACAUGUCUGAGUAUAGACAUCUACAAAUGAAAAAGGCUGAGAAGCCUCACUAUCUACCAGAUCCUGCCGAGGGCACAAGAUUGUAGCUGAGGUAACAAGGUAAACAUCGAAGUCUACGUGGAACUACUAGUGAGACUGAAGUCUCUCUGCAAAAAACAUAAAUUAAGCAACGUGUCUACAAAUGUACCCAACAAGACUUACAUUAGAACUAACUACAUAUGCAUCAUUAUCAACAAGUGGGUGGUGGAGUUUAACUGCAGCAAGCUAGCUUUGACUCGGUGGCUAUCCUGAACUACGACUGCAAGUAACUCUUUUGAGGUGGCGCACAUGAGUCCACAUAUUCACCAUAUCAAUACACCACUAUGGAUCCGCUCCCGUCUCCCUACGAGAACGCCAUCCAUAGCACUCACGCUUAUCUUGCGUAUUUUAAAGUAUCCACUUUCACUUGUUUAUGAACUGUAUAGUCAACCCAGAAGUCCUUUACCACGGACACGGCCAUUCGAAUAGAUCAUAUUAACCCUACAGGGGUGUACUUCUUCACACACGCUCUCGCCACUUACCGCCAUGUACACGUCAUGUAUCUCGGCAACCUUCAAGCGGAAGCCUGGCGAGGGUGUCGGGCACGACCUGACUAACCACACAAGUCUCUCGUCCAGGUUUAUCUUUUAUUCGGGUUCCAUCCGCAAGGAGAUCCGGCCGGGGUCUGGCUCACGGCCCGAAAUGAUGUGUGCAGGGUUCCCAAGCCCACCAUCCGAGUGCCACUUGGUACACCGGGACACUGUGCCUAGUCUGUCCCAAGCCCACCUGUACCGAGUGCCACUUGGUAGACUACUAACACUACCUACAAACACCAGAAACUAGUUGCAACUCCUGGACACAGAUCAUUUUGAUUAAUAAGUCGAGAGGGGUCGAGUUACCGAAACCCAAUGUGUGGUAGUAACUCUUCAUGGAUCACAAACACAGGACUUAGUUCCUAAGGACAGCUUCAGUGAGACGACGCACCAUGUACUCCUACAUGGCCUCUCACUGCUACCUUUACCAAAUCGUGUUCACACACUUAGCUCACACAUAGUAGGACAUGUUCACAACAUUCCAAUUCAUCGCCGAUGAAUCAGACCUGACUCAACUCUAAGCAGUAGCAGGCAUGACAAACAAGCAUGAAUGAGUGGGCACAUCAGAGCUCAAACAGAACUCAUGCUAGUGGGUUUCAUCUAGUUACUGUGGCAAUGACAGGUCAUGCAGAGGAAAGAGGUUCAACUACCGCAGCAUGUAACAGUUGAAUCGUUGUUGUCCUAAUGUAGUAAAAGAGAGCAGAAGCGAGAGAGUGGGAUUGUAUCGGAAUGAACAAGGGGGUUUUGCUUGCCUGGUACUUCUAAAGAUAGUAUAAUCCUUCAUUGGUGUCAUUGAUCACAUCAUCGAAACGCGUCUAUCGAGAGGGGGCAAUUACCGGCAACUGAGAAAGAAACACAAUCAAUGCAAUGCACAAUAUGAUGCAUGCCCAUGACAUGGAAAUAUGAGUGUGUUGGCCUAGUGCAACUACAACCAGAUGGAUUUGGGUCAUUUUGAACCAAAUGUUCAAUCCCAAACUCAAAUUAUAAAUUUAAAUAGUGCCUUAUCGUGUUUUGAUAUAAACAACAGGUUUAAGUUUCUUUAUCAUGUAUCAAACCAGUUCAGAUGGAUAGAUUGGAUUUUUCGAAUCAUUUUUCAUAUAUAACUUGUUUCAUUUGGAGCUACGUUUGAAUUUAUAUGAUUUUUAGAAGUUUAAGCCUUUUUCUGGAUUUCCUGAUUAAAUAGAAUUAAACUAAUUCCAGAAAAGGAUUUACUGCGUCAGCCUGAUGUCAGUGUGACGUCAGCAGGUUAACUAAGUCGCUCCAAGUCAAACCUGACCAGUGGGGUCCACUGGUCAGUGGCUGGAGCUGGUUAGUGUCGCCGACAAGUGGGCCCAGUCAACAGCCACGUCAGCUUGGUCAAAGUUGGCGCAUGGGUCCCGUUGGGUUAUAAUUAAUCUAAGCAGAAAUAAAACUGGAGUUAAUUAGGGCAUAGGGCCCAUGUGUCAUUGGCUCAAGGGGUUGUUUAGUGGGGUGAUUGGCCGCUAAUUACGUGGCCACAUCGGAUGCGCCGGCUAUUAUACGACGACGACCACGGCUGGGGUGGACCGUAGUGACAGCGGCGAUGGCAAGCGCGGCGGCCGGAGCUGGGGCAAGCUCGGCAAUGACGUUGUGGUGCACGGGGGAACUAGGUGACGGUGGUGUUGGGUUUCUGGGAACAUGCUGAGCACGUAGCGGUGCUUGGACGCGAUGGAAACGACCUCUGGCCAUGGCGGCUUGAAGUCCGGCGACGGUGAUCUCACGGCUCCGGUGACUAGCAUGGUAGAGGGAGGAAACGACGGCAGGCUAGGGGGGGAGUAGGAGCUCACAGCGCGUCAGGCGAGGGUCUCAGCGAGCUCGGGGAAGGCCUGACGGUGGCGAAUCAAGCGGUAGGGACCGCCAGCACCGAGAUUGAAGAAGACAUCUAGGACGGUGACACGGUGCUUCCCCGGUUUCUUGGCUCGGCGUGGACGAAGAGGCCGACGAUGCGAAGCUCGGGGAUGCGGAGAGGGAGCGAGGGAGUGGCUGUGGCCAUGGUGGUGCUCAUCAGCGGCGGCUGCGCGGUUCGGUGAGGUGGGGAAAAGGCGAGGGACGAAGAACCAGAGGAGGUGGAGAGCUCCAGGGAGAGAGGUGAGAAGUGCAGGGUCGUGCUCAUCCCCUGGGCCUGUCGCGCUGGCUGGGGAAGCACGCAGGGAGGAGGUGGCGUUGGCGCGCGCGAGUCCGGCAUGCAGCUGCUUCAGGGCGAGGGGGAGGAAGACGAUAGAGGGGAGGAGGUGGGCUAGGCCGGACAGCUCAGAUGGGCCGCCAACUGGACUAGAGCGCCAGGUAAGUGCCCAGGUGAGUCUCUCUCUCUUUUAUUUUCUAUUUUCUAUUUUCUGUCUUUGUUUCUAGAUUUAUUAAAAAUACUAAACCUUUCUAAAAAUCCUAAAAUAAAUUGUGGGCACUGUUGAAUUUUUUUUCAGCGGCCCUCAACCAUUAUCAGAAUUAUUUGGGCAAAUAAAAUAUUUAUAGUAUUUAAAUGCCCAAAUUCAAAUACUUUAUGAUUUAAUUCAAAAAUCUAGAAUGGUCCUAGAAAGGUGUGCACACUUUUUGGCAGUGGUUCUAGACCAAUUCAAAAAUGAUGAACUUUUCCAAAGGCAUUUUGGGUUCAUUGAAAAUGACUUUUAUUUGAAUCUAGUUGGAUUCAUUUGUGCUAGGGUUUGGAUCAAUUCCCAUUUCAAGUUUAAAUGCAAUUUAAACAUGAUACAACACAUGUCUAGCUAGCCCAGAGCAUAACAGAUCUAGGGAUGUGACAAGUCUGGACCGCAUACUUGAUCGCUCGUGUCAAAUUCACGGUACCCCCAAUAAACCAGCCAACCAUACCAACAGAGAAUGCUGGGUGUUCAGACAGGCCGGCAAGUUGAAUGCCGAAAACAAGGAAAAGGGGUUGCAUAGCGAUGACGACGAGGAGCCCCAGCCGCCGAACACAGGAGGACAGAAGAAAUUUCCUCCCCAGGUGAAAACGGUUAACAUGAUAUACGUAACCCAUAUUCUCAAGUGGGAAUGGAAGCAUGCGCUAAGGGACGUCUAUGCGAUGGAGCCAGUCACCCCAAAGUUCAACCCAUGAUCUUCUUGCGCGAUCACUUUCGAUCGCAGGGACCAUCCUACCAGUAUCCGUCAUGGCGGUUCGGCCAUAUUGGUCCUCGACCCCAUCAUUGGCGGAUUCCACCUCAUACGAGUCAUUAUGGACGGUGGCAGCAACCUGAACCUGCUCUAUCAGGAUACUGUGUGCAAAAUGGGCAUCGACCCCUCAACGAUCAAACCCACAAAAACCACCUUUAAAGGUGUCAUACCAGGUGUAGAGGCCUGUUGCACGGGCUCAAUCACACUUGAAGUGGUCUUCGGAUCUCCGGACAACUUCCAAAGCGAGGAUUUAAUCUUCGAUAUUGUCCCCUUCCGCAGUGGCUAUCACGCACUGCUCGGACGAACCGCAUUUGCCAGAUUCAAUGUGGUACCACAUUAUGCAUACCUAAAGCUCAAAAUGCCAGGACCUCGCGGGGUUAUAACAGUUAAUGGAAACAUAGAGCGCUUGCUCCGUACGGAGGAGCACACUGCAGCCCUCGCAACAGAAGUAUAGAGCAGCCUUCUUAGGCAGACCGCCAAUUCGGCAAUAAAGCCCCCGGACACCGUCAAGCGAGUCCGGAGUACCCUGCAACAGGAUCGUCCGGCACAUACAGAGCUCGCCUAGCAAUUCGGCCUCCGUCCAAGUCCUAGUCAAGCGUUGAAAUUUGUGCCACGCGUACAUAAUUACGCGCUCAAAAUACCAUGGGCAUAGGCGGAGGCACGGCUACGACACGGUCCACAAUGCGGCUCAACCGCCCCAGGAUCUGUAUAUCUUCACACCUUUUCUUUUCAAGUCCCUAUUUUCGGGAAGCCCUUCCGAUAGUCCGACUAUCGGACCCAUAACAGGAUGGAAAUACCAAGGAGACAAGAAGCUUUGGCGUACAAGGGAAUCCCCAGCUGGUCUCUAAUAAUGAUCGCUAUACCUGUUUUACAUACCCGCACGCAGCUCGCUCUUGGUAAGGACGUGUCAAACAGUCCCAUUUCACGCAUCGCACUACUUGCAUACACAUGCCUCGAUGUAUUAUUCAAAUAACAAUGGAAAAUAAUGUACAGCGUCAGCUUAUCAUUGCAUUUCUUUAUCUUUUUCCUUGACUGAUUUAUUUAUUGCAACCGUACAUUCUGGUACAUCCAGUCCGCCAGGGGCUUUAGUGCACCCCAUAACACGGCAAGAAAUGUUCAAAAACUUUCGACAGUGCGGCAUCCCGAACUUAUAGCAUUAUAUGCAUCAGCUCCGAAUCAUGUCUUGGGUCAAUAGUUGGGUAUGCCCGGCUCCCAUGUUUUGCUUCCUUACGUUCUGGUACAUCGGCUAAGGUGGCACGGGGAGAACUACUGCGAUUGUGUCCCAGUUCUUCCGGACGAGCACCUUAGUAGAGAAAGCCGAAAACUGACUGUCAUGAUGCAGCAGAGCUGUUCGCUGUUUGAGAGGUCUCAAAUCCUUAAAGCUUUUUUCCGCUUCGGGCGAGGAAUCGGCCUUGUCCGAUUUAGGCGUGUAUAGCGCCCCAAAUUCGGCCUUCCGAAUACCAGGGGCUAUGCCAAAAUUUAAAAUUAUAGAAUUCUAUGGCUAAGUGAGAGUGAUAAAGUUGUAUAGUCCGAUUGCCUGGUUCGUUGCGCUAAACACCUCCUUAAAGGACCAAAUUUUUUGAUAAAGAGUGCUUAGGUUUAUCCCGAACACCCCAGUACUAGUUACAUGGGGGCAGAAGCCGACGACUGGCCAACUCUCAAAUUUUAUAAACGGCCGCACAGAAAGUAAAAUUUUAAAUCAACAAGCGUUUUAUAGCGGAAAUGAACUUGUUUUCAUAUUACAGGAUCAAAUGAGUACAUUCAUUCAAAUAUUACAUCCUUAGCACAUUCCUUCGCCACAAGGUGGGCAUCCUUCAGGACACUGUCAUAAUACUUUUCGGGGUGGCGAUGCUCCUUUCCCUCCAGCGGCCCCUCCGUCACCAGCUUCUCGGCAUCCAUCUUCGCCCAGUGCACUUUCGCGCGGGCGAAGGCCCUGCACGCACCUUCAAUGCAAACUGACCGCUUAAUGACUUCAAGCCUCGUACAGGCACUCACCAGCCGCUUUACAAGGCCGAAGUAGCUGCUGGGCAGGGGCUCAGCAGGCCAUAGCCAGACAAUGAGGUCCUUCAUGGCCAGUUCGGCCGCCUUGUGUAAUUCGACCAGUUGCUUCAGCUAGUGGCUCAAGGGCAUCGGAUGUUCGGUCCCAGUAUAUUGAGACCAGAACAACUUCUCCAUCGAGCUCCCUUCUUCGGCUCGGUAGAACUCCACGGCAUCCGAUAUGCUGCACGGCAGAUCUGCGAACGCUCCUGGAGAGCUCUGAAUUCGGGUAAAUAAAAGGAAAGUCUCCUUCACAUGCUUGCUUUGCAUAAUGAAUGCCUUACCCGCCGCUAUCUUCUUGGCUGCCUGAAUCUCCUAGACGACCUUUUGGCCUUCUGCCUUGGCAUCUUGUGCGCUCUGAAGGGCCUUCGCAAGCUCGGACUCUUGCGUCUUAGAGUCACGCUCUAAGGACUGAUACGUCUCCGUCGUAUCUAUAAUUUUUUAUUGUUCCAUGCCAAUAUUCUUCUACUUUCAUAUACUUUUGGCAACUUUUUUUUACUAUUUUUGGGACUAACAUAUUAAUCUAGUGCCCAGUGCCAGUUCCUGUUUGUUGCAUGUUUUAUGUUUCGCCGAAAACCAAUAUCAAACGGAGUCCAAACGGGAUAAAAACGGACGGAGAAUUAUUUUGGAAUAUUUGGGAUUUUCUGAAGGAAGAAUCAACGCGAAACGGUGUCCGAGGUGGCCACGAGAUAGGGUGCAUGGGCUUUGCAGCAAGAAAGCUAAUUUGAUGAGAAAAAUCUGGGCGAAAGAUUCACCCCAAUCGGAGUUACGGAUCUCAGGAUAUUAAAGAAACGGUGAAGGGGUAGAAUCUGAGAACGAAGAAACAGAGAGAUAAAUCCAAUCUCGGAGGGGCUCUCGCCCCUCCCACGCCAUGGGAGCCAAGGACCAGAGGGGAAACCCUUCUCCCAUCUAGGGAGGAGGUAAGAAGAAGGGGGGCUCUCUCCCCCUUGCUACCGGUGGCGCCGGAGUGCUGCCAGGGGCCAUCAUCAUCACCGCGAUCUACACCAACACCUUCGUCAUCUUCACCAACAUCUCCAUCACAUUCCCCCGUCUAUAUCCAGCGGUCCACUCUCCUGCAACCCGCUGUACCCUCUACUUUAACAUAGUGCUUUAUGCUUCAUAUUAUUGUAUAAUGAUGUGUUGCCAUCCUAUGAUGUCUGAGUAGAUUUUCGUUGUCCUACCGGUGAUUGAUGAAUUGCUAUGAUUGGUUUAAUUUGCUUGUGGUUACGUUGCUGUCUUGUUGUGCCCUCUGUGUCACGCAAGCGUGAGAGAUUCCCUCUGUAGGGUGUUGCAAUACGUUCAUGAUUCUUUUAUGGUGGGUUUAUUGAGUGGCAUAAGCAUAAACCCGAGUAAGGGGACUAUUGCGUAUGGGAUAAAGGGGACUUGAUACUUGAAUGCUAUGGUUGGGUAUUACCUUAAUGAAUCUUUAGUAGUUGCGGAUGCUUGCUAGAGUUCCAACCAUAAGUGCAUAUGAUCCAAGUAGAGAAAGUAUGUUAGCUUAUGCCUCUCCCACAUAAAACUUGCUAUCGGUCUAGUAACAUAGUCAAUUACUUAGGGACAAUUCCACAACUCCUACCACCACUUUUCCACACUCGCUAUAUUUACUUUAUUACUUCUUUAUCUAAACAGCCCCUAGCUUUUAUUUACGUGCUCUUUAUUAUCUUGCAAACUUAUCCAACAACACCUACAAAGUACUUCUAGUUUCAUACUUGUUCUAGGUAAAGCGAACGUCAAGCGUGCGCAGAGUUGUAUCGGUGGUCGAUAGAACUUGAGGGAAUAUUUAUUCUACCUUUAGCUCCUCGUUGGGUUCGACACUCUUACUUAUCGAAAACUGUUGCGAUCCCCUACACUUGUGGGUUAUCAAGGACUCAUAUUUUUUGACGAAAUCCUGGAGCUCUUGCUGGACCUCGUCUACUCGGGCCUCUUGCUUCUUGCGCUUGAUGUGCUCCUUGGCCGCUUUGUCUUCGGCCUCAGACAGCGCCUUCUUCAGGGCCGCCACUUCUGUCGUGGCCCCUAUUAAAGUUCGUGACGAUUCUAUGAUAUAAAACCAUUCUUUUCUUUAUCAAUAUACAGACGGGGUAUCACUUCCCUUUGUUCUCCUCGAGAUGCCUCUUCAUGAGGUCUAGCUCUUCCUUGGACCACUCUGAUAACCCGCAAGUAUACGGGAUAGUUUUAGCCUCUUUCGAUAAGUAAGAGUGUUGAACCCAACGAGGAGAAGGUAGAACAAAUACUCUCUCAAGUCCUAUCGGCCACUGGUACGACUCUACGCACGCUUAGUGUUCGCUUUACCUAGAACAAUAAUGAAACUAGAAGUACUUUGUAGGUCUGAUAGGAUAGGGUUGCAAGGUAAUAAAGAGCACGUAAUAAAGGCUAGGGGCUGUUUAGAUAAAGAAGUAAUAAAGUAAAUAUAGCGAGUGUGGAUAAGUGGUGGUAGGAGUUGUGAAAUUGUCCCUAAGCAAUUGACUACGUUACUAGACCGGUAAUCACUAUUGCAAUUCUAUUUGAGGGAGAGGCAUAAGCUAACAUUCUUUCUCUACUUGGAUCAUAUGCACUUAUGAUUGGAACUCUAGCAAGCAUCCGCAACUACUAAAGAUUCAUUAAGGUAAAACCCAGCCAUAGCAUUAAAGCAUCAAGUCCCCUUUUAUCCCAUACGUAAACAACCUACUUACUCGGGUCUGUGCUUCUGUGACUCACGCCACCCACCAUAAGCAAAUCAUGAACAUAUUGCAAACCCUACAGAGGGAAUCCCUCACGCUUGCGCGACACGGAGAGCACCAUAGGACAACACCAAUAAUAAAACAUGCAACUCAAACCAAUCAUAGAAAUUCAUCAAUCACCGAUAGGACAACGAAAAUCUACUCAAACAUCAUAGGAUGGCAACACUUCAUUGGAUAAUAAUAUGAAUCAUAAAGCACCAUGUUCAAGUAGAGGGUAUAGCGAGAUGCGGGAGAGUGGACCGCUGAAUAUAGAAGGGGGAAGGUGAUGGAGAUGUUGGUGAAGAUGACGGCGGUGUCAGUGAAGAUCGCGGUGAUGAUGAUGGCCACCGGCAGCGCUCCGGCGCCACCGAAAGCAAGGGGGAGAGAGGCCCCCUUCUUCUUCUUAUUCUUCCUUGACCUCCUCCCUAGAUGGGAGAAGGGUUUCCCCUCUGGUCCUUGGCUCCCAUGGUGUGGGAGGGGCAAGAGCCCCUCCAAGAUUGGAUCUAUAUCUCUGUUUCUGCCUUCUCAGAUUCUACCCCUUCACCGUUUCUUUAAUAUCCGGAUAUCCGUAACUCUGAUUGGGGUGAAUCUUUCGCCCAGAUUUUUCUCAUGAAAUUAGCUUUCCUGCAGCAAAAGAAGGGCAUCAACCGCCUUACGGGUGGCCCACGAGAGUGCCAGGCACGCCCCGGGGUGUGGGCGCGCCCCCCUGUCUCGUGGCCAGCUCGGACCCCGUUUUGCGUUGAUUCUUCCUUCGAAAAAUCCCAAAUAUUCCAAAAAAAUUCUAUGUCCGUUUUUAUCCUGUUUGGACUCCAUUUGAUAUUGGUUUUCUGCGAAACAUAAAACAUGCAACAAACAGGAACAAGCACUGGGCACUGGAUCAAUAUGUUAGUCCCAAAAAUAGUAUAAAAAGUUGCCAAAAGUAUAUGACAGUUGAAGAAUAUUGGCAUGGAACAAUCAAAAAUUAUAGAUACGAUGGAGACGUCUCACCCUCCAGGUCCUACUUCAGUUCGGAGACCUCCGCAGUAUGAGCGGCAGCGGCCAGCAGCGACACCUGCUUAUUCACAUAGACAUAUUAUGAUUAGACUCCUGUGGAUGUUAUUUGAUCCUCUGUUUGGCCUUCCUUUCGGAAGACCAACCAGAGCAUCAGGGGCUACUGUCUAUACUGUGAUAUUCUCUCAUAAUUGGAUUACUUACCUCAAAGCCUGUUAGGAGGCUGGCGCAGGCUUCGGUCAAUCUGCUUUUGGUAGACCGAACCUUCUCGAUCUCCGCACUCAUGAUGGUGCGGUGCUCUUCGUCAAUGGAAGCGCCGCGAAGCGCUUCCAGCAAGUUGUCCGAUGCCUCUGGAUGGAUAGAGGUCAUCAGCACAGGUAGCUCGCCCCCCUAGUGCGAGCAUCUCCAGCCGUUGGCCACCCAGGAGGCGCUAAAAAUCGCCCCCUGGGGGCGCCCGGCGCUUAACCGCGCACUGGGGGCGUGAUGCCCCCAAGUCGCGGCACCCAUGUUUUUUUUUAAAUUUUAAUUACAGCACAAACACGGUGCAAAUUCAACCAAACUUCGGUGAGUUCGUUCAUAUUUAAACAUAUUUUAUGAAAAAAAACUACUAGGCUGCUCCUGGCCGUCUCCCUCGCCGCUCCUCACCGCCCGCCGCCCUUGCAGUUCUACAUGCCGAGGAGGCUGUAGAACCGCGUGUAGUCGCCGCCGUCGUCAUCGUUGUCAUCAUCGUCGUCAUCGCCUCCGCUGCAGCCGCCAUCCCUACUGCAACCCUCCCCUAGUUGGCGCGGCGGGUUGGAUGGUUCGGGGGCCUCCUCUCGUCGUUGCUGUCGAGGAUCACGAUGCCGUGCUCGUCCUCGCGCCCACGUUUGCGGGCGGCUAUCUCCUCCAGGGCCCGGUGCUGCCGGACCAUCUCGUCGCGGAGGUAGUCGUCCCGCGCCCACCGUAGGGCCUCCUGGUCGGAGAAGCCGCGCCGGGCUAUCUCCUCGUACUCCACGGGGAGGCCGGUGUCAAAACCGGCGGAUCUCGGGUAGGGGGUCCCAAACUGUGCAUCUAAGGCUAAUGGUAAUAGGAGGCUGGGGACACAAUGUUAACCCAGGUUCGGGCCCUCUCGAUGGAGGUAAUACCCUACUUCCUGCUUGAUUGAUCUUGAUGAUAUGAGUAUUACAAGAGUUGAUCUACCACGAGAUCAGAGAGGCUAAACCCUAGAAGCUAGCCUAUCGUAUGAUUGUUCUUUUUUGUCCUACGGACCAAACCCUCCGGUUUAUAUAGACACCGGAGGGGGCUAGGGUUACACAGAGUCGGUUUACAGAGGAGGAGAUCUACAUCCGAAUCACCAAGCUUGUCUUCCACGCCAAGGAGAUUCCCAUCCGGACACGGGACAAAGUCUUCUAUCUUGUAUCUUCAUAGUCCAACAGUCUGGCCAAAGUAUAUAGUCCGGCUGUCCGGAUACCCCCUUAUCCAGGACUCCCUCAGUAGCCCCUGAACCAGGCUUCAAUGACGAUGAGUCCGGCGCGUAGAUUGUCUUCGGCAUUGUGAGGCGGGUUCCAUCUCCGAAUACUCCAAAAUUAAUUCCGAACACAAGGACCGUAUCCGGCUCUGCAAGAUAACAUUCCAUAUACCACCGUAGAGAGAAUAAUAAUAAUCCACGAAUCUAAUCUGCUACCAAUUCUUCGAAAAGUGACAUCACACCACGGUCCGGUUUUUAUUCGAAUCGUUUUCUACAACCUGCUUCAGCACACAUCACGAGGCGGUUUCUUUGGCACGUCUUGUCAAAGCAGAGAUUGUGUCCCCUUAUUGCGGGGUCUCCAUCAAUGCGGGUAUGGGUAACCCAACCAGCGCCAUUAAUCGAGGCGCCUAAAAAAAUAAGUGAUUUCGAGAGGCAAGUGGGGAGGCGCACAUUCACAUCGCCUUUAUAAAGGGGCAGAGAUCUCCCAUUUUCACCCACGCCUUCUUCCUCCUUUGCUCAUCAGUUCUCACACCCUAGAGCUCUAGCGCCCAACUUCUCACCUUCCCCGUAGGACCGCAGCAUGUCCGGAGCGAGAGGCAAGUGGAUGGCCUCCUCUGUCAUAGAAGAGAACAUUACCAAGCUUCGGGAGGCCGGAUACCUGGCAGAGAGUAUCGCGCACAGGCUUCCGACAAAGUGACAGAUUACCCCAACUCCGAAGCCUCGGGAGAGAGUAGUAUUUCUCCCUCAUUUUGUCUGUGGACUAGGAUUUCCACUCCACCCGUUCGUCUGCGGGCUCAUGUACUACUACGGGCUAGAUUUUCACAUCUGGCCACGAAUUUCGUCCUCAACAUCUCGGCGUUCAUCGUCGUGUGCGAGGCCUUCCUCGGCAUCAAGCCUCACUUUGGCUUGUGGUUGAAGAUCUUCUGCGUAAAGCCGAAGAUCGUGAGCGGCCAACAGGCAGAGUGCGGAGGCGCCAUGGUGGGCAGAAUGCCCAAUGUUACAUGGCGUGAUGGCUCCUUCAUGGAGACCAUAAAGGGGUGGCAAUCAGGGUGGUUCUAUAUCACCGAGCCGCGUGACGCCAACUGGGUGGCGGCCCCCAAAUUCAGAUCCGGAAUCCCCAUGCGGCUCACUUCCUAGGAGAAGAAGGGCCUGGCCUAGGGCGAACCCACGGAGCUAGCCAGACUUGAGACCUACAUCAGAAGUAUGAGGGACAAGAAGAUCAAGCUUGUCAACGUGGUCCAGGUCAUGCUCAUUUGCCGGAUUCUCCCGUGUCAAAUACGGGCAUUUGAUGUGUGGGAGUUCGACCCGGCCGAACACCAGAUGCUGCUAGAGCUCUUUGACACAACACACAAAGAAAUCUGGAAGGUUUUGUUCAAGACCGGUGAAGUCCCUCCUCCCCUUUCUGAGAACCAAGGGCUCAGCACAACGCGCCUGGCCAGUCCUGUAAGUCCCUUGAUUAUUUACUAGAUGUUCCCUUAGUACAUUCUGGGGAGGAUUUUUAAGUCACCUUGCUGAUCGAACAGGAUUGGGUGGAGACGGCGGAGUGGAUCGACUAUCCGGCUCCAUUGCCUAAGGACCCAGUAAGCGCACUCCUGGCGGAGAUGCUGGUUCCGGCGCCUUACAAGGUGCCGGAGAAAAAGGCCGAAAAGAAGGCCACGGGGACCCGAAGGGGUCUUUGGCACGAGGCCGCACACGACGCCUUGCCAGAAGAGGACGAGGCGCACUCCUCCCACGAAGGGGAGGAGAGGAAGAAGAAGAAGGCCGCCUCAACUGAGGGGGCCGAAGGGUCGAAGAAGGUGGCCGCGGGGGACCAGAAAAGGUCACCGGUGCAGGGUCGUGAUAGAGUCGUCAUCCGAAGACGACGAGGAAGAUUCUCCCCCCGGAGACAGGGGAGAACAUGAAGAGAUGCCUCCUCCCCAUGAUAGGGAGGAGAAGAAAAGGAAGGCCGCCCCAUCGGGGGAGGCCGGGACGCUAAAGAAGGGAAAGGCAUCCCUUCCAGAUCAAUCCACUACCUCCGCCUUUAGUGAUGAGGAGUGGCUGCCCAGGGGCAAACCCUGGGCGAGGUCAUAAGUAUGCGCAUUCCAUAAUAUUUUCCAUAUGACUUUUGACCUCAUGGUUUGUAAUGACGCCGAACACGUAUAUGCAGUCUGGCCGGGUCCGACCUCUAGGAGUCCUCUUCGGAGGAGUCUCUGAAUGAGUCGGAGAUGAAUUUGCUCCCGACGGCGACCUCUCCACGACCCGUGGAUGACACCGAGGUGUUGUCCCGGAGGAUGCCAGAGCAGGAGGCGAUGGUUCCGGAGAUGCCCCAAGGCAAAAUCUCGGGCGCCGGACACGUGGGGGAUGAGAACCCCAUGGAUUAUGCUGACGGGAGCCAUAGCAAGUCUGUCUCUCGGCCGAUUAUUGCGCCGGAGCCUACAAAGGUUCCAGAUUCUGGUAAGCAGUCCCUCGCGAAGGAAGGCAAGCCAGCCGUACCGAUGACCUCCGCCUAGCCGGAGGCAUCGGAUAAUUUGUUGGAAGUGCUUCGAGGCGCUUCCAUCGAGGAUGAACACCGUACACUUAUGGGUACGGUGAUUCAGGAGGUUCGGUCCACCAAGAGCGGAUUGACCGAAGCCUGCACCAGCCUGCUAACAGGCUUUGAGGUAAAGAGAGUGUGAGGAAAUAUCACCCGAUAGACAGUAGCCCCUGAUACUCUGGUUGGUGUUCAGAAAUAAAAGCCAAACGGAGGGCCAACUAAAAAUUCGCAGGAAGCUAAUAGUUUUUGUCUGUAUGAAUCAAACAGGCACUGCUGCUUACCGCCGCUGCGCGCACGGCUGAGGUUAGACUCAAGCGCAGACUGGGGCAGGCCGAAGAAGAGCUCGGCCUCGUGAAGACGCAGCUCGAGGCGAACAAAGGUAAGAGAAACCCCGUCCGUAUGUCGUAUGGAGGAUAAAAAGUUGGUGAUGCUAAUAAAAAGCAUCAUGGCUUUUGAUAGGGACCGCGACCGAAGUGGCGGCCCUGAAGGAAGUAUUGUCCGCGGCCGAAGCCAAGGCGGAUAUGGAGCGCACCGAGCGAGAGAAGAAAGAUGCUUGGGUUGGAGAGGUACAGCAAGAGCUCCAGGAGCUCGGCAAGAAGUUCGGCUCCCUGGAGCAUGACUACAAGACGCAAGCGUCUGAGCUUGCAAAGGCCCUCCAAAGCGCGGCCGACGCCAAGGCCGAAGCCCAAAAGGCCCUCCAGGAAAUCCAGGCGGCCAAGAAGAUAGCGGAGGGUAAGGAAUUCUUUAUGCAAAGGAAGCAUGUGGAGGAGUUAUUUCUUUUACUUACACGAAUCCGGAGCUCUCCAGGGGCAUUCGCAGAUCUGCCACGUAGCAUUUCGGAUGCCGCGGAGUUCUAUCGCCCUGAAGAGGGGAGCUCAGCUCUACGGAGAAGCUGUUCUGGUCCCAAUAUACUGGGGCCGAACACCCGAUGACUCUGAGUGACCAACUGAAGCAGCUGGUCGAACUCCACAAUGCGGCCGAACAGGCCAUGAGGGACCUCAAAGUCCGGAUGUGGCCUGGCGAGCCCCUGUCCAGCAGCUACUUUGGCCUGGUGAAGCGGAUGGUGCAUGCCUGUCCACGGCUAGAAGUUAUCAAGCAGUCUGUAUGUAUUGAGGGUGCCCGACGGGCCUUUGCCCGCGCGAAGGUGCAUUGGGGCAAGCUGGAUGCUGAGAAGCUCGUGAAGGAUGGACCCCGGAGGGCAAGGAGCAUCGCUGCCCCGAGAAAUAUUAUGAUGGCGUUAUGAAAGGCGCUCCUCUUGUGGCGAAUGAAUGUCCUAAGAACAUAAUUUUAAGUGAAUGUACUCAUGUCGUUCAUGUGAUAUGAGAAUGGGUUUAUUUGUGCUAUAUAACACUUUGUUUUUGAUUUAAAAUAUUACCUUCUCUAUGGCCGUUUAUCAAAAUCUGAAAGUAGGCCAGUCGUCGGCUUCCGCACCCUUGUUACUAGUACUGGGGUGUUCGUGGAAACCCAAACACUCUUUAUCCAAAAUUUUGGUCCUUUAAGGAGGUGUUUAGCGCAGCGAAUGAGGCAAUUGGACUAUUCGGCUUUAUAACUCUCACUUGGCCAUAGAAGUCUAUAAUUUUCAAUUUCGGCGAAGCCCCUAGUUUUCGGAAGGCCGAACUGGGGCAUUAUGCACGCCUAAAUCGGGCAAUGCCGAUUCCUCGCCUCAAGCGGAAAAAAUCUUUAGGGAAUUUAGUACCUCGCGAACAGCGACCAGCUCUCGCCGCAUCAUGACGGUCAAUUUUUGGCUUUCUCUACUGAGGUGCUCGUCCGGAAGAACUGGGACACAAUUGCAGUAGUUCUCCUUGCACUACCUUAGCCGAUAGAACGGAACGUACGGUACCAACACAAGGGAGCUGGGCUAACCCAACUAUUGGCCCAAGACAUGAUUCAGAGCUGAUGCAUAUAAUGCUAUAAGUUCGGGGUGCCGCACUGUUGAAAGUGUUCGGACUUUCCUUGCCAUUUUAUGGGGCUCGAUAAGAAGCCCCUGGCAAACUGACCUUACCAAAACGUACGGAUGCAAUAUUAAAUAAAUAUUCAACAGGAAAUAUGAGGAUAGUAAUAAGAAGCUAACGCUAUGUACUACUUCCAAUUUAUUUGGACAAUACAGCAAAACGUAGGUGUACAAUUGAUGCAUUAAGCAGAAAAAUAGGAUAAUUUGACAUAUCCUAUCCAAGGGCAGGCUACAUGCGGGUAUGUAAGAACUAGUAUAACGAUCAUUGAAGAAGACCACCUGAGUAUUCCCUUGUGUGCAAAAGCCUCUUGCCUCCUUGGUGCCCCCUCCAUAAUGAGUCCGGUUAUCCGAUUUCUUCUGAAGGGGCUGCCCGAAAGUGGGGUCCUGAAAAAGGGAAAAAAAGUAUGCGGGCCUCCUAGCGGCUGAACCGCACUCUGGCCACAUUGUCAUUUCACCUCCACCUAUGCCCAUGGUAUUUUGAGCGCGUAAUUGUGCACGCGUGGUACGAAUGCCGCUUGAAUUGGGCUGGGUGGAGGCCGGAUUGCUAAUCGAGCUCAUGGCGUGCCUGACUAUCCUGUUGCGGGGUACUCUAGACUCGCUUGACGGUGUUCGGGGAUGUCGUUGCUGGAUUGGCUGUUUGUCAGAGGAGGCUGCUUUGUACUUCUGCCGCGAGGGCCGCAGUAUGUUCUUCCGUACGGAUGGAGUGGUCUGUAUUUCCAUUGACUGUUAUGACCCCGCGAGGUCCUGGCAUCUUGAGCUUGAGGUAUGCAUAGUAUGGUACUGUGUUGAAACGAGCGAACGCGGUUCGUCCAAGUAGUGUGUGAUAGCCACUAUGGAAAGGGACGAUAUCGAAGAUUAACUCCUCGCUUCACAAGUUAUCUGGAGAUCCGAAGACCACUUCCAGUGUUAUCGAGCUUGUGUAGCGGGCCUCUACCCCUAGAAUUACACCUUUGAAGGUGGUUUUGGUGGGUUUGAUCCGUGACGGAUCGAUGCCCAUUUUGCACAUUGUAUCCUGAUAAAGCAGGUUCAGGCUGCUGCCACCGUCCAUGAGGACUCGCGUGAGGUGGAAUCCGUCGAUGAUUGGGUCGAGGAACAAUGCGGCUGAGCCGCCAUGACGGAUGCUGGUGGGAUGGUCCCUACGAUCAAAGGUGAUCGGGCAGGAUGACCAUGGGUUGAAUUUCGGGGCGACAGGCUCCAUCGCAUAGACGUCCCUAAGUGCACACUUUCGCUCCCGUUUGGGGAUGUGAGUGGCAUAGAUCAUGUUCACUAUUUUUACCUNNNNNNNNNNNNNNNNNNNNNNNNNNNNNNNNNNNNNNNNNNNNNNNNNNNNNNNNNNNNNNNNNNNNNNNNNNNNNNNNNNNNNNNNNNNNNNNNNNNNNNNNNNNNNNNNNNNNNNNNNNNNNNNNNNNNNNNNNNNNNNNNNNNNNNNNNNNNNNNNNNNNNNNNNNNNNNNNNNNNNNNNNNNNNNNNNNNNNNNNNNNNNNNNNNNGGGGGUUCUUCUGCCCUCCAGUGUUCGGACGCUGGGGCUCCUCGUCAUCAUCGCUAUGCAGCCCCUUGUCCUUGUUCUCGGUGUUUAUCUUGACGGCCUGUUUGAACACCCAGCAAUCACUAUUAGUGUGAUUGGAUGGUUUAUCGAGGGUGCCAUGAAUCUGGCACGAGCGGUCGAGUAUGCGGUCUAAACUGGACGAUCCCGGAUUGUUUCUUUUCAACGGCUUCUUCCGCUGGCCGGAUUUGGAGUUGCUGAAUCCGGCAUUGACUGCCGUAUCCUCCGCAUUGUCGCCAUUAUUUCGAUGCUUGUGUCUGUUGCGCCAUGGCUUUCCGUUACUGUCACGGAUGUCUGAAGUACCAGGGUUUCCAGGCGCGGUGUUGCUGCGAGCCAGCCAACUGUCCUCACCCAUGCAAAAGCGGGUCAUUAGUGUCAUGAGGGCCGCCAUGGUCUUCGGUUUUUCUUGGCCGAGGUGUCGGGCAAGCCACUCAUCACGGAUAUUAUGCUUAAAGGUUGUCAGGGCCUCAGCGUCCGGACAGUGGACAAUUUGGUUCUUUUUAGUGAGAAACCGAGUCCAGAAUUUCCUGGCUAACUCUCCGGGCUGUUGGGGUAAUGUGACCUAAGUCAUCAGCAUCCGGUGGUCGCACAUAGGUGCCCUGGAACUUAUCGAGGAAUGCAUCCUCAAGAUUUUCCUAGCUGCCAAUGGAGUUUGCUGGCAGGCUAUUUAGCCAGUGUCUUGCUGGCCCUUUAAGCUUGAGUGGGAGAUACUUGAUAGCAUGUAGGUCAUCACCACGGGCCAUGUGAAUGUGGAGAAGAAAAUCCUCGAUCCACACCGCGGGGUCUGUUGUGCCAUCGUAUGACUCGAUGUUGAUGGGUUUAAACCCUUCUGGGAAUUCAUGUUCCAUUACUUCAGCAGUGAAGCAGAGGGGAUGUGCGGCGCCUCUGUGUCGGGCUAUGUCACGGCGUAUUCCGAUUGGGUCUAGUCGGUAAUGUCCGGCCUGGCUGGAUGUAUCGUUAUUGUAUCCGGCAUGACGAUCGGUGGCAUGAGCUAUGGCGCGCCCUCGUGAUCCGUAGAUCGAUCUUGAUUGUCCUGCGUUGUUUUCCAAUAUGUCUCGCAGGUCCUGCUUAUUGCCCCGGGCCGUGGUGAACUGGCAUGGGGGCGCGGGCUGGUGUCUGGCCUGAUAGCCGGUUUUAUCCCGGCCACGAGGUGGCCAUUCAACCUCAUCUUGUGCUGGAAGUUCGGGCUCUUCGGCCUCUUCUUCUAGCGGUUUAUGCUUUGGGUAUCCCUUGCUCGGGGGCUCGAGUUCGUAUUCCUCGGCCGCCAGGACUUCGGUCCAUCUGUCUGUGAGCAGGUCUUGGUGAGUUUGGAGCUGCUGCUUCUUCUUCUUCAGGCUUCUUGCAGUGGCUAUAAGCUUACGCUUGAAGCUCUCCUGCUCUAUGGGAUCCUCUGGUACGCCGAAUUUGCCAUCACCGAGGCUCACCUCGUCUUCAGAGGGAGGCAUAUAGUUAUCGCCCUCCAAGUAUCCGUCCGUCGCCUGUUCAUCUGGGCUAACCAGCCCGUGUUCCUGUUUAGCUUGCUCGAAGGUGGGUUGAUCAGGAUCGUAUUCCUCUUCGGCACCAUCUGGAUUCUCUUCUCCAGUGCCGGUAUUGUUGUGGCGAGGCUUGGAGCGGCGCCGAUGACGCCCGUGUUUUGCUUUCUUCCCUGAGGGGUUGUCUUCCGUUGCCUCAUCGCCAUUGGUUUCUUUGGGAGUAUCCACCAUGUAUAUAUCAUAAGAAGAGGUGGCAGUCCAGCGCCCUGUGGGCGGUGGUUCCUGUUCUUCUUCUGCAUUGUCGUCUAUACCGUCAAUGUCUUCGGAGUCGAAGUUAAGCACAUCAGUCAAGUCAUAGACCGUGGCUAUUAAGUGGGUGGUGGGUGGAAAACGAGUUUCUUUGUCACCAGCUCCCCACUCAAGCCGGACAUAGUUCGGCCAAGAGUCUCCUGACAGAGAGAGAGACCUUAAAGAAUCUAGCACGUCUCCGAAGGGUGAGUGCUGGAAGAUAUCCGCGGCGGUGAACUCCAUGACUAGAGCCCAGUUAGAUUCAAUGGGCAUGGAUGCCCGCGGUCCGGAACACACAGCUGGAGAUGAGUCCGGGGGUCCGGUGACACAGAUCCCUUUAGAAGAGGAGUCUGUGUUCGGCUCCAACGCCGAGGUGUGUCCGGCCUCCGGGGCGGGGUCCAUCCACCCGUCCUUGGAAGGCGCGACCUGCUCCGGAACAAUGUCCGGAGCGGUAGCAGGUGCGAUGUUCCGAAUACUGUCCGACUGCUGAUCUAGGUCAGGCGCGUCGUGAUCGUUCGGCGCUCCUGACACGGGCCCGAGUCCGUCGAAGAUCAAGUCUCCGUGGAUGUCGGCGGUGUAGUUUAGGUUUCCAAACCUGACCUAAUGGCCAGGGGCAUAGCUAUCGAUCUGCUCCAAAUGGCCAAGCGAGUUGGCCCACAGUGCGAAACCGCUGAACACGAAGAUCUGUCUGGGGAGAAAAGUCUCACCCAGGACAGCGUGGUUGAAGGUUGGAGAAACCAUCUAGCCUUGCAGCGAUGACAUAGAGGAACUCUCAAUGAAAGCACCAAUGUCGGUGUCAAAACCGGCGGAUCUCGGGUAGGGGGUCCUGAACUAUGUGUCUAAGGCUAAUGGUAACAGGAGGCUGGGGACACGAUGUUUACCCAGGUUCGGUCCCUCUCGAUGGAGGUAAUACCCUAAUUCCUGCUUGAUUGAUCUUGAUGAUAUGAGUAUUACAAGAGUUGAUCUACCACGAGAUCAGAGAGGCUAAACCCUGGAAGCUAGCCUAUGGUAUGAUUGUUCUUUUUUGUCCUACGGACCAAACCCUCCGGUUUAUAUAGACACCGGAGGGGGCUAGGGUUACACAGAGUCAGUUUACAGAGGAGGAGAUCUACAUCCGAAUCGCCAAGCUUGCCUUCCACGCCAAGGAGAGUCCUAUCCGGAAACGGGACAAAGUCUUCUAUCUUGUAUCUUCAUAGUCCAACAAUCCGGCCAAAGUAUAUAGUCCGGCUGCCCGUAUACCCCCUUAUCCAGGACUCCCUCAGCCGGGCUCCGGCUUGGGCGCGACGAGGACGAAGCGGCCAGAGGGGGGGUGGAGUCGCUGAUGUGGACGUCUGAGCUACGGGUGCGCCCGCUAACAGGCGUGUCCUGGGGUUCCGGCUUGACGGGGCGGAGGCAGGAAGAGCCGGACAAGCGGCCGGACGAGGAGGAGGACGCCCCGGGCUGCUCCAUGCGCCUCGGCGCCCACAAGCUCCCACAUCGGCGAGAGAAGGAUGGGGGAGUGGGGUACUCGAGCCUCGUAUUGUUGCCCGCCUCGAUGUACUCGAGGACGGCCUCCAACAUGCGGCCGGGGAUGCCCCACCAUCGGUGCCGCCCCUCGGACUUGAGCCUUCCGGAGGGCACGACGCCGUUCGUGGCCUCGAGCUGUUCGGUGUGGCAGCGGCGGAAGAAUGGCUCCGAGAGUAGGCUGUCGGGGACGUACCGCGGCCCUUCCCUCACCGCCCGCUGCAGGGAGGCAUGGAUACGCGCGAUCUACGCACGCUGCGCCGCCCCAGUGGGCGGUGGUGGCACCGGGACGCCGCCGGCACUGAUUCUCCACGCCCCGGGCACCCGCAUGUCCAGCGGGACCGGGUACUUGGCCUCGAAGAGGAGCCGAGCUUCGUCCUGGUGAAGAUGGCGGUGGCCAAAGCCGUUCGCCACCUCCCCAUCACCUGGGAAGCGCUCGGCCAUGCUUUGAAUAGAGACGGUGAGAGGAGAGUGAGGAAGGGAAAGAAAUGGCACGUCGGCGGUGGAGGCUCUGUGCGUGUCUCCGGCGCGCUGGGGGUCGGCUUAUAUAGGCGGAGGCGCCGCGUACGCGUGGCCGCCGCAUGUAUGCGUGGUGGGCAAGGGGACGUGCAUCGUCCGGUCUUCACUGCACCGCCCGUGAGGCAUCAAUGGAGGCUGACUAGCUCGGCAGCGCGCAGCAGCUUUGGGAUUGAUUCGCCGCGGGAAACGGGGCGAUGAGGAUGAUGAAGCGGCGAGACGAGAGACGAGUCACUGGCAAGGAGGGCCCGUGGCUCUUUCAUGCCAAAAACGAUUCGCCCGGCGCCCCCGAGCGCCCCCAGCGCGUCGGGUUUGGGUUGGGUCCGUCGGUGCCAAUUUCGGUCCGAGCCGGCAAAAACUGGGCCCUUGGGGGCGCGACUAGGCUGAUUUUUUGGCGCCGGUGGACGAAAAGUUGCCUGGGGGCCUAGUUGGGGGCACAGAUGGAGGUGCUCUAAGGGGCUGCCUGCCUGAAUGCAGAACCACUGGAGGUUCCGGCGCAGUAUCCGGCUAGGGGCCAAACUUGUUGCGGCCCCCAUCAUUAGAAUCCAUGGGGGUCUUCCCCCCCAUGUGCCUGGCGUCUGGGAUUUCGUCUUGGGGCGUCUCCAGAACGGUCUCCCCUUGGUCCGAUAUCCUCUGAGACAACACCUCACUGUCGUCCGCGGGCCGGGAGGACGUGGCCGUCGGGGGUGAAUCGAUGUUCACCGCCGACUGGCCCAAAGACCCAUCCGAGGAGGAUACGUCGAUGUGGGCUUUGGAUAGACUGCACGAUCAUAUUUGACAUGAUAAGAAGCAAUAAAGCAGAACAUACCACAAGUAUUAUAGUGUCCAGAUACUUACGACUUCACCAGCGGCUUGUCCCAGGGCAACCAAUCCUCGUCGCUGUAGGCGGCUGCUGUGGAGUGGCCCGAAGGGUGGGUCUUUCCCUUCUUGGACCCUUCGGCCUCCCCAGGCAGGGUGGCCUUCCUUUUCUCCCCCCUGGUUGGGGGGGGGAGGACUUUCCUCUUCCUCCUCCUCGUUUUCGUUGGAGGAGCUUGCCUCGAUGUCUUCGGACGAUAAGUCCGAUACAACCUUGCGCCGGAGACCUUUCCUGGUCCUCUUGGCCUUCUUCUCCAGCACCUCAUAGGGCGCCGGAAACAGCAUCUCAAUUAGAAGAACCGAUGCUGGCUCUUCAUGUAGUGGAGCUGGACAGUCGAUCCGCUCCGCUAUCGCUACCCAGUCCUGUUAAAUUGGCGUGGAGGCUUAGAUCCCUCCCACGAAUAUACUGGGGAAAGGAACAUCUUGUGAAAUAUAAAGAGCUUACCGAAUUGGCGGCGCGCUUUGCGCUGAGUCCGCGAUCCUCGGUAAUGGGAGGAGGAACCUCGGCGGCCUUGAACAGCACCUUCCAGACGUUUUUGUACGUCGUGUCGAAGAGCUCUCGCAGCAUCUGGUGUUCGGCCGGGUCUGGAGUCCGGUCAGCUCUACCGAUGAACACCAGGCUAAGCCCUUCUCUUUCCAGGAGGUGAGCCACAUGGGGCUGCCAGAUCGAAAUUCGGGGGCCGCGGCCCAGUUAGCAUCGCGCGGUGCCGCCGCCCAGUUGGGGUCGCGGUCGGUGAUAUAGAACCACCCUGAUUGCCACCCCUUAAUGGUCUCCACAUAGGAGCCUUCGAGCCAGGUUACGUUGGGCAUCUUACCCACCAUGGUGCCUCCACACUCCGCUUGCUGGCCGACCACCACAUUCGGCUUCAGAUUGAAUGUCUUCAGCCACAGGCCGAAGUGGGGCUUGAUGCGGAGGAAGGCCUCGCACAUGACGAUAAACGCCGAGAUGUUGAGGAUGAAAUUGGGGGCCAUAUCAUGGAAGUCCCGCCCAUAGUAGAACAUGAGCCCGCAGACGAAGUGAGCAAGGAAUACAACCCUCUCGUGGGGCUCUGGAGUAGGGACGAUUUGCCCUGCGUCUGGGAGCCGGUGCACGAUGUUUACGGCCAGGUAUCCGGCUUCUCGGAGCUUCGUAAUGUCCUCCUCCGUGACGGAGGAGACCAUCCACUUGCCUCCCGCUCCGGACAUGUUUGGAAUGGCUUUACGGAGAAGGUGAGAACUUGGGCGCUGGAGCUCGAGCGUGCGAGAAUGGAUGGGCAGGGGAAGAAGAAGGCGUGGGUGAAAAAUAGGAAUCUUUAUCCCUUUAUAAAGGCGGUAGAAACUGUGCGCCUCCCCACUUGCCCUGUAAAAUCGCUUAUUCCCCAAGCGCCGCGAUUGAUGGCGUGGUUGGGUUACCCACACCCGUAUUGAUGAGAAUCCCGUGAUAAUGGGACACGAUCUCUGCUUCGAUAAGACGUGCCAAGGAAACCGCCUCGCAAUAUGUGCAACAGCUGGUUGAGAAAAACGGUUCGAAUAAUGAUCGGGCCGUGGCAUGAUGUCACGCUAUGGAAAGUUGUCGGCAGAUUAGAUUUGUGGAAUAUUGUACUCUCUACGGUGGUAUGUGUAAUUUGUUUUGCAGAGCCGAACACGAUCCUUGUGUUCAAAAUCUUCUAUGGAUUAUUCGGAGAAGAAACCCACCUUGCAAUGCCGAAGACAAUCUGCGCGCCGGACUCAUCGUCAUUGAAGCCUGGUUCAGGGCUACUGAGGGAGUCCUAGAUUAGGGGGUCCUCGGACAACCGGACUAUAUACUUUGGUCGGACUGUUGGGCUAUGAAGAUACAAGAUUGAAGACCUCGUCUCGUGUCCGUGUGGGACUCUCCUUUGCGUGGAAGGCAAGCUUGGCAAUUCGGAUAUGUAGAUCUCCUUCUCUGUAACUGACUCAGUGUAACCCUAGCCCCCUCUGGUGUCUAUAGAAACCGGAUGGUUUAGUCCAUAGGACAACAACAAUCAUAAUCAUAGGCUAGCUUCUAGGGUUUAACCUGGGUAAACAUUGUGUCCCCCGCCUCUUGCUACCAUUAGCCUUAGACGCACAGUUUGUGACCCCCUACCCGAGAUCCGACGGUUUUGACACCGACACCCUCCCUUUGUCAUGCACUCUCCCCAGCCACUCCAACCAACUCCCCCUCGGGGAUAGGUCUUGGGUGGCCCCGUGUCUACCAAAGACACCAACGGCCACAGUCAUGGCAAAACGGUCCCAAACGGGGACAAGGUACCAUAAAAACAAAACGAUCACACAAGGUUAUGUCUGCCUACCGUCCCAUAAGGUAGAUGUGGUCGCACUGAAUUAAAAACCCUAUUCAGUGGCACCAUGAUGUGAUCAACAUCAUAUUCACGUUGAACUUAAUCAAGUUUAGCUUUGAUAAAAACUUUUUAUCAUUAACAUGAUAUAAUCAAAAUAAUCCUGCAACUACUCGUCAUGCAAAACAAACAACUCAUAUUCAUCGAUCAAACUUAACAACACAUGCAUCUUGCAAUACUAAGAAUCAAACUUCUCUGGUUAUAACUCAUUUUCAUAACCAAGCAAUAUUUUAUUAGUUCAUUAUUUAAAUAAGACCAUUACUAGCAAAAUAACUAUCAUUGAUUUCCAUAGAAAUUUUCAUAGUGCAAAAUAUUACUCUACCUAGCCAAACAAGUUCAUGCAUUCAACCAGAAGCUAAAACAAGCAUAUCAAGCAUGGUAAAGUAACUAGAAAUUAACCAAAGUUAUUUAUCAAAUUUUAAAUUCAGAUAAUAACUCAUAUUCAGGUAGAAAAUCAUAGAUAUUGAAAUAACACGAUCCAAAUGCUGGUGUGGCUUGCCUUAGUAUAGAGGUGGAUCACUCCCCUCUUCGUUUGCUUCAAGACAAGCUUCUCCUUCUGAUAAAUAAUUUAAACCACAAAAAUAAUUAUCAAAACACAUUCUGAAAAUCACCAGAAAUUCUAGACGGCAAGGAAAAAUACACCUUCUGGCGUGCUACUAGAGUUUUCUGUAACAAAGACAAUACAAAAAGAAUCAAAUCAUUAGGACCUGUGGUUUAGAAAUGGUGGCUGGUCAAAGUUUGGUCAAAUUUCUGAAUAAAUUUGAAAUAAACAUAAAAUCCUAGGGGAGGGGGUGACGUCGAAGGCGUAUAACAAAAAUACGCCUCCACUCAUACCGCUUCGGGCGCGAGUGGUGAGACCGACUGGUGGGUCCCGUGCGUCAGGGGCGAGAGAGAGUGAGAUCGGAGGGAGGCGGGGCUUCCCCGGAGCUCACAGCGGUGACGAGGGGGUUCGGGGCAAAACGGGAGAGAUAGAAUUGAAGCGGGGCUCGAGGCGCACCUUAUCGUACCCGUGGCUUGGCGAGAGGUGGCCGGAGCUCAUCGCAGUUGAGAAUGCAAGCUUUGGUGGCGGAGGGGAUUCGCCGGAGAGUAAGGAGACGAUGGCCAGAGGUCCAGGCAGCACCAGGAGACCCCCAAUGCCCCACCCAAGCAGCUGCUUGAGCUAAAGAGGCACCGGAGCGCGGUGGCUGGACUACGGGGAUCGCCGGAGUCCUCGGGUCGGGGUGACGGCCAGAGGCCUGCCCGAUCGGGCUUUUGCUCGUCUACAUGUUUGUGGAGGUGGUGUGGAGUGGUGCGUGGCCAGCAAGUGAGGAGGGGGCGCUAUAUAUAGCAGGAGCGGAGGGGGGGACGUGUCGCCAUCGGAGCUCUCUGGACACACGGCGAACAACGAUGAGAAGCUCUAACGAGAGGGGGCAAGCGCUCAGCGUCAAUGCAGAAGCUUGCCCACGCACGCGGAUGAGCAUAGGAGGCAGUUGGAGAAGCGGACAAGUGCACGCGCACACUGUGGCCUUUUGGCCGCGACAUGCCCGUGCUUGCUGCGGCGGCUCCGGUGUCGGCGAGCACCAGCGAGCGGUCAAGGGUGAUGUGGCGAGGCUGGUGGCACUGUGUGGUAGUCAGAGGUGAGCACUGGAUCGAGCACGCGCGAAAUAGAGCGCAAGGCGCCAGCCAAAGCGCGCUGAGACGCAUGCUAGGAAUCAUGUCCACGCAUGGUCACCAGGCUGGCAUGGUCAAAACGACACCCAGGAGAGGCCAAACCUUGUCUACAUGCUCGACUGUGCAGUGUUUAGUCUAGGGGAGUUGAUGGCUCAUGCCCAGGCCAACCAGAUUAGACUUCACUAAGCUGACAAGUUUCUGUACAAAAACUUGGCCGCCAAGUUUGGCCACCUUCUAGAAGGCCAUUAGCACUAAUCUCCUGGGGUUUAGGGUUUCUUAGGAGGGUGUUGAAGCUCAAGAAAGAUCAAGGUUAAAAGCUCACAGAAUAAUGUACUUGCUGUAGAAAGUGGAUAUCUGGUCCAGAAGUGAAAAUAUUUUCUACAGCCAAAAUAUUGGAAAAAGUGAUGCAAUAUUUUCACAUGGGAAGUUGUGCCAUGGUUCUAAGAAUAUUUGGAUUUAUCUCAGAUUUUUCUGAGCAAGAAAAAUAGAGGUUGCUUUGGACCACAAGAUUCUGAAGUGAGUUUCAGAGGGAGAAAUGAAUAUUUUUCUUUUAUGAAAAAUACUCAUUUGAUUAUUUUGAGGGUUUGACCAGAGGAAUAGAGAAGAUAAGUCACUUGGGUGAAAGCCAAGGAUAUGCCCAAGUGACAAGCCCAUUUGAAAAGAUUCAAACUCCAAAUCAAAUCAGGGCAAAAACCACGAUAAAACCAAAUCCGAAAAGAGAGAAGGCAAGUCCGGAAAAAGAGAGAAGGCAAAAUCCAGGCUGUCACAAACCUCCCCCACUUAAGAUGAAUCUCGUCCUCGAGAUUCGGUUUCUUCGGAAAACCAUUCUGGGUAUGCAGUCCUUCAAAAAUCCUCUCUUUCCCAGGUCGCUUCCUCUUCGGUGAGGUGCUCCCACUGAACCUUGUAAAACCUGAUUUCCUUGUUGCGAGUGACCCAUUCUGUCUGAUCCAAGAUUCUGAUUGGGUUUUCCUCAUAAGUUAAAUCCUUAGCCAAUUCUAUCUCUGCCAUAUUAGUCCUUUUCUCCGGUGGCGAGAUACAUCUUCUUAGUUGUGAUACGUGGAACACGUUGUGUACUUCUGAUAGUUCCGGUGGCAAUUCCAACUGAUAUGCAACUGUUCUGACUAUGGCCAUGAUGGGGAAUGGACCGAAUAUCUGGGUGCCAAUUUUCCAAGGGUCUGAAACCUCUUGACUCCUUGUCGAGAUUUGGCCAAUUGCACUCUGUCUUCCCACUUUUGUCGAGAUUUGGCCAAUUGCACUCUGUCACGGAUUUCCUUGACUUGCUUCUCUGCUUCGAGCAUUAAAUCACUUCCGAAGAUACGGCUAUCUCCGGUUUGAGACUAGUUCAAUGAAGUGCGGCACUUCCGGCCAUACAGGGCUUCAUAGGGUGACAUCUUUAAGAUGGCCUGGAAACUGUUGCUGUAGGAGAACUCGGCGUAAGGCAGACAGUCUUCCCACUUGGUUCCUGGGGCCAAUGUACAAGCCCUGAGCAUAUAUUCAAGUAUUUGAUUUACUCGUUCAGGUUGUCCAUCUGUCUGAGGAUGAUAGGUGGUGCUGUAUUUCAACGCGGUCCCCAGGGCUUGAUGUAGUCGGGACCAAAAUGCGAAUGUGAAGAGAGAUCCCCUGUUGGAGGUGAUAGUCUUAGGUACUCCGUGCAGACUGACGAUUCUUGACACAUACAGCUAUGUGAGUUGAUUCGUGCGGUAUGUGGUUCGGAUAGGAAUAAAUUGUGCCACCUUUGUUAAGUGUCCACUGUGACCCAUAUUGCGUCAUUCCCUUGAUGAGACCUGGGUAGUCCGGUGAUGAAGUCCAUGCAGAUAUCAUCCCAUUUCCAUUGGGAUACUGGCAGAGGUUGGAGGAGUCCUGUGGGUUUUUGGUGUUCCACCUUUACCUUAUUGCAUACGUCGCAACAGGCCACAAAGUAUGCGAUGUCUUUCUUCAUUCCAUUCCACCAAAAUACCUGACGAAGGUUGAGGGAGUCCCGGAUUAGGGGGUGUCCGGAUAGCCGGACUACCAUCAUCGGCCGAACUAUCAUCGGCCGUACUAUCAUCAUCAUCGACCGGACUCCAAGACUAUGAAGAUACAAGAUUGAGGACUUCGUCCCGUGUCCGGAUGGGACUUUCCUUGGCGUGGAAGGCAAGCUUGGCGAUACGGAUACGUAGAUCUCCUACUAUUGUAACCGACUCUAUGUAACCCUAGCCCUCUCCGGUGUCUAUAUAAACCGGAUGGCUCUAGUCCGUAGGACCCACCAACAACAACAACCAUUACAAUCAUACCAUAGGCUAGCUUCUAGGGUUUAGCCUCCUUGAUCUCGUGGUAGAUCCACUCUUGUAAACAUCCACAAUAUCAAUAUCAAUCAAGCAGGAUGUAGGGUUUUACCUCCAUCAAGAGGGCCCGAACCUGGGUAAAACAUCAUGUCCCUUGUCUCCUGUUACCAUCCGCCUAGACGCACAGUUCGGGACCCCCUACCCAAGAUCCGCUGGUUUUGACACCGACAUUGGCGCUUUCAUUGAGAGUUCCUCUGUGUCAUCACCGAUAGGCUUGAUGGCCUCUUCAAUCGACAACGACGCAGUCCUGGGUGAGACUUUUCUCCCCGGACAGAUCUUCGUAUUCGGCGGCUUCGCACUGCGGGCCAACUCACUUGGCCAUGUGGAGCAGAUCGAAAGCUACGCCCCUGGCCGUCAGGUCAGGUUUGGAAGCCUAAACUUCACGGCUGAUAUCCGCGGGGACUUGAUCUUCGAUGGAUCUGAGCCACAGCCGAGCGUGCCGCGCUAUCACGAUGGGCAUGACCUAACUCUGCCGCCGGACAGCACCUUGGAGGCCGCACACGAAUCCGCUCCGACCCAUAGUCCGGAGCCAAUCGCACGGAUCGAGGACGGAUGGCUGGACACCGCCUCGGGAGCUGCAACUUCCACGGCGAUGGAGCCGAACACUUACCUUGUCCCGCAAAAAGCCCAUGACUCCGAGGUGCCGGACCCCCUGCCGGACUCCGAACCUCCUGCGCCCCUGCCAGUCGAAUCCGAUUGGGCGCCGAUCAUGGAAUUCACCGCUGCGGACACCUUUCAGCACUCACCCUUCGGCGAUAUCUUAAAUUCGCUGAAGCAUCUCUCACUAUCCGGAGAGCCCUGGCCGAACUACGGCCAGGAUGGUCGGGACGCGGACAAUGAAGAAAUUCAGAGCCCACCCACCACCCAGUUCGUAGCCACCGUAGACGAUCUAACCGACGUGCUAAACUACGACUCCGAAGACAUCAACGGUAUGGACGACGAUGCCGGAGACAAUCAAGAACCAGCGCCUACAGGGCACUAGAAGGCCACCUCAUCACAUGACAUACAUAUGGUGGACACCCCAAAGGGAAGCGAUAACGACGAACAACGAUACGCGGCAGAGGAUAAUCCCGCCGAUAAACAACCAAAACGGCGACAUAGACGCCGCCCUAAGUCCCGCCUCGAUCAAAGCAGCAUUCCUAACGACCCAGCGAUAGAGCAGGGCAAACCAGCGGACGACGAACAUACAACCAAGCAACCAUCCGAACAAGACGAACCAGAUAAUCAACCACUUCACGGAGCAAUCAACAGUCCGGACACAACACCGGAGCAUAAGAACCUUCACAAAAGACUCGUCGCCACUGCAAGAAGUUUGAAGAAGGAAAAACGGAAGCUCAAAAAAGUGGAAGACAUACUCAGAACAAAGUGGGGCAAAGUACUCAAGACCGCAGACAAAUAUGGCAAUGGCCAUCAAACAAAGAGCUACCCGAAGUGCAAGUUGCUGCUAGAAUUUGACGAGGAAGCCAUAGAACCCUCACAGUCAAAAAAUAAAGAGGCCGCCUAGCCAGAUAGACGGCCAGAUGACAGGCCAAAAGCGACAAGCGGCGCCGCACACAAGCCGACUUAUGAUCCUGGGAAAACGGACGGCCCAACUAGGUCCAUCUACGGGCCAAAAAAGAGGGCCCCAGGAAGUAACACAACACGACAAGUGUUCGAAGACAGCGGCACACCCAAAUACAGGGGCGCCGCACACCCGCUAUGUUUUACUGAUGAGGUGCUGGAUCAUGAAUUUCCAGCAGGGUUCAACCCCAUAAACAUAGAGGCAUACGACAGCACAACAGACCCCGGAGUCUGGAUAGAAGAUUACAUACUACACAUACACAUGGCUAGAGGAGAUGAUCUCCACGCCAUAAAAUACCUACCCCUCAAGCUCAAAGGGCCAGCUCGGCAUUGGCUCAAAAGCCUCCCAGAAAACACUAUUGGAAGUUGGGAAGAGCUUGAGGACACGUUUAGAGUAAAUUUUCAAGGGACUUAUGUCCGCCCUCCGGAUGCAGACGAUCUGAGUCAUAUAACCCUACAGCACGGAGAGUCAGCGCGCAAAUUCUGGAACAGGUUCCUUACCAAAAAGAACCAAAUAGUCGACUGUCCGGACGCGGAAGCCUUAGCAGCUUUUAAACACAACGUCCGAGACGAAUGGCUCGCCAGACACCUCGGCCAAGAGAAGCCAAGAACAAUGGCCGCGCUAACAAGCCUCAUGACGCAAUUUUGCGCAGGAGAAAACAACUGUCUAGCAAGAUGCAGCACCAGCGACCCGAGUACAUCCGAGAUCAGAGAUGGAAACGGAAAAUCACGGCGCAGGAAAGAUCAGCGCCGGAAUAAAGAAAAAAGCCCAAAGGGCAUGGCGGUCAACACCGGAUUCAAAAGCUCGCGGCCAAACAAUAAAACACUGCCUCUUAAGGACAUAGCGACGAGCUAUCAAAUUUAAACAAAAUCUUAGAUUGGAUAUGUCAAAUCCACAGUACCUCCGGAAGGCCUGCAAACCAUACCAACCGAAAUUGUUGGGUUUUUAAACAGUCCGGCAGACUCAAUGCCGGACACAAGGGGCUCGAUGCGCCAAGCGAGGACGAUGACGAACCCCACCAGCAGAGCACCGGAAGUCAAAAGACUUUCCCACAAGAAGUCAAAAUAGUAAACUCGCUUCAUGCGAUAGUACGGAAAACCAACACGGCACUCGCUAAGACAAGUGUCGCACGGUCCACCCCAGCGGAACAUCGAGAUUGGAUGUCAAAACCAAUCACUUUCGACCAUCUGGAUUAGUCCAGAAGUAUCCGGAACGCAGGAUAGACUGCCCUGAUAUUGGAUCCCAUAAUAGACGGACUGCAAUUCACGCAGGUUUUGAUGGACGGCAGCAGUAACUCAAACCUGCUAUAUCCGGACACAAUCCGCAAGUUGGGAUAGACCCUACUACAAUUCGGCAUAGCCGCACUUCCUUCAAAGGAGUGGCGCCAGGCCCUUACGCCAAGUGCACAGGUUCAUUAUUACUAGAAGUUGUGUUCGGGUCACCUGACAACUUCCGACGAGAAAAGCUAACCUUUCAUGUCGCCCCAUUUAAAAGUAGCUAUCAAGCAUCACUGGGACGGGAAGCUUUCGUCCGCUUCAAUGCAAUACCACAUUACGCGUCUCUUACGCUUAAAAUGCCCGGUCCGCGUGGCACCAUUUCAUUAAAAGGUCGCCUGAGACCCCGAACACGGCUGGACGAGUCCGGAACAAAUAAGCUAGGGGCUACCUAGCCGCACAUCCCUUCACAAGGGUUUGUACAUAUAAGCCAUAAUGAGCUAGCAUAGGCUCAACUUUAUUAAUCUAUAUUUCAAUUUUUUAUGCACUUUCUCGCAUGAUUUCUUUUCAAACUAAGUUCCUCUCUUUUUACAGAUGAACAGCGUGCACACCCGUCCAGGAUACGGCACAACGGAGACACAGGCGCAGACGUGCAGUAGGGACCCGUUGCAAGGACUCUUUUCAGACUAAGACCCUACGUAAACCUUUCUUACUGUCUCUUGUUGCUUUAAUCCCCUGGUUUCUCAUUAUAACCAGAGUGGAGACUGGCGUUUUGGCAUCGGCCGCGCCAGAAGAACUUGCCCGUACCUGGACACAAGGGGCUUAGGGCAUUGUUUUGCCCGCUAUUGUAAAGACCGAACACCUUCGGGAGUGUUUGGUGUCUCGAGUUAGGCCAUAUAUGCAUUAGCUCCGAAUCAUGUCUUUGGUCAAAUGUUGGGUUUGCCCGGCUCCUGUGUUUUGCUGCCUUACGUUCCGUAUCACCGGCUAACGCGACACCAGGAGAACUACUGCGAUUGUGCCCCAGUUCGGCUGGGCGAGCACCUCAGUAGAGAAAGCCGAAAACUGACUGUCAUGAUACAGCGAGAGACUGGUCAACCACUCGAUCGACCAUGGGAAUGUUUAGAAUUCCUCCGCUUUGACGAAGGGCCGUUUCUUGGUCAGGCACAUACGCGCCCCAAAUUCGGAGAGCGCGGUGCCCCCAGGGGCUAUGUCGUAGCCCCACCCUCGAACUCCAUGGCUAAGUGAAAGUGAUAAAGCAUUAUAGUCCGGUUGCCUCGUUUGCUACGCUACCACCUCCUUUACAGGACCGAGACGUCGGAUUAAGUGUGAAAACGCGUUUUUUUGCAAAGACCCCCGCACCUUGUGCGUGGGGGCUGAAGCCGACGACUGCCAUCUUUCAGGUUAUACACACGUAUACAUGAACGGCCGCAUAGGAGAUAUUCUAUUACUUGACCGCACAAGUAUAAAAGGCGCUUACAUCAUAAAUAUUGUUUUACAUCAUAAAAACGUUCAUUCAAACGUAAUAUUUUUUGAGCACUGCGACUCUAUUACACGAGCACCACGCAGCACUUCGCCAAAAUAGUGCUCGGCGGGUAACCGGUUAUCGUCCGAACCCGGGGUCGCAACAGCGGUGGCAUCCAUCUCUGUCCAACGUGUCUUCACACGGGCGAGUGCCAUCCGCGCACCCUCUAUGCAGGCCGACCGCUUCAUCGCCUUGAUAUGCGGCACCGCCCCAAGAAAUUGAUGCAAUAAGCCAAAGUAACUCUUCGGCUUGGGCCUAUCCGGCCAGAUAUGGGUCACUAUAUCCGUCAUAGCAAGCCCGGACAACCUAUUUAGCUCAGCCCACUCGGCCAAACGGUCGGUCAGCGGAAGUGAACACUCCGGACUAUGGAAUUGAGACCAAAACAGCUCUUCCGUCUUGUGAUCCUUCUGGCUUCGAAAAUGCACAACGGCAUCGGCCGCACUCGCUGCUAAGUCCAUAUAAGGGUCCUCUGGACCCCACAGUUGGCCCAGCUGAGCAUAUUUUGGAUCCGUAAACCUUCGACGCAGCAGAAAAGGCUUACCAGCUACAAUAUCUCCGGCGUGGCGCAGCUCUUCCUUUAUAGCCUGCAUUGCAGAGCGGGCAUCCUUGGCUUCGGCGGUGGCCUUCCCCAGGUCUUCUUGCCCCGCUAGGCGCUACUUCCCAAGAGCCUCAUUGCGGUCGGUAGCAUCUUUUAACUUCACGGCCAUUUCGGCCAUCUCUUCCCUGCUCCGGCAGUGUGCGACCCUUUCGGCCGCUAACUCCUCGGCCGCCCUUGAGGCCGCCGCAUUACUCCUUCUGGCCUGCUCCUUGGCUUGAGCAAGUUUGGUCCGAAGGCUCUCCACAGCAGUGGCACUAUCUGCAUUUCACACACAUGUUAUAAGGAGCUGGCUUCGGCUCCCUUACCAAGUGACCGCACAUAAACACUUACCUUGCGACUCAUCAAGUCGCCUGUUGACGAGCGUGAUGUCCGCAUCCGCAACAGCGAGUUGCCGCUUUAGUUCAGCAACUCCAUCAGUCCAGCUGGCCCCCGGACGACCCGCCACCUACAUCGGCACGGCGGAAAUUUAAACCUGCAAUUUUGAUCCUCGGCACGCUCUCGAUUUCGACAACCUACCGAGUCUCAGGGGCUACUAUCUAUACAGGGCGCAUUCUAUAUGCAAAACUGUUAAAAGGUGUGUCAUUUUUACGUACCUCAAACCCCGCCAGCAAACUCCUGACGGCAUUAUGCAACCCGCCUUCGGUGGACGAAAUCCUUUCAAUCACCAUGCUCAUCAAUGCGUGGUGAUCUUCUGAGAUAGACGCCCUCUCAAGCAGAUCGUUCAGCCAUACACCAGUUGGCGCCGAACUAUCCGGCUUUGCCAAACCAGGGGGCUCCCUCCGUGACGACACUUCAGGCUCGUCCACCCUAUCCGACGGCGCCCCGGACGGAGGCGUCUCGCUCUCCAUCAUCUCCGGACGAAGGUCCCCCAAAGACGAGCUCAUUUGUAAAGAACGGAGAUCCGAACUACAAGGUAAAAACUUUAGUUAUCCUCAGAAGCACAAAUAGGGAUGUCCCUUAUUAUAAAACUCCUUUCUUUCUACUUACGGCUCAUUGGAGGGCUAAUUCUUUAAGGGAGAUUGUGCGGCCGGGGCCUCCCCGGACGCAGGACCCUCUGGCGAAGAUUUCUUCCCCCAUUUAGGGGCAUUUGCCCCCGGGUCCUCGGAGGUAGUUCUCUUCUCCCCUUGGAGGGAGGGAUUCUCGAUCACCCCUCUUUCAAGAGCCUCCUUAGGCGAGGCAGUAGCUUUCCUGCUUUCCCCUUCGCCUUCCUCUAGAGGCGCAACCUCAAGCAUCCGGACCAGCACGGAAUCCGGCGCGGUCUCAGGGAGGGGGGGUGGACACCAUAUCAAUUUUGCUUCCGCUAUCCACUCCUGUUUGGAAAGAAGUUGGUCAUAAGGCGAAUCAUCGAAAGGAAAACAAACGGUAUGUCCGGACUUGGAACUACUUACUUGAGUAUCCAGGCGAUUGCAGCUUAGGCCAGCAUCCUCAGUCAAUUCUAGACGCGCCUUUUGCGAUCCGAAGAAUAAUUUGUACAUCUCCAGGGGUGUCAUACCCAUGAAGUGUUGAAGAAUCCGUGGGCCCUCCGGAUUGAACUCCCACAGCCGGAGAGGGCGGCGUUUGCAGGGCGGGAGACGCCUAAUCAGCAUAACCUGCAUUACCACCACCAUAUCAACCUCCCUCGUUUGGAGAUCUCGAAUCCAGCCCUGCUAUAGGGGCACGUCCUUUGACGGCCCCCAGUUGAGCCCUUGGUUGAUCCACGACAUCAACCGUCGUGGAGGUCUCGGGUGGAAUAAGGGCGGCGGCUUUUGUCUGCGGCCCCUCGGAACGGUAAUAUAGAACCACUCUUGCUGCCACGGGCCGAGCUCCUCUUGGAAGGAGCCAGCGGGCCACGGGGCAUCAGCCCUCCUACUUAUGGCCGCCCCGCCGCACUCCGCUUGACGCCCCCCGAUCAUCUUCGGCGCCACAUUGAAGGUCUUCAGCCACAGGCCGAAGUGAGGGGUGACGCGGAGGAAGGCUUCGCAGACAACAAUAAAUGCGGAAAUAUGGAGGAUGGACUCCGGAGCCAAAUCGUGGAAUUCCAACCCAUAGUAAAACAUGAGCCCUCUCAUAAAAGGAUCCAUCGGGAAGCCAAAACCCCGACGGAGGUGGGAUACGAAAACGACAUACUCGCCGGGCUCGGGGGAGGGGAUGGCCUGCCCUUCGGCAGGCAACCUGUGCGAAAUCUCAUAAGCCAAGUACUUGGCCUCCCACAGCUUUAGCACGUCCUCCUCCGUGACGAAGGAGGGCAUCCACCGGCCCUGGAGAUCGAAACCGGACAUCGUUGAAGGUCCAAAGCGCUCGAAUCUGGAGCUCUAGGUGCUGGAACUUGGAGCGGGGAGAGGAUUCGAUGGAGGAUUGAAGAAAAGAAAUGAGCCUUGGUCCCGUUAUAAAGAGGGAGAAUACUGAGAGCCGUCUCCGUGACCGUUUGGGACUCGCCUUCGAUAGAGGGGGCGUGGCGACGGGCGCGGUUGGGUUACCCACGUCCGUAUUGAUGAGAAUCCCGGAUUAAGGGGGAACACGAUCUCUGCUUCGACAAGACAUGCCAAGGAAACCGCUUCGCUAAAUGCGGUGAGGUGGUAGAGUAAAAAAUGAUUCAAGUAAUGUCCUGGUAGUGGCGUGACGUCAUGCCGCAAAAAAUGUCAGCAGAUUGAACUUGUGUAUAUAUUAUUCUCUCUACGGUGGAAUGUGGAACUUAUUUUGCAGAGCCGGACACUAUCCUGGUGUUCGCAAUCUUCUAUCAUUCGGAGGAAGAACCCGCCUUGCAAUGCCAAGCAAUAUACGCGCCGGACUUAUCGUCAUUGAAGCCUGGUUCAGGGGCUACUGAGGGAGUCCCGGAUUAGGGCGUGUCCGGAUAGCCGGACUACCAUCAUCGGCCGAACUAUCAUCGGCCGAACUAUCAUCAUCAUCGACCGGACUCCAAGACUAUGAAGAUACAAGAUUGAAGACUUUGUCCCGUGUCCGGAUGGGACUUUCCUUGGCGUGGAAGGCAAGCUUGGCGAUACGGAUACGUAGAUCUCCUACUAUUGUAACCGACUCUAUGUAACCCUAGCCCUCUCCGGUGUCUAUAUAAACCGGAUGGCUCUAGUCCGUAGGACCCACCACCACCAACAACCAUUACAAUCAUACCAUAGGCUAGCUUCUAGGGUUUAGCCUCCCUGAUCUCGUGGUAGAUCCACUCUUGUAAACAUCCACAAUAUCAAUAUCAAUCAAGAAGGACGUAGGGUUUUACCUCCAUCAAGAGGGCCCGAACCUGGAUAAAACAUCAUGUCCCUUGUCUCCUGUUACCAUCCGCCUAGACGCACAGUUUGGGACCCCCUACCCAAGAUCCGCCAGUUUUGACACCGACAAAGGUCCUUAUACAUUUUGGUACCACCGGGAUGACUUGAUUAUGGUGCUUCAUGCGCUUCUGCCAAUAUCAUCUUCUUUAGACUUCCUUGGUUGGGUACGCAGAGUCUUCCUCGAAACCUUAGUGAACCUCGCUGAUCCAUAGAGAAGUCGGGUGGAUGCCCUUGGUGCAUCUUCUGAACAUAUCUUUUUGACCUCCAAUCAUUUGCUUGAGCGAUGCGGAUUUCUUCUUUGAGAGUAUGGGCAACUUCCAAUAUAUUGGCAAGACGGGCGUCGGUGAUUACCAAAUUGGGCUGUAUGAUUUCUUCAUAAAGCUUAGGAGGCAAAAAAACCAUUAGAGCAUUAAGGUUGGCUGGUUUGCGACUGAGGGUGUCAGCCACCACAUUAGCUUUGCCCGGGUGAUAAUUUAUCCCGAGGUAGUAGUCCUUAACUAAUUCGAGCCAUCUUUGUUGUCGAAGGUUCAAAUCGGGCUAAGUGAAUAUAUACUUGAGACUCUUAUGAUGGGUGAAUAUCUGGCACCACUUCGCAAUCAGAUAGUGUCUCUAGAUCUUCAAAGCGUGUACUACCGCGGCCAUUUCCAAAUCAUCGGUAGGGUAGUUUCCUUCGUGUUCCCGUAGUUGUCGAGAUGCAUAUGCCACCACUUUGCCAUCUUGCAUGUGUACGCACCCUAGUCCUCUUAUGGAUGCGUCAUGGUAGAUGUCUGGAAGAGUCAAUACUAGUGCUGUGGUCAGCCGAGUUUUUAACACGUUGAAACUCUUCUCGCAUUCCUUAGUCCAUACAAACUUCGUAUCCUUCUUCAGAAGCUCAGUCAUAGGCUUGGCGAUCAUCGAGAAGCCUUCGCUAAAAUGGCAAUAAUAUCCGGCUAGUCCAAGGAAACUCCGGAUUUCUAAGACUGUGGUGGGUGCGGACCAAUCAAGAACAUCCUUCACCUUGCUUGGGUCCACUGAGAUUCCUUCUGCCGAGAGGAUAUGCCCGAGGAAUCCCACUUGUUGGAGCUAGAACUCACAUUUGCUGAAUUUGGCAUAAAGCUGAUGGUCGUGAAGCCUUUGCAGAACUGCUCGAAGAUGCUCCUUGUGUUCAUCCUUGCUCUUGGAUUAAAUGAGGAUGUCAUCAAUGAAUACCACCACAAAUUUAUCCAAGAAGUCCAUAAACACCUUGUUCAUCAUAUGCAUAAAGAAUGCAGGAGCGUUGGUGAGGCCAAAGGACAUAACGGUGUACUCAUAAAGACCAUAUCGAGUGGUGAACGCGGUCUUAGGGAUAUCCUCCUUCUUUAUCUUGAGUUGAUGAUAUCCAGUCCUCAAAUCAAUUUUUGAGACUACUUUGGCCCCAAUAAGCUGAUCAAACAGGUCGUCGAUCCUUGGCAGUGGAUACUUGUUUUUGAUGGUGAUGUCAUUUAGUUGUCGGUAGUCUACACACAUUCGUAGACUGCCAUCCUUUUUGUCCACGAAGAUUGCUGGUGAUCCCCAUGGUGAAGAGCUUGGUCGAAAGUAUCCUUUUUGCAACAUAUCAUCCAUUUGUUUCUUCAAUUCCACCAAUUCUGAGGAAGGCAUCUGAUAAUAUGUCUUAUGUAUCGGAGUGAUUCCAGGCACCAAGUCAAUCGCGAACUCCAAAUCUCGGUCUGGUAGCAUGCCUGGCAAUUCUUCCGGAAAGAUGUCUGGAUACUCACUGUCCACAGGAAUUAAAUCCACUUCUUCGGCCACUUCUACGAAAACCAUAUCUUUCAUGGGGAUUCGCCUGCGGGCAUAAAAACUCGUGGUGCAACCUUCCAUAUUUUUCAGGGUAGCUUCUCUAGUCGCACAGCUGAUGCAGACUUGAUAUUGAGUUAACCAAUUCAUGACCAAAAUGACGUCCAAUUUGUUGGAAUCGAUGAUUAUCAACGAGGUUGGAAACUUGACGCCCUUGAUGUCAAUUUCCAAAUUUCAGCAGACGAGAUUGCUUCUGAGUAGGGAUCCCGGGGAUUGUACCAGCAUGUGCUUUCCCAAAAUCGAACAAGGAAUAUUGUUUUGGGAAGCAAGACUCCAUGAUAUAAAAGGGUGGGAAGCCCCAGAGUCAAAUAAAAUUACAGCGGGUAUGUCAUUAACAGGAAACAUACCAAUGACGACUUACGGGUCCUCUUGAGCUUCGUUUGUGGAGAUGUAGUUAAUUUGACCUUGAAUCAUAUCUGGGGCGGGAUACGGCUCCAUGUAGUUGACUUGCGGUUGGAAUGGAGCUACUUGCUUUCUGUUCUUGGGACACUGCCUGGCGUAGUGUCCGGUUUGACCAUAGCUGAAACAUGUAUUGUUGUGCUGACAGUCUUCACGCACCAGACUGGUCACAACAUUAUUGACUUGUGUAGUAGUCUUGUUGACAUUCUGCUGCCAAUUUGGUUUGUACUCCACCUGAGUCUGUUGCCAAGUACGAGCCUUUUGCACUGGUUGCAUAUCCUUCUUUGGCUCGAAUUUGCGCUUGUGGUCGUUAACAGCUGACUUGUGGUCAUGUAGGAGCUUGUGUUCCCUUUCGGUGAUGAGGGCCUUGUUCACCAGCAUCAAGAAGUCUGGGAAAUCAAACAUGCUGAGAGUGCACCUGAGAUGCUGAUUCAGGCCUGACGGAACCGGUCGAUCUUCCGCUCUUCGGUGUACACAUCGUGGAGAGAAUAGCGGGCCAAAUGGUUGAACUUGUUUAGGUACUCGUUGACAGUCAUGCUGCCUUGAGUGAGAGCGAGGAAUUCACACUGCUUGAUUUUCAUAACUCCGGUGGGAAUAUGAUACUUGUUGAAUUGUUCCUUGAAUUUGUCCCAAGUAAUUUCCUCGUCUGCAGGCCAUAUUGCAUUGGCAUUAUCCCGCCAUAUCGUGGCAGCUCCUUCGAGAUAAUGCGUUGCAAAGGGAACCUUGUCUCUUUCUUCAGUGCGGGCAAUCUCCAGUUUCCUUUCCAUUGUCCUUAGUCAGUCGUCGGCGUCCAAAGGAUUAGUAGCGUGGCUGAAACUGGGAGGCUUGGUUCGCUGAAUGUUUGACAGUUUGGAGUGAUGGCCAUUCUGGUUUCCAUUCUGCCCAACCAUAACUUGUACACUCUUCAGGAUUUCCAACAGGUUGUUGCUUCUUAUUUCUUCAAACAUUCUCAUGAUCUGAUCGGUGGAAGGCGGUUGUGGCUGGUACCGCUCGGGGGAAUGUCCCGCCUGUCUUGCGAGUGAUGGAUAGGGGUAUCCUCACAAGCUUGGCUGCUGCAACCUCCACGCGUCAUCCUAUUUUUCGUUUUCCCAAUACAUAGCAACCAUGAUGAGAAAAAUCCAAAAUGGGGGAAAAAGCCAAUGACAAAUCGUGGAAGAAAACAGCGAACGAAAUCCAAGGCGUAUAAAAAGUUCCAACAUAAUUAUACAUAGUCCCAACAUGAAAGUAACAUCACAGCAGGUCUACUACCCUCGUACAUGAAACUACGCAUCAUGACAAGUGUAGGUACAACCAUACAUCAUGCUCAUGACUACCACGAUACUCUAACAGUCUACUUCUCGGUCGGUGCUACUGCAGGCUCGUCUCCUGAGUCGGACCCUCAUCCUGAGCUGAUAGCAGAGUCCUCUGGACCAAGAGAAACGCGACGACGCUUCCUUGAGGGCUCUCCCUCAGGGGCAGGCGGGGGAUCGGAUCUAAGCAUAGAAGUAGCAGGAGUAGAGACAAGGGAAGACAAUGCAGCAGGGGUGCUGCGAGGGUUCACCGUCAGAGGGUUAACGGUACCCUGCGAGGUCGUCGGUGGAACAGGGGUGGGAAGAACCGGAGAAGAAGUGUAGAUAACAGCGGGAAGAGGGUUCCUCACCCGAGUGCGAGAGCGGUGCGAGCACGUGAAAGCUCCCGAGCUACUCGUAGUUUAGAAGAUAACUAGAUGUGAUGUAGCGAGAAAGGUGGCUAGUGGGAUGAUCGCACGCCGGAUUAAUCAAAGGAAAAUGGACACACCCAUUCUUGUGCAGAGAUGGGUAGUAGAAGAGACCAGGGUGGGUAUGCAUGCGAACCUCGUUGUAGCACAAGUCUACAAGAUCCUCGAGAGCAGCAAAAUGAAUUGCCUGGGAUGGCGUAGAAGCAAGACCACCCUUAGUCGAACGAGUGUAAGCGUCGGUAGGUGAACUGUGAUGUAGAGUGACCUCAGCAUAAUGCUCAUACAAUGCACCGGCCAGAUGCUCGCGAUACACCCGAUACUCUAGAUCAGCACCCUCUGGGUAGAUUUGUCGCCACACAUUCUAAAGCAGAUGCGACGAUGUGUAUGGAGCUCGCUCAGGAUGGUACAAGAUCGGUACUGGUGCCAUCUACACUCAUAAAUCAUCCGGAUAGUAAUAACAAAUAAACAUGCAUGCAAUGCAAUAAUCGGCACUCAAACGAAGCUAUCUACCAUUUUACUAGCGCACUUACGGUCUAGCGUGUCCUACAAUCAGCGCGGCUCUGAUACCAAGUGCUGUGGCACCCCGGCUCAGAGCAACCGGUUUACCUUGCAUUGCCAACCCAGAGAUCAAGUCUUCUGGCAAUGCACAACAACAUGGUACAGAAACAACCGCUUUAUUGAUGCUAGCGGAUUACAUAGGUCUGAUAUUACAUCGAGAUUCAAGGCCAAGCGGCACUCACGGUGCUGCUAGAUGGUAUGUACAUUAUUUAAUGGACAUGACGGGGCCUUGAUCGCACGAGCUACACAGCAGCGGAAGAACAACAUAGAGGAACUUUGUAGCAUAGGGACACCAACGUGAACAUGGCCUAGACACGAGAUGCGCUCCGAUGCGAACUGACUUUCCUGAAAGCUGGCAUAACACGCCAGGUCAGUACAUUGAAUGUACUUGCAAGCUCACAACAAACAUAAGCACGAUGACAAACAAUAUCAUGAUAUUUAAACAGAUUAAUUCAAUGCAAAACUACUACUACCAAACAAACAUUUCGUGUAAUGAGUCCCACGGACUCACUUACCAGACGGUUACCGUGUAACCAAACGGUGACCAUACCCGGGUCACAACGGAAACCAAUCACUCAUGAGUACCUCAAGUGUUCAUGCUUUCGUCAUGAACCAAUGCAUCACAGCCCUCACUUAGUUUGCAAUAUUAUUAGAAAAGUUGAUCCAUGGAGUGGCUUACUUCCGACUUUUACUCAUAACAGAGGACGUGGCUAUCGAUAGAUUAAAUACACUCUGAAGAGGUAGCGCACUUUACCCACACUACGGAAUACCUGGCCCCGCAUUCCCGUUCGGGUGGACCAAAGCAUUCCGACGAAACCCUCCCUUUUUCAUGCACUCUCCCCGGCCACUCCAACGAACCCCCCCUCGGGGCUAGGUCUUGGGUGGCCCCGUGUCUACCAAAGACACCAACAGCCACCGCGUGGCAAAACAGUCCCAAACCAGAACAAGGUACCAUAAAAACAAAACGAGCACACAAGGUUAUGUCUGCCUACCGGGCCAGGGUAUGCACGCCCAUAACCUUCCCUCGCGGGAGGCACCGGUGAGAGCCACAACAAAGGACCGAAUCAAGACCUUCCCAUAAGGUAGAUGUGGUCGCACUGAAUUAAACCCAAUUCAGUGGCACCAUGAUGUGAUCAACAUCAUAUUCACGUUGAACUUAAUCAAGUUUAGCUUUGAUAAAAACUUUUUAUCAUUAACAUGAUGUAAUAAAAAUAAUCAUGCAACUACUCGUCAUGCAAAACAAACAACUCAUAUUCAUGGAUCAAACUUAACAACACAUGCAUCUUGCAAUACUAAGAAUCAAACUUCUCUGGUUAUAACUCAUUUUCAUAACCAAGCAAUAUUUUUAUUAGUUCAUUAUUUAAAUCAAACCAUUACUAGCAAAAUAACUAUCAUUGAUUUCCAUAGCAAUUUUCAUAGUGCAAAAUAUUACUCUACCUAGCCAAACAAGUUCAUGCAUUCAACCAGAAGCUAAAACAAGCAUAUCAAGCAUGGUAAAGUAACUAGAAAUUAACCAAAGUUAUUUAUCAAAUUUUAAAUGCAAAUAAUAACUCAUACUCAAGUAGAAAAUCAUAGGUAUUGAAAUAACACCAUCCAAAUGCUGGUGUGGCUUGUCUUAGGGUAGAGGUGGAUCACUCUCCUCUUGGUUUGCUUCAAGACAAGCUUCUCUUUUUGAAAAAAUAAUUUAAACCACAAAAAGAAUUAUCAAAACACAUUCUGAAAAUCACCAGAAAUUCUAGACAGCAAGGAAAAUCCACCUUCUGGUGUGCUGCAAGAGUUUUUUUGUAACAAACACAAUGCAAAAAGAAUCAAAUCAUUUGGACUUGUGGUUUAAAAAUGGUGGCUGGUCAAAGUUUGGUCAAAUUUCUGAUUAAAUUUGAAUUAAACAGAAAAUCCUGUUGGGGGGGGGUGACAUCGAAGGCGUAAAACAAAAAUAAGCCUCCACUCGUACCGCUUCGGGCACGAGUGGUGAGACCCAUAGGUGGGUCCCGUGCGUCAGGGGAGAGAGAGAGAGCGAGAUCAGAGGGAGGCGGGGCUUCGCCGUAGCUCACGUCAGCGACAAGGGGGUUCGGGGCAAAACGGGAGGGAUAGAAUUGAAGCGGGGCUAGAGGCGCACCUGCCCGUACUCGUGGAUUGGCGAGAGGUGGCCGGAGCUCGUUGCAGUCGAGCUCGCAAACUCCGGUGGCGAAGGGGAUUCACCGGAGAGGAAGAAGACAACGGCUAGAGGUGGCUCCGAGGGCUUGGCGGGGUCCAGGCAGCACCAGCAGACCCCCAAUGCUCCGCCCAAGCAGCUGCUUAAGCUCGAGAGGCACCGGAGCACGGCAGCUGGACUGCGGGGAUCGCCGGAGUCCUCGGGUCGAGGCGACGGCCAAAGGCCUGCCCGACCGGGCUUCUGCUCGUCUACAUGUUCGUGGAGGUGGUGUGGAGUGGUGCGUGGCCAGCAAGUGAGGAGGCGGGUGCUAUAUAUAGUCGGAGCGGAGGGGGGGACGUGUCGCUGCUGGAGCUCUCUGGACACGUGGCGAACGUCGAUGAGAAGCUCCAACGAGAGGGGGCAAGCAUUCAGCGUCAACGCAGAAGCUUGCCCACACUCGUGGACAAGCACAGGAGGCGGUUGAGGGAGCGGACAAGUGCACGCUCGCACUGUGGCCUUUUGGCCGCAACGUGCCCGUGCUUGUUGCGACAGCUCUGGUGUCGGCGAGUGCCAGGGAGCGGUCAAGGGUGAUGGGGCGAGGCUGGUGGCACGGUGUGGCAGUCGGAGGCAAGCGCUGGAUCGAGCACGCGCGAAACAGAGCGCAAGGCGCCAGCCAGAGCAGGCCGAGAUGCAUGCCAGGCACCGUGUCCACACGCGGUCACCAGGCUGGCAUGGUCGAAACGACACCAAGGAGCUGCCAAACCUUGUCAACGCACUCGACCGUGCAGUGUUUAGUCUAGGUGAGUUGAUGGCUCAUGCCUAGGCCGACCAGAUUAGACUUCACUAAGCUGACAAGUUUUUGUACAGAAACUUGGCCGCCAAAUUUGGCCACCUUCUAGAAGGCCAUUAGGGCUAAUCUCCUGGGGUUUAGGGUUUCUUAGGAGGGUGUUUAAGCUCAAGAACUAUCAAGGCUAAAAGCUCAAGGAAAAAUGUACUUGCUGUACAAAGUGCAUUUAUGGUCCAGAAGUGAAAAUAUUUUCAACAGCAAAAAUAUUGCAAAAAGUGAUGCAAUAUUUUUACAUGGGAAGUUGUGCCAUGGUUCUAAGAAUAUUUGGGAUUUAUCUCAGAUUUUUCUGAGUAAGAAAAAUGAGGUUCCUUUGGAGCACAAGAUUCUGAAGUGAGUUUCAGAGGGAGAAAUGAAUAUUUUUCUUUUAUGAAAAAUACUCAUUUGAUUAUUUUGAGGGUUUGACCAGAGGAAUAGAGAAGAUAUUUCACUUGGGUGAAAGCCAACAAUAUGCCCAAGUGACAAGUCCAUUUGAAAAGAUUCAAACUCCAAAUCAAAUCAGGGCAAAAACCAUGAUACAACCAAAUCCGGAAAGAGAGAGAAGGCAAGUCCGGAAAAAGAGAGAAGGAAAAAUCCAGGCUGUCACAGCCACCGCCAGGCGUCAGGGCCUCGUGAGGCGCCAUAGCAUGCUGCGCCAGGUGCUGGUACGAGGCGCCAACAUUCAGCAGGCCGAACAGCAUGCAGACGUAGUUGCAAGGGAAGCUCCUACUUCGGCCAAUGUGUGAGGCGAGAAGAGGUCUUGGGAUGCGGCAAUGUUCAGGCCCAGGAUGUCAACGCAGACGCGUAAGCCAUCGCCCGUGUGCGUGCGGCGGCUACGCUGGGGCAUGUGGGGCGGCGCCCGUCGCACAUGGCUUGUGCUUCCUAAAGCUCCUCGAUCGCCUUGGUGAUGAAUUCUCGUGCUCCUGGUACUUCGUGCCAUGUUCCUUGCUUGUGGGGGGUGUCGAGCACGUGGAGGCACGCCUCCAAGUGCUUCCCAGGCACCUCACUAUCGCCCUGGUCCAGUCAGACACUCCCAAGAUGGAAGCCCCCAAGCCCAUCCCGAGGGAGGCACCAGGCGUGCCUUCCUAUGCGGGAGUAAGGGGCGCCCUGGUAGUAGGCGCGGAGCCUGAGGCACCGCCUGCGGGCUUCUUGGCCUCCGAAUGGCUCUUGGGGAGGAGGUACUUAUUCUUUGCGGAGGCAGCCUCAAGGGGCGCGACGUCACCUUCGCUAUCUGAGUUUUUGGACACCGCAGCCCGGUAGGCAUGCUCAAGGUAGUAGACCGCAUCCUUUUCAGCACGGCGACAAUGAUGACACCGCUGCACACUGGCAUCUUGAAGAUGUUGUAGCUAUGGUGGCUAGCCGCAAUGAACUUGGCGAGAGAAGGGUACCCCAGGAUGGCAUUGUACGGGAGGAUGAUGUGGGCCACGUCGAAGUCGAUGAGCUCUGUGUGGUAGUUUUCGCGCUUGCCAAAGGUGAUAGGAAGGCGCACCUACCCCAGGGGAAUAAUGGAGCCGUCAGUCACUCCAUAGAACGGCUUUGUGGGCAUGAGUUGUUCGUAAGGCACUUGAAGCAUCUCGAAGGUCUCCACUGAAAGCAUGUUGAGGCUAGAGCAACCGUCGAUGAGGGUCUUGGUGACUGAGACAUUGCUGAUGGAGGGCGUGCACAACAUGGGGAGCGCGCCAAUAGUAGCCGAACACCUGAGGUGGUUCCUUGGAGCUGAAUGUGAUGGCGUACUAUGACCAAAUGAGGGGACGGGCAGCUUCAAGCCUUGGGAGGGCCGCAUUCACCUCACGAGAGAAGUGCUUCAAGAUGUGGUUCGAGGCGGGUGCAUGAGCUUCGCUAAGGAUGCAGGCAAUGGCACGAGGCUCCUGGUAGCCCCCAGCCCCCUCGUCUUGUUGGUUGUCAUGGUUUCUCCUGGGCAGCGGCAGCAGAGAUGGGAGGCCAGCAUUGCCCUGCGGGCGGGCCUCGCGAGGCUAAUCGCACCAUGUGCCAUCGCGAGGGUGAUCAUGCCAGCCACCCUCGCAAGGCUAGUCACGCCAGCCCUGGCGGGAAUUGCGGUUGUCCAAGCGGCUUCUGCCACCGUCUAUUCGCUCGGGGCAGCGGCCCAGGCGCUCGUCCCGGAGCGCCCUAAGCUCCUGACAGUCAUCGGUGUUAUGGGUGUGCAGGUUAUGGAAGACACAGAAAGGCAAAGCUUCCUUGGCGGGCUCGUCGCGAUCACAGUCGCGCUUUAGCUCAGGUUCUGCUACCAGUACGGUGGGGCCCUUGCACUUUGCCUCCCUGGCCUUGACCUUCUUAUCUUUGGGGUCGACGUUUGGGUGCUCGAGGAGGGAGAGGCGGCCUUCGUCAGCCUUCACGCACUUGUCAGUCAGGUUGAAUAGCUCCAAUGCUAAGCACAUGUCAUCGUCGAUGGCGAGCUCCUCGCUCAUCUUGAUAUCUGUGACGCCUUAUGUGAACACGAAGAUGAUGACCUUGUUCGAAGCCUUCGGGAUCUUGAUGCGAACUUGGGUGAAGCGCUGCAUGUACUUGCAGAGGUUCUCACCAGGAUGUUGCUUCACGCGCUGCAAGUUGUUGACGGUGAGGGCACAACCAUGGGUCACUUGGAAGUUGGCGAUGAACCGCUUGCGGAGCUCAUCCCAUGAGGAGGUUGAUCCCUCCGGGAGGUGCAUGAGCCAGGAGUGCGAGCUAUCCUUAAGGGCCAUGGGGAACCAGUUCGCCAUGACCUUGUCAUCACCAUUCACUGCCUCAAAGCUCAGCAUGUAGAGCUGGAGGAACUCCAUAGGGUCGGGGAUGUCAUCGUAGUGCGGAGGCUGAUCCGGCGUAAACUUGACCGACCAGAUAACAUGGCGCAUCUCAUUAGUGAAGGCGCGGUAGCCUGCCGCGCUCACGGGCGCGGCCCACGUGAGAGGGGCACGAUCCUGGCGCCCAUGCGCAACGGCUUCCAGAGUGGCCCGGUCUUGAAACUGUCGUGGCGGCACCGGGAGCGCACGCGCGUCGUAUUAUGGCUGCUGCACAACCUGGCAGCUAGCUUCGUCCUCGGCCAGCACCGACGUGCCACGCGCCGGGUCGCGCGGACGCGCGUCACGCCUUGGUUUAGCUUUGUCGCCGUGCCGGGGAGGAGGCGGAGGCGCACCAUGUGCCACGUCGCCCACCCGAUAUGGUGGGGUGCAGAGCGAGUGGGAGAGCGCUUGGGCCUCGCCGGCGGCAUUGACGAGCUCGGUGAUACGGCCCAGCCAGGCAUCGUAGCCUUCAUUGGUGGGGCGGUAGCGCAGCAGCUCGCGCGCCAUGAGUAGCACAGCCUUUGUGUUUGCUGUCUUGCACGUGGGAGGACGAGGUCGUGGCAGGAGUGAGGGAAGGCAUGGCAGUGCGGCCAUCCCGCUGCAUAGAGAGCGGCAGCAAAGAGUCAUGCUACACGUGGGUGGCAAGGUCGGUGGCAGUGUUAGCCGCCGGAGAAGUGGAGCGGCGCAGGCCGUCAUGGCCCACCGGGGCCAUCUGGGCGGCCCGGCGCUUGGUGCGCACUCGGUGUGCCUCAUCCAUGGGGGUGACGAAGCACCGACGGAAUGAAGUAGGCGGACGAGGAAGAACUUUGACACGUCCCUACUGAAGGAAAUAUUCCCUAGAGGCAAUAAUAAAGUUAUUAUUUAUUUCCUUAUAUCAUGAUAAAUGUUUAUUAUUCAUGCUAGAAUUGUAUUAGCCGGAAACAUAAUACAUGUGUGAAUACAUAGACAAACAGAGUGUCACCAGUAUGCCUCUACUUGACUAGCUCGUGAAUCAAAGAUGGUUAAGUUUCCUAACCAUAGACAUGAGUUGUCAUUUGAUUAACGGGAUCACAUCAUUAGGAGAAUGAUAUGAUUGACUUGACCCAUUCCGUUAGCUUAGCACUUGAUCAUUUUGUAUGUUGCUGUUGCUUUCUUCAUGACUUAUACAUGUUCCCAUGACUAUGAGAUUAUGUAACUCCCGUUUACCGGAGGAACACUUUGUGUGCUACCAAACGUCACAACGUAACUAGGUGAUUAUAAAGGUGCUCUACAGGUGUCUCCGAAGGUACUUGUUGAGUUGACGUAUUUCAAGAUUAGGAUUUGUCACUCCGAUUGUCGGAGAGGUGUCUCUGGGCCCUCUCGGUAAUGCACAUCACUAUAAGCCUUGCAAGGAAUGUAGCUAAUGAGUUAGUUACAGGAUGAUGCAUUACGUAACGAGUAAAGAGACUUGCCGGUAACGAGAUUGAACUAGGUAUUGAAAUACCGACGAUCGAAGCUCGGGCAAGUAACAUACCAAUGACAAAGAGAACAACGUAUGUUGUUAUGCGGUUUGACCGAUAAAGAUCUUUCUAGAAUAUCUGGGAGCCAAUAUGAGCAUCCAGGUUCCGGUAUUGGUUAUUGUCCGGAGAUGUGUCUUGGUCAUGUCUACAUACUUCUGGAACCCGUAGGGUCUGCACGCUUAAAGUUCGAUGACAGUUAUAUUAUGAGUUUAUGUGUUUUGAUGUACCGAAGGAGUUCGAAGUCCUGGAUGAGAUCGGGGACAUGACGAGGAGUCUCUAAAUGGUCGAGACAUAAAGAUCGAUAUAUUGGACGACUAUAUUCGGACUUUGGAAAGGUUCCGAGUGAUUCGGGUAUUUUUCGGAGUACCGGAGAGUUACGGGAAUUCGUAUUGGGCCUUAAUGGGCCAUACGGGAAAGGAGAGAAAGGCCCCAAAAUGUGGCCGCACCCCUCCCCAUGGACUAGUCCGAAUUGGACUAGGGAGGGGGGGAGCCCCCUUCGUUCUUUCUCCUUCUCCCUUCCGUUUCUCCUACUCCAACUUGGAAGGGGGGAAUCCUACUCCCGGUGGGAGUAGGACUCCCCUAUGGCACGCCCAAGAGAGGGCCGGCCCUCCCUUCCUCUACUACUUUAUAUAUGAGGGAGGGGCACCCCAUGGAGACACAACAAUUGAUCAUUGAUCUCUUAGCCGUGUGCGGUGCCCCCCUCCACCAUAAUCCACCUCGAUAAUAUCGUAGCGGUGCUUAGGCGAAGCCCUGCGUCGGUAGAACAUCAUCAUCGUAACCACGCCGUCAUGCUGAUGGAACUCUCGCUCGACACUCGGCUGGAUCGGAGUUCGAGGGAUGUCAUCAAGCUGAACGUGAGCAAGAACUCAGAGGCGCCGUGCUUUCGGUGCUUGAUCGGUCGGGUCAUGAAGAUGUAUGACUACAUCAACUGCGUUGUGCUAACGCUUCCGCUUUCGGUCUACGAGGGUACGUGGACACACUCUACCCUCUCAUUGAUAUGCAUCACCAUGAUCUUGCGUGUGCAUUGGAAUUUUUCUGAAAUUACGGUGUUCCCCAACAGUGGCAUCGGAGCCUGGUUUUAUGCGUAGAUGUUAUAUGCACGAGUAGAACACAAGUGAGUUGUGGGCGAUACAAGUCAUACUGGUUACCAGCAUGUCAUACUUUGGUUCGGUGGUAUUGUUGGAUGAAGCGGCCCGGACCGACAUUAUGCGUACGCUUACGCAAGACUGGUUCUACCGACGUGCUUUGCACAUAGGUCGCUGGCGGGUGUCAGUUUCUCCAACUUUACAACCGAGUGUGGCUACGCCCGGUCCUUGCGGAGGUUAAAAAAACACUAACUUGAUGAACUAUCGUUGUGGUUUUGAUGCGUAGGUAAGAACGGUUCUUUCUCAGCCCGUAGCAACCACGUAAAACUUGCAACAACAAAGUAGAGGACUUCUAACUUGUUUUUGCAGGGCAUGUUGCGAUGUGAUAUGGUCAAGACGUGAUGCCAUAUUUUAUUGUAUGAGAUGAUCAUGUUUUGUAACUGAGUUAUCGGCAACUGGCAGGAGCCAUAUGGUUGUCGCUUUAUUGUAUGCAAUGCAAUCGCCCUGUAAUUGCUUUACUUUAUCACUAGGCGGUAGUGAUAGUCGUAGAAGCAAUAGGUGGCGAAACGACAAGGAUGCUACGAUGGAGAUCAAGGUGUCGGGCCGGUGACGAUGGUGAUCAUGACGGUGCUUCAGAGAUGGUGAUCACAAGCACAAGAUGAUGAUGGUCAUAUCAUAUCACUUAUAUUGAUUGCAUGUGAUGUUUAUCCUUUAUGCAUCUUAUUUUGCUUUGAUUGACGGUAGCAUUAUAAGAUGAUCUCUCACUAAAUUUCAAGGUAUAAGUGUUCUCCCUGAGUAUGCACCAUUGUGAAAGUUCUUCGUGCUGAGACACCACGUGAUGAUCGGGUGUGAUAGGCUCUACGUUCAAAUACAACGGGUGCAAAAAAGUUGCACACGCGGAAUACUCAAGUUAAACUUGAUGAGCCUAGCAUAUACAGAUAUGGCCUCGGAACACUGAGACCAAAAGGUCGAGCGUGAAUCAUAUAGCAGAUAUGAUCAACAUAGUGAUGUUCACCAUUGAAAACUACUCCAUCUCUCGUGAUGAUCGGACAUGGUUUAGUUGAUUUGGAUCACGUGAUCACUUAGAUGAUUAGAGGGAUGUCUAUCUAAGUCGGAGUUCUUAAGUAAUAUUAUUAAUUGAACUUUAAUUUAUCAUGAACUUAGUCCUGGUAGUAUUUUGCAAAUUAUGUUGUAGAUCAAUAGCUCGCGGUGUUGCUUCCCUAUGUUUUUAUAUAUGUUCCUAGAGAAAACUAAGUUGAAAGAUGUUAGUAGCAAUGAUGCAGACUUGGUCCGUGAUCUGAGGUUUAUCCUCAUUGCUGCACAGAAGAAUUAUGUCGUUGAUGCACCGCUAGGUGACAGACCUAUUGCAGGAGCAGAUGCAGACAUUAUGAACGUUUGGCUAGCUCAAUAUGAUGACUACUUGAUAGUUUUGUGCACCAUGCUUUAUGGCUUAGAACCGAGACUACAAAAACAUUUUUGAAACGUCACAGAACAUAUGAGAUGUUCCAUGAGAUGAAAUUGAUAUUUUAGACUCAUGCCCGUGUCAAGAGGUAUGAGACCUCUGACAAAUACUUCGCCUAAAAGAUGGAGGAGAAUUGCUCAACUAGUGAGCAAGUGCUUAGAUUGUCUGAGUACUACAAUCACUUGAAUCAAGUGGGAUUUAAUCUUCCAGAUAAGAUAGUGAUUGACAGAGUUCUCUAGUCACCAUCACCAUGUUAGUAGAACUUCAUGAUGAACUAUAGUAUGCGAGGGAUGGCGAAAACGAUUCCCGAGCUCUUCGUGAUGCUGAAAUCGACGAUGGUAGAAAUCAAGAAAGAACAUCAAGUGUUGAUGAUUGACAAGAUCACUAGUUUCAAGAAAAGGGCAAAGGAAAAGAAAGGGAACUUCAAGUAGAAUGGAAAGCAAGUUGUCACUCCCGUGAAGAAGCCCAAAGCUGGAACCAAAGCCUGAAACUAAGUGCUUCUAUUGCAAAGGAAAUGGUCACUGGAAGCGGAAAUGCCCUGAAUAUUUGGUGGAUAAGAAGGAUGGCAAAGUGAACAAGGGUAUAUUUGAUAUACAUGUUAUUGAUGUGUACCUUACUAGUGUUUAUAGUAACCCCUGAGUAUUUGAUACUUGUUUGGUUGCUAAGAUUAGUAACUCGAAAAAGGAGUUAUAGAAUAAAUAGAAACUAGUUGAGGGUGAAGUGACGAUGUGUGUUGGAAGUGGUUCCAAGAUUGAUAUGAUCAUCAUUGUACACUCCCUAUACUUUCGGGAUUAGUGUUGAACCUAAAUAAAUGUUAUUUGGCAUUUUCGUUAAGCAUGAAUAUGAUUUGAUCACGUUUAUUGCAAUACGGUUAUUCAUCUAAAACAGAGAAUAAUUGUUGUUAUGUUUACAUGAAUAAAGCCUUCGAUGGUCAUACACCCAAUGAAAAUAGUUUGUUGGAUCUUGAUCGUAGUGAUACACAUAUUCAUAAUAUUGAUUCCAAAAGAUGCAAAGUUGAUAAUGAUAGUGCAACUUAUUUGUGGCACUGCCGUUUGGGUCAUAUCGGUGUAAAGCGCAUGAAGAAACUCCAUAAUGAUGGAUUUUUGGAAUCACUUGGUUAUGAAUCAUUUGAUGCUUGCGAACCAUGCCUUUUGGGCAAGAUGACUAAAACUCCGUUCUCCGGAACAAUGGAACGAGCUAGUGACUUAUUGAAAAUAAUACAUACCGAUGUAUGCGGUCCAAUGAGUGUUGAUGCUCAUGGCGGGCAUCGUUAUUUUCUGACCUUCACAAGAUGAUUUGAGCGGAUAUGAGUAUAUCUACUUAAUGAAGCACAAGUCUGAAACAUUUGAAAAGUUCAAAGAAUUUCAGAGUGAAGUGGAGAAUCAUCGUAAAAAUAAAAUAAAGUUUCUGCGAUUUGAUCACGGAGACAAAUAUUUGAGUUACGAGUUUGGUCUUUAAUUAAAACACUGUGGAAUAGUUUCACAAACUCAUGCCACCUGGAACACCACAGCUUAAUGGUGUGUCCGAACGUCAUAACCAUACUUUAUUGGAUAUAGUGCAAUCUAUGAUGUCUCUUACCGAUUUACCACUAUCGUUUUGGGGUUAUGCAUUAGAGACAGCUGCAUUCACUUUAAGUAGGGCACCAUCAAAAUCCAUUGAGACGACACCAUAUGAACCGUGGUUUGGCAAGAAACCAAAUUUGUCGUUUCUUAAAAGUUUGGGGCUAUGAUGCUUAUGUGAAAUAUUUCAACCUGAUAAGCUCGAACCCAAAUCGGAGAAGUGCGUCUUCAUAGGAUACCCAAAGGAAAUUGUUGGGUACACCUUCUAUCACAGAUCCGAAAGCAAGAUUCGUUGCUAAGAAUGGAUCCUUUCUAGAGAAGAAGUUUCUCUCGAAAGAAGUGAGUGGGAGGAAAGUAGAACUUGAUGAGGUAAUUGUACCUUCUCCCUUAUUGGAAAGUAGUUCAUCACAGAAAUCAGUUCCAAUGAUUCCUACACCAAUUACUGAGGAAGUUAAUGAUGAUGAUCAUGAAACUUCAGAUCAAGUUGCUACCAAACCUCGUAGGUCUUCCAGAGUAAGAUCCGCACCAGAGUGGUACGGUAAUCCAGUUUUGGAAGUCAUAUUACUAGACCAUGAUGAAGCUACAAACUAUGAGGAAGCGAUGAUGAGCCCAGAUUCCGCGAAAUGGCUUGAGGCCAUAAAAUCUGAGAUAGGAUCCAUGUAUGAGAACAAACUAUGGACUUGAUUGACUUGCUCGAUGAUCAGCAAGCCAUGUUAAAUAAAUGGAUCUUCAAGAGGAAGACGGACACUGAUAGUAGUGUUACUAUCUACUAAGCUCGACUUGUUGCAAAAGGUUUUUGACAAGUUCAAGGUGUUGAAUACGAUGAGAUUUUCUCACUCGUAUCGAUGCUUAAGUUUGCCUGAAUCAUGUUAGCAAUUGCCACAUUUUAUGAAAUCUGGGAAAUGGAUGUCAAAACUGCAUUCCUUAAAUGGAUAUUUCUUAAAGAAGUGUUGUAUAUGAUACAACCAGAAGGUAUUGUCAAUCCUAAAGGUGCUAACAAAAUGUGCAAGCUCCAACGAUCCAUCAAUGGACUGGUGCAAGCAUCUCGGAGUUGGAAUAUACGCUUUGAUGAGUCAAUCAAAGCAUAUGGUUUUAUACAGACUUUUGGAGAAGCUUGUAUUUACAAGAAAGUCAGUGGGAGCUUUGUAGCAUUCCUAAAACUAUAUGUAGAUGACAUAUUGUUGAUUGGAAAUGAUAUAGAAAUUCUGGAUAGCAUAAAAGGAUACUUGAAUAAGAGUUUUUCAAAGAAAGACCUCGGUGAAGCUGCUUACAUAUUGAGCAUCAAGAUCUAUUGAGAUAGAUCAAGACGCUUCAUAAGAUUUUUCAAUGAGUACAUACCUUGAUAAGAUUUUGAAGUAGUUCAAAAUGAAACAGUCAAAGAAGGAGUUCUUGCCUGUGUUGCAAGGUGUGAAGUUGAGUAAGACUCAAAACACGACCAUGUCAGAAAAUAGAAAGAGAAUGAAAGUCAUUCCCUAUGCAUCAAUCAUAGGUUCUAUAAAAGUAUGCCAUGCUAUGGACCAGACCUAUUGUAUACUCUGCCCUGGUUUGGCAAGGGAGUACAAUAGUGAUCUAGGAGUAGAUCACUAGACAUUGGUCAAAAUUAUCCUUAGUGGAAUAAGGAUAUGUUUCUUGAUUAUGGAGGUGACAAAAGGUUCGUCGUAAAGGGUUAGGUCGAUACAAGUUUUGGUACUGAUCCAGAUGACUCUAAGUCUUAAUCUGGAUACAUAUUGAAAGUGGGAGCAAUUAGCUAGAGUAGCUCCAUGCAGAGCAUUGUAGACAUAGAAUAUUUGCAAAAUACAAACGGCUCUGAAUAUGACAAACCCGUUGACUAAACUUCUCUCACGAACAAAACAUGAUCAUACCUUAGUACUCCUUGGGUGUUAAUCACAUAGCGAUGUGAACUAGAUUAUUGACUCUAGUCAACCCUUUGGGUGUUGAUCACAUGACGAUGUGAACUAUGGGUAUUAAUCACAUACAUAUGUGAAUAUUAGUGUUGAAUCACGUGGCAAUGUGAACUAGAUUAUUGACUCUAGUGCAAGUGGGAGACUGAAGGAAAUAUGCCCUAGAGGCAAUAAUAAAGUUAUUAUUUAUUUCCUUAUAUCAUGAUAAAUGUUUAUUAUUGAUGCUAGAAUUGUAUUAACCGUAAACAUAAUACAUGUAGGAAUACAUAGACAAACAGAGUGUCACUAGUAUGCCUCUACUUGACUAGCUCAUGAAUCAAAGAUGGUUAAGUUUCCUAACCAUAGACAUGAGUUGUCAUUAGAUUAACGGGAUCACAUCAUUAGGAGAAUGAUGUGAUUGACUUGACCCAUUCCGUUAGCUUAGCACUUGAUUAUUUAGUAUGUUGAUAUUGCUUUCUUCGUGACUUAUACAUGUUCCUAUGACUAUGAGAUUAUGUAACUCCCGUUUACCGGAAGAACACUUUGUGUGCUACCAAACAUCACAACGUAACUGGGUGAUUAUAAAGGUGCUCUACAGGUGUCUCCGAAGGUACUUGUUGAGUUGACAUAUUUCGAGAUUAGGAUUUGUCACUCCGAUUGUCGGAGAGGUAUCUCUGGGCCCUCUUGGUAAUGCACAUCACUAUAAGCCUUGCAAGCAAUGUAGCUAAUGAGUUAGUUACAAGAUGAUGCAUUACGUAACGAGUAAAGAGACUUGCUGGUAACGAGAUUGAACUAGGUAUUGAGAUACCGACGAUCGAAUCUCGGGCAAGUAACAUACCGAUGACAAAGGGAACAACGUAUGUUGUUAUGCGGUUUGACCGAUAAAGAUCUUCGUAGAAUAUGUGGGAGCCAAUAUGAGCAUCCAGGUUCCGCUAUUGGUUAUUGUCUGAAGACGUGUCUCGGUCAUGUCAACAUAGUUCUCGAACCCGUAGGUUCUGCACGCUUAAAGUUUGAUCACAGUUAUAUUAUGAGUUUAUGUUUUUUGAUGUACCGAAGGAGUUCGGAGUCCCUGAUGAGAUUGGGGACAUGACGAGGAGUCUCGAAAUGGAUGAGACGUAAAAUUGAUAUAUUGGACGACUAUAUUCGGACUUCGGAAAGGUUCCGAGUGAUUCAGGUAUUUUUUCGGAGUACCGGAGAGUUACAUGAAUUCGUAUUGGGCCUUAAUGGGCCAUAUGGGAAAGGAGAGAAAGGCCCCAAAGGGUGGACGCACCCCUACCCAUGGACUAGUCCAAAUUGGACUAGGGUGGGGGCGCCCCCUUCCUUCCUUCUCCUUCUCCCUUCCCUUUCUCCUACUCCAACUUGGAAGGGGGGAAUCCUAUUCCUGGUGGGAGUAAAACUCCCCUAUGGCGCGCGCAAGAGAGGGCCGGCCCUCCCCUCCUCUACUCCUUUAUAUAUGGGGGAGGGGGCACCCCAUGGAGACACAACAAUUGAUCAUUGAUCUCUUAGCCAUGUGCGGUGCCCCCCUCCACCAUAAUCCCCCUCGAUAAUAUCGUAGCGGUGCUUAGGUGAAGCCCUGCGUCGGUAGAACAUCAUCAUCGUCACCACGCCGUCGUGCUGACGGAACUCUCCCUCGACACACGGUUGGAUCGGAAUUCGAGGGAGGUCAUCGAGCUGAACGUGUGCAAGAACUCGGAGGUGUUGUGCUUUCGGUGCUUGAUCGGUCGGGCCGUGAAGACGUACGACUACAUCAACCGCGUUGUGCUAACGCUUCUGCUUUCGGUCUACGAGGGUACGUGGACACACUCUCCCCUCUCAUUGAUAUGCAUCACCAUGAUCUUGCAUGUGCAUAGGAAAUUUUUUGAAAUUACUGCAUUCCCCAACACCUACAUGGCGCGCCAAAUGUCGGAAUUGGGGCUCCAUGGACCCAAACAAGGUUCGAAGUCUGGGGCAUCAAACGAAGGAUCCUGCCAUGCUAUAGGUCGCUGCUCACCAGCCCACGGCCUGGAUCCGAUGAGUUCGGGCGAGCGGGAAGAAGAAGUGGACAUGGUGAUUUACCCAGGUUCGGGCCACCUUGCGGUGUCAAACCCUACUCCUGGUUGGUCGUGGAUUGCCUCGCGAGGAGGAUGAUUAUGAACUAGUACAAGUGUGAGCUGCCUUGAGAGGGCUCCAUGAUAGAAGGAUUCGAUCUUUCUCCAUGGUGGAGACUAACUCAUAUUUAUAGUGGCCUUGGUCCUCUUCCCUCAUAGCUUAGGCAGGAAGGGAUACCACAACGGCCAAAUUUGAAGGGGGAUUGAAGUACACCCUAUCCUGACUAAAGGUGGUCUUUGCCUGCAAAGCUUCUUAUCGUAACGCAGUGGUGGGCUCGGUGAUAACCUCCGUCCCGCCGAGCCAGCGGUCUUGGUCUUGUUGCACCUGAAUGGAAACCUUUGGGGGAUUCCUUGGGAACCCGUGUACGUACUUGCCUCCUUAGCACCAAAGAGGAAACUGCCCCGGACUGCGCCCGUCGGGGCCCUGCUUGCCUUAGUCGUCAUGUCUCACACCACCGCGCUCCUCGCAAGGUGAGGUGCCUUCCUAGAGAUAUCCGCUCCUCGGGAGGCAGCCUCACGUGGCUGCUCCUCGAGAGAUCUUGAUGGCAUUCGCCUCGUGAGGAGGGGGGCCUCGCAAGGGUCUUUAAUUGCUCGUGAGGUCCUACUGCUGGACCGUGCUGGGCCGUUGUUGAAGCCACACGCUAGGCCGCGGGCAUACGGGUCUGGGACCCUCGGUCCCAGAAUGUUGAUAGUAGACCCUGGGCCCACGGCACACUCGGCCUGGCUUCGAGGCAAAGGCAGAGAGGGGAGGGCGAAGCGACGCGGGCCCUACCUGCCUAAGGGCAAGGCUUGACUCGUGGCACACGACGGGACGUGGACACCCCCACUUCCCCAUGUCGCCUCGAUAACCACCCUGGAUGACAGUCUGGCACGCGUGCAGCUGAUAACCCACAAGUGUAGGGGAUCACAACAGCUUUCAAGGGUAGAGUAUUCAACCCAAAUUUAUUGAUUCGACACAAGGGGAGCCAAAGAAUAUUCUUAAGUAUUAGCAGUUGAGUUGUCAAUUCAACCACACCUGGAUAACUUAGUAUCUGUAGCAAACUAUUUAGUAGCAAAGUAGUAUGAUAGUAAUGGUAACAGUGGAAAACGUAAAGAUAAUUGUUUUGUGGUAAUUGUAACAGUAGCAACGGAAAAGUAAAUAAGCGAAACACAAGAUGUGAAAAGCUCGUAGUCAUUGGAUCAGUGAUGGAUAAUUAUGUCGGAUGCGAUACCUCAUGUAAUAGCUAUAACCUAGGGUGACACAGAACUAGCUCCAGUUCAUCAAUGUAAUGUAGGCAUGUAUUCCGAAUAUAGUCAUACGUGCUUAUGGAAAAGACCUUGCAUGCCAUCUUUUGUCCUACCCUCCCGUGGCAGCGGGGUCCUAGUGGAAACUAAGGGAUAUUAAGACCUCCUUUUAAUAGAGUAUCGGACCAAAGCAUUAAAACAUAGUGAAUACAUGAACUCCUCAAACUACGGUCAUCACCGAGAAGUAUCCUGAUUAUUGUCACUUCAGGGUUGUCGGAUCAUUACACAUAAUAGGUGACUAUAGACUUGCAAGAUAGGAUCAAGAACACACGUAUAUUCAUGAAAACAUAAUAGGUUCAGAUCUGGAAUCAUGGCACUCGGGCCCUAGUGACAGGCAUUAAGCAUAGCAAAGUCAUAGAAACAUCAAUCUCAGAAGAUAGUGGAUAAUAGGGAUCAAACCCUAACAAAGCUAACUUGAUUACAUGGUAAAUCUCAUCCAACCCAUCACCGUCUAGCAAGCCUACAAUGGAAUUACUCACGCACGACGGUGAGCAUCAUGAAAUUGGUGAUGGAGGAUGGUUGAUGAUGAUGACGGUGACAAAUCCCCCUCUCCGGAGCCCCGAACGGACUCCAAAUCAGCCCUCCCAAGAGAGAUUAGGGCUUGGCGGCGGCUCCGUAUCGUAAAAUGCGAUAAAACUUUCUCUCCGAUUCUUUUCUCCGUGAAACAGAAUAUAUGGAGUUGGAGUUGAGGUCGGUGGAGCCUCAGGGGGCCCACGAGACAGGGGGGGUAUGCCCAGGGGGGAGGGUGCUCCACCCACCUGAUGAGGAUACAGACCUGGGGUAGGGUCAUAGGCCUGACCUAUACGUCCUACCUAAGGUCACUACCCCAGAAGAUAAAAAGACCAAGAGUCAACAGGAGAGCACCAGUCGAGUACAUCGAGUGCAAUCCACUCGACGAUCACAUCACUCAAUAGUCACCCCCUACCAUUAAUCGACUAUAUGGGGAGUCACUCGACUGUAUCAAAGACCAGGAGUCGGAAGAUCAUGCAAUGGCCGGACGUUCACUCCUUAGUCUUUAUGAGCAUUAAGAAUACUUAAGACUGGCAUUACCAGUAACGCCCCUUACUUUAUGUACAUUAAGCCCCUUGUAAUGGAGGAUGGCGGGGGUCCUGGCGCACUCUAUAUAAGCCGCCCCCUCCUCUGGGACAAGGGUUCGCACCCCCUAUAAUACAACACACAUAAUCCAAUCGACCGCCUCUCGGCACCGAGACAUAGGGCUAUUACUUCCUCCGAGAAGGGCCUGAACUCGUAAACCUCGUGUGUAAAACUUCUCCAUAGCUAAGAUCUUGCCCCUCCAUACCUACCCCCCUUUCUACUGUCAGUCUUAGGACCACGACAGUUGGCGCCCACCUUGGGGCCGGUGUCUUAGCGACUUGUUGGUGAAGUUGCAAGUUUUACCGAUCAUCAUCAUCAUGGUUUCCAGCGGCGGAUUGGCUGAGGGCCACGAGAUCCAUCUCGGUGCGCUCGUUUUCGUCGCCGACGACUCCGCGUGGCUUCAAGAAGCUCCCCUGGACACUGAGGCGCUCCCAGUGCGAGGGGCGAUGCAAUUCCGUGCGUGCGUUCACGGCAUCCUUCUCCGGCAGCCGUCGACUCAAUAUUAGUUGGCUACGAUGGUGUUUUCCCUCCCCGCUGUUCGCCGCCGCAAGCGGUCCGGUGGGUGAAACACGUGGUGGCUCGGCAUUCGACGACCCAUCAAGUCGCGGCAAUCGAGCCCGACGAAACUCUCCAUGGCCUGUUCGAUCUGUCGACUGGCUCCGCGGAGACCGCAUCCGAGUGUGAUAGCAGCGAUCCUGCGGCCGAAGUCUUGAUGGUCGAUGGGCCUCACAACCCGCCCGGUUUCCGCCGCGAGGGCGGCGGGGAUGGAGGCGGUGAUCCAUCGCACGUUCAUGAGGAAUACCGACCCGAGCCCCUCUCUUCACAGCAGAGGGAAGAACUUCAUCGCCGUAACAUGGAUGCACUCCACACGCCCAUUGUUGGAGAAACCCCCGAGGCUCUGGCCUUGGAGGAGGUACGCUUGGCUAAUUUGGCUGAGCGCACUCGACUGGAUAACCUUCAGCUGGCUCUCAACGAGCGCGCUCAGGAGCGGAUCCAUGAGUCCAUCUGACAACAACUUUUUCCGCCUCCACCUAAGGUAUACCGCACUCCGAUUCAGAAUCUCACAGCUGCGGCCCGAAUAGCAGAGUCGAUCCAACCUUCCCAGUCAGAAGCUGGCAUAGGGUUGAUGCAGAUCCGGGCCCUGCUUAGGGCAGCAGGAGAACAGAAUACAUCAAUAUCUCAGUCGCGGAAUAGGAUUCACAGCAGAUCCGUUGCAGCGGACAUGGUUCAGUCGGCUCACAGCCCAAGAUCGCCUCCGCGGCGGGAAGGCCGUGGGCAGUAUGAUCAUCCACUCGACCGUGACAAUCGCCGUCGAGGACCCAUGCCUCCCCCGAGGAGUGCGUCAUAUGUGCCUCGGUGGAACGAUGACAUGCGCCGUCACAGUGGUGAGCGCAGGGCUUCAGUCGACACAAGGGAACCGGGCUUCGAUGCGUCGUCUAUCCUCGUUCAACGCCUGGUCGACCGGAACAGACACACAGAGAAGACCCAGGCAGAGAUCGUCCAAGUGGAACCCGAGUGCAUGUUUCUGGUCCCGAGUGUUUUAGCAGGGCCAUUAGGGAAGCAGUGAUUCUGCCCAACUUCAGGUUGGCGUCCGGAGUCAGUAAGUUCACCGGCGAAUCUAAGCCUGAAACUUGGCUUGAAGAUUACCGAGUGGCUGUAUAGAUUGGCGGUGGAAACGAUGAGGUUGCGAUGGAACAUCUUUCUCUGAUGUUGGAAGGGUCAGCCCGAGCGUGGUUGACUCAGUUGCCUCCAAGCAGUAUAUACAGCUGGGAAGAACUGGCUCGAGUGUUUGUCAGAACUUUCAAAGGCACGUGCAAAUGACCAACGGGGUUAACCGAGUUGCAGCAUUGUGUUGAGAAGCCGGGUGAGACCUUGAGGGAUUUUAUCUAGAGGUGGUCCACUAUGCAUCACACCGUCGAAAAUGUCUCAGAGCAUCUGGCAGUGUGUACUUUCAAGGAAGGAGCCAAAUAUAGAGAGUUGGUCUUGAAAUUUGGCCGGACUGGGGAUAUGACUCUGACUCGGAUGAUGGAGAUAGCCACCCGGUACGCUAACAGAGAAGAGGAGGAUCGACUGCAUAGCAGGAAUAGAAAACCAGUUGGCCAAGAGGCCGGUGGAGGUAACUCCGGUCGGAAACAGAAGCAUAAGGCCGAACCAGCGGCACCUGGAGAGAUUGCGGCAAUGAAUCAAGGAAAGUUUAAGGGAAAAUCUAAGGGGCCCUGGCCCCCUAAAAAGGUAAAGGAUCAAGCAGGGAAUGACGUGCUGGAUUUGCCAUGUCACAUCCACCCAAAGAAAGAUGAACAAGGUAAUCUGAUUUACCUGAAACAUACAACUCGACAGUGUCGACUCUUGAUCCAGCAGUUCCGGGAGAAGCAGCCCAAUGAGAAGUGAUGACCCACAAGUAUAGGGGAUCUAUCGUAGUCCUUUCGAUAAGUAAGAGUGUCGAACCCAACGAGGAGCAGAAGGAAAUGAUAAGCGGUUUUCAGCAAGGUAUUCUCUGCAAGUACUGAAAUAAGUGGUAACAGAUAGUUUUGUGAUAAGAUAAAUUGUAACGAGCAACAAGUAACAAAAGUAAAUAAAGUGCAGCAAGGUGGCCCAAUCCUUUUUGUAGCAAAGGACAAGCCUGGACAAACUCUUAUAAUAGGAAAAGCACUCCCGAGGACACAUGGGAAUAUCGUCAAGCUAGUUUUCAUCACGCUCAUAUGAUUCGCGUUCGGUACUUUGAUAAUUUGAUAUGUGGGUGGACCGGUGGUUGGGUGUUGUUCUUACUUGAACAAGCAUCCCACUUAUGAUUAACCUCUAUUGCAAGCAUACGCAACUACAACAAAAGUAUUAAGGUAAACCUAACCAUAGCAUGAAACAUAUGGAUCCAAAUCAGCCCCUUACGAAGCAACACAUAAACUAGGGUUCAAGCUUCUGUCACUCUAGCAACCCAUCAUCUACUUAUUACUUCCCAAUGCCUUCCUCUAGGCCCAAAUAAUGGUGAAGUGUUAUGUAGUCGACGUUCACAUAACACCACUAGAGGCUAGACAACAUACAUCUUAUCAAAAUAUCGAAUGAAUACCAAAUUCACAUGACUACUAAUAGCAAGACUUCUCCCUUGUCCUCAGGAAAAAACGUAACUACUCACAAAGCAUAUUCAUGUUAAUAAUCAGAGGGGUAAUAAUGUGCAUCAAGGAUCUGAACAUAUGAUCUUCCACCAUAUAAACGAACUAGCAUCAACUACAAGGAGUAAUCAACACUACUAGCAACCUAGUAGCACCAAUCCCGGACUUGGAGACAAGAAUUGGAUACAAUAGAUGAACUAGGGUUUGGAGAUGAGAUGGUGCUGGUGAAGAUGUUGAUGGAGAUUGCCCUCUCCCGGUGAGAGGAGCAUUGAUGAUGACGAUAGUGAUGAUUUCCCCCUCUCAGAGGGAAGUGUCCCUGGCAGAACAGCUCUGCAGGAGCCCUAGAUUGGUUUCGCCAAGGUUCCGCCUCGUGGCGGUGGAGUCUCGUCCCGAAAGGUUGCCUCUGGUUUUUUUUCUCAUCGAAAGACUUCAUAUAGGAGAAGAUGGGCGUCGGAGAGCCACCAGGGGAUCCACGAGGUAGGGGGCGCGCCCCAGGGAGGGGGAGCGCCCCCCUCCCUCGUGAGCAGGGUGUGGGCCCCCUGGCCUUCAUCUUUGGCGACGAUUUUUCUUUAUUUAUUUUAAGAUAUUCCAUUGAGUUUCAGGACUUUUGGAGUUGCGCAGAAUAGGCCUCCAAUAUUUGCUCCUUUUCCAGCCCAGAAUUCCAGCUGCCGGCAUUCUCCCUCUUCAUGUAAACCUUGUAAAAUAAGAGAUAAUAGCCAUAAGUAUUGUGACAUAACGUGAAAUAACAGCCCAUAAUGCAAUAAAUAUUGAUAUAAAAGCAUGAUGCAAAAUGGACGUAUCAACUCCCCCAAGCUUAGACCUCGCUUGUUCUCAAGCGAAAAGCCGAUAACAAUAAAUAUGUCCUCAUGUUUAGAGGUAGAGGCGUGGAUAAAAAUAAAAUACGGGCAUGAAGGCAUCAUGAUUAUUUCUAUAACAGCAACAUGUAGAGAUUUUGUCAUAUGAUUACUUAUGUUCAAGUGAUGAUCUUUUCACAAAGCAAAAAGUAUGAAUCAGAAACCUUAUUGAGCACCAACAAAUUAUAACCUCAGUCAUUGAAGCAAUUGCAAUUUAUCAUAACAUCGGAAAGAGUCUAUGUCAGAGCUUAAAAGCAAGUCCACAUACUCAACUAUCACUUAGUCCUUCAUAAUUGCUAACACUCACGCUAUACUUGUGGUUACGGAGUUUUAAUCGGGCACAGAGAAAGAUAGGGGCUUAUAGUUUUGCCCCACAACCUUUUACCUCAAGGGUAAUGUCAAUAAUAAUGAUUCAUGCUCCCCUACAUCCAAUUAGAUAUAUAUAUCAUGUUCUUUCCAACAUGCUGAGCUUGCCAAAGGACAAAAUGAAAAAGGAAAGGUGAAGAUCACCGUGACUUUUGCAUAAGGUAGAGGAUAAUAAAAAAGGAUAGGCCCUUCGCAGAGGGAAGCAGAGGUUGUCAUGCGCGUUUAGGGUUGAUGCACAAAAUCUUAAUGCAAAAGAACGUCACUUUAUAUUGCCCCUUGUAUGUGGACCUUUAUUAUGCAGUCCGUCGCUUUUAUUACGUCCACAACAAGUUCGUACAAAGCUUAUUUUCUCCGCACUAAUAAGUCAUGCAUAUUUAGAGAGCAAUUUUUAUUGCUUGCACCGAUGACAACUUACUUGAAGGAUCUUACUCAAUCCAUAGGUAGAUAUGGUGGACUCUCAUGGCAAAACUGGUUUAAGGGUAAUUGGAAGCACAAAUAGUAUUUCUACUUGGUGCUGAGAAUUUGGCUAGCAUGAGGGGGAAAGGCAAGCUCAACACGUUAGAGGAUCCAUGACAACAUACUUUAUCUUAGAUAUAAGAAAACAUAACUCAUCAUAUUGUCUUCCUUGUCCAACCUCAACUCUUUAGCAUGUCAUAUUUUAAUGAGUGCUCCCAAUCAUAAAAGAUGUCAAUGAUAAUAUAUCUAUAUGUGAAACCUCUCUUUCCUUAUUACAUCCUAUUAAUUGCAACGAUGACCAAAGCUAUAUUUGCCAACUCCCAACAAAUUUUAAUCAUCAUACUCUCUCUAUGUGAAGUCAUUACUUUCAAUAAGAUCAAUAUGGACUCUUUGAUUAUUUUUAUUCUUUUCUUCUAUUCACCCAAGAUCAUGGAAAAAUAAACAAUCCCUUGACUUAACACUAAUCUUUAUUAUAUAGCUCAUGGACUCGAUUACAAAGAAGGAUCGUAAAGCAAAACUCAAAACUAGAUCAUGCCAUGACUUUAUUCUACUAAAUCAAGAUACUACUAAUAGGAUCGAACUAAGAAAAAUGGUAAAGAUAGGAGUUGUGAUGGUGAUACGAUACCAGGGCACCUCCCCCAAGCUUGGCAGUUGCCAAGGCGAGUGCCCAUACCCAUGUGAUUAUGUCUCCUUCUUUGUUGUUGGUUGAAUAUUCUUGGCGAUGAUUCCCCUCAAGAUACGGUUCUCCUCCUCGAGCUUAUUGACUUGCUGCUUGAGGUCCAUUAUUUCCUUGCGAAGCUUUCCUGUAACGGCUAAAGCUCCUUGUACCCAAGGGUGUUUCAUAGCUGCGGGAGAACAAGAGACACUCCUCCUCAUAUUUUCAUAAGAAAGAAAUCUAAUAUUAGAAGGGAUAACCGAGUUUGGAAUAGCUGAGCUCUGUAGUUCCCCCAUAGUAAACCCAGUUCGGAGGCGAGAGGUGACUUCUUGAUCUUCCAUGGUAUCUACCCUCAUUAGGUCAGCCUCCAUCUCUUCCUCCGUUGCUGGACCAAAGUGGUCAGCAUCGCUGUUUGCCCUUGGUUCCGGUCACGGAUUAGAUAUCCGGCUCCCCCCAACUGACUCUUGAGAAGACAUCUUUCUCAAAUCUGAAGUAGCAACAGCUCGAGACAAGAACAGGGGAUAUUUGCAUGAUACGAGAGUCAAAACCUUCGGGAGAAUAUAUAAUGAAUUUUUACCAGCCAAAAUACGUAUCGUACAAGAAAACGGAGUCCGGAGAGCACACGAGGUGCUCACGAGGUAGGGGGCGCGCCCAGGGGGGUAGGGCGCGCCCUCCACCCUCGUGGAGGCCUCGUGUCCUUCCCGGACUGCCACUUAUUUUUCUAUUUUUCUAAAUAUUCCAAAACGGAGAAAUAUUGCCUUAAAAAUUGUUUUGGAGUCGGUUUACUUACCGUACCACAUGCCUAUUCCUUUUCGGAGUCUGGAGCGGGCUGGAAAGUGUCCCUUAUUUAUUCCUCCGGGGUUACAGUUUCAAUAAUAUUGGUUUCAACAUUUAUAGGAUUACCUGAGAUAUAGUGUUUGAUUCUUUGACCGUUUACCACCUUCGGGUUUGUGCCUUCAAAGUUGUUGAUUUUUAUGGCACCGGAACGAUAAACCUCCUCGAUAAUGUAGGGACCUUCCCAUUUAGAGAGAAGUUUUCCUGCAAAAUAUCUUAAACGAGAGUUGUAUAGCAAUACAUAAUCACCUACAUUAAACUCACGCUUUUGUAUUCUUUUGUCAUGCCAUCUUUUAACUUUUUCUUUAAACAACUUGGCAUUUUCAUAAUCUUGGGUUCUCCAUUCAUCAAGUGAGCUAAUGUCAAAUAACCUCUUCUCACCGGCAAGUUUGAAAUCAUAGUUGAGCUCUUUAAUAGCCCAAUAUGCCUUAUGUUCUAGUUCGAGGGGUAAGUGACAAGCUUUUCCAUAGACCAUUUUAUACGGAGACAUACCCAUACGAUUUUUAUAUGCAGUUCUAUAGGCCCAUAAUGCAUCAUCAAGUUUCUUGGAACAAUUCUUCCUAGACCUAUUGACAAUUUUUUGCAAAAUUAAUUUGAGCUCUCUAUUUCUCAAUUCUACUUGACCACUAGACUGCGGGUGAUAAGGAGAUGCAAUCCUAUGAUUAACGUCAUAUUUAGCAAGCAUUUUACGGAAAGCACCAUGAAUAAAGUGUGAACCACCAUCAGUCAUUAAAUAUCUAGGGACUCCAAACCUCGGAAAAAUAACUUCCUUAAGCAUUUUAAUAGAAGUGUUAUGAUCAACACUACUAGUUGGAAUAGCUUCUACCCACUUAGUAACGUAAUCAACAACAACUAAAAUAUGUGUGUAUCCAUUAGAGGAAAAGUUCCCAUAUAAUCAAAGUCCCAAACAUCAAAUGGUUCAAUAACAAGUGAAUAAUUCAUAGGCAUUUCUUGACGUCUACUAAUAUUACCAAUUCUUUGGCAUUCAUCGCAAGACAAAAAAACUUACGGGCAUCCUUGAAGAGAGUAGGCCAAUAAAAACUAGAUUGCAAUACCUUAUGUGCAGUUCUAUCUCCAGCAUGGUAUCCUCCAUAAGCUUCGGAGUGACACUUGCGUAGGAUCUGUUCCUGUUCAUGCUCAGGUACACAACAUCUAAUGACACCAUCUACUCCUUCUUUAUAAAGAUGUGGGUCAUCCCAAAAGUAAUGUCGCAAGUCAUAGACAAACUUUUUAUUUUGUUGGUAUGUGAAGCUAGGUGGUAUAAAUUUAGCGACAAUAUAAUUAGCAUAAUCAGCAUACCAUGGAGUGCUACGAGAAGUGCUUAUGACAUUUAAUUGCUCAUCAGGGAAGCUAUCAUCAAUAGGUAGUGGGUCAUCAAGAACAUUCUCUAAUCUAGAUAAGUUGUCUGCAACGGGGUUCUCAGCUCCCUUUCUAUCAACAAUAUGCAAAUCAAAUUCUUGUAGCAAGAGAACCCAUCUAAUGAGUCUAGGUUUUGCAUCCUUCUUUUCCAUAAGAUAUUUAAUAGCAGCAUGAUCAGUGUGAGUAGUUACUUUAGAAUCAACAAUAUAGGGUCUGAAUUUAUCACAAGCAAAUACAACUUCUAAAAGUUCCUUUUCGGUAGUAGCAUAGUUUCUUUGAGCAUUUUCUAGAGUCUUACUAGCAUAAUGGAUAACAUUUAAUUUUUUAUCAACUCUUUGCCCUAGAACAGCACCUACAUCAUAAUCACUAGCAUCACCCAUAAUUUCAAAGGGUAAAUUCCAAUCAGGUGGCUGAACAACAGGUGCAGAGACUAAUGCUUUCUUAAGUAUUUCAAAUGCUUCUACACAAUCAUCAUCAAAGACAAAUGGUACAUCUUUUUGUAAUAAAUUAGUCAGAUGCCGAAAUUUUUGAGAAGUCCUUAAUGCACCUCCUAUAAAACCUGGCGUGACCAAGGAAACUUCUUAUAGCUUUGAUGUCCUUGGGACAUGGCAUCUUUUCAAUAGAAUCAACCUUGGCCUUAUCAACUUCAAUACCUCUUUCAGAAACUUUGUGCCCCAAGACAAUACCUUCAUUAACCAUAAAGUGGCACUUUUCCCAAUUGAAGACAAGAUUAGUUUCUUCACAUCUCUGCAAAACUCGAUCAAGAUUGCUCAAGCAAUCAUCAAAAGAGGAACCAUAGACGGAAAAGUCAUCCAUGAAAACCUCACAAAUUUUUUCACAAAAGUCAGAGAAUAUAGCCAUCAUGCAUCUUUGAAAGGUAGCAGGUGCAUUACAUAAACCAAAAGGCAUAUGUCUAUAAGCAAAAGUACCAAAAGGGCAUGUAAAAGUAGUCUUUGAUUGAUCUUUAGCCGACACAGGUAUUUGAGAGAAACCAGAAUAACCAUAUAGAAAGCAAUAAUGUGUAUGUUUGCAUAAUCGUUCUAGCAUUUGAUCAAUAAAAGGUAAGGGGUAAUGAUCCUUCUUAGUAGCUUUAUUUAAUUUGUGGAAAUCAAUUACCAUCCUAUAACCUGUGAUAAUUCUUUGUGGGAUCAAUCCAUCUUUAUCAUUAGGGACAACUGUAAUACCUCCCUUCUUAGGGACACAAUGGACAGGACUUACCCACUGACUAUCAGCAACGGGAUAAAUUAUACUGCCUCUAGAAGCUUGUGUAUUUAUUUUCUUACAACUUCUUUCAUUUUAGGAUUCAAACGUCGUUGAGGAUCACAAACUGGUUUGGCAUCCGCUUCUAAAUUUAUUUUAUGUUGACAUAGAGUGGGACUAAUGCCCUUAAGAUCAUCAAGUGUAUAUCCAAUACCGGCACAGUGCUUCUUCAGAGUUUUCAAUAAUCUUUCUUCUUCAUCCUCUGAAAGGUUAGCACUAAUAAUAACAGGAUAUAUUUUCUUUUCAUCAAGAUAAGCAUAUUUAAGGUUAUCGGGCAAUGGUUUAAGCUCAAACACGGGAUCACCCUUGGGUGGAGGAGGAUCCCGUAGGAUUUCAACAGGCAAAUUAUGUUGCAGGAUAGGUUCCUGUUUAAAGAAUACUUCAUCUAUUUCCCUUCUUUCAUUCAUGAACAUAUCAUUUUCAUGAUCUAGCAAAUAUUGUUCUAAAGGAUCACUAGGAGGUACAGCAAUAUAAGCAAGACCAAUAACUUCAUCCUUACUAGGCGAUUCUUCCUCACGAUGAUGUUUACUAAAUUUAGAGAAAUUAAACUCAUGAACCAUAUCAUCCAAGCCAAUAGUAACAACAUUCUUUUCGCAGUCUAUCUUAGCAUUAGCAGUAUUCAAGAAGGGUGUACCAAAUAUAAUGGGACAAAAGCUAUCUUGUGGAGAACCAAGAACAAGAAAAUCAGCGGGAUAUUUGGUUUUCCCACACAAGACUUCAACAUCUCUAACAAUUCCCACUGGAGAAAUAGUAUUUCUAUUGGCAAGUUUAAUUGUGACAUCAAUUUCUUCUAACUCAGCAGGUGCAAUAUCAUGCAUAAUUUCUUUGUAUAAGUCAAUGGGUAUUACACUAGCACUAGCACCCAUAUCACAUAAGCCAUGAUAACAAUGAUCUCCUAUUUUAACAGAAAUAACAGGCACUCCUACCACAUGUCUAUGUUUAUCUUUAUCACAAGGUUUAGCAAUUCUAGCAGUUUCACCCUGGAAUUGAAGAUCCUGCCUGUCGAUAUUAUUAGACAAGAGAUCUUUAACAAUAGCAAUAUUGGGUUCUACUUUGACUUGCUCAGGAGGUGUAUAAGUUCUAAUAUUGCUUUUAUGAACAACAGUUGAAGCUUUGGCAUGAUCCUUCAUUCUAGCCAGGAGAGGCGGUUUCUCAACAUAAGAAGUGGGAACAAUAGGAUCAUUAUAAGUAACAGUCUUUUCUUCAACUUUAAUAGGUGCAGCUACUUUUACUUCUAUGGGAGGAUGAUAUUUAAACCACUUCUCCUUGGGGAGAUCAACAUAAGUAGCAAAGGAUUCACAGAAAGAAGCUACUAUCUCAGAGUCAAGUCCAUAUUUAGUGCUAAACUUACGGAAAAUAUCGGUAUCCAUAAAAGAUUUAACACAAUUAAACUUAGGUGUCAUACCUGACUCCUUACCUUCGUCGAGGUCCCAAUCUUCAGAGUUGCAUUUAAUUCUAUCCAAUAAAUUCCAUUUAAAUUCAAUAGUCUUCAUCAUAAAAGAGCCAGCACAAGAAGUAUCGAGCAUGGUGCGAUUGUUAUCAGAAAGUCGAGCAUAAAAACUUUGCAUAAUUACUUCUCUUGGGAGCUCAUGAUUGGGGCAUGAAUAUAACAUUGAUUUAAGCCUCCCCCAAGCUUGAGCGAUGCUUUCUCCUUCGCGAGGCCAAAAAUUAUAUGUAUAAUUGCAAUCACGAUGAACAAGAUGCAUAGGGUAAUACUUUUGAUGAAAUUCCAAUUUCAAUCUUUUAUAGUUCCAUGAUCUCAUAUCAUCACAUAGCCUGUACCAUGUAAAUGUGUCUCCCUUCAAAGAUAAAGGGAAGGCCUUCUUAUUAACAACAUCAUCGGGUAUACCUGCAAGCUUAAAUAGUCCACAAACGUCAUCCACAUAGCGUAGAUGUUCAUCAGGAUGCCUUGUUCCAUCUCCUGUAAAAGUGUUAGCUAGCAGUUUUUCCAUCAUACCUGAAGGAAUCUCAAAAGGAGUUUCAUUUUCAAUAGGUUCAGUAGGUUGAGUAGGUUCAGUAGGUUGAGGAGCAACUCUUUGCUCUACUGGACGGGGUGAAGAUACCCCGAACAAGCCCCUCUGAGAAUUACUUUCCAUAGUAACAAGUGACAGAAAGUUUCAGCACACUAAAUAAAUUUUUCCUUACCAAAUUCCACCUACCAAAGGCGCUUCACUCCCCGGCAACGGCGCCAGAAAAGAGUCUUGAUGACCCACAAGUAUAUGGGAUCUAUCAUAGUCCUUUCGAUAAGUAAGAGUGUCGAACCCAACGAGGAGCAGAAGGAAAUGAUAAGCGGUUUUCAGCAAGGUAUUCUCUGCAAGUACUGAAAUAAGUGGUAACAGAUAGUUUUGUGAUAAGAUAAAUUGUAACAGAUAGUUUUGUAGCAAAGGACAAGCCUCUGAGAAUUACUUUCCAUAGUAACAAGUGACAGAAAGUUUCAGCACACUAAAUAAAUUUUUCCUUACCAAAUUCCACCUACCAAAGGCGCUUCACUCCCCGGCAACGGCGCCAGAAAAGAGUCUUGAUGACCCACAAGUAUAUGGGAUCUAUCAUAGUCCUUUCGAUAAGUAAGAGUGUCGAACCCAACGAGGAGCAGAAGGAAAUGAUAAGCGGUUUUCAGCAAGGUAUUCUCUGCAAGUACUGAAAUAAGUGGUAACAGAUAGUUUUGUAAUAAGAUAAAUUGUAACGAGCAACAAGUAACAAAAGUAAAUAAAGUGCAGCAAGGUGGCCCAAUCCUUUUUGUAGCAAAGGACAAGCCUGGACAAACUCUUAUAAUAGGAAAAGCGCACCCGAGGACACAUGGGAAUAUCGUCAAGCUAGUUUUCAUCACGCUCAUAUGAUUCGCGUUCGGUACUUUGAUAAUUUGAUAUGUGGGUUGACCGGUGGUUGGGUGCUGUUCUUACUUGAACAAGCAUCCCACUUAUGAUUAACCUCUAUUGCAAGCAUCCGCAACUACAACAAAAGUAUUAAUGUAAACCUAACCAUAGCAUGAAACAUAUGGAUCCAAAUCAGCCCCUUACGAAGCAACGCAUAAACUAGGGUUUAAGCUUCUGUCACUCUAGCAACCCAUCAUCUACUUAUUACUUCCCAAUGCCUUCCUCUAGGCCCAAAUAAUGGUGAAGUGUUAUGUAGUCGACAUUCACAUAACACCACUAGAUGCUAGACAACAUACAUCUUAUCAAAAUAUCGAACAAAUACCAAAUUCACAUGACUACUGAUAGCAAGACUUCUCCCUUGUCCUCAGGAACAAACGUAACUACUCACAAAGCAUAUUCAUGUUCAUAAUCAGAGGGGUAAUAAUGUGCAUAAAGGAUCUGAACAUAUGAUCUUCCACCAAAUAAACCAACUAGCGGCAACUACAAGGAGUAAUCAACACUACUAGCAACCUACUAGCACCAAUCCCGGACUUGGAGACAAGAAUUGGAUACAAGAGAUGAACUAGGGUUUGGAGAUGAGAUGGUGCUGGUGAAGAUGUUGAUGGAGAUUGCCCUCUCCCGAUGAGAGGAGCGUUGAUGAUGACGAUGGUGAUGAUUUCCCCCUCCCGGAGGGAAGUGUCCCCGGCAGAACAGCUCUGCAGGAGCCCUAGAUUGGUUCCACCAAGGUUCCGCCUCGUGGCGGCGGAGUCUCGUCCUGAAAGGUUGCCUGUGGUUUUUUUCUCAUCGAAAGACUCUAUAUAGGAGAAGAUGGACGUAGGAGAGCCACCCGGGGGCCCACGAGGUAGGGGGCGCGCCCCCCACCCUCGUGAGCAGGGUGUGGGCCCCUUGGCCUUCAUCUUUGGAGAAAUUUUUUGUUUAUUUAUUUUAAGAUAUUCCGUGGAGUUUCAGGGCUUUUGGAGUUGCGCAGAAUAGGCCUCCAAUAUUUGCUCCUUUUCCAUCCCAGAAUUCCAGCUACCGGCAUUCUCCCUCUUCAUGUAAACCUUGUAAAAUAAGAGAGAAUAGCCAUAAGUAUUGUGACAUAACGUGAAAUAACAGCCCAUAAUGUAAUAAAUAUUGAUAUAAUAGCAUGAUGCAAAAUGGACGUAUCAAGAAGGAGAAAGAGUCGGACAAAGAUGAAGAUGAAGAGGAAGACGAUGGUUAUCCCAAAGUCAAUUCCACUCUGAUGAUUUUUGCUGGCGUUGAAAGUAAGAGUCGAUUGAAGGUCAUCAACAUAGAAGUGAAUAUGGUCGCUCCUGCAGCAACGACAACCUACCUGAGAUGGUCUCAGACAGCCAUCACGUUCGACCAGUCUGACCAUCCUGCUCGUGUGGCCACCCCUGGGAGGCAAGCACUGGUGGUCGACCCCGUGGUUGGGGGCACUCGACUGACCAAAGUACUGAUGGACGGUGGCAGUGGUCUGAACAUCCUUUACGCUGAAACCUUGAAGGGGAUGGGCAUUUCGAUGUCCAAACUUAGCGAGAGCAACAUGAGUUUUCAUGGUGUUAUCCCUGGAAAGAAAGUCGAAUCACUCGGCCAGAUCGCCCUCGACGUGGUUUUUGGUGAUUCCAAGCAUUUCCGUAAGGAGAAGUUGACAUUUGAGGUUGUGGAUUUCCAGAGUGCCUAUCAUGCCAUCCUGGGUAGGCCAGCCUACGCUCGUUUUAUGGCUCGACCAUGUUAUGUGUAUCUCAAGCUGAAAAUGCCUGGCCCCAAAGGUGUGAUCACAGUUACUGGCAAUCGGCAGAAGACAGAGGAAUGCUUCCAGAAAGGUUCCAAAAUCACCGAUGCAUAAAUGGCAGCGGUUGAAUUGCAAGAGUAUCAGAAGAGUGCAGAUCCGAGUGAUUUGCUCCGAGCCAAGAAGCCCGCUAUAGACUCUGCAUUUCAGUCGACUGGUGAAACGAAGCCGAUCCACAUUCACCCGACCGAUCCCAAUGCUGCACCGACUCAUAUUUCAACAACACUCGACAGCAAAUAGGAAGAAGCGCUCAUCCAGUUCCUCCGUGAGAACUGGGACAUCUUCGCAUGGAAACCCUCUGACAUGCCAGGUGUACCUAGGGGACUGGCUGAGCACCGUUUGUGUGUUGACCCCAAGGUAAAACCCUUCAAAGAGCACCUUCGGCGGUCCGCCAUCCAGAAGAGAAAAGCAAUUGGCGAAGAAGUGGCUCGGCUAUUGGCAGCAGAGUUCAUCCGUGAAAUCUACCACUCCGAGUGGCUAGCCAAUGUAGUCAUGGUCACCAAGAAGGAUGAUUCACUUCGUAUGUGCAUUGAUUUCAAGCAUAUCAAUCGGGCCUGCCCGAAAGAUCACUUCCCUCUCCCUCGCAUCGAUCAGAUUGUUGACUCGACUAUGGGGUACGAGCGCUUGUCUUUCUUAGAUGCAUAUUCCGGAUACCAUCAGAUCUGACUAUAUGGUACCGAUGAAAUAAAUAGAGCCUUCAUCACCCCAUUCGGGUGCUUUUGCUAUGUCACCAUGCCUUUUGGUCUGAAAAAUGCCGGAGCCACAUUCCUGAGAAUGAUUCAGAAGUGACUGCUCACUCAAAUCAGUCAGAAUGUGGAAGCAUACAUGGAUGACAUUGUGGUCAAGUCUCGCAAAGGUUCCGACCUAUUGACUCACCUUGCAGAAACCUUUGCCAACCUGAGAAGGUACGACAUCAAGCUUAAUCCGUCAAAGUGCACAUUCGGAGUUCCGGGAGGAAAGUUACUCGGUUUUCUCGUUUCCGAACGAGGGAUCGACGCCAAUCCAGAAAAAGUUGAUACCAUUCUCCGAAUGAAACGCCCCGUGCGAGUGCAUGACGUUCAGAAGCUGACUGGUUGUCUGGCCACCCUGAGUCAAUUCAUUUCUCGUCUCGGUGAAAAGGCCUUGCCACUUUACCGAUUGAUGAAGAAGUCUGAUAAGUUCGAGUGGACUGAAGAAGCUGACGUAGCGUUUGCAGAGCUCAAAACCCUGCUUUCCAACCAGCCGGUGCUCCCUACGCUAAUCAGCAAAGAGCCUUUACUGCUUUACAUUGCAGCCACUAGACAAGUCGUCAGUAUAGUAGUCACGGUCGAGCCAGAAGAAGAAGGAAAAGCUUUCAAGGUUCAACGCCCAGUCUAUUAUCUCUCUAAAGUUUUGACUCCAUCCAAGCAACGAUAUCCACAUUAUCAGAAGCUUGUCUAUGGAAUAAACAUGACCAUGAAGAAGGUUGCGCACUAUUUCUCUGACCACUCCGUUAAAGUCAUCAGCGACGCGCCACUAUCUGAAAUUCUGAAUAACAGAGAUGCAACUGGUCGAGUGGCAAAAUGGGCGAUUGAACUCCUUCCAUUGGAUAUCAAUUUCGAGGCAAAGAAAGCGAUCAAGUCCCAAGCAAUCGCAUAUUUCCUUGCCGAGUGGACUGAGAAGCAAUUACUGACUCAAGUUCACUCGGAGCAUUGGAUUAUGUUCUUUGAUGGCUCCAAGAUGCUAAAUGGUUCAGGUGUAGUGGUAGUAUUGGUAUCCCCCCGUGGAGACAAGCUUAGUUAUGUUCUCCAGAUUCAUUUUGAUUCCUCCAAUAAUGAAGCCGAAUAUGAAGCACUUUUAUACGGGUUGCGUAUGGCCAUUUCACUCGGCGUCCGUUGCCUUAUGGUCUACGGCGACUCAGAUUUGGUGGUUAAUCAGGUGAUGAAGGAAUGGGAUGUCAGGAGCCCAGCCAUGACUGGUUACUGCUAUGUAGUGAGAAAGCUGGAAAAGAAGUUUGAAGGUUUGGAGCUUCACCACAUACCCCGAUUGAAAAAUCAAGCUGCAGAUGAGUUGGCAAAGAUAGGAUCAAAGAGAGAGGCCAUUCCCCGAAAUGUGUUUUUGGAACAUAUUCAUUCACCUUCAGUUCAGAAAGAUCCUUUCAACGAAGAAUCACCACAGCCCAAGACUGCCACAGAUCCGACUGAAGUCGAAAUCCUAGCCGUGGUUGACUUAGUCAUGGAGGUUUUGGUCAUCACGCCCGACUGGACAGUACCAAACAUUGCAUACAUUCUUAGGAACAAACUCCCAGAGGAUGAAGAAGAGGCUCGAAAGAUCGUCCGACGGUCUAAAGCCUUCACUGUGAUAAAAGGAUAGUUGUGCAGAGAAAGUGUAAUUGGGGUCUGCCAGAAGUGCAUCAUGCCAGAAGAAGGCCAAAUGAUCCUCAAUGAUAUUCACUCGGGGACCUGUGGUCACCAUGCGUCCUCUCGGACCAUCGUGGCCAAAGCAUACCGAGCCAGGUUUUACUGGCCGCACGCCAACGAGAUGGCAAAGGAAAUAGUGGAAAAGUGUGAAGGUUGUCAGUUUUAUUCCAACAUGUCCCACAAACCUGCAUCAGCUCUGAAGACUAUUCCACUCGUCUGGCCUUUUGCUGUUUGGGGAUUGGACAUGGUUGGACCUCUGAGGACCAGCAGGAGCGGAUUUACCCACGUGCUGGUAGCAGUCGACAAGUUUACCAAGUGGAUCGAAGCCAAGCCCAUUAAAAACCUUGAAGCAAGUACUGUUGUGAGCUUCAUCAGAGAGUUGAUAUGCAGAUAUGGCGUGCCGCACAACAUCAUCACUAAUAACGGAUCGAACUUCGACUCUAAUGAGUUUAGAGCCUUUUGUGCUUCCCAAGGCACGAGGGUCAAUUACGCUUCGGUCGCCCAUCCCUAGUCGAAUGCGCAGGCUGACCGAGCGAAUGGAUUGAUUCUCAAAGGACUGAAUCCCCGGUUUAUGCGUGACCUUAAGCACGCGGCAGGAGCUUGGGUCGAUGAGCUCCCAUUGGAGCUUUGGGGGCCGAGGACAACCCCCAAUCGAUCGACUGGACGGACUCCAUUCUUUUUAGUCUACGGAGCCGAAGCCGUUUUGCCGAGCGAUUUGCUCCACAACGCUCCCCGAGUCGAACUCUUCUCAGAAGAAGAAGCAGAGCAAGCUCGACAAGAUGCAGUCUACCUCCUGGAGGUAGAAAGAGAGAUGGCCAUGAUCCGGUCGACCAUUUAUCAGUAAGACUUGCGUCGAUUCCAUGCCAGGAACGUAAGAGGUCGUGCGUUCCAGGAAGAGGACUUGGUCCUCCGAGUGGAUCAGCAGAAGCCACACAAGCUCACCCCCGCUUGGGAAGGCCCUUUCGUCGUCACCAAGGUGCUCCACAACGGGGCAUACCGUCUCUUCAACGUCGAGCACAACAAAGAUAAACCGCGCGCCUGGAAUGCGGAACUGCUCCGCCCUUUUUACUCUUAAGUAUUUAGACUGAUGAGAUGUAAUAAGAAGUAACUCUUAGUUUGAUUAUCAAAAGACAUAAUUUUACAGUCUUCUGAAUGAUUGUUGUUUAUUUCUUUUGUAUGUGUUGCCUUAGCUGCGAAUCUGUUUCGCCUAGGAUGAAGUGAUAAAAAUCCUACCGAGUGUUGAGUCUGCCUCUCACUCGAGGGCUUAGCUGCAGCCCAGUGCUCGCCUAAGUUUGAAAAAUCCUACCGAGUGGUGAGUCUGCCUCUCACUCAGGGGUUUAGCUGCAGCCCAAUGCUCACUUAAGUUUGAAAAAUCCUGCCGAGUGGUGAGUCUGCCUCUCACUCGGGGGCUUAGCUGCAGCCCAGUGCUCGCCUAAGUUUGAAAAAUCCUGCCAANNNNNNNNNNNNNNNNNNNNNNNNNNNNNNNNNNNNNNNNNNNNNNNNNNNNNNNNNNNNNNNNNNNNNNNNNNNNNNNNNNNNNNNNNNNNNNNNNNNNNNNNNNNNNNNNNNNNNNNNNNNNNNNNNNNNNNNNNNNNNNNNNNNNNNNNNNNNNNNNNNNNNNNNNNNNNNNUCGCCUAAGUUUGAAAAAUCCUACCGAGUGGUGAGCAGCCCUCCCACUCGGAGGCUUAGCUACGGUCCGGUACCCGCCUAAGUAACAAAAGUCCUCCCAAACAGUAUGGGUCGAUCACGACCCUUCAUCCCCCCGGGGGUUGCACCGUCAAGAAGAAGGACGAGAUUGUGGUGAGCAGCACUCGCCUAAGUUUGAAAAAUCCUACCGAGUGGUGAGCGACCCUCCCACUCGGGGGCUUAGCUGCAGCCCAGUGCUCGCCUAAGUUUGUAAAAUCCUACCGAGUGGUGAGCGACCCUCCCACUCGAGGGGCUUAGCUGCAACCCAGUGCUCGCGUAAGUUUGAAAAAUCCUACCGAGUGGUGAGUGACCCUCCCACUCGGAGGCUUAGCUACAGCCCAGUGCUCGCCUAAGUUUAAAAAAUCCUACCGAUUGGUGAGCGACCCUCCCGCUCGGGGGCUGAGCUGCAGCCCAGUGCUCGUCUAAGUUUGAAAAAUCCUGCAGAGUGGUGAGCGGCCCUCCCACUUGGAGGCUUAGCUGCAGCCCAGUGCUCGCCUAAGAUUGAAAAAUCCUACCGAGUGGUGAGCGACCCUCCCCUCGGGUGCUUAGCUGCAGCCCUGUGGUCGCCUAAGUUUAAAAAAUCCUACCGAGUGGCGAGCGACCUUCCCACUCGGAGGCUUAGCUGCAGCCCAGUUCUCGCCUAAGUUUUAAAAAUCAUACCGGGUGGUGAGUGAGGCUGCAGGUUGCCCACGCCCCCCCCACCCAGGGGCUGCACCAUCAAGAAGGAGGACGAGAUUGUGUGCACACAACGAUUGGCCCCUUGCUGAUGACAGGAACGUCAAGACCAUUGCUGAGUACCUCGCUGAUGAGCUGAUCAAUGCUACCAAGGGCUCAUCAACGGGUCGACUGCUGACUCUUCUUAUGCACCUGCAUCAAACGAUGAGAAAACCGAUCCAAGUGAAGAACAGACUUCACUCGAAGAUGAACCCAACAUAUUUAACGAUAAAUCCAGAGAUUCCUAACCGCAGAUUAAAAGUACUCGGGCACCAGACCCGAAGGAGUUCUAAUGGUUACAAAAUCACUCGGCAUCCCGAGGCAAAUAAAGGUGAAGCAUAAUGUUUUUUCGAUCACUCGGCGGGAGAAGGACUGGCCGGAUCGCAGAAGCUGUCGAGGUCAAUGUUGUUGGCAAUGCGAGUGGCUGCCUCGAGGAACGUGUCUAUGAAGUCCUGGAAAGAGUGCUUCUUAGUAUUCGCCACCUUGAGGGCCGCCAGCUUCUCUUCUUUAGCCUCCUUGCAGUGCAUGCGAACAAGGGACAAGGCGACGUCGGCGCCACAGCGGGGAGAAGACUUCUUCCACUCUUGCACUUGGUCAGGGAUUUGGUUGAGUUGAGUCAUCAGCGACUCGAGACUUUGAGGAAGUUCUGCCUGAGGCCAGAGUUCGGCGUCCACUCGGGCCAUCGCGGCCUUCAGCCGAGCCAGAUAGUCGACUGCACCGUCCAAGCAUGAUUCCAGUCGAAGCAAGUUCAUCGCAACUUCAUCUUUCAUGGGACAGUUCAUGGGGUCGAGACCUGUCUCGACCCGUCCAGUUUCAGCUUCAAAGUCCUGACAGAGUUCUGUUCCAUCACAACAAACAAUGAGUCGACAGUAUUGCAAAUCUCAGUUGACGACAGUUAUCUAACUGAACAGUCAUACCUUCAAGCUUCAAGACAAUCUUCGCCGCGAGUUGUUCCAAAUGGGACUCUAGCUUGCCCGUCUUAGCCCUGAGACCGUCGACUUCAAUGGUCAGAUUCUCCUUGUCCUUCCUCAGUUGCUCGACCUCCCGAUUGGCGUCCGAGACGGCUGUCUUCAACUUCGCGUUCUCAUCCUCCAACUUGCCGACUAAAGCCAGCUUCUGGUCCACAAGCGUUGUCUUCUCACGAGCUUCUUUUUGAGCAACAGCAAGGUCCAUGUCCUUCUUCUCCAACGCCUCCUUCAUUCACUCUAAAGAAACAACACUCUUCAGACGAGCCUGAAAUUGGCAGUUUUCACUACGCACAUCUGCUUAUGUGAAAACACUCGGCUCUAAGAGAUUGAAUGAAAAGCAGUGGAAAGUCUACUAAGCAAACGGUCGAAUGGUUACCUCCCAUGAUAACCGUCUCUUCCUGGGAAGUCUUCAGAUUCUUCUUGGCAAGUUCAAGGUCAAGUUCAACGCUGAUAUGCUUCUUCUUUAAUGUCACGACCGACUUUUUCAAUAAAUAACUAUUGAGAAAAUCGAUCUUUAAAUCCCAGUAUAGGAAAAGUCAUCCUUCUGGUAGACAAAGCUUGAUAAACAGAGAACCAGUAGCAUCAAAUAUAUUACAGGGCUGAGCUAAGGCUGCUCAACAAUUUAUUACAAACUUGCCAAUAUCUUACAUAAGGGCGGUUAUGACACAGGGGUGUGGUGGCAUGCUACUAGCUCGAGGAUAAGUGGUGGAUAACUUGACUCCUAACUGGCAUCUCAUCGAGCGUCGAGGUGAGGCUCGAUGAAUUUUAUUCUGGGGUUGCGGAAGCGGAUAAUACAGUGAUCAAAACAGGAUCACACGGGACUGACUGGGACUCCUCUAGGCGUCGGACUCGCUAUCAAACUCUUCAUCCGUGAGAUCGCCUUCAUCAACAUCUGGCCAAAUCAACAAGUCAGGUGAGUACUUUGAAAGUACUCGCAAGACAGUUCGGACAAAAGAUAUAAUCAAUGAAUGCAUGAAUGCAUCAUGAAUAAAGGAUGAUGCUCAUAUAUCAAUGAUAAUAUUGCAGGACUUGAUAAAUAAAAUAAAUGACUGAAAACCAAUCGGGUGUCUGGAGCGACGCCCCGAAAGGUAAAUAAAUAAAAUGCAUGCCGCAGUCGGGCGUCUAAGCGACACCACAUAAAGGGCUUAAAGGAAAUGCCACAGUCGGACGUCUGAGCGACAUCACAUAAAGGGCUUUAAAAGAAAUGCCACAGUCGGACGUCUGAGCGACAUCAUAUAAAGGGCUUUAAAAGAAAUGCCACAGUCGGACGUCUGAGCGACAUCACAUAAAGGGCUUUAAAAGAAAUGCCACNNNNNNNNNNNNNNNNNNNNNNNNNNNNNNNNNNNNNNNNNNNNNNNNNNNNNNNNNNNNNNNNNNNNNNNNNNNNNNNNNNNNNNNNNNNNNNNNNNNNNNNNNNNNNNNNNNNNNNNNNNNNNNNNNNNNNNNNNNNNNNNNNNNNNNNNNNNNNNNNNNNNNNNNNNNNNNNNNNNNNNNNNNNNNNNNNNNNNNNNNNNNNNNNNNNNNNNNNNNNNNNNNNNNNNNNNNNNNNNNNNNNNNNNNNNNNNNNNNNNNNNNNNNNNNNNNNNNNNNNNNNNNNNNNNNNNNNNNNNNNNNNNNNNNNNNNNNNNNNNNNNNNNNNNNNNNNNNNNNNNNNNNNNNNNNNNNNNNNNNNNNNNNNNNNNNNNNNNNNNNNNNNNNNNNNNNNNNNNNNNNNNNNNNNNNNNNNAGUCGGGCGUCUAAGCGACACCACAUAAAGGGCUUAAAGGAAAUGCCACAGUCGGACGUCUGAGCGACAUCACAUAAAGGGCUUUAAAAGAAAUGCCACAGUCGGACGUCUGAGCGACAUCACAUAAAGGGCUUUAAAAGAAAUGCCACAGUCGGACGUCUGAGCGACAUCACAUAAAGGACUUUAAAAGAAAUGCCACAGUCGGACGUCUGAGCGACAUCACAUAAAGGGCUUUAAAAGAAAUGCCACAGUCGGACGUCUGAGCGACAUCGCAGACAGGGCUUGCAACAAAUGUAAAUAACAGACAUGCCACUGUCGGACGUCUGAGCGACAUCACUGACUGGGCUUGUAAUAAAUGUAAAUGAUAGGUAUGCCACCGUCGGACAUCUGAGCGACAUCACAGACAGGGCAGGUAAUUAAUGUAAAUAACAAGAUUAGUCCAUCCACAAGAAUAAUCUUUUAACCGGAUGUAUCACACAUAAAUCCCACCGGAGUUUUGUCACUGACGAUGAUACGUGACAAGAUAAGAUGAAUAUAGUACUUGAACAAAGUACAAGAUAAUUGAAAGAUUUGAGAAUCUGCAGAGUUCGGAUGAACUGACCACAGCCAACGGGUUUCCGUAGUCACGAAGGACUAGUCCCAUUUACGAUAUUUCAGUAGAAACACAUUUAACUAGUACACACAUAUUCCACCUCAUGAUGCCAGGAAUCACCCUGGACAACGUCCAAGAAAAACUUUGAGACGGGGAGGCCACAACCUCGAAUAGCAUGGGAUCGAAUUUCUAUACAUGCGCUCUAAGGGGUGCCCCCCUCUCGAUCCCAACCGGAAACACCCAUGCCCCCUGACCGGAUGACGGGCUUUAAUCCAGGGCCAUGGAACCCUCAUCCCGGCCUCUCUAAUUGGUGUGUACCAGGAAAACGAUUUGCAACUUACUAUGCCAUAUUCCUUUUGGAAAACAUGUGACAAUAUAGGAAGGAAUGAAUGGAAAUAUGAUUUGUUUCACGAUGACACAGAAGUCAAAUAAUCUGGCAUAAGACUGGCAUGUCACAACACUGCCAUCUUACCCAUCCUCAUGCCAACACAUGGCUAUGCAAAUAUGUAUCCAACAACAUAAUGCUUUCCGAAACUUACUUUCCGCUCAUGUGCAUGAAAUAUAACUUUCAAAGUGUUGUUCAUAAACAUGCCAUGAUGUCGGUGUACUAGAGUAGGGGUACCCUAGUACCCCGAACUUGUGCAUGGGCAGUUGCAGUCCGCCGCGGCAAGGGCUUGCCGGGUGACCGCCAAGAUACUCCGUGGAUCCCUCAGAGCCGUUCAAGAACAAAGUACCCAAGUAAAGAAGACAAGGCCCCGGCAAGAGGAGCUUGCCGGGAAGGCCAACUGAGGCAUCUCAAGGAACUUGCCGCGACGCACCACGCGUCCCGGCAAGGCACGGCAAGCGACAAGCUUCCGGGUGCGACAAGACCACGAUCGCGGCAAGACGCUUGCCGCGGCAAGCGGCCGCUCUGUGCCCACGCUCCAGCGCAUCCACCAACGUGUCGCCCUGGGGGCCUUUCCAGGCGCGGGUGGCGGAAGGCUGUGCAGCCAGCGGUGCGCAGUGGCAUGCGACGCUGACAAGAUCACCAUCGUGGCGAACGGUGGCGCCCCUAAUGGUCCUUUUCUGCACUAUUUGGGCGACACAGACGGGCAUUUAAUGCCCUUGUCCCCUGCCGUCAGGGUUAGGUAGGGUGCACUGUGCAGACAACUGUACCAACCACCUCUCUUUUUAUGUUUUUACCCAUCUUUACGUUGCCACCUGUCGGUGACCCCUUGAGCGUAUAAAAGGAGGCCCAUGUGCAACGUAAAGGGGGUUCGGCUCAGUUCGAAGCAGAAACACUCACACUCGGUCUCGUUAGCUGCUCACGUGUACUGUAACACUCAGCGCUCCCGAGCAAGAACACAAUACAAUCAGACAAGCAGCAAUAGGAGUAUUAUCUCUCCGGAGAGCUCCGAAGCUGGGUAAACUGCUCGUGUGCUUCGCCUCGAUCUUCUCUUCGUGCGACCUCCGCCCCCCGCCGAACCGAAAGGGGCUCGGUCCGCCGGUCCCAUAGGUGUUCGUGGAUCAGUUUCCCCGACAUCUUUGGCGCGCCAGGUAGGGGGCGUCGAGAUUGUGUGAACCUGAUCCGGCGUGCACACGAGCUAGAUCUUCAUCUUCUUCAUCGACAUGCCACCGAAGAAGAAGGGUUCGGAGGCAGCUGCUCCGUCCACAUCGAUCUCACCGCCACCGGAACAAACGGGUGGUGGGGUUGACGCUGGUGGAAGAACCAACAUCGACGAGGAAGCUCACGGUGCUGCCAGGUCCAAGGACAAGGCUGCACAAACCUCGGUGUCCGUACUUCCGCCGUGCCCCUCUCAGGAGGCGCAGGACCGACAGCAUCAUGGUAUUCGCAGUACCAUACGUUUGUUGGACCAAGAUCAAGCUGGUGGGUCUCAGGGCGCUCAAGACCAGCAUGCACGUCAGCGCGCCGGCACGAGCGAGGCACUGUCGCCUGGACGGGGUACUGCUCCUUCUAACAUAGUUAGAAGUCCGAGCAUGUCCCGCUCCUCGCACCGUUCGCCACUGCCGCCCACCACUCCAGCGGAAGCUUUGGCACGAGCUCAACUACUCCUGGAUUAUCCUCCAACGUCGGACAAGAUCGACGAAUGGAGGGCCACCAUUCAGAGCCUCAUCGGCUACGCCAACGGCGACACUCCGCGGCAGCCGAAUACAUCGCUGCCGCGGCAGGACUGCCAGGCGCGAGCCGGUGGUGACGAAACUGGUGGGGGUGCAACCACCGUGCACUCUCCACCCCGAAGUCCAAGAUCGCCGACUCACCGGAUCCACCUUGACAGCGACUCCACCGCAUCAUCGGAUCCGCGAGCUCGUCGCGAUCAGCGCCAAGUCCUUCACGAUCGACAGCAAGAAGACGCUCGAACUCGCAUUGAGCGACGAAGAGAAGCGCGGCGUCAAUCCGACCAGCGCGCUGGGCCUUCUGUCGACAUGCAUGCGCCAAGGGAACCAGGCGACCUGCCGUACGCGGGGGGCUGCCCUGCGUUCACUCGUGAGCUGCGGCAAGUCCAGUGGCCCAGUAGGAAAACUUUCAAGCCAGAUGUACCGGAGAAGUACGACGGCAAGGCGCACCCGUCGGAGUUCCUCAGCAUCUACACCAUCGCGGUGCAGGCUGCCGGAUGACGAUACGACAAGAUCCUUGCCAACUACUUCCCACUGGUACUCAAACCCAACGUCAGAUCCUGGCUCAUGCACUUGCCGGACAACUCCAUAUCUUCCUGGGCGGAUCUGUGCCAUCAGUUUGUCGGCGCCUUCACAGGCGGCCACAAGCCUCAUGGCCAAGAGAGUGACCUUCAUCUGCUCGCCCAGAAGGAAGGAGAGCCCCUGCGCAAGUACAUUCAGAGAUUCAGCAACGUACAGCACAACAUCCCAGAUAUCCACCCUGCCGCGGUAAUCAGCGCGUUCCAUCAGAACGUGCGGAACCGCAGGAUGCGGGAGGAGAUGGCGAUGUGCAAGAUCAGAGACGUCAGUGAGCUAUAUGCCCUGGUCGACAAGUGUGCACGUGCUGAGGAAGGGAGGAGACUCCCCGGAGAGAAUAUAGGAGCAGGAGGAUCUGACAGUGAGGAUACUGCCCCGGCAAGGAAAAACCGGCGGCGGAAUAAUAGAAAGAAGAAAGGCAAAGAGGUGCUAGUUGUCGAGCAUUCCGGCAACGGAGGUGGCGCCGGGAAAGCCAAAGCUGGUAGCUCCGGCAAGGAGAUUGCCGUAGAGGCUGUGGCGGUCGCCGACAAGCAGGACGGUACCAACAAGCAGUACUGCAAGAUCCACCGCUCCAAGGGCCAUGACCUCCAGAGCUGCAAGAAGGUUGAGCAGCUUGUUGAGCAGCAAAAGGAUGAAUACGAGCGGCGCGACAAGGAGAAGGCCCAGGAAGGUGCUGGAGUAUCCGGUAAGAAACGUCCCGGCCGGGGGGGGGGGGCGCCGCGGCAAGGCCAAGCAGCGGCAAGGAGACAGACUUCCCCGCGGCCGCGACAAAGAUGAAGAUGACGACGACGACGAAGAUAUAGAUGAUGAUGAGACCGACGAGCAGGAGUUUCAGAAAGCCACAGAGGUCCUGUGCAUUGACGGUGGUGCUUCUCUGCAUACUUCGCACCGCCAACUCAAGCAAUGGGUGCGGGAGGUUAAUGCAGCAGAACCACCCAUCGAGUCAAGCAGGACCCUGAAAUGGUCCAGCACGCCUAUCAUCUUUGAAAUUGAGGACCACCCUGAUCGCAUAACUGUGGUCGGGUGCUUGCCGAUGUUGGUUUCACCAACUAUCCGCAACCUCAAGGUCACUAAGAUCUUAGUUGACGGCGGGGCCGGCUUGAACCUGAUCUCCUCCGCGGUGCUCCAGAAACUCCAAAUCCCUGACAGCGAGCUCGAAGAGACUGGCACAUUCCAAGGAAUCAAUCCGGGAAGGAGCAAGCCGAAGGGAAAGAUCACGUUGCCGGUAACAUUUGGCAGCGAGCUGAACUUCAGGACUGAGAGGGUCACGUUUGACGUCGCUGACUUCCCAUUGCCUUAUAAUGGGAUACUCGGCCGUCCAGCACUCGCCAAAUUCAUGGCAGCCUCUCACUAUGCCUACAACGUGCUGAAAAUGCCAGGCCCGAUAAGUGUCAUCUCUGUCCCUGGCGACAAGAAGGAUGCUCUUAUCUGCGCCGACAAGAUCUACCGGGAAGCAGCAGCCGCAGCGGAUCACACGUCACUUGCCGCUGAAGCUCCCGGGGGGAAGAAGAAGACCAAGUCCGGCAAGAGAUCUGAUGCCCACUCCGGCAAGCACACCUCUUGGGAGUGCUGCGCUACCGUCGAGGACGCACCAUCGAGCUCCACCGGCAAGUGUAAGAAGGCAAUGGCAGCUCCACCUGAGACCAAGAAGGUGUCCGCCAAGGAGGACGGCACUGGUGGUACCUUCACCAUCAGUGCCACUCUCGACCCCAAAUAGGAAAGCACGCUCGUUGCUUUCCUGCGGGCGAACGUCGACGUGUUCGCGUGGCAACCAUCUGACAUCCCCGGUGUUCCCAGGAAAGUAAUUGAGCACCACCUGGCCGUCUGUCCUCAUGCGCGGCCCGUCAAGCAGAAAGUCAGGAAGCAGGCAGUGGAGCGCCAAGAAUUCAUCGCAGAAGAGAUCAUGAAAUUGGAAGCAGCAGGCCUUGUCAGAGGAGUGCUCCAUCCUACGUGGUUGGCCAACCCUGUAGUCGUGCACAAAGCUAACGGGAAAUGGAGGCUUUGUAUCGACUUUACCGAUAUCAAUAAAGCUUGUCCCAAAGACCCAUUUCCCUUGCCGCGCAUUGACCAGAUUGUUGACUCCACGGCCGGAUGUGACUUGCUUUCAUUUCUUGAUGCAUACUCAGGAUACCAUCAGAUCUUCAUGGCAGAAGAAGAUGGGGAGAAGACUGCAUUCAUCACACCAUGUGGCACCUACUGUUUCAUACGGAUGCCCUUCAGUUUAAAGAAUGCUGGUUCAACAUUUGCGAGGGUAGUCCAUCAUGCUUUUGAGCUGCAGAUGCACAGAAAUGUGGAAGCCUACAUGGAUGACAUAGUGGUCAAGAGCAAGAACAGGGCGACCCUGAUUCAAGAUUUAGACGAAACCUCCACAAGUCUGUGCAAGAUCAACCUCAAGCUGAACCCCGAGAAGUGUGUGUUUGGGGUCCCCUCCGGCAAACAUCUCGGGUUCUUUGUGUCUCAGCGGGGAAUUGAAGCCAAUCCCGACAAGAUCAAGGCCAUUGAGCAGAUUGAAGCACCAAAGCACGUCAAGGAUGUACGAAGGCUUGCCGGUUGCGUGGCUGCUCUCAGCAGGUUUAUCUCUAGAUCUGCUGAGCGCGCCCUGCCGUUUUUCAAAAUAUUGAAAAAGGCAGGUCCAAUGAAAUGGACUCCAAAAGCGGAGGCUGCGCUGUAGGACUUGAAGAGAUAUCUGUCCUCCAGUCCAACACUUGUCGCACCUAGGCCAAAAGAGAAGUUGCUGCUGUAUAUAGCGGCAACCAAUCAGGUGGUUAGUGCUGCGUUAGUGGCGGAGAGGGAGGCAGAUGAUGAGCCUGCAACCAUGGCAGACGCGUCCAGCGACAAGCAGUGGGCUUCACCAGCAAGCUCUAGUCCGGCAGGCUCUUAUCCGGCAAGUUCUGGUCCCGACAAAGAUGGAUCUGCGCAGACGCAUAAGGAGAUGCAGAAGAGAAUGGUGCAGCGCCCAGUUUACUUUGUCAGUUCCCUUCUGCAGGGGGCUAGGUCAAGGUACUUUGGUGUGUAGAAAUUGCGUUUUGGCCUUCUCAUGGCCUCGAGAAAGCUGGGCCAUUACUUCCAAGCACAUGAGAUCACAGUUGUCACUCGCUUUCCGUUGAAGAGGAUACUGCAAAAUCCAGAAGCAACAGACAGGAUUGUCGAGUGGGCACUGGAACUGUCAAGCUUUGGCCUCAAGUUUGAAAGCACUUCAACUAUCCAAAGCAGAGCAUUGGCGGAAUUCAUAGCAGAAUGGACACCAACACCAGAUGAAGAAAUUCCAGAGACGAGGAUCCCCGUCAAGGAGGCAAGUAAAGAGUGGCUAAUGUACUUUGAUGGUGCCUUCUCGCUGCAAGGCGCCGGUGCGGGCGUGCUGCUUGUCGCACCCACCGGAGAGCACCUCAAGUAUGUGGUCCAGAUGCACUUUCCCAAGGAGCAAUCAACGAACAAUACUGCAGAGUACAAAGGCUUGCUUGCUGGUCUCAGGAUCACGGCAGACCUUGGGAUUAAGAAGCUCAUUGUCAGGGGUGACUCACAGCUUGUCGUCCGCCAAGUGAACAAGAAUUAUCAGAGUCCGUUGAUGGAAGCUUAUGUUGAUGAAGUGAGAAAGCUAGAAGAGCACUUUGACGGCCUACAGAUGGAACAUGUUCCAAGAGCUCAGAAUGACAUUGCUGAUGGCUUGUCAAAGUGCGCCGCACUUAAGUUACCUGUGGAACCAGGGAUCUUUGUGCUCAAGCUGACUCAACCAUCUAUAACACCAUCAACUGGACAGAGCAAGAAGAGAAAGUUGAUUUCUGGUGACUAUUUUCCGGCAGAGCUCCCUGAAGCCGCCGCCAAGAAGGUCCCCAAGGUCAACACCAAGAGUGCUCAGGAGCAGUCUGCUCCAGCAAGCCUAACGGUUUGUUCCGUUGAAGCAGACGCUCCCGACAAGCUUGGCUCCGGCAAGCUUGCCGGGGAACAUCAAGCUCCGGCUGAACCGCAGGUUCUCGCCGUAGAAGCAGAUGUUUCUGCAGUAGCAGAAGUGCCUUUAGUCCUUGUUGUCGAGCCACAAGCUCUAGCAUGGGCACAGCAAAUUGUCCGUUUCCUUCAGACAGGAGAACUUCCCCAAGAGCAAGAAGAAGCGGAAAAAGUAGCCCGGCAGUCGAGUAUGUACCAGUUUGUCGACAACAUACUGUACAGAAGAAGACUCAACGGCGUGAAAUUGAAGUGUAUUUGCCGGGAAGAUGGACAGAAGCUGUUGGCAGAGAUACAUGGAGGCAUAUGUGGUCACCACAUUGGCGCAAGAGCACUUGCCGGCAAAGCUUUCUGGCAAGGUUUCUUUUGGCCGACAGCCCACCAGGAUGCAACUGCACAAGUAACCAAGUGUGAAGCGUGCCAGUUCCAUUCCAAGCAGAUACACCAGCCAGCUCAAGCUCUCCAAACGAUCCCUUUAUCCUGGCCAUUUUCGGUCUGGGGGCUCGAUAUCCUCGGCCCCUUCCCCUGAGCUGUCGGGGGCUUUGAGUACUUGUACGUUGCAGUCGACUAGUUCACAAAGUGGCCGGAAGUGGAACCAGUGAGAAAGGUGACAGCACAGUCAGCAGUCAAGUUCUUCAGGUCGAUUGUUUGCCGUUUCGGGAUCCCUAAAUGGAUCAUCACCGACAACGGCACACAAUUCACGAGCCGCACCUUCAUGCAGUACGUCCAAGAUCUUGGCGCCAAGGUCUGCUUCGCUUCUGUUGCUCAUCCGAGAAGCAACGGUCAAGCGGAGAGGGCGAAUGCUGAAGUGCUGCGCGGGCUCAAGACCAGGACUUUCGACAGGCUGCGCAGGUGCGGAAAGAACUGGAUUGAGGAGCUGCCGGUGGUUCUUUGGUCGGUCAGGACGACGCCAAAUCGAGCCACUGGACAGACGCCUUUCGCUCUAGUUUAUGGAGCAGAGGCAGUUCUCCCCACGGAACUCGUAUACGGAUCACCUCGAGUGCUCGCUUAUGAUGAGCUUGAGCAAGAGCAGCUGCGACAAGAUGACGCGCUGCUCCUUGAGGAGGACCGUCUUCAGGCUGCUGUACGAGCUGCUUGAUACCAGCAAGCUUUGCGCCGCUACCAUAGCCGCAAAGUUAAUGCCAGAAGCUUCGAGGAAGGCGACCUUGUUCUUCAGCGAAUUCAGUCCGCCAAGAAUUCCAACAAGUUGACCCUGAAGUGGGAAGGCCCUUGCCGGGUGAAACAAGUCACUAGGCCUGGCGUUGUCCGCCUUGAGACCGAAGAUGGCAUUCCGGUGAGCAACUCCUGGAACAUUGAGCAUCUUCGUAAGUUUUACCCGUAGGGCGCGGUUGCCAGAACCUGUUCUGGCAACCACCUUUUGUACAAGUCUUGCCGAUGUUGCAUGUAAUCCUUUGUACAAAGCCGGGCGCAGAUCCCGUGCAUAAGUAAAGCUCAUGUGCUCCGCACACCUUGUCAAUUUCAUGCAUUACAUUCUUUCUUGCAUACAUUAUCUGACACUUUGUGCAGCACCUACCCCCGGUAAGCAAUAACGAGACGAAAGGCCCCAUAUCUUUAUUUUCUCUUCUUUCUUUUUCUCAAACAAAGGAAAGAAAGGUUCCCUCGCACACAAGUUUGCCGGGGGGAAAGGAGAAGAUAAUGGUAUGGACCAGGCAUCGUUUAAAGAAGGUUCGCCUUGCCGGGAAGCAAACGACAGAAAAGCUAAGUUGCCAAAGUUUGAGCAAUUAGUUUUAAUUUUUAAGUUAUCUUCCUCGAACGACUGUGCUUUGUAUGGAAAACCUGUGCCCGGAGGAACCAACUCGUAGCUAGUUGCGCCCUUACUUUGUUUCGAGUCCGCUCAACAACUUAAGUGUGUUGCAACUAGUCGCGACAAGGUUUCUUGUCGAAGCGGCACUGCCAGCAGGCUGCUGACGUUCCGCACUCAGCGCUCGCGGCUCGGGUGCCUGCGCCGACAAGUUCCCUAAAAGCGUAGGGUAAAACAUACAAAGCUAGGGAUCUAGUAACAGAAAUAACAUAGCGAUCAUUAUCCAAAAUAAAGUUAUGUUACAAGAUAACUUGUCGCUGCUCUAACACAUUGUUCCCAUGACAUGACCAGCAGCGACAGGGAAAAAGAUAAAACGGGCAGCCUAGUCUACGCGACCGCCCUCAACCCUCUUGAUCUCGCUCACCUUGUCCACAAUGGGUGCGACAAGGGCCUUGAGCGCUUCCAGAUCGGCGUCGGGUGGCAGAGACCUGAGGACGUUGGUGAGGUUGAGGCCUGGGUUGCGGAAGGCCACCUUCACCAGCACCUUCUGAAGAACUCCUGCGCAAAUCUUGCGCGACUCAUCGGCCAGCUGCUUUGGGAUCUUCUCCCGAAGCCACUGGAGGGCCGUCGCCACGCCCUUGAAGAACAAGCUGAGCUUGGCGCUGGGUUGGAGAUGCUCGUCGGAAGAAUACCCGAAGUCCUCCAUCCCCAGCUGCGCCAGCUCCCCGUCGAUGACUGCGGCGAUAUUCACCAGACCCUCGGUCAAGUGCUCCACUGUCUCCCUGAAUGAGUUCUGGGUGACGGCAAUGCUCGCCAGCAGCGCCUCGUCGGCCUUGAUCUUCUCCGACAAGGUCACCUCUCGCUCCUUGGCGCCAUCCAGCAUCUGAGUCAGCGUGGCCAACUUCAGCUCGAGAUCCGCGUUGGAGUCCUUGGCGGCGCUGAGCUCCUUGCUCCUCUCAGCGAGAAGACCUUGCAGCUCGCCGUGGGCGGCAGCAUCCUUCUCGCGCUCGCGCUUGAGCACGGCAAGCUCCUCGCCGCUCGUCCUGAGAUUUGCCCCCAGCUGCGCCACUUUCGCCUCCAGCUCUUUCUUGGCGGCCUCGGCAGCCACGGCAGCGUCCUUUGCUUCCUUGAGGGCCCCGCCAAGUUUUUGCUCGCGCGCGACGAGCUCCUGCUCGUAGCUGUCAAGAUUGGCCUUCCGUUGCACCAACUCGCCUUCUCGCGCGGACUGCUUCUCGGCAGCAAGCCGUUGUUGCUCCUCAGCUUCAGCCUUCUCGAGGAGGAAGGUUGUGCGCUCCUCGGCGAGUUGCUCCCGCUCCUCCGCCAGGGACCGGAGAGUCUCCUGCCUGAGACCCCGGAGCUCCUCCGCGCGCUUCUCAAUGUCGACUCCCACCUUCGCGACAAGCGCUUCUUGGGAGGCCAGCUUGGCUUGCCGGGCGCGGUAGAGCAACGUCAGCUUGCGCAGCAGCCGCUCCUCUUCAGGCUCGUCGCUGCUGCUGGGCGCGUCAACCAGCGUCAAUCCGGUGGAAGCGAGCACCUCCCCGUCAAAGGCUUCUCCUUCGACCGGCGCCCUGGAGCUCGAAGCCCAGGGGAGCUUGAUGAAGAUGCCAUCGCCGGCCUUCAGGUAGGCGCCGGGCUGUGGCUCUUCGUAGCCUGGAUCUGCGGCAGCGGCAGGGGGAUCGGCGGUCGGUGCAGCGCCUGGCGCUCCUGCGGCCUCGGUGCUGUCAGUACGAUCGCCGGAUCCCUCGCCGGCUUCUGCGGCGGCAGCCUUGGCGGCCUCUUCGCCGGCGGGUUCAUCAAUGCCGGCCUCUCCUUCAGCGGCCUCGGUUUCCAUCGGCUUAGCGGCGGAUGGAUCUGAGGGACGAAGAAGGGAGAGAAGUCAAGAAAAUAUGCAAAAGGAAAGUUAGAAAAAGAAAAAUCCAAGGGCAAGUUUGUAGGCAAGUGGAUUACCUGUGCUAGGGUCUGCAGUCGUGGUCUCGACCACCGGAGGAUCACUGGCGCUGUCCCUUGCCGGAGAAUUGUCCCUUGCCGCAGAGUUCUCCCUUGACGGAGAGCGCUCCCUUGCCGGGGACUCCUCCCUUGGCGGCAUAGUCGAAGCAGAUGACACUUCGGGAGCAGCUUCCGGGCACUCCUGGUGAGGCUGUUCUGCUCCUACACAAAUCAACAGUCGAGAUAUCAGUAGAGAGAAGAGCACCCAUGAGCGCCUGUCAGCAAGAAGCAAACCAUGUACUUACGCUGGGGGCUGCGCUAGGGGCUGCCUUGGGGAGUAGCUGCCGGGUGCGUCAAGGUGGUCUCGGACACACCCCCUGCUGACACAGUGGGAUCGUCCUCGAUGACAAUCACCGCGGCCUUGGCUCUCUUCUCCACUCUCUGGGCCAGCGUCCUGAAAAGGAAUGGAUUCAGAUCGAAGCAAGUCAGAUACAAGACGAAAGCAACAAAGACAACAAAGGUUGAAGGAUUACAAAUACGACAAGGGGAUCUGACUAUUCUUCUUCGUCGUCGGAGCUGAGCGCGGAGAGAUUGAAGUCCGGCUCGCCUCCGGUGCGGCGAGGCGGAGGAGUAGGCUCCCUUGCCCGCUUGGCAGGGGCAGGCGCGGUGGACCGGGAAGAUCCCGCUCCGAUUGCCGCAGCGGUGUGAGGUGCUCCCACAUCAAUAGUGCUUGCCGCGGUCGAGCGCGUCGCGCGCUGUGACGGCUGUUGACUCGUAUGCCGCCCCGCCACAUCCCCGGCCCUGCGGAGACGCCUCCUUGCCGGGGCCGGGGGCUCCGCCUGCGGCAGACUGUCUGAAGGUUCGGGCUCUUCCUCGCCGGGCUCGCUCGCCUCAGUUUCAGGGCUGGCAAGAUCUUCCUCGCCGGCAAACUCCUCGCGCUCGGCAAGGCUUGCCGCCUCUGCUGCCUCUGCUUCCUCCACGGUGAACCCGAACUCACCCGCGGGAGCUGCUGCCGCAGCCUCCUCUGUCCUGGUGGCGAUGCGCUGCAGCUCCGCGUCGGUGGUGUCGCGGGUGAGGCUUUUCUGCUCGUCAGCGCAGACCCGCACUUCUUCCAAGUUGUCGAAGAACGCCCGCACGACGUCAUCCGCAGGCUCUUGCCAAGUUGGAACGAUUCCGUGGGAAUCGCACAACGGCAUCAUGGCGCAGAUCCGGUCAAGCGAAGAAUUAUUGCACAAUGGAACAACGCUCCUCGGCAAAACGAAUGGGUGCUGGGGAUCGCGUUUGAACAGCUCCAGGAGCAUUGCAUCCAGCUCCAGGACGGUGAAAUUGAAAUUGAGGCCUGGCCGCAACCUCAUGAUGUCCGCCGAGUUCUUAAAUUCCCAGGCGGGUCUCCCCCUCUCCUACAGGGAGGCGAUGCGGCGGCAAACGAAAUCUGCGCCAAUAGCGCCUACGGUGCACCCGGCAAGCCUGAGGCGAAGGAUUCGGGUGAUGGCGAUCUUCAGCCUCUCGUCUUUCGGGGCCAUGUUGCUCCAAUCGUUGCCGCGCACUAUGGGGGCUUGGCGCAGGGCAGUGAACGGCUGCGAGUUCUCCUCGAUGAUCCAGCACCACUCCGCUCUCCACUCCUCCCAUUUGCUGCGAAGCUCACCCUCCAGAUACGCUUCCUUCUUGCCGACUCUCGAGAUCCAGGCGAUCCCUCUGGCAAGUGGCUCUCCUCUCUCGACCCGAGGCAUGAAGAAGUGGCGGAAAAGGGCUACAUUGGGGUGGACUCCGACAAAGUUUUCGCACAAAUGUGCGAAAACUGCCAUGGUCAGGACGGCGUUGGGGGUGAAAUCAAGGAGGCGGAACCCGUAGGUGUUCAUUAUGUCGCAGAAGAAUUCCGAGAAGGGCAGGCACAGCCCGCAAUAGAAGAACAAUGCGAAAAAUGGGUACCCGUUUGGAGCCAGUUCCGAUGCGGCGGCCGGGAGCACCUUCGUGCGCGGGUGCGCUCGCGUCUCCGUCGACCAGAAGAGGUAAUAGUACUCCCUCUGCUCCUUGGCGUCGAGCUGAGGGGGGAAGAUGGCCCGCUCCUUCCGCAGCGCCGCGAGCCACUGCGCCUCGGCCGACUUCACGCCCUUCCCCUUGUCGGCUUUCGGAGCCAUGGCGGAGGUGGCGGGGGAAGUCGACGGCGUUGGUGGUGCUGGUGGCGACCGGGGGCGGAGCGCUGCUCUCUUUCAGCUUUGAGAAGAAAGGGGGAGCGACGGAGAUUUUCGAGGAAGGAGUAACAACCGGCGAAGUGGGGAAACUACCCCUGUUUCCCCUUCUUAUAAAGAGGGAGGGGGCGGACGUUUCACCCUUCCGAAUAAAGCACCCCCCACGAUCUCUCCCACGAUGCCGCACUCAACGCGUGCCGUUGGGGGAGGGCGCGGUGGAUACGGAGUAAGAUACGGCGUGGCCCAGGCCGCGUGUGCUCGUGCCCUGUUUUGGGCCUGGCCCAACAGUGCUCGGCAUCGUUUAUGGCCCAGGCCCGGGGGCUCCUGUCGAUGUACUAGAGUAGGGGUACCCUAGUACCCCGAACUUGUGCAUGGGCAGUUGCAGUCCGCCGCGGCAAGGGCUUGCCGGGUGACCGCCAAGAUACUCCGUGGCUCCCUCGGAGCCGUUCAAGAACAAAGUACCCAAGUAAAGAAGACAAGGCCCCGGCAAGAGGAGCUUGCCGGGAAGGCCAACCGAGGAAUCUCAAGGAACUUGCAGCGACGCACCACGCGUCCCAGCAAGGCCCGGCGAGCGACAAGCUUCCGGGCGCGACAAGACCACGACCGCGAUAAGAAGCUUGCCGCGGCAGGCGGCCGCUCUGUGCCCACGCUCUAGCGCAUCCACCAACGUGUCGCCCUGGGGGCCUUUCCAGGCGCGCGUGGCGGAAGGCUGUGCAGCCAGCGGUGCGCGGUGGCAUGCGACGCUGACAAGAUCGCCAUCGUGGCGAAUGGUGGCGCCCCUAACGGUCCUUUUCUGCACUGUUUGGGCGACACAGACGGGCAUUUAAUGCCCUUGUCCCCUGCCGUCAGGGUUAGGUAGGGUGCACUAUGCAGACAACUAUACCAACCACCUCUCUUUUUACGUUUUUACCCUUCUUUACAUUGCCACCUGUCGGUGACCCCUUGAGCGUAUAAAAGGAGGCCCAUGUGCAACGUACAGGGGGUUCGGCUCAGUUCGAAGCAGAAACACUCACGCUCGGUCUCGUUAGCUGCUCACGUGUGCUGUAACACUCAGCGCUCCCGAGCAAGAACACAAUACAAUCAGACAAGUAGCAGUAGGAGUAUUAUCUCUCCGGAGAGCUCCGAAGCUGGGUAAACUGCUCGUGUGCUUCGCCUCGAUCUGCUCUUCGUGCGACCUCCGCCCCCCGCCGAACCGAAAGGGUCUCAGUCCGCCGGUCCCAUAGGUGUUCGUGGAUCAGUUUCCCCGACACAUGACUAUACUAAAGUGCAAACAUGCAACAACACUCAUCAUAUCAAGAGUUCAAGCAUGCUUGCCUGGUUCGGAGAAGUCGGAGUUUAACUGUGUGAAGUUUGCCGCUCCGUCACCUCCUCCGGUAUCUAUAGUAUAAGAGAAAUACGUACGUAACGUAAAUACCAUGAGUGUACAGAAAAGUGUUCCAAAUAUUUUUCAAAUAAAUAUGGCAAACAACUAGACGAAAAAAUAAAGAUGACAGAAAAGGAAUCAAUCAAAAAUCAUUUUCUCUUAAAAAGUUAUAAGAGUUUUGGUCCGAGGACCCAUCUGUAAUGAAACAGAAAGUUUCCAGGGGGCUCUGCGGAAAAGUCCAGAAUAACGUUUCGUUUAAACGAAACAGCUGUGAGGCUGACAUGCGGGCUCCACCUAUCGGGUUUGAAAUUUCAAACGGAGAAAUAGAGCGUGACGGCGCCCAAGAGGUGCGGUGGUCGCCGGCGGCGAUCCACGGCGAGGCAAGGUGAUCGGGGGUUACCUUCGAGAUCAGUGCACCAUUCUGCGUCCGUGGGUGGUGGUGGUGGUCGCCGGCGAGCACUGUGUCGAUGGCGGCCCUUGCUCCGGCGGACGGCGGUUCGGGCAGUCGUGGAUCUCGCCGGAGGGAGCUGCGGUGAUCAAAUAGGAGUGGGGGUUAGUCUCCUAGUUGCUCGAGAGGGUUGCUGACGAAGUUAGGGCAUUGGAGACGGCCUCACCGGAGCGAAUCAAGGUGGAGGCCAAAGCGGAAUGGGGCGGCCGGAAUCAGGGAAGAAGGGCCCCUCGAGGCUCUCCCAGUGGCUAGGCGGGGUCUAGUAAGGUGGUGGAGUCGUGCGGGGGCGAGAGCAGGCUCGGGGGGUGCUAUAUGUAGCCGGCCCGAGUCGGUUGCCACGAACGGAUAAGUCCGGCGAGUGGAUUACGGCGGCGCUAUGGCUGGACGGGCGGCUUAGGAGCUUGAGCAUAGCCUUGGUGGAGUAGUGGUGCCAUUUUAGGGUCCAGCUCAGCACGGGAGGAACGUUUACGGCCUGCCCUCGACGGAACGGCCGCACGGCCUGUCGGCGGCAGAGAACGCGCUCUGCGCGUGCCAGGCCACGGCGACGGUGCCGCAUGCGUGCGCUGGCAAGGAGGUGGCCACGCGGAGCUACCAGGACGCUUGGGCGGCGCCGAACGGCGUUGAGCCGCCGUUUUUCUCCCUGUCGGCCGUUACGGUGCUACGGCCGCCGCAAAGCACAUCGGCGCAGGCGGGCCAGGGUGCCACUGACGCCCGGAAGGCGCCAAGCGCGCGUGUGAAGCUCCGGACAAGCAGGCCAGGCUGUGAGCAACGUGCCAAGGGCACUGUGGACAUGUGACUGAAGUUACUGACGGAGAAUGACACUGACCUCUGAAUUUACUGAAUGUGAAUAGUACUAGUGCAUGCAAAGUGUUCGACAGAAUGAUUCUGGCAUCUAGGGAUUUUUCCUUAAGCUGAUUUUUGGUGGAGUGGUCUCUUAUUGCAACUAGAGGUUUCCUGAAUUUUGGUGGAAUUUUUGGAGAAGUGUAGAUAUGAAUUUCACCAAAUUUGGAAAAUCUGGUCCAAACUUGCAGAGAGUGAAAUUUGAAAUAUUUGAAAAGAAGAUGAGUGGAUCAAGAUGGUUCUGGGUUGUGGGUACAAAGGACUAUCCAGGGGUGUUGAGUUGAGGUCAAAAAUCAAAAGCAUUAGGGUACUUGCUUUGCAAAUCACCUAGGCCCAAAAGAAAAGACAGAAUUAUUUUGGAAGGAGAAAUAAUUGGAAUAAAAUACAAAAAUGGAUUUUAUUAGUUUGGACAGAAUGCUUGGGUAGUACCAAAGUGGGAGGAGGGGUUUUUGGGGGAGUUUUACCAUAGGAGGCAUGGUAAAACCAGAGUGGAUCAAAAUCAAAUGAAAGACCAAAAAUCAAAAAGGUUUUGUUUUUAAAAGAAACUAAAUUCAACAAAAAGAUUUUUGAGAGGGCAAACUUAGAAGAUGGUUUUUAGGAAGGGUUUAAAUGACCUUCUUUCAAACCAAGCAAGGCUCUUUCUGAAAACAAAAUUUCACAAAAUUUUUGGAGUGUCACAGCACCUACCCCCUUAGGAAAAAUCUCGUCCCCGAGAUUUCAGAUGAUCCUUAAACAGGUGUGGGUGCUCUGUCCGAAGAAAAUCCUCGCUCUCCCAGGUUGCUUCAUUCUCGGUGUGAUUACUCCACUGAACUCUGAAAAACUUAAUGGUUUUCUGUCGGGUCCUCCUCUCAGACUCUUCUAAUAUUUUUAUUGGGUGCUCCCGGUAUGUGAGGUCCGGUUGUACGUCAAUAUUCUCAUGUGAAACUUGCUUCUCUGGGUUGCUCACGUAUUUUCUCAACUGCGAGAUGUGAAACACGUUGGAGAUACCGGAUAAGUCUCCGGGUAGGUCUAGCUGGUAGGCUACCAUGCCUCUUCGGGCCACUAUAUGAAAUGGUCCGAUGAAUAUUGGUGCUAGUUUCCCCUUAAUCCUGAAUCGUUGUAGACCCUUCAUAGGAGAAACUCUCAGAUAUACCAAUUCUCCGGGUCCAAAACUGAUUUCCCGAUGCUUUCGGUCGUAAUAACUCUUUUGCCGACUUUGAGCUGUUUUGAGUCGAUCUCUAAUUGUCUUAACUUUCUCCUCGGCCUCCUUGAGCAUAUCUGGGCCAAAGAUAUGGCUGUCUCCGGUCUCUGACCAAUUUAGCGGGGUACGACAUCUUCUCCCAUAUAGAGCUUCAAAGGGUGCCAUUUGCAAGCUGGCUUGAUAGCUGUUGUUGUAUGUGAACUCUGCAUAUGGCAAGCUUUCUUCCCAACUGUUCCCGUAGGUGAGGACACAGGCUCUCAGCAUGUCUUCUAGGAUUUGGUUUACACAUUCCGUCUGCCCAUCAGUCUAGGGAUGGUAUGCGGUACUGAAGGCCAGUUGGGUUCCCAGUGCCUGUUGUAGGUGAUCCCAAAAUAUAGAGACGAACUGUGUGCCUCUAUCGGAGAUGAUUGUCUUAGGGACUCCAUGCAGGCAGACGAUACGGGCAAGAUAAAGUAUGGCCAGUCUCUGAGUGGUGUAAGUUGUCUUUACCGGAAUAAAAUGUGCCACCUUGGUUAAUCUGUCGGUUAUGACCCAUAUGGCAUCGUUUCCGUGUCGUGAUCGUGGCAGUCCAACGAUAAAGUCCAUUCCAAUCUCGUCCCAUUUCCACUCGGGUAUCUUAUUUGGCUGUAAUAGUCUGGCUGGUUUCUGGUGCUCGGCCUUGAUACGUUGACAAGAGUCACAUCAUGCAAUGAACGUGGCUAUAUCUCUCUUCAUACCAUGCCACCAAAAAAAAUCCUGAAGGUCCUUGUACAUUUUUGUCCCUCCAGGAUGGAUUGAAUAUGGAGCUGUGUGACUUUCAGUCAAUAUCUGCUGUUUGAGGUCCUUGACAUUUGGUACGCAUAGCCUCUCUCCGUACCACAAUAUUCCUUGCUCAUCUAUGUUGAAUUCUGAGGCUCUCCCCAAACUCACUUUUCUUUUUAUGCCCUCAAUGCUGGGGUGUCCGUGCUGGGCUUCCUUGAUCCUUUCCAUCAGGGUAGGCUGUAUUUCUAUAUUCGACACACUGCCUUCGGUAACCAUUAUUAGAUUGAGUCGGGCAAAUUCCUGCUGAAAUUCUGGCCUCAACUUUGGUAUACUGUCGUCGUCCAUGCUGGUAUUUCGACUAAGUGCAUCUGCCACAACAUUUGCUUUUCCGGGAUGAUAGUGGAUUCCAACAUCAUAAUCCUUCACCAACUCUAACCAGCGUCGUUGCCGUAAAUUUAACUCUGGCUGGGUGAAAAUAUACUUAAGACUCUUAUGGUCUGUGUAUAUCUCACAAUGAUUCCCAAGUAGAAAGUGUCUCCAUUCCUUGAGUGCAUGGAUGACCGCUACUAAUUCCAAGUCAUGAGUGGGAUAAUUCUCCUCAUGCUUGCGUAGUUGUCUAGAGACAUCCGCAACUACCUUGCCUUCUUGCAUCAAUACGCAUCCGAGGCCUUUCCGGGAUGCGUCACAAUAUACCUCAAAAUUCUUGUGUAUAUCUGGCACAAUUAGUACUGGUGCCGUUGUUAAUCUGCUUUUUAGCUCUUGGAAGCUUUUCUCACAUGCUUCUGUCCAUUCAAACUUCUUGCCUUUCUUGAGCAAUUGUGUCAUGGGCUUUGCUAUAGUGGAGAAUCCUUCAAUAAAUCUCCGAUAAUAGCCUGCCAUUCCCAAGAAACUCCGUACGUCCAUUACGUUACCUGGUGGUUUCCAGCCAAGUACGGCCUUGACUUUUUCCGGGUCCACUGCAAUACCUUCUUGGGUUAGCACGUGGCCCAGAAAACCCACCUGCCUUAGCCAAAAUUCACAUUUGCUGAAUUUGACGUACAGUUGAUGUUUCCUGAGUUCCCCGAGUACAACCUUGAGAUGUUCGGCGUGCUCUUCUGUUGUUUUGGAAUAUAUCAUAAUAUCAUCAAUGAAUACUACAACAAACUUGUCCAUAUACUUCAUAAAUACAUUGUUCAUGAGGUGAACAAAAUAUGCGGGGGCGUUGGUUAGCCCGAAUGGCAUUACUGUGAACUCAUACAGUCCAUAUUUGGAGGUGAAGGCGGUCUUGGGAAUAUCUUCUGUUCGUACUUUUAAUUGGUGGUAUCCUGAUCUCAAGUCAAUUUUUGAGAAGACUUUGGCCUGUGCGAGCUGAUCGAAUAAAUCAUUUAUUCGGGGCAUUGGGUAUUUGUUCUUGAUUGUGACCAAUUUGAGAGCCCGAUAAUCAAUACACAACCUCAUUGUUCCAUCCUUCUUCUUGGCAAAUAAAAUUGGAGAACCCCAAGGUGAGGAGCUGGCUCGUAUGUUCCCUUUCUCCAACAAUUCUUUUAUUUGCUUCUUCAACUCUACCAAUUCGGAUGGUGCCAUUCUGUAAGGUUUCUUGUAAAUAGGAGCGGUUCCGGGUGCUAGCUCAAUGCUGAAUUCUAUCUCUCGGUCUGGUGGCAUGCCUGGUAGUUCUUCUGGAAAUACGUCUGGGAAUUCACAUACUACUGGAACCUUGUUCAUCUCGGAAACAUCCACCUUGUUUAUUCUAGGUUGCCGAGGUAUUUGUCUCUCUUUGGCUGAAACUUUUAUUUUCUUCCCAUGAUGGUGUGUGAGAAUCACGGUAUGGUUGAAGCAGUCAAUAAAACCUUUGUUGGUGGUUAACCAAUCCAUUCCUAGGAUCCAGUCCUUUGCUUUCUAGUACAAUAAGGUUGGCGUAAAACUUCAAUCCUUCAAAUUCAAUAAUCACACCUUGACAGUAACUCUGGGUCACUUGCUUAAUUCCAGGGGACUUGAUGAUCAUUGAUUUUUCCAAGGGAAGCAUCGAAAAAUUAUUUUGCCAAGCAAAACUUUUCGAAACAAAUGAGUGAGAAGCUCCAGAAUCAAACAAAACCACGGCAGGUAUUGUGUUGACGGGGUACAUACCGAGUACGAUAUGUGGGGCGUUCUGUGCUUCCUCUCGGGUCACGUGGUUCAAGUGACCUUUCCGGUGGUUGUUGUUGGGGUUGAAAUUGCUUCGCUUUGGUGCUGAAUUAUUGCCACCAUUAUUGAGCUUCGGGGUUGAGCUACUUGGCUUGGGGCACUGCUUGACAUAGUGCCCUUCUUCUCCACAAGCAUGAUAGGUAACGCCUGGGCGAUAGGUGAAUUCUUUGUCUCUUGCAUGGAAAUUCUUGAUUGGACGUGAAUUUUCCGUCGGGGUUUUGUGUGUUCUACCCUUCUGAAUUUCCGUCUUGUUUCUGGGGUUGCGAGCAAAAGUAGUCUGGUCCCUUUUGCGUUUGCGGAAAUCUUCCAGGCUAUGUCGCUCAUUUUCCAGAGUAAUGGCCUUAUCCACCAGUGUUUUAAAAUCUGGAAAGGUAUGCACAACUAGCUGGCACUUAAGGGCAGGUGCCAAGCCUUCCAAGAAUUUUUCCAUCUUCUUGCUCUCGGUCAUGCGUUCUUCAUUGGCGUAGUGAGACAGCAGAGUGAAUUGGUUGUUGUAUUCUGACACUGUCAUGGCCCUUUGCUUGAGUUCAUCAAAUUCUUUCUUCUUGAUUUUCAUGACGCUCUUAGGAAUAUGUGCCCCACGAAAACCUUCCUUGAAAUUUUCCCAUGUGAUUUCAUUUUCGUUGGGGUGCAUGUGCAGGAAGUUUUCCCACCAUGAUGUGGCUGCUCCUAUGAGAUAAUGUGGUGCAUACAAUACUUUUUCACGGUCUGAACACUGUGCGAUAAUUAAUUUUCUCUCCAUGUCUCAAGCCAGUCCUCGGCCUCAAGAGGCUUGUCAGUAUGAGAAAAUGUUGGAGGACGCGUCUUUUGUAACUUAGAUAAUUUGGAUUGCGAUUGAUACUGACCAUGGUUACUUCCCAUAUUGAUGAAUUGGUUCAUCAUUUCUUGGUGUUGAUGCUGACUCUGUUCAUACAAACGACAAACUUGUGUAAAAGUUGUUUCACUGCCCUGUUGACUUGUCUGACCCUGAGUGAAAUUGUGGUUCUGCGGUGUGCCAUAAUUUUCUUCUGGCUGAGUUGGCAUGGAGCGCGUCCAAGGACGAGACAUCUUUCACUCUGGGGAUAUAUUUUGUGAACUCGUAAGAUAAGAAAGAGAGCCGCAAAAAUCAAUAAAAUCACACACAAAGAGCAUUUUAAAUUCUAGGAUAUUUUUGGAAACACACGAUUGCGCGCGGAGAAGGACUAUUACAUAUCUUACAUGCGGGCAUAAUUAUACAUUACAUCACUCAGGAUAUGCGCACAUAAACCUGACAUGUUAUUUAAACUAGUGCACUCCUCCAGAUCCUACAUAAUGCGCAAACAGGCUACUUCUCACAACCUAUGUACAUAUAAACAUAUUACACAAGUCGAUACAUCGCAUGGCGUCUACGCGUACUCAGUCGGAGAUGGUGAGGAUCUGCCUUGGCCUGCCGAGGGUGAGACGCAGUGACGUUGGGGAAUCAACUUCCUCCUCACUAACAGGUUCCAGACGAGGAACGCUGCCUGAGCUGAUGGAGUAGGUGUCGUAGGUAGAGUACCCUGAAUAAAAGUGGGCGGAAUAGGUGGAGUAGCACGUAUGGGAGUGGGUGCAAAAAGUGGUGCAGCGCGAACGGGAGUGGGUGCAAUAGCCUGGUUGAAUUCCUCAGUGGUAGGUAGACGACGUGCAGUAGCGAGAAUGGUAGGCGAAUGAGAAGCUGAGGACGAGAUAAAGGUCAGCGGUGGAGCGGUGUGUAGGAGUUCCCUCCUGUUAGCAGCACAGCCAUGAACUGAGUCCAUGCGGACAGCUACGAGGUCGUCCACCAUGUUGUCAAAAGCUGCCUCCAGGGCUCGGAGGUACUCGACAAGCAUCUCAAAGGCCUCGUCUUGCUCUCAUCUGGGGCAAGAGAAUGAGUAGUGACAGGUGUAAGGAACAUGGCAUGGAAGGUAGCGAUAGCGACGGGUCUUCAUUGUAGGAAGGACAUCCCGAAGACGAGCUAUCGCCUCGCGGGCUGCCAUCUGCAUAGCAUGCCUCUCUGUAGGCAUGGCUCUCCCCAAGAAACGGAAGCGGCACAUCUCAACACGCCCUCCCCUGAAUUGCACCGCGGCUUGGUGCAUGGUCAGACUGUCGUUGAUCUUGUGUGGAUAAAGCGUGAAGACUGGGCGAACGGAUGGCCCCAUCACGACCUGAACGAUGAAGGAGAGGAGUUUGACGAACCCCUCUGGCAUGUUGGCGAACAUUUGAGACUCGCAGUCGCUGCCAGUCAUCUACAAAAGUAGGCAAAAAUUCUGAGUGAUCAGAUCAUAAAUUUUUAUGCUGACUGUCAGAAAGAUGACUACAUUUUGUAAAAACAAGAAUAAACACUGUCAUGCUAAUAAUUAAAUUAGCGAUUGCACCUAGUGGCUUCCUACAGUCAGCCUGGCUCUGGUUACCAAGUCUGUCACGACCGACUUUUUCAAUAAAUAACUAUUGAGAAAAUCGAUCUUUAAAUCCCAGUAUAGGAAAAGUCAUCCUUCUGGUAGACAAAGCUUGAUAAACAGAGAACCAGUAGCAUCAAAUAUAUUACAGGGCUGAGCUAAGGCUGCUCAACAAUUUAUACAAACUUGCCAAUAUCUUACAUAAGGGCGGUUAUGACACAGGGGUGUGGUGGCAUGCUACUAGCUCGAGGAUAAGUGGUGGAUAACUUGACUCCUAACUGGCAGCUCAUCGAGCGUCAAGGUGAGGCUCGAUGAAUUUUAUUCUGGGGUUGCGGAAGCGGAUAAUACAGUGAUCAAAACAGGAUCGCACGGGACUGACUGGGACUCCUCUAGGCGUCGGACUCGCUAUCAAACUCUUCAUCCAUGAGAUCACCUUCAUCAACAUCUGGACAAAUCAACAAGCCAGGUGAGUACUUUGGAAGUACUCGCAAGACAGUUCGGACAAAAGAUAUAAUCAAUGAAUGCAUGAAUGCGUCAUGAAUAAAGGAUGAUGCUCAUAUAUCAACGAUAAUAUUGCAGGACUUGAUAAAUAAAAUAAAUGACUGAAAACCGAUCGGGUGUCUGGAGCGACGCCUCGAAAGGUAAAUAAAUAAAAUGCAUGCCACAGUCGGGCGUCUAAGCGACACCACAUAAAGGGCUUAAAAGAAAUGCCACAGUCGGACGUCUGAGCGACAUCACAUAAAGGGCUUUAAAAGAAAUGCCACAGUCGGAUGUCUGAGCGACAUCACAUAAAGGGCUUUAAAAUAAAUGCCACAGUCGGACGUCUGAGCGACAUCACAUAAAGGGCUUUAAAAGAAAUGCCACAGUCGGACGUCUGAGUGACAUCGCAGAUAGGGCUUGCAACAAAUGUAAAUAACAGACAUGCCACCGUCGGACGUCUAAGCGACAUCACUGACAGGGCUUGUAAUAAACGUAAAUGACAGGUAUGCCACCGUCGGACGUCUGAGCGACAUCACAGACAGGGCAGGUAAUAAAUGUAAAUAACAAGAUUAGUCCAUCCACAACAAUAAUCUUUUAAUCGGAUGUAUCACACAUAAAUCCCACCGGAGUUUUGUCACUGAGGAUGAUACCUGACAAGAUAAGAUGAAUAUAGUAAUUGAACAAAGUACAAGAUAAUUGAAAGAUUUGAGACUCUGCAGAGUUUGGAUGAACUGACCACAGCCAACGGAUUUUCGUAGUCACGAAGGACUAGUUCUGUUUACGGUAUUUCAGUAGAAACACAUUUAACUAGUACACACCCAUUCCACCUCACGAUGCCAAGAAUCACCCUGGACAACGUCCAAGAAAAACUUUGAGACGGGGAGGCCACAACCUCGAAUAGCAUGGGAUCAAAUUUCUAUACGCGCGCUCUAAGGGGUGCCCCCCUCUCGGUCCCAACCGGAAACACCCAUGCCCCCUGACCGGAUGACGAGCUUUAAUCCAGGGCCAUGGAACCCUCAUCCCGGCCUCUCUAAUUGGUGUUUACCAGGAAAACAAUUUGCAAAUUACUAUGCCAUAUUCCUUUCGGAAAACAUGUGACAGUAUAGGAAGGAAUGAAUGGAAAUGUGAUUUGUUUGACGAUGACAUGGAAGUCAAAUAAUCUGGCAUAAGACUGGCAUGUCACAACACUGCCAUCUUACCCAUCCUCAUGCCAAAACAUGGCUAUGCAAAUAUGUAUCCAACAACAUAAUGCUUUCCGAAACUUACUUUCCGCUCAUGUGCAUGAAAUAUAACUUUCAAAGUGUUGUUCAUAAACAUGCCAUGACUAUACUAAAGUGCAAACAUGCAACAACACUCAUCAUAUCAAGAGUUCAAACAUGCUUGCCUGGUUCGGAGAAGUCGGAGUUUAACUAUGUGAAGUUUGCCGCUCUGUCACCUCCUCCGGUAUCUACGGUAUAAGAGAAAUACGUACGUAACGUAAAUACCGUGAGUGUACAGAAAAGUGUUCCAAAUAUUUUUCAAAUAAAUAUGAGAAAAAACUAGACAGAAAAAUAAAGAUGACAGAAAAGGAAUCAGUCAAAAAUCAUUUUCUGUUAAAUAGUUAUAAGAGUUUUGGUCCAAGGACCCAUCUAUAAUGAAACAGAAAGUUUCCAGGGGGCUCUGCGGAAAAGUCCAGAAUAACGUUUCGUUUAAACGAAAUGGCUGUGAAGCUGACAGGCGGGCUCCACCUGUCGGGUUUGAAAUUUCAAACGGAGAAACAGAGCGCGACGGCGCCCGAGAGGUGCGGUGGUCGCCGGCGGCGAUCCACGGCGAGGCAAUGUGACCGGGGGUUACCUUCGAGAUCAGUGCACCGUUCUGCGUCCGUGGGUGGUGGUGGUGGUCGUCGGCGAGCACUGUGUCGACGGCGGCCCUUGCUCCGGCGGACGGCGGUUCGGGCAGUCGUGGAUCUCGCCGGAGGGAGCUGCGGUGAUCAAAUAGGAGUGGGGGUUAGUCUCCUAGCUGCUCGAGAGGGUUGCUGACGAAGUUAGGGCGUCGGAGAUGGCCUCACCGGAGCGAAUCGAGGUGGAGGCCGAGGCGGAACGGGGCGGCCGGAGUUGGGGAAGAAGGGCCCCUCGAGGCUCUCCCAGUGGCUAGGCGGGGUCUAGUGAGGUGGUGGAGUCGUGCGGGGGCGAGAGCAGGCUCGGGGGUGCUAUAUAUAGCUGGCCCGAGUCGGUUGCCGCGAACCGAUAAGUCCGGCGAGUGGAUUACGGCGGCGCUGUGGCUGGACGGGCGGCUUAGGAGCUUGAGCAUAGCCUAGGUGGAGUAGUGGUGCCAUUUUAGGGUCCAGCUCAGCACGGGAGGAAGGUUUACGGCCUGCCCUCGACGGAACGGCCGCACGGCCCGUCGGCGGCAGAGAACGCGCUCUGCGCGUGCCAGGCCACGGCGACGGUGCCGCAUGCAUGCGCUGGCAAGGAGGUGGCCACGCGGAGCUACCAGGAUGCUUGGGCGGUGCCGAACGGUGUUGAGCCGCCGUUUUGCUCCCUGUUGGCCGUUACGGUGCUACGGCCGCCGCAAAGCACGCCGGCGCAGGCGGGCCAGGGCGCCACCGACGCCAGGAAGGCUCCAUGCGCGCGUGUGAAGCUCCGGACAAGCAGGCCAGGCUGCAAGCAACGUGCCAAGGGCACUGUGGACAUGUGACUGAAGUUACUGACGGAGAACGACACUGAACUCUGAAUUUACUGAAUGUGAACAGUACUAGUGCAUGCAAAGUGUUCGACAGAAUGAUUCUGGCAUCUAGGGAUUUUUCCUUGAGCUGAUUUUUGGUGGACUGGUCUCUUAUUGCAACUAGAGGUUGCCUGAAUUUUGGUGGAAUUUUUCGAGAAGUGUAGAUAUGAAUUUCACCAAAUUUGGCAAAUCUGGUCCAAACUUGCAAAGAGUGAAAUUUGAAAUAUUUGAAAAGAAGAUGAGUGGAUCAAGAUGGUUCUGGGUUGUGGGUAAAAAGGACUAUCCAGGGGUGUUGAGUUGAGGUCAAAAAUCAAAAGCAUUAGGGUACCUGCUUUGCAAAUCACCUAGGCCCAAAAGAAAAGACAGAAUUAUUUUGGAAGGAGAAAUAAUUGGAAUAAAAUCCAAAAAUGGAUUUUAUUAGUUUGGACAGAAUGCUUGGGUAGUACCAAAGUGGGAGGAGGGGUUUUUGGGGGAGUUUUACCAUAGGAGGCAUGGUAAAAGUAGAGUGGAUCAAAAUCAAAUGAAAGACAAAAAAUCAAAAAGGUUUUCUUUUUAAAAGAAACUAAAUUCAAGAAAAAGAUUUUUGAGAGGGAAAACUUAGAAGAUGGUUUUUAGGAAGGGUUUAAAUGACCUUCUUUCAAACCAAGCAAGGCUCUUUCUGAAAACAAAAUUUCACGAAAAAAAUUUGAGUGUCACAUUUAACUCAUUAAGACAAGCUCCAAGAUCACAAGACCUCUACAGUCAGCAAAAGUGCCAUGUCAGUCGACAGAAAUAAAGGACAAUUGACGGAGAAAAGCUAAUCUAAGACUGCUAUCGAAUCAAAUAUCCAACAAGUAGUCUCAGGGACUACACCCAGUGGGAGCACUUAGCGUGCCCCCACUGGUUCAGAUAAAUACUCAGUAGGGUCUGCCUAGCGUGAGUCCAAAAAAAAGAGAGAUACAUUCUAAGACCGCAGUCGACUGCCAGCAGUCGACCGUGGUCUCGGGGAAUACACCCAGUGGGUGCACUUAGUGUGCCCCCACUGGUUCAGAUCAAUACUCAGCAGGGUCUGCCCAGCGUGAGUUCAGACAGUCUACUAAGAUUCAACUCAAGUCGAGUGGAAUGGAAAAUUUUCCAGGCUAUAUGCAACAAAACACCCCAGUGGGUGAUCAGAUAUAAGACAAUAUUCGACAGGUCAGUCGGAGUCUUGCUGACCUAAACAUUGGCCUGAAGGGCAGUACUGGCGUUGUAGGCCACCUGGCUAGCCUCGUGCACCACCUUCACCUGCUCCAUGACAAGGUCCACCUGGCGAAGAGCUUCCCUGGCUACACUCGGCGAGUCAUCCGGACUCGGAUACACAGUAAAAAGUGAUGGUUACAGAGCAGCUUGAGCGGUCGCCGAGUCAGAGGUGUGAAGUUGCACUGGAGCGGCAGGAGUCGGAGCAGUCGAGCCCUCCGGACGAUCAGUCAUCAGCGGGCUGGCGAACAUGACUCUGGUCCGAACAGGCUCCCCGGAGUGUUCGACCACCGCCUCGAGCUCCGGUGUCGACUGAGGGACCUGAACUUCAAGCCUCCUCCUGCCGGAGCUUCCACCCUUCCUCCUCCUCUCCCGUAGAGGCGGCUCUUCUUCAUCGUCAGGGAGCACAACAACUUCUUCCAGAACUACAGAAAGAGAGAAAUGACAGAAAAUCUGCCGAUUGACGAUCUACUCAACUCAAUGAGGCUUGGUCGAUCAGACUUACCGACUCGUGAGGUGGCCUCUUCAUCUCAUGGUGCCUUAUCAAUGUCCAUGUCAGUGGCAGCAGAGGUGGGACUGGAAAGACACACGAAUUGGUUGGUCAGAACAAGAAAAUCUUCAGUCGAGCUACGGAAACGCAAACAAGAUACUCACCCCGAAGCAACAGGGACGUCCAUCUUGAUCCGUGGCAAUGUCUUUCGAGCUUUGGGAGGAGCGACUUUAGGCUGCUUGGCCACCUUCUCCGUCGGCUCCAGAGUCGACGUUCGAGCGUGCUUCUGGGUAGUGGCACUCGGAGCCACGCUUUUCCCGCGCCCGCCAGACGGGUCAUGCUGCUGUUUGGAUAGACGUUCAGAAUGAGGCGGCGAGUCGACCUCUUCCUCCUCGUCCAACUCCUCGCUCUCCUCCUCCUCCUAUUCUCUCGGAGACUCCCACUCACCACUCUCCUCAGCACUGUCCUCCCCUCCUGGUAUUGUGCCAAAGCAUGUUCACCCUUGGGCAUUGAAUGCAUCUCAGUGAAUACCUGCAAAGCAAACCGAUCGAGCAAGAGUCAGCCAACAUCAAGUACAGUCGGAACGCGAGCGGGAAACAGUCGGAACAAAGAGUGUACCUUGUCGGGUGGGUUGUCUUCACCAAAAGGGGCGACCCGCCUGGAUCCUCUUGGGUUAUCUUGGUUGCCUGUGAUGCCCUUCAACCACAAAGCUACGGUUUCGGGCGGCACUUCUUCUAGAUGGACCCGAGCGGUGUCGUCCGGUCCAGAAUACAGCCACAUCGGGUGAUCGCGAGCCUAGAGAAGCUGGAUGCGCUGAAUGAGGAACACUUCCAGCAAGUCCAGGCCGGUAAGGCCAUCAUUGAUGAGCUGAACCACUCGGUCCACCAACAUCCUCGUCUCCAUGGUCUCGGCAGCGGUUAAUUUCAGCGGAGCAGGAGUCUGGACACGAUCAAACAAGAAGGGGGGAAGACCGAUCGACUGACCUAGAGCUGCGACAUCCUGGCAGUAGAACCAGGAUGACUGCCAACCCCUAACAGAUUCAGGAAGAGUCACAACGGGGAAAGAGCUCCUAUUCCUCUUUUGAAUACCUAAACCCCCGCACAUCUGGAUGACGUGGGUCUUUGAGUCACUCGACUCCGCCUUUUUUACCGAUUGAGAGUGAAUCAUGAAGAUAUGUUUGAAGAGGCCCCAGUGCGGUCGGCACCCUAAGAAGUUCUCGCACAUCGAUACAAACGCAGCCAGGUACGUGAUGGUGUUGGGAGAAAAGUGGUGGAGCUGAGCGCCAAAGAAGUUCAAAAAUCCCUCGAAGAAAGGGUGCGGAGGGAGCGAGAAACCCUGGUCGACGUGAGUGGCAAGUAGAACACACUCACCCGGUCGAGGUUGAGGUUCCGUCUCCCCCUUCGGAAGCCUCACCGCCCCCUUGGCAAUCAGCCCGGACUCCUCCAGUUCGGCCAGAUCCUCCUGCCGGACCGGAGACCGGAUCCAAUCGCCCUGGAUCCAGCCCGGCGGCAGCCCCACGCGCGACGACGACCCGUGGCUCGGCUUCCUGCCCUUCGCCGCCCCCGUUGCCUUCUUAGCACGCUCUAGCGCCGCUGUUUUGUCCUUCACCAUGGCAUGGGAGCAACAGCGUCGAGAGCGGAGGCGCUGGGCGUGGUGGAGAAGCAGAAGAGAAACAAGGAACAACAGGCGUGCACAGUGCAAGCGCCUCGGCCCCGUCGCCUUAUAAAGGGCCACUUCCGAGUGACUGGCCCGCGGGUCCAGGCAAUCCCGUCAAAUCCUGCAAUAGAUGCGCGCAGCUGUAGGAUCAGAAGUAUGUCUAGAGGGGGGUGAUUAGACUACUUGACCAAUUAAACACUUAUCCUUUUUCCCAAUUUUAGUCUUUGGCAGAUUUUAGCUAUCUUAGCACAAGUCAAGCAAUCUUCACACAAUUCAAGCAAGCAUGCAAAGAGUAUAUGAGCAGCGGAAAGUAAAGCAUGCAACUUGUAAGAAUGUAAAGGGAAGGGUUUGGAGAAAUCAAACGCAAUUUGGAGACACGAUGAUUUUUGAGCCGUGGUUCCGAUAGGUGGUGCUAUCGUACAUCCACGUUGAUGGAGACUUCAACCCACGAAGGGUAACGGUUGCGAGAGUACACGGAGGGCUCCACCCAUGAAGUGUCCACGAAUAAGCAACCUUGUCUAUCCCACCAUGGCCGUCGCCCACGAAGGACUUGCCUCACUAGCGGUAGAUCUUCACGAAGUAGGCGAUCUCCUUGCCCUUACAAACUCCUUGGUUCAACUCCAAAAUCUUGUCAGAGGCUCCCAAGUGACACCUAGACAAUCUAGGAGACACCACUCUCUAAGAAGUAACAAUUGGUGUGUUUAUGAUGAACUCCUUGCUCUUGUGCUUCAAAUGAUAGUCUCCCCAACACUCAACUCUCUCUCACAGGAUUUGGAUCUGGUUGAAAGAAGAUUUGAGUGGAAAGCAACUUGGGGAAGGCUAGAGAUCAAGAUUCAUAUGGUAGGAAUGGAAUAUCUUGGCCUCAAGACAUGAGUAGGUAGUUCUCUCUCUCAGAAAUGGUAAGCUGGAAGUGUAUGUUUGUUCUGAUGGCUCUCUCCAUGAAUGAAGAGGAGGUGGAGGGGUAUAUAUAGCCUCCACACAAAAUGUAACUGUUACACACAAUUUAUCAAUCUCGGUGGGACCGAAUCAACAAACUCGGUCGGACCGAUUUAGUAAACCUAGUGACCGUUAGGGUUUUCAGUGGGACCGACAUGCAACUCGGUAGGACCGAUAUGGUUAGGGUUAGGGCAUAACGUAAUCUCGGUGAGACCAAUUACACAAACUCGGGACCGAUUUUGGUAAUAAGCCAACCAGAGAGUUGGUCAGGUAAACUCGGUGGGACCGGUUCGCUCAUUUCGGUUGGAUCGAAAUGUUACGAAAAGGAAACAGAGAGUUUACAUUGCAAUCUCGGUGGGACCGAUAGCUCACUUCGGUUAGACCAAAACGUUAUGAAGGGAAACAGAGAGAUUACAAUUCCAUCUCGGCGAGGCCGAGAUCCCUAUCAGCAAGACCGAUUUGCCUAGGGUUUGUGGCAGUGGCUAUGACAUCUGAACUUGGUGGCGCCGGAUAGAAAGAAUCGGUGGGGCCGAGUUUGACUUUAGGUUUAGGUCAUAUGUGGAUAUGAGAAAGUAGUUGAGGGUUUUUGGAGCAUAUCACUAAGCACUGUGGAGCAAGAAACUCAUUAAGCAACACCUCAUCCCUCCUUGAUAGUAUUGGAUUUUCCUAUAGACUCAAUGUGAUCUUGGAUCACUGAAAUAUAAAAUGUAGAGUCUUGAGCUUUUGAGCUUGAUCCAAUCCUUUUAUCCUUAGUAUUUUGAGGGGUAUCCACUUUCCUCAUCCAUGCCAUGCCAUUCAUUGAGCUUUUCCUGAAAUGUUCAUCUUGGAAUGAUGUUAGCUCAGUGAGCUAUAUGUUGUUAGGAAUUACCAAAACCACCUAGGGAUAGUUGCACUUUCAGCAGCGUACAUGGAGAAAAAGGCGGCACGGUAAUCGAGGCAUCGCUACUUAUCCGAGCCGCUUGUUUUGGCGCUCUCUGGCCCACGCGCUUCUCCAAAAAUUCAUAUCCCGCGAAAUCUGGGAUAUGCCGCAGACAAUCGCGCCCAAGAUCUCAUGCUCUAACACAGCACUCGAUGCUUGAUGUCACCAGUUCAUUCGACGGCUCACUGAAUGGAUUAAGGCGACUGAGUUGACACCGAUCUACCGAUGCAAGCGUUCAGAUUUGCAGAAAGCACUCGCAAAGGCCUGAAGAUCGGAGCAGGCUCAACUUCAGCCUACUUUCCACUCGCACCUUAAUCCAUUCGGGGGCUACUGAUGAGGAUACAAACCUGGUCUAGGGUCAUAGGCCUGACCUAUACGUCCUACCCAAGGUCACUACCCCAGAAGAUAAAAAGACCAAGAGUCAACAGGAGAGCACCGGUCGAGUACGUCGAGUGCAAUCCACUCGACGGUCACCCCCUACCAUCACUUGACUAUAUGGGGAGUCACUCGACUGUAUCGAAGACCAGGAGUCGGAAGAGCACGCAACGGCCAGACGUUCACUCCAUAGUCUUUAUGAGCAUUAAGAAUACUUAAGACUGGCAUUACCAGUAACGCCCCUUACUUUAUGUACAUUAAGCCCCUUGUAAUGGAGGACGGCGGGGGUCCUGGCGCACUCUAUAUAAGCCGCCCCCACCUCUGGGACAAGGGUUCACACCCCCUGUAAUACAACACACAUAAUCCAAUCGACCGCCUCUGGGCACCAAGACGUAGGGCUAUUACUUCCUCCGAGAAGGGCCUGAACUCAUAAACCUCGUGUGUACACAUUCACCAUAGCUAAGAUCUUGCCUCUCCAUACCUACCCCCCUUUCUACUAUCAGUCUUAGCACCACGACACCACCCUCGUGGACAGGGUGUGGGCCCCCUGGCCUUGAUUCUUUCGCCAGUAUUUUUUAUAUUUUCCAAAACUUAUCUUCGUGGAUUUUCAGGUCAUUCCGAGAACUUUUGUUUUCUGCACAAUAAACAACACCAUGGCAGUUCUGCUGAAAAUAGCAUUAGUCCGGGUUAGUUUCAUUCAAGUCAUGCAAGUUAGAGUCCAAAACAAGGGCAAAAGUGUUUGGAAAAGUAGAUACGUUGGAAACGUAUCAACUCCCCCAAGCUUAAACCUUUGCUUGUCCUUAAGCAAUUCAGUCUAUAAACUGAAAGUGGUAAAGAAAAACUUUUACAAACCCUGUUUGCUCUUGUUGUUGUAAAUAUGUAAAGCCAACAUUCAAGUUUUCAGCAAGUAUUAUGAACUAACCAUAACUUAGGUCUCAUAAUUACUCAUAUCAAUGGCAUAAUCAGCUAGCGAGCGAUAAUAAUAAAACUCGGAUGACAACACUUUCUUAAAACAAUCAUAAUAUGAUAUAACAAGAUGGUAUCUUGCUAGCCCUUUCUGAGACCGCAAAACAUAAAUGCAGAGCACCUUUAAAGAUCAAGGACUGACUAAACAUUGUAAUUCAUGUUAAAAGAGAUCCAGUCAAGUCAUACCCAAUAUAAAGGAAUAGUAAUGAAUGCAAAUGACAGUGUGCUCUCGAGCAGGUGCUUUUUAAUAAGAAGGUGAUGACUCAACAUAAAAGUAAAUAGAUAGGCCCUUCCCAGAUGGAAGCAGGGAUUUGUAGAGGUGCCAGAGCUCGAUUUUUAAAAUAGAGAUGAAUAACAUUUUGAGCGGCAUACUUUCACUAUCAAUGCAACAACAAUGAGAUGGCGAUAUCUUCCAUACUACAUCCAUUAUAGGCAGUUCCCAAACAAAAUGGUAAAAUAUUAUACUCCCCCACCACCAACAAGCAUCAAUCCAUGGCUUGCUCAAAACAACAAGUGCCUCCAACUAACAACAGCCCUGUGGGAGUUUUGUUUAAUUAUUUUGAUUUGCUUUGAUCUUUUUGGAUCAUGGGACUGGGCAUCCCGGUUACUGGCCCUUUCUCGUGAAUAAGGAGCGGAGUCCACUCCUCUUGAGAAUAACACACCUAGCAUGGAAGAUACAGGCAGACCUAGUUGAAACAUGAGCUGCUCGAGCAUACAAAACAGAAUUUCAUUUGAAGGUUUGGAGUUUGGCACAUACAAAUUUACUUGGAACGGCAGGUAGAUACCGCAUAUAGGAAGGUAUGGUGGACUCAUAUGGAAUAACUUUGGGGUUUAAGGAGUUUGGAUGCACAAGCAGUAUUCCCGCUUAGUAUAGGUGAAGGCUAGCAAAAGACUGAGAAGCGACCAACUGAGAGAGCGACAACAGUCAUGAACAUGCAUUAAAAUUAAUUCAUACCGAGUACCAGCAUGAGUAGGAUAUAAUCUACCAUGAACAUAAAUAUCAUGAAGGCUAUGUUGAUUUGUUUCAACUACAUGCGUGAACAUGUGCCAAGUCGAGUCACUCAAUUCAUUCAAAGGAGGAUACCAUCCCAUCAUACCACAUCAUAAUCAUCUUAAUAGCAUGUUGGCACGCAAGGUAAACCAUUAUAACUCAUAGCUAAUCAAGCAUGGCACAAGAAACUAUAAUCUCUAAAGGUCAUUGCAAAUAUGUUUACUUCAUAAUAAGCUGAAUCAGGAACGAUGAACUCAUCAUAUUUACAAAAACAAGAGAGGUCGAGUUCAUACCAGCUUUUUUCAUCUCAAUCAAUCCAUCAUAUAUCGUCAUUAUUGCCUUUCACUUGCACGACCGAACGAUGGGUAUAAUAAUAAUAGUGCAUGUGCAUUGGACUAAGCUGGAAUCUGCAAGCAUUCAACUCAAGAGAGAAGACAGAGUAAUAUGGGCUCCAAAUUAAAUCAACAAUCAUGCAUAUUAGAGCCUACUAAACAUUUUCAAUAUGGUCUUCUAUUCUCGACCCCCAAAGGAAAGGAAAGAAAAGAAAACUAUUUACACGGGAAAGCUCCCAACAAGUAAGAAGAAGAACGAGAAAUCUUUUUGGGUUUUCAUUUUAAUUAAUACAAGCAUGGAAUUUAAACUAACUAAUUUUUUUGGUUUUUCUUAAGGUUUAUCAAACACACAAGAAGAAAGCUAGAAAAAGAGAAUAAAACUAACAUGGAUAAUAUAAUGAAAGAGUAUGAGCACCGACAACUAGAAUAGUGUGUGAACAUGAAUGUAAAGUCGGUGAGAAAUACGUACUCCCCCAAGCUUAGGAUUUUGGCCUAAGUUGGUCUAUUGCCAAGGACCAUAGCUACUCUCCCCGGUGUACUGAGGGGUGUAAUCAGGAUACCACUGGUUGGCAUCUCCUCUGGAUCCCACUGGUAGGAUGAUGCACGAUAAGGGUCCGAUGAAGGUUCCGGCUCAGGCUCAGGAGUGGAUGCUUGGCCUCAAUGAGCGUACACCGCUUCCGGCGUGACAAGAUAAUUAACUGCAGUCAAAUCAAACAACAGAGGCGCAGGCAAAAUAAUAGUCUCAUUGUGUUUCUUAUUAAAUCUCAAGUUAUACAGGAGCAUCUUAUCAUCAUUAUAAACAAUAAACUCAUGUGCUACCAUGCUCCUAUAAUCUAAAAUGUAGCGAGGCAAUAUUGUCUCCUCUUUCUCAUGGUGCCUAAUAGGUAUCUCAAAAUGUUUAGCAAGACGUGCAGCAUACAUACCUCCAAAGAUGGGGCCUUUUGUACGGUUUAGGCUUGGCCGUUUAGAAAUUACGGCACCCAUACUAAAACUAUUAUCGCCAAACAAGGCAUGGAGAAGAAUAAUAAUAUCAGGAACAUUGAAGUUUCCACUAUUUCCACGACCAAUUAAGCAUCGACUAGCAAAUAUGGCAAAGUAGCGUAAAACAGGAAAGUGUAUGGUAGAGAUUCUCGCAUCGAAACCCUUCUUUGGAUCCCCUACAGUGAUGGUGUUAACAAAGCCAUCAACAUAUUUACGAUGUGGUUCAUCUAAUUUACCCUCUAAGGGUAUUUACAUACCACGCAAAAAUUACGUAAAGACAUUUCCCUGAAUUCAUCAUAUAAAUGAAAUGAUACUAAAGGCGGUGACUUCUUAGGAUAAUAAUAAAAGUUUUGCACGAAAGUAUUGGUGAGUAAGAGAUACUGAUUGAUCUGGUCGUGGAGGAAAUCAGUGAGGCCUGCAUUCUCGAUCGAAGAAUAAAAGUCUUCAUAAAUUCUGGCUUCUCUCAAGAAACCGUCAUAGGGCCAUUCAAACGGCCGUACUUCCGCUAUGUGAGGAAGAUUAUACUUGGCCUUUUCCUUAUCUUUAGCUUGUUUUUCCUGGGAGCCUUGGCUAGAAGAGCCCCUCAAAAAUCUCCUUAAUAUUUUCUAAAAAUUUCUGAAAUUUUAGUAAUUUCAAAAUAAAAGUGAAUAAAACUAAACAAGAUUGGUAGCAACUACUCCUACAAGUGCCUAGAGCCUAUAUAAUGCAUUAGAAUUGCUUGGGACCUCAUAAAAUUGACAUGCAAGCUCAAGAACAGGGUCACCUAUGCAGCAAAAAUUUGCAAUGAAUAAAGCACUAGAACAAAAACUAAUUGCACCAAUGGAGGAGUCACAUACCAAGCAACAAUCUCCCAAAGCAGUUUUGUGAAUGGAGCUUUGAGCAAGGAGAUCGAAAAUCGUAGCAAAAUGAGCUAGAACUCGUUCUUGAGCUGGAUGGUGAAUUUUUGGGAAGAAGAUGGAGUGUGUGGGUGCAGGAAUAAGUGGAGGGGGGCCACUAUGGGCCCACGAGACUGGGGGCGUGCCCAGGGGGUGUGAGCGCUCCCUCCACCCUCGUGGCCAGGUGCUUGCCCCCCUGCAGUGCUUUCAGUGCCUAAAAUCCUCAAAUAUUCCAUAAAAAAUUAUACUAAAUUUGCAGGGCAUUUGGAGCACUUUUAUUUUCGGGGUAUUUUUAUUGCAUGGAUAAUUCAGAAAACAGACAGAUAAUACUAUUUUUGCUUUAUUUAUUCUAAAUAACAGAAAGUAAAAAGAGGGUACAUAAGGUUGUGCCUUCUAGUUUCAUCCAUCUCAUGAUCAUCAAAAUGAAUCCACUAACAAGGUUGAUCAAGUCUUGUUAACAAGCUCAUUCUGAAUAACACGGAACCGGAGAAAUUUCGAAUAACAAUAAGUUACCUCAACGGGGAUAUGAACAUCCCCAACAAUAAGAAUAUCAUACUUUUUCUUGAUAGUAGGAAGAGGAAAUUCAAAACCUCCAAUAAUGAUAGUUGGACUUUUUCCAAUAGAAUUGAUUUUAUGAACUUGAGGUUGUUUCCUCGGAAAUUGUACCAUAUGCUCAUUACCAUUAACAUGAAAAGUGACAUUGCCUUUGUUGCAAUCAAUAACAGCCCCUGCAGUAUUCAAAAAGGGUCUACCAAGGAUAAUCGACAUACUAUCAUCCUCGGGAAUAUCAAGAAUAACAAAGUCCGUUAAGAUAGUGAAAUUUGCAACCACAAUAGGCACAUCCUCACAAAUACCGACAGGUAUGGCAGUUGAUUUAUCAGCCAUUUGCAAAGAUAUUUCAGUAGGUGUUAACUUAUUCAGUUCAAGUCUACGAUACAAAGAGAGAGGCAUAACACUAACACCAGCUCCAAGAUCACAUAAAGCAGUUUUAACAUAGUUUCUUUUAAUGGAGCAUGGUAUAGUUGGUACCCCUGGAUCUCCAAGUUUCUUUGGUAUUCCACCCUUAAAAGUGUAAUUAGCAAGCAUGGCGGAAAUUUUAGCUUCCGCUAUCUUUAUUUUAUUUGUAAUGAUAUCCUUCAUAUACCUAGCAUAAGGAUUUACUUUAAGCAUAUCAAUUAAGCGCAUAUGUAAGAAAAUAGGUCUAAUCAUUUCAGCAAAGCGCUCAAAAUCCUCAUCAUCCUUUGUCUUGGAUGGUUUGGGAGGAAAGGGCAUGGGUUUCUGAACCCAUGGUUCUCUUUCUCUACCAUGCUUCCUAGCAACAAAAUCUCUUAUCAUAACAUUGAUUCUUUGAUUGUGGGUUAUCAAGAUCAACAGCAGGUUCAAUCUCUACUUCAUUAUUUUUGCUAUGUUGAGCAUCAACAUGAACAUUAUCAUUAACAUUAUCUCUAGGUGCAUGUUCAUCACCUGAUUAUUUUUGAACAUCAGAAACAGAAAUAUCAUUGGGUUCCUUAGGUGUGUCUACCACAGGUUCACUAGAAGCAUGCAAAGUCCUAUCGUUUUUCUUUUUCUUCUUUUUGUAAGAACUAGGUGCCUCUAAAUUAUUACUCUGAGAAUCUUGCUCGAUUCUCUUAGGGUGGCCUUCAGGAUACAAAGGCUCCUGAGUCAUUAUACCAGUAUAGUAGCCACUCUAACAGCAAAGUCAUAUUUAUUAUUUAAUUCAACAAGCAAAUCACUUUAAGCUUUAAGUACUUGCUCAACUUGAGUGGUAACCAUAGAAGCAUAUUUGCUAAUGAGUUUAAGUUCACCUUUAACUCUAGCCAUAUAAUCACUCAAGCGUCCUAUCUCGAAAGCAUUAUUCUUUAAUUCUCUACCAACAUAAGCAUUAAAACUUUCUUGUCUAGACAUAAAGUCAUCAAAUUCAUCUAAGCAUGGGCUAUGAAAUUUCGUAGAGGGGAUUUCAACUUUAUCAUAUCUAUAGAGAGAAUUUACCUUUACUACCAGUGUCGGGUUAUCAAGACAAUGUGUUUCCUCAACAGGCGGUAUAUUAAGACCAUGUAUUUCUUAAAUAGGAGGUAAAUUCUUAACAUCUUCAGCUUUAAUACCUUUUUAUUUCAUUGAUUUCUUUGCCUCUUGCAUAUCUUCAGGACUGAGAAAUAGAUCACUUCUCUUCUUAGGAGUGGGUUUAGGAAUAGGCUCAGGAGUUGGCUCAAUUGGUUCAGGAAUUUCCUCAGGAAUUGGCUCAGGAGGAGUCCAAUUAUUUUCAUUAGUCAACAUAUUAUUCAAUAAUAAUUCAGCUUGGUCAAUUGUUCUUUCCCUGAAAACACAACCAGCACAACUAUCGAAGUAGUCCUUGGAAGCAUCGGUUGGUCCAUUAUAAAAGAUAUCAAGUAUUUCAUUUUUCUUAAGAGGAUGAUCAGGCAAAGCAUUGAGUAAUCGGAGAAGCCUCCCCCAAGCUUGUGGGAGACUCUCUUCUUUGAUUUGCACAAAAUUAUAUAUUUCUUGCAAGGCAGCUUGUUUCUUAUGAGCAGGGAAAUAUUUAGCAGAGAAGUAAUAAAUCAUAUCAUGGGGACUGCACACGCAACCAGGAUCAAGAUAAUUAAACCAAGUUUUAGCAUCACCCUUUAAUGAGAAUGGAAAUAUCUUAAGGAUAUAAUAAUAGCAAGACUUCUCACCAUUAGUAAACAGGGUGGCUAUAUAAUUUAACUUGAUAAUAUGUGCCACAACAGUUUCAGAUUCAAGGCCAUGAAAAGGAUUAGAUUCAGCCAAAGUAAUAAUCUCAGGAUCAACAGAGAAUUCAUAAUCCUUAUCAGUAACACAGAUAGGUGAAGUAGCAAAAGCAGGGUCAGGUUUCAUUCUAGCAUUAAGAGAUUGAUGCUUCCAUUUAGCUAACAACUUCUUAAGAUCAUAUCUAUCUUUGCAAGCAAAAAUAGCUAUAGCAGCUUCCUCAUUCAUAACAUAACCCUCAGGAACAACUGGUAAUUCAUAAUAAGGAGGGGAUUUCAUCAUCACUAUCAUCAAUAAUAGCAUCUUCAAUAAUUUCAUUCUCUCUAACCCUAGCAAGUUGUUCAUCAAGAAAUUCACCUAAUGGCAAAGUAGUGUCACGCACAGAAGUAGUUUCAUUAUAAGUAUCAUGCAUAGCAGAAGUGGCAUCAUCAAUAACAUGCGACAUAUCAGAAUUCAUAGCAGUAGCAGGUUUAGGUGUAGCAAGCUUACUAAUAACGGAAGGAGAAUCUAGUGUAGAGCUAGAAGGCAGUUCCUUACCUCCCCUCGUAGUUGAGGGCAAGAUCUUGGUUCUUUCGUAUUUCAAGUUCCUCAUAGUGAUCAACAGAUAUAAAUCCCAGGUGACUCAAAGAAUAGAGAUAUAUUCCCCGGCAACGGCGCCAGAAAUUAGUCUUAAUAACCCACAAGUGUAGGGGAUCGCAACAACUUUCGAGGGUAGAGUAUUCAACCCAAAUUUAUUGAUUCGACACAACGGGAGCCAAAGAAUAUUCUUAAGUAUUAGCAGUUGAGUUGUCAAUUGAACCACACCUGGAUAACUUAGUAUCUGCAGCAAAGUAUUUAGUGGCAAAGUAGUAUGAUAGUAAUUGUAACAGUGGCAAAAGUAAAGAUAAUAGUUUUGUGGUAACUGUAACAGUAGCAACGGAAAAGUAAAUAAGCGAAACACAAGAUGUGAAAAGCUCGUAGGCAUUGGAUCAGUGAUGGAUAAUUAUGUCGGAUGCGAUUCCUCAUGUAAUAGCUAUAACCUAGGGUGACACAGAACUAGCUCCAGUUCAUCAAUAUAAUGUAGGCAUGUAUUCCGAAUAUAGUCAUACGUGCUUAUGGAAAAGAACUUGCAUGACAUCUUUUGUCCUACCCUCCCGUGGCAGCGGGGUCCUAGUGGAAACUAAGGGAUAUUAAGGCCUCCUUUUAAUAGAGUACCAGACCAAAGCAUUAACACAUAGUGAUAACAUGAACUCCUCAAACUAUGGUCAUCACCGAGAAGUAUCCCGAUUAUUGUCACUUCGGGGUUGUCGGAUCAUAACACAUAAUAGGUGACUAUAGACUUGCAAGAUAGGAUCAAGAACACACAUAUAUUCAUGAAAACAUAAUAGGUUCAGAUCUGAAAUCAUGGCACUCAGUCCCUAGUGACAAGCAUUAAGCAUAGCAAAGUCAUAGCAACAUCAAUCUCAGAACAUAGUGGAUACUAGGGAUCAUACCCUAACAAAACUAACUUGAUUACAUGGUAAAUCUCAUCCAACCCAUCACCAUCCAGCAAGCCUACAAUGGAAUUACUCAAGCACGGUGGUAAGCAUCAUGAAAUUGGUGAUGGAGGAUGGUUGAUGCUAACGACAGCGACGAAUCCCCCUCUCCGGAGCACCGAACAGACUCCAGAUCAGCCCUCCCGAGAGAGAUUAGGGCUUGGCGGCGGCUCUGUAUCGUAAAAUGCGAUGAAACUUUCUCUCCGUUUUUUCUCCGCGAAACGGAAUAUAUGGAGUUGGAGUUGAGGUCGGUGGAGCCUCAGGGGGCCCAUGGGACAGGGGGGCGCCUCGUGGACAGGGUGUGGGCCCCCUGGCCUUGAUUCUUUCGCUAGUAUUUUUUAUAUUUUCCAAAACUUAUCUCCGUGGAUUUUCAGGUCAUUCCGAUAAACAACACCAUGGCAGUUAUGCUAAAAACAACGUCAGUCCAGGUUAGUUUCAUUCAAAUCAUGCAAGUUAGAGUCCAAAACAAGGGCAAAAGUGUUUAGAAAAGUAGAUACGUUGGAGACGUAUCAACAACGAGGCCAUCCUUGCUCGAAGGUGGAGGGGUGCCAUUUGGCCCUCUCUAAUCGCCUAUAAGAGGGCGAAGGGGUUGAACCCCUAAUCCACCGAUGUCCUCUUUGAAAAGAGCUUGAUGUCUACUACGCAACUUUAUUCUUGUAGACAUGUGUUGGGCCUCCAAGCGAAGUGUUUUGUAGGACAGUAGCAAUUUUCCCUCAAGUGGAUGACCUAAGUUUAAUCAAUCCAUGGGAGGCAUAGGAUGGAGAUGGUCUCUCACAAACAACCCUGUAAACAAAUAAGAAAAAGCCUCUUGUGUCCCCAACACACCCAAUACAAAUGGAAAAUUUUAUAGGUGCACUAGUUCGGCGAAGAGAUGGUGAUAAAAGUAUAAUAUGGAUGGUAGAAAUAUAUUUUAUAAUCUGAAAAAAUAAAAACAACAAGGUAGCAAUUGAUAAAAGUGAGCACAAACGGUAUUGCAAUGCUUGGAAACAAGGCCUAGGGUUCGUACUUCCGCUAGGGCAAUCUCUCAAUAGUGCUACUAUAAUUGGAUCAUAUAACCAUCCCUAAAAGUGCGAUAAAGAAUCACUCCAAAGUACAUAUCUAGCGGAGAACAUAAGAAGAAAUUGUUUGUAGGGUACAAAACCAGCUCAAAGCUAUUCUUUUAGAUCGUUCUAUCCAAGAGUUCAUACUAAAAUAACACCAAAUAAUUUUAGAUUCAUAAUACUCAAUCCAACACAAAGAACCUCAAAGAGUGCCUCAAGAUUUCUAGCGGAGACAAGAACGUGCAUCAACCCCUAUGCAUAGAUUACCCAAAUGUCACCUUGGGAAUCCGCGAGUUGAGCGCCAAAACAUACAUCAAGUGAAUCAAUAUGAUACCAUAUUGUCACCACGAGUAUUCAUUUGCAAGACAUAUAUCAAGUGCUCUCAAAUCCAUAAAAGUAUUCAACCCGAUUAAACGAAAUCUCAAAGGGAAAACUCAAUUCAUCACAAGAUAGAGAGGGGGAAACACCAUAUGAUCCGACUAUAUUAACAGAGCUCGCGAUACAUCAAGAUCCUGACAUCUCAAGAACACGAGAGAGAGAGAGAUAGAGAUUAAAAACAUAGCUACUGGUACAAACCCUCAGCCCCGAGGGUGGACUACUCCCUCCUCAUCAUGGUGGCCGCCGGGAUGAUGAAGAUGGCCACUGGUGAUGAUUUCCCCCUCUUGUGGACUGCCGGAACGGGGUCUAGAUUGGUUUUUGGUGGCUACAGAGGCUUGCAGUGGCGGAACUUCUUAUCUAGGGUUACCUCGGGUUUUUUUGGAAUAUUUGGUGAUUUAUAAGGCAAAGAGGGGGUGCGGGAGGUCACCAAGGUGGGCACAACCCUCGGGGCAACCCCCUGGCGCGUGGCCACUAGAUGUCUUCUGGUCCUUAAAAAUCCACAAAAAAAUUCAUGGUGUUUGGACUCCAUUUGAUAUUGAUUUCCCAGGAUGUAAAAAAACAAGCAAAAAAUAGCAACUAGCACUGGGCACUGGGUCAAUAGGUUAGUCCCAAAAAUCAUAUAAAGUUGCUAUAAAAUGAUUGUAAAACAUCCAAGAAUGAUAAUAUAACAGUAUGAAUACUUCAUAAAUUAUAGAUACUUUGGAGACGUAUCAGCGUCCCAAGCUUAAUUCCUACUCGUCCUCAAGUAGGUAAAUGAUAAAAGAAAUGAUUUAUGAAGUGUGAAUGCUAGCAGAGUACAUAAGUUUGAUCAAUGAUAAUUUCAGUCACUUUUCCUAGCGUCAUAAUAGCAAUUAUUUCUCAUAAAACUCAUCAUGUUAAACUAGCAACCAAUUCACAUGUUAAGGUUCAGACAAUGAAUGCUCUUGAAACUCAACGACCUAUAUUCUUAGUCACCAAACAAUUGCAAUUCAACGUAUUCAACAGAAUCUAAGUAAGAGCUCCACAUACUCAACCAUCAUAUAGUCUUUUAUGAUUGCUAACACUCACCGCAUACACAUGAGCAAAAAGUUUCAACUAGACACAUAGAAAGAUAGGGGCUCAUAGUUUCGCCUCCCAACAUAUUCACCUCAAGGGUGAUGUCAACAAUAAUAACUCAUGCUACCCAUAUUCAACUGGACAUAUGUGCCUAGAUCUUUCCUCGCCACAUGAUGCUUGCCAAAGGAGAAAAACAAAAAGGAGAGACAAAACUUUGACUCUUGCAUAAAAGUAAAUACAUAAAGUAAAUGGUAGGCCCUUCCUAGAGCGAAGCAGAGGUUGCCAUGCAGUUUUUGUUUGUAUGCUCAACCCCUUAAUGCAAAAGAAUGGCAUGUUAUAUUGCCCCUUAUGAUAGCAACCUUUAUUAUGUAGUCUGUCGCUUUUAUUCUUUGCCAUCACAAGUUCAUACAACGCUCAAUUUUCUCUUACACUAAAUGAUCUAACACUUUUUAGAAGCUAUUUUUAUUGCCUUAUUGCACCGAUGACAACUUACUUGAAGGCUCUUACUCAAUCCUUAGGUAGGUAUGGUGGACUCUUGAAAAUAAGAUUUGGGUUUAAAGGUUUUUGGAUGAACAAGUGGUAUCGCUACUUGGUGCGGAAUUUUUGGAUAGCAAAGAUGGGGGGAAAGCACCACAUGUUGAAGGAUCUAUCACAAUAUAACUUCUAUGGGAAUUUGAACAAACAUAAUUUAUUAUGUUGUCUUCGUUGUCCAAAGUCAACAAUUUUGGCCUAUAAUAUUUUGAUGGGGGCUCACAAUCACAAAAGAUAUCCAAGAGAGUGUAUUUUCAUGUGAAAGUUCUCUUCCUUCUACUAAUCAUUCAUCAAUUGCUUGUAUGACCAAUAUUGUGAUUGCCAAGACUCAAAAGAUUUCACUUUCUAAACCCAAUGUGAAGCUACCACUAGGCAUGAUAUGAACAUAUAAUUACAACUUCAUCACAUUCAAUUUAUUCAACAAUUUACUCAUAGGAUAUAAGUGAAGCACAAGAGUAGAUGACAAACUACUCCAAAAGUAUAUAAGUGAAGAUCAAGCGAGUAGAUAAGUGAAUAAGUAGCUAAUUGUGGACUCCCUUUUAUUUACAAACGGUCAGAUCUAAGUAUCUUAUUAAAAAAGCAAGCAAAACAAUAUAAAAUGACAUUCUAAGAAUAGCACACAUCCUGUGAAGAAGCAAAAACUUAGGAUCAACUGAUAAUUGUUGAUGAAGAAAGGUGGGAUGCCUACCAGGGCAACCCCAAGCUUAGAUGCUUGUGACUUCUUGAAAUAUUAUCUUGGGAUUCCUUGGGCAUCCCCAAGCUUGAGCUUUUAUGUCUCCUUAAUUCCUUUUAUAUCACGGUUUCCCUAAAUCUUAAAAACUUCAUCCACACAAAACUCAACAAGAACUCGUGAGAUAAGUUAGUAUAAACCAAUGCAAAAACCUUAUCAUUCUCUAUUAAUUAUUGCAAAUCACUAAAAUUAUUAUUCAACAUUGCAUACUAAAUCCCUCUGCAUAUUAAAUACUCCUAUCCUCAAAUAGAAUCAUUAAACAAGCAAACAUAUGCAAAUAAUGGAAACAUGACAGCAAUCUGCCAAAACAGUACAUCUGUAAAGAGUGCAGAAGGAUCAAUACUUAUUCAACUUAAAAAAAUCUGAAAAUUUAACACACUGUAGAAAAUUUAUCAGAGCUUAUUGUGCAAAAGUUUCAACAUUUUAUCACAUUCUGACUUUUCCCGGGAAUUUUUGCAACAGCGACGAACUUUCUGUUUUGGAACAGGAACUCAUAUACUUGCAAAAUAAGCAUGGUAAAGGCUAUCCUUGCCACUUUUAUUGAAAUAAAAGAUACAAAACAUUAUUCUAAAUAGAAAUAAAAUCUUAGAAAAAUAAAAUUACGCUCCUAGCAAAACACAUAUCAUGUGAUGGAUGAAAAUAUAGCCUCAAGUAAGGUUACCGAUAAUGUUUGAGACGAAAGACGAGAUGCCUUCCGGGGCAUCCCCAAGCUUAGUUGCUUGGAUCUUCCUUGAAUAUUACCUUAGGGUGCCUUGGGCAUACCCAAGCUUAGGUUCUUGUCACUCCUUAUUUUCCUCAUAUUGACAUCUCACCCAAAACUUGAAAACUUCAAUCACACAAACUUAACGGAACUUCGUGAGAUAGGUUAGUAUGAUAAAGAGCAAACCAUUUCACUUUAGUAUUGUGAAAGACAAUAUUCAUAAUUGUUUCCACACAAUGCCUACUGUAGCAUAUCAUUUCCACAAUUAAUAUUGAGAAAUAUAAGCCAUAGAAACUAGGAAACAAGCAAACUAUGCAUUGAAAACAGAAUCUGUCAAAAACAGAACAAUCUGUAGUAAUUUGUACUCCAACCAUACUUCUUAUACUCCAAAACUUCUGACAAAUUAGGACAACAUAGAGAAUUUGUAUAUCUAUCACCUGUAAAAGUUUCAGAUCAAAAUCACGUUCCAGUGAAUUUUAAAAAUUCCUGGACAUAGUGCAAAAGUUUCUGUUUUUGCACAGAUUCAAGUUAACUAUCAUCCACACUAUCCCAAAGGCUUUACUUGGUACUUUAUUGAAACAAAAGCAAUAAAACAUGAUUACUAAAGUACCACAAUUAUGUUAACACAUAAAAAUAGUUGGGUUAAAUGUUGGGUUGUUUCCCAACAAUAGCUUUUCUUUAAAGCCUUUUAGCUACGCAUGAAGAUUUCAAUGAUGCUCACAUAAAAGAUAUGAAUUGAAACAUAAAGAGAGCUUCAUGAAUCAUAAUUUCCUCUCUCAUAAUAAUUUUAAGUAGCAUCAUGAAUAGAUUUAUCAAUAUAACCAUCACAUAAAGCGUAGAAAUUUUAAUGAUCCAUAAGCAUAGAAAUUUUAUUACUCUCCACAUAAGAAAAUUUCUUCUCAUUCACAAUGGUGGGAGUAUCAUAUGAAACUCGAAUCCUAUAAAUUGUUUCCACAUUAAAAGAGUAAUGUUUAGAAAAAGGGUAAUUAUAACUAUGACAAGUUCUAUAGAUAUAAUCAUCACUACUUUUUAUAACAUAGGUAUCAUCACAAUAAUCAUCAUAAGUAGCAACUUUGUUCUUAUCAUAGAUAGGAUGCAUGCAAUCAUCAUAAAAAUUUGAUCAUUCAAACUAGGGGGGCUAAAAAGAUCAUCUUCAUUAAGCAUAUCAUCUCCAAGCUUGGGACUAACAUUAAUUGCAGCAAAUAAAUUCGCAAACAUGUCAUUCUCAUCAAACAUAGCAUAGCCAAGCUUGUGACUUGGCAUAUCAUAAGCAUAAUCACCGAGGGAGUCCUGGAUUAGGGGGUAUCCGGACAGCCGGACUAUAUACUUUGGCCGGACUAUUGGACUAUGAACAUACAAGAUUGAAGACUUCGUCCCGUGUCCGGAUGGGACUCUCCUUUGCGUGGAAGGCAAGCUUGGCGAUUUGGAUAUUAGAUCUCCUCCUCUUGUAACCGACUCUGUGAAACCCUAACCUCCUCCGGUGUCUAUAUAAACCGGAGGGUUUAGUCCGUAGGACAACAACAAUCAUAAUCAUAGGCUAUCUCCGAGGGUUUAGCCUCUAUGAUCUCGUGGUAGAUCAACUGUUGUAAUACUCAUAUCAUCAAGAUCAAUCAAGCAGGAAGUAGGGUAUUACCUCCAUCGAGAGGGCCCGAACCUGGGCAAAACAUCGUGUCCCCUACGUCCUGUUACCAUUAGACUUAGACGCACAGUUCGGGACCCCCUACCCGAGAUCUGCCGGUUUUGACACCGACAUUGGUGCUUUCAUUGAGAGUUCCACUAUGCUGUCGAUGUAAGGCUUGAUGGCCCCUUUGAUCAUCUUCGAUGAUGCGGUCCAGGGGGAGGUUUUCCUUCCUGGACAGAUCUUCAUAUUCGGCGGCUUCGUACUGCGGGCCAACUCUCUUGGCCAUUUGGAGCAGAUCGAUAGCUACGCCCCUGGCCAUCAGGUCAGGUUUGGAAGCUUAUACUACACUGCCGACAUCUGCGGAGACUUGAUCUUCAACGGGUUCGAGCCCAUGACAGGUGCGCCGAACAGUCACGACGGACAUGACUUUGAUCCACCGUCGGACGGUAUUCGGGAGAUCGCACCCGCGUUGGCGCCGGGAAUCAAUCUGGAGCAGAUCGUGCCAUCCGAGGACGGGUGGAUGGACCCCACCAUGGAGGCCGCACACUCAUCGGCGUUGGAGCCGAAUGCUGCUCCCACCUCCUGUGAGAGUGGUGUCAUCAGACCCCCGGACUCUUCCCCGGUUGCAGGAUCCAGCCUGAGCCGCAUACUCGACCGCCCAUGUCAAAUUCAUGGGACCCCAGGAACAGCAUCCAAUCAUAACAAUAGAGAAUGUUGGGUCUUUAAAUAGGUCGACAGGUCGGUGCCAGAAACGAUAAGAAGGGGUCUCAGAGCAAGAAGCCCAGAUCAUCAAACAACACAGGGGAAAAGAAAUUUCUUCCGCCAACCAAAACCAUGAACACAACAAGCACCACCCACAUAGGAGCGGACAUGCACUAUUCGGGACGACAACUCAACAAAGCAAGUUGCCCUGUCAUAUAAAAAUACGACCGAUCAUCUUCGAUCGACUAGACUGUCUGGCCAAUAUCAACCAGAGGUAUUCCCCUAUUGGCGGUGACAACAGUCCAAACUGGCUGCACCAGGACACGGCGCGCCCGAUAGGGAUUGAUCACUCGAGGACCCACUAAAAAACUCAUUUCAGUGUGUCAUAACCAGGCGCGAAGGUCAUUUAGGCCCCGCCUCUCUGGAGAUGGUCUUCGGAUCACCACAAAGUCGCCAUACCGAAGAAUCAACCUUCAACAUUACACCUCUAGGCAGUAGCUAUUCAAGCACUGCCAGGAUAAACUGCGACUCAACGCAUUAUCACACAAUGCCCACGACAAUCUUAAAAUACCAGACCCACAUAAUGUAGUCACAAUUACGGGCAAGACCGAGCUUCACCUCGGCACCGAAGAGUAUUCGGCCACUUUAGCAAUAGAAGCAGCGAGCCGCGGCUUUUUCAAUCGAACCUUGAUUCGACAGCCAAACUCCCGGACACCGAUAAAGGAGUCCGAACUGCUUCACGAUACCUCAGCCUGAUCAAGGCUCAAACAAACCCUCUAACAUAAGCUGGGCGGGCCACAUUCCACUGCUCAGCCGCUGCGUGUCACACACACACACCUUUAGCAUUUUUUGCAGGUUUGCCUUUGCGCAUAACUGGACCGGCGACAUGGAAUCAGCUCGAACGGACAAAGGGGGAAUCUUCACCCCACCGGAAUACAAUUCGGAUACUACUUCAGACCUGUGCACAGCUCCCUACCGCCCGGUCCCAACAGGUUCUGUCAUCAUGCCUCUCUUUUAUAACAUGCACCGUACUCAUAGCCGUAUUACUUGAAUACAACAUGUAGAGUCAUUUGACGCUUAUCUGCUAUCAUUUCUCACUGACAUUUUGUCAUAACGGCAUCCGAACAUCGUGUUAUGCGUUAAAACGCCAGGGGCCUCAUUGCACCCGCACUAUGGCAACAAAGUCCGACCACCUUCUCGGUCGUUCGGCACCCCGAACUUGUAGCAUUAUAUGCAUCGGCUCUGAAUCAUGUCUUGGGUCAUUAGUUCGGUUUGCCCGGCUCCCAUGUUUUGGUACCUUACGUUCUGGAAUAUCGGCUAAGGUAGCGCUGGGAGAACUGCUGCGAUUGUGUCCUGGUUCUUCCGGAAAAACACCUUAGUAGAGAAAGCCGAAAACUGACUGUCAUGAUAAGGCGAGAGCUGGUCAGCUGUUCGAGAGGUUGUAAAAUCUUUAAGGAUUUAUUCUGCAUAAUGCCAUAAGAAAAUGCAGAGUGCAAAGGAUCGGUCAACCAAUCAGGCGUUAUUAGAGCCCCUCGUGCGGUCUUCCGAACACCAAGGGUUGCGCCUCCCAUACUCGAAUUCCUAUGGCUAAGUGAGAGUAAUAAAGCCCUAUAGUCUGAUUGCGUGGUUCGCUGUGCUGAACACCUCCUUUAUGGACCCAAGAAUGGGGUAAAGAGUGUUUAGGUGUAUCCCGAACACCCCUGUAGUUCCUACGUGGGGGCAGAAGCCGACGACUGGCCAACUCUCAAGACUAAUAUAUAAAAUGGCCGUGCAGGAAUAAAAUUUUCACAAAACAGGCAAAUACAUAAAAGUGACUUUGUCCCGCCUUACAAAGGACAGCAUGACUGCCUUUAGGGAAAAAUAAUGUCUUUCGCACAUUGCUCUGCCACAAGGCGGGCCCCUUUCAGGACACCAUCAUAAUAUAAUUUGGGCUUGCGGUGCUCCUUCCCCUCCGGCGGCCCCUCGGUCAUCAGCUUCUCAGCAUCCAGCUUCCCCCAGUGCACUUUCGCACAGGCAAAUGCCAUUUGUGCACCUUCGAUACAAUUCGACUGCUUAAUGACGUCCAGCCGAGGGCAGGCACUCACAAAUCGCUUCACAAGCCCAAAGAAACUGCUUGGAAUGGGCUCGACGGGACAUAGCCGGAUAACCAAAUCCUUCAUGGCUAGUUCGGCCGCCUGGUGCAGUUCGAUCAGCUGCUUCAGCUGGUCGACAAACGGCACCGGAUAAUUCGACGCCAAAUACUGCGACCAAAAGAGCUUCUCCGCAGUCUCCUUGUCCUCAGCUCGGCAGAAUUGGGCAGCAUCAAAUAUGAUGCACGGCAGAUCCGCAAACGCCCCUGGAGAAAUCGGGAUUCAAUGGGUCACCCUGAAUCUUCCCUGCUAUCGCAUAUCAAUCACUUUGAAUAAGAAAAAGCCUUACCAGCCGGAAUUUUCUGCACCUCCUGAAUAUCCUUCAGAGCAGCCUGGGCUUCCUCCCGAGCAUCAUUUGCGGCUUGGAGAGCUUGGACGAGUUCGGAUUCUUUCAAUGAUAGACUCUGCUCCAAAGUCUUGCUUUUCUUCACGGCCUCUGAAGCUCUCGUUCAGCUUCAAUGACCUUGGCCUCGUGCUUCUCGCGGAGAACCUGCUCCGCGGCCUCCUUCUUUUCGGCCAAGGCAACAACCUUCUUGAGCGCCUCAAUUUCGGCAUUUGCUCCUAGAGUGCACGAUAUAAAUGCUUUAAUUAGACACAACUACUUACUUGUGCUAAAACUUACUAAAUUUUCAACAUACCUUGUUUAUCCUCCAACUUCUUCUUUACUCGACCGAGUUCCUCUUCGGUCCGCCCCAGACUCUGCUUAAGUCCGGACACUUCCGCAGUAUGAGAGGAGGCAGUUGCAGAAGACGCCUGAUUCAUAAAGAAAGAGAUAUAUGUCAUUAGCUGGGUCUCCUGCGGAUGGAAAUUUGAUCCCUUGUUCGGCUCCUAUCCUCACUGAACAGUGUAUCAGGGGCUACUAUCUAUACUAUGAUAGUCUUCCAAAAACUCCUAAAACAUACCUCCAAGCCUUUUAUAAGGCUAAUGCAGGAUUCAUUCACUCCGCUCUCAGCGGCCUGAAUCUUUUCUAUCACCGCGCCCAUAAGGGUGCGAUGUUCAUCGAUGAUGGAAGCGCUCUCCAGCGCUGUCGAUAAGCCGCCCAGCACCUUUGGUCGGACAGAGGUCACAGGUGAAGCAGGAUCGCCCCCUCCAGUCAAGAUGGGCCGCCUGCCUGAUCCCGGAACCUCAAGGGUCUCUAGGACUGUGUCCGGCCGUGGGCCGAAUCCAAGAUCGCCCCUGCCGCCGACGUCCAUGGGAACCGCCGCUCCCGCGUGUCCGUCCUCCGAGGUACGCCUCACCUGGUCCAGGUCCUUUUGGGACGACACCUUGAUGUCACAACCAGGCUGUGGAGAAGGGGCCCUUGGAGGCGUUUCGCUCUCCAAGGCAUGGGAACUCAAUGAAUCCUCCGAUGAGGACUGUUUGGCAGGAGAUCUUCCCGGACUGUAAAAAGUACGAUGAAAAUCAAAAUAUUACACUUUAGUAAUCCUGGAUGCAUGGACAUGUUCGGAUUUCAUGCACUUACAAAUUUACCAGGGGCUGGGAUCCCACUCCGGGCUGCUGUUGGUAGCCGUGGUGGACGCCUCGGGGAUGAGUGUUCUUCCCCUCUUAGGCGAAUCUGCCUCUAACGAUGAGCAGGCUGUCCUUUUCUUCCUUCCCCCCGUAGGGGACUCGUCCUCUUCCACCUCCUCGUACUCUUCGGAGGAGGGAUGGUCACUGGAGUCUUCAGACUUCAUGUCUGAGGCACCAUGACGACGGAGGCCACUCCUUGUCUCCUUGGCCUCUUUGUUGGCCUCUUUCUUCGGCGCCUCGUAAGGCGCUGGGACUAGCAUCUUAGUUAGAAAUGGUCCUGCCGGUUCUUCUGGCAGUGGGCCGGACAAUGAAUCUGCCCCGCCUUCUUCGUCCAUACCUGAGGUAAUCAUGGAAAAGCACAUUAAAAACAUCUCCCUCGGGACAUACCAAUGAAACAUGUGGAUGGCCAAGACAUAAUGAUGACUUACCGGACUUGCGGGGUGGGACAGUUGGUACCCGCGGUCCGCGGCGGAGUCCGACCACGUUUUGCCGGACAUAAAAAGCACCUUCCAGAUGUCCUUGUGCGAGGAGCCUAAAAGCUCCCGCAGGAUCUGGUGCUCGACUGGGUCAUACUCCCACAAAUUACAGCUUCUGUGCUGACAAGGAAGGACCAAGCAGACCAGCAUCACCUGGACUACGUCAACAAGCUUGAUGGCCCUGUCUUCCAUAGCUUUGACGCACGCCUGGAUUACCGACAGUUCGUUGGACGACGACCAGUUCACGCCCUUAUUGGGCGAGGACGUAAGCCGCAAGGGGGCUCCAGAUCGAAACUCAGGAGCGGCGGCCCAUAUUUUGCCGCACGGCUCAGUGAUGUAGAACCACUACUGCUGCCACUCCUUGACGGAAUCAUUGAAAGUACCUGUCGACCAUGUGACCUUGGGCAUUCUGCUCACCAUGGCGCCUCCGCACUCGGCAUGCUCGCCGUUCACCACCUUGGGCUUCACAUUGAAGAUCUUCAGCCAUAGUCCAAAGUGUGGCGAGAUACGGAGAAAGGCCUCGCACACGACGAUAAACGUUGAAAUGUUGAGGAAAGAAUUGGGGGAUAGAUCAGGAAAAUUGAUCCCGUAGUAAUACAUGAUGCCACAAACGAAUGGGUGAAGGGGAAACCCAAGCCCGCGGACGAAAUGGGGGAGGAAAACGACCCUCUCAUGGGGCUCCGCAGUCGGCACAAUCUGUCCCGCCGUCGGAAGACGGUGGCCGAUUUUCUUGGCCAAAUACCCGGCCGCCCGCAGUUUUUUAAUAUCCUUCUCCUGGAUGGAGGAGGCCAUCCAUUUGCCUCCUGCUCCGGAUCCGGACAUUUUCGGAUAACCUUUGUUGGUGGGAAAGAUGAAUGCCUGGAUGCUAGGGCUUGGGCGAAAGGAAAGGGAUGAGCAGAAGGAGAAGAAGGCGUGGGUAGAAAGGAAGAAGCCUUUCCCCUUUAUAGAGGCGAUGAAACUUUGUGCCUCCCCACUUGCCUAAUGAAAUCUUCUUGUUCCCCACUCACCGUGAUUGGUGUUAUGGUUGGGUUACCCACGCCCGUAUUGAAGAGAAUACCACGAUAAAGGGGCCACGAUCUCUGCUUCAACAAGACGUGCCAAGGAAACCGCCGCGCAAUAUGCGAGGUAGCUGGUUAGGAGAAAACGGUUCGAAUAAUAACCGGACCAUGGCAUGCUAUCACGCUGUGAAGAGUUGUCAGCAGAUUAGAUUUGUGAAAUAUUGUUCUCUCUAUGGUGGUAUGUGGAAUUUUGUCUUGCAGAGCUGGACACAAUUAAAGUGUUCGAAGAUUACUUUGGAGUAUUCGGACAUGGAACCCACCUUGCAAUACCAAAUACAAUCUGCGUGCCAGACUCAUCGUCAUUGAAGCCUGGUUCAGGUGCUACUAAGGGAGUCCUGGAUAAGGGGGUAUCCGGACAGCCGGACUAUAUACUUUGGCCGAACUAUUGGACUAUGAAGAUACAAGAUUAAAGACUCCGUCCCGUGUCCGGAUGGAACUCUCCUUUGCAUGGAAGGAAAGCUUGGCGAUUCGGAUGAUAGAUCUCCUUCUCUGUAACUGACUCUGUGUAACCCUAGCCCCCUCCGGUGUCUAUAUAAACCGGAGGGUUUUAGUCCGUAGAACAAGACAAUCAUAAUCAUAGGCUAGCUCCUAGGGUUUAGCCUCUACGAUCUCGUGGUAGAUCAACUCUUGUAAUACUCAUAUCAUCAAGAUCAAUCAAGCAAGAAGUAGGGUAUUACCUCCAUCGAGAGGGCCUGAACCUGGGUAAACAUCGUGUCCCCAGUCUCCUGUUACCAUUAGCCUUAGACGCACAGUUCGGGACCCCCUACCCAAUAUCCGCCGGUUUUGACACCGACAGCCAUCCUCUCACUCAAUGGCAACGAGCGCGUUGGAGCACUGAAUUGCGACCAGAACAGCCUUUCUAUUUCAUUAUCUUUAUGAUCCUUGAAUAAGUUGGUCGCAUCAGCCGUACUUUUUGCCAGAUCCGCAUACGCGUUUGCAGCGCUCCAAAGCCGAUCCAGAGGAGCGUACUUCAGAUCCAAGAACUUCAUCCGCAACAAAUAGGGGCUUCCAGCCGCGAUUUCUCCACCCUAUCGAAGCUCCUCCCACGUGUCUCUAAUCUCAGAACGCGUCUCCUUGGCCGCAUCAAGGUCCUUCUUCUGGUCAGCCGAUUUUGCCUGAUUCUCCUAUUCAAGGAGCUCAUACCGGCCGGCAAUGUUCUUCAGCUCCAAAGCCAUCUCGGCUAUCUUAUCUUCGCUUUGGCGAUGAGCAGCCUGUUCGGCUCUCAAAUCUUCAGCCGCCUUUAAGGCAGCCGCAUUACUAUCCCGGGCUUGUUCCUUGGCCAGGGCAAGUUCCGCCCUCAGGGCCUCCACGGUAGCAGCUCCGCCUGCAGCCAAAAGCAUAUUAACAAUAUGCUCCUCCUCUUAAUAUUCCCUAAAAUAAAUAAGGAAAAAAGAACACAUAUUCUGUGACUCGUCAAGCCGCUCAUUUUCAAGCGUGAUGUCGGCGUCCACCACAUCAAUCUCUCACCUUAGUUCGGCGAAUUCAGCGGUCCGGUCUAUUGCCGGCCCCUUAGCCACCUGUGCAUGAAUGCAGUGGGAUCAUUACUUAAGAGUGUGAUCCUCCGUUUGCCGCCUAGGGCUGGUAACCAGAGUCUCAGGGGCUACUAUCUAUACGAAGCACACCUAGCACGUGCAGUACAACCGAAAAAUUACGUAUUGCAUUACGUACCUCAAAGCCUUUGAGCAGGCUCACAAAAGCUUCAUUCAACCCGCUUGUGGCAGAUGAGAUCUUCUCAAAAACCGUACCCAUCAACGUAAGGUGAUCCUCCGAUAAAGCAGCUUGCUCCAAAAAUCCCGUCAGUGUGUCUGGCUGGGCGUCGGACUGUCCUGGACCCUUCCUAUUACCCCCCAUGGGAGCCGAACACUCCGGGCUCAGGGCAGCCGAAGUAUUAGCUUCUGGCCUCGGCGGAUCCAGACUCCUCCGUGAUGACACCUCAGGGUCGCCUGCCCCAUGGGGCGGAGAGGCAGGUGGGGUUUCACUCUCCAUCAUCUCCGGAAGAAGGUCCCCCGAAGACGAACUCUGUUGAGAAGAGCUACUAGCCGAACUGCAAAGGAUAGAUCCUGGUUAUUGUUCUUGGAGGAAGAAGAGAUAACUUUUUAUUCACGAUUAACUUACAGCUUGGUGGGGGGCUGGCCCGUUUGCAGGCAUAGUGCGGUGAGGAUGCCCUUCGAGGCAGGGCCCCCUGGUGAAGUUUUCUUCCCUUGUUUAGGCACCUCCGUUUCCAAGUCUUCAGAGGCGGCCCUUUUGUUCCCACAGGGGGAGGAAACAUUGGAUUCACCUCCCCGGUUAUCCUCCUUCGAGGAGGUAGUAAUUCCCCUGGUUUGGAUGCGCAAUGUGUGAAGAUCGGCUUCUUUAUUCUUCCCAUCGUCUUUCCCCGAGGGCACUUGACUUAGCGCACAUCUAAGCGUCCUGGCUAUUGCAGGACAAGGCGAGCCUUCGGGAAGUGGGGCCGGACACCUGAUCCUUUCCGCCUUACUUAGCCAAUCCUAGCCGCGGACAGGUUUUCAGAAUAAUGUUGUGAUAAAUGUAAAACAAAGUGUUCGAUUACAAGGUCUUACUUGGGUAUCUGGGCAGUUGCAGCUCAGGCCCGCAUCCUCGGUGGCGUCCGAACACUUUAUUCAUGGUCCGAAGAAUAACCUAUAUAUCCCUUCAAGCGUCAUGCCGAAGAAGUGCUGGAUAGUUCGUGGACCUUCUAGGUUGAACUCCCACAUACAGAGAGGUCGUCAUUUGCACGGCAGGGUCCGUCGAACUAGCAUUACCUAAAUUAUCCUGAUAAGAUUGAUAUCCCUUUCAAGAAGCUCCCGAAUGCGUCUCUGCAAUGUCGGUACGUCAUUAGCAGGCCCCCAGUCCAGUCCCAUGUUAGCCCACGACGCUAGUUGAGGCGGAAGGCAGGGGCAGCCGCCCACUUUGUGCCUCGGGGAGCUGUGAUAUAGAACCACCUCCGUUGCCACAGAUCGAACACCUCUGGGAAGGAAUCCUCUGGCCAUGGGGCAUCGGCGUUUCUGCUUAUUGCAGCGCCUCCGCACUCUACGUGAUGCCCCUCGAUCACCUUCGGCUUCACAUUGAAGGUAUUGAGCCAUAAGCCAAAGUGUGGGGUGAUAUGGGGGAAAGCUUCACACACGAUGAUAAAUGACGAGAUGUGAAGGAUGGAAUCUGGAGCUAGAUCGUGAAAAUCUAAGCCAUAAUAGAACAUGAGCCCUCUCACGAAGGGAUCAAGGGUAAAGCCCAAGCCUCGGAGGAAGUGAGAAAUGAAUACAACGCUCUCGUUGGGUUCGGGAGUGGGGAUGACCUGCCCUAGAGCAGGAAGCCUGUGCUCCCUGAGCUUCGCAAUGUCCUCCUCUGUGACAGAGGAAGCCAUCCACCGGCCUUGAAGGUUGGAUCUAGACAUGAUUGAAGGUUGUUGCCUAAGCUUGAGCUUCGGGUGUUGGAACUCGAGAUGCGGAAAGGCGCAAGCGUGGUAAGAAAGAGGGAUAGGCCUCGGCCCCUCUAUAAAGGGGGUGAAUAUCAAGCAUCCACGACGUGACCAUUUGGGACUUGCCUAAAAUUGAGGAAUCAUACCAACAUGCGCAGUUGGGUUACCCACGCACGUAUUGAUGAGAAUCCCGCGAUAAGGGGAACCCGAUCUCUGCUUCGACAAGACGUGUCAAUAAAACCGCCUCGCAACAUGUGUAGUGGCAUGCUGGGAAAAACGGUUCGUAGUAACCGAGCUACGGUGUGGUGUCAUGCUAGGAAAAGCUGUCAGCGGAUUGGAUUUGUGGAAUAUUAUGCUCUCUACGGUGGUAUGUGGAAUUUAUUUUGUAGAGCCAGACACGAUACUUGUGUUAGAAAUCUUCUAUGGAGUAUUCGGAGAUGGAACCUGCCUUGCAAUGUCGAAGACAAUCUGCGCGCCGGACUCAUCGUCGUUGAAGCCUGGUUCAGGGGCUAAUGAGGGAGUCCUGGAUUAGGGGGUAUCCGAACAGCCGGACUAUAUACUUUGGUCGGACUAUUGGACUAUGAAGAUACAAGAUUGAAGACUUCCUCCCGUGUCCAGAUGGGACUCUCCUUUGCAUGGAAGGCAAGCUUGGCGAUUCGGAUAUUAGAUCUCCUCCUUUUGUAACCGACUCUGUGUAACCCUAACCUCCUCCGGUGUCUAUAUAAACCGGAGGAUUUAGUCCGUAGGACAACAACAAUCAUUAUCAUAGGCUAGCUCCUAGGGUUUAGCCUCUACGAUCUCGUGGUAGAUCAACUCUUGUAAUACUCAUAUCAUCAAUAUCAAUCAAGCAGGAAGUAGGCUAUUACCUCCAUCCAGAGGGCCCGAACCUAGGUAAAACAUCGUGUCCCCUACCUCCUGUUACCAUUAGCCUUAGACGCAUAGUUCGGGACCCCCUACUCGAGAUUCGCCGGUUUUGACACCGACAAUCACUCUCAUCAUUAAUAGUAUGAAUAGCACCAACGGUAUAACAAUUGCUAUCAUCAUAAUUUCCCAAGUUGGUGCCAAAAAGAUUUUCAAGCUUAUAAUAAGUAUCAUUAUCUUCCCAAUUAUAAUCAUCACAACAAGCAAUAGGCAUAACAAAAUCAUCAUCAAUAGUGCUCUCGGACAUUCUGCCAUAAGACAUAGAAGCAAUAUCAUCAUCAAGUGCAUCAUCUUAUUUUUUAUCCAUUUUCAUGAGGAACAACAAUAAUAGGAGCAACAUUAUUUGGGAGACAUACCUUUUUACCUCUAUUAUUUCUUCUUUUCUUCUUCUUCACCACAUCAUGUGUGGAUUUAAUUAAUUUUUUCAAGCUUCUUAUUGAUGAGCUUGGUUGAAUAGGGAGCUCCUCCUCGUCACCUAUUUCAUCAUGAGAGACAAUAAGAGGGGAAGUGGAAAUCUUUAUCCUUUCAUUAGUAUUCCUUUCAUAUUCUAUUGGUUUUACCAUCUUUCUAUAGUUGGCAAUAUAAGCAUUCUCAUUACAAUUUACCAUGCAAAACAUAUAGAUAUUCUUUAGCUUAGUUUGAGUGUCCUCCGUGAGAAUGAAUACUUCAAAUCAACUAUUUUUAUGUGUCAAUUCUUCACUCCCCAAAAAUAUACAAAGCUCAUUAUAAAGUUCAAGGGUGAUCAAGUUAUUGCAAUAUUUGGACAUGACUCGAUCAUGGAAAAGCAUGCAUUGGAAUUUAAGGUGACCUACUUUAUUGCGAAGUUCACAAGUAAUAGGACAAAGAGAGCAUAAUUUUAUAGCAAAUUCAUCUAUCACUUUGAGCAAAGAAUAGGUUCUAUCAUGUUUAUGCUUGUUACAAAAUCUAUCUUCCCUAUAAGGCAUGUAUUCACAAACUUUAAACACUCCACAAAAAUUGACAUUCUUAUAGGAAACAUUUUUUGUCAUGACUUGUGCAAUCAUCAUUAGCAUUUUGGAUAUUCAAAGAAUUCAUACUAACAAAUUGCAAUCAUGCUCAUCAUUCAAAUAUUUUGUGCCAAACAUUUUAUUGACUUCUUCUUCUAACAGUUGAGCACAAUUUUUUGAUCCAUCAUUUUCAUGAAAGAUAUUAUAAAGAUGAUCAGUAAUAUGAUGCAACCUCAAUUCCAUUUUUAUGUAGUUUUCUUUUGUAAACCAAACUAGUGGUAAAACAAGAAACUAAAAGAUUCAAUUGCAAGAUCUAAAGAUAUACCUUCAAGCACUCACCUCCUCGACAAAGGCGCCAAAAAAGAGCUUGAUGUCUACUAUGCCACUUUAUUCUUGCAGACACAUGUUGGGACUCCAAGCGCAGAGUUUUGUAGGACAGUUGCAAUUUUCCCUCAAGUGGAUGACCUAAGGUUUAUCAAUCCGUGGGAGGCGUAGGAUGAAGAUGGUCUCCCUCAAACAACCCUGCAACCUAUCUCUUGUGUCCCAAACAGACCCAAUACAAUGGAAAAUUGUAUAGGUGCACUAGUUCGGUGAAGAUAUGGUGAUAAAAGUGUAAUAUGGAUGGUAGAAAUAUAUUUUAUAAUCUAAAUAAAUAAAAACAACAAGGUAGGAAUUGAUAAAAGUGAGCACAAACGGUAUUGCAAUGUUUGGAAACAAGGCCUAGGGUUCGUACUUCCGCUAGUGCAAUCUCUCAACAGUGCUAAUAUAAUUGGAUCAUAUAACCAUCCCUCAAAGUGCGAUGAAGAAUCACUCCAAAGUUCCUAUCAAGCGGAGAACAUAAGAAGAAAAUGUUUGUAGGGUACAAAACCAUCUCAAAUCUAUUCUUUUUGAUCGAUCUAUCCAAGAGAUCAUACUAAAAUAACACCAAAUAAUUUCAGAUUCACAAUACUCAAUCCAACACAAAGAACCUCAAAGAUUGCCCCAAGAUUUCUACCAGAGAAACAAAUACAAGAACGUGCAUCAACCCCUAUGCAUAGAUUACCCCAAUGUCACCUCGGAAAUUCGCGAGUUGAGCACCAAAACAUACAUCAAGUGAAUCAAUAUGAUACCCCAUUGUCACCACGAGUAUUCAUUUGCAAGACAUAUAUCAAGUGCUCUCAAAUCCAUAAAAGUAUUCAAUCCGAUAAAACAAAAUCUCAAAGGGAAAACUCAAUUCAUCACAAGAUAGAGAGGGGAAAACACCAUAUGAUCCGACUAUAUUAACAAAGCCCGCGAUACAUCAAGAUCAUGACAUCUCAAGACCACGAGAGAGAGAGAGAGAGAGAGAUUAAACACAUAGCUACUAGUACAAACCCUCAGCCCCAAGGGUGGACUACUCCCUCCUCAUCAUGGUGGCCGCCAGGAUGAUGAAGAUGGGCACCGGUGAUGAUUUCCCCCUCUGGCGGAGUGCCGAAACAGGGUCUAGAUUGGUUCUCGGUGGCUACAGAGGCUUGCGGAUGCGGAACUUCUCAUCUAGGGUUACCCUGAGGGUUUUUGGAAUAUUUGAUGAUUUAUAGGGCAAAGAGGGGGUGCAAGAGGCCACCGAGGUGGGCACAACCCACCAGGGCGCACCUGGGCCCCCAUGCCCGCUCUGGUGGGUUGUGCCCCCCUUGGGGCACCCCCAGGUGCUUCUCUGGCCCACAAAAUGUCUUCUUGUCCAUAAAAAAUCAACAAAAAGUUUCGCGGUGUUUGGACUCCGUUUGAUAUUGAUUUCCUGCGAUGUAAAAAACAAGCAAAAAACAGCAACUGGCACUGGGUCAAUAGGUUAUUCCCAAAAAAUGAUAUAAAGUUGCUACAAAAUGAUUGUAAAACAUCCAAUAAUGAUAAUAUAACUGCAUGAAUACUUCAUAAAUUAUAGAUACGUUUGGAGACGUAUCAAACAUCACUUUAUUUUUAUAGCCUGAUUUUUGUGGAUUUUUUAGAAAGUUACAAAUACAUUUUUUGCCACUCUAAGUUUUAGAAAGUGGUUACACCGGUACCCUGGAUCAUUCAAAUGGUCAUAUUAUUAUAUGAAAUUCAAUGUGCAUGGACGCGACCUCUAAAAUAUUACAUUGGCCCAUAAUAUUUCUGUUAUGUAAGGAUACAAGUCAAUAUUUCAAUUAAAUUGUACCAAAACUAGAAAGGAACCAUUAAUGGGGAAAAGGAAAGGGGUAUGAAUCAUUGUGCAUUUGCUCCUCUUUAUAAACACUGGUGCGGGAGAUAUAGUUUCAUAGAAGGACAACACCAAGAAAAAAUUAAGUAAUAGCAAGGCAGUCAUGAUGAUGGCACUUAUCAAGAAAAAGACACACAUUCUCUACGAUGUUGCUCUUUUGCUGAUGUGUACAACUUUUCUGUGUGGCCCUGCAGCAGCUGGGAGGGACAUAGGUAAUUUCCAAAUAUGUUUCUUGAAUGAGUUUCUCAAUAUUCAAUAGACCCAAAUGAUUAAGUAUCUUGUAUUCCAUAUGGAUUAAUUUGUAUGUUGUGGUGCUUCCUUCACUAUGUUUAGGUACCAACGCUGCAUUUGGAAACCAAUGUUUUACUUACUCGGUAUGCAUGGACCCAUAUCAAUACGCCGUUGAUUAUUGCAACAAAGAGUACAAAAUACUUGGCUAUGACGGGCAGAAAGGCUACUGCAAGAAGGAGAAUAACGGCGUGUGUUGUUGUGUUGCUCCCUCCCUAAUGUGAAAAUCAUGUUACACUAUCAUUUUAUAGAAAACCAUUGCAUCUAUUUGCUAGUCAAAAUAUCAAUUUAUGUGGAUUAUACAAGCAUUUCAAAAAAGUAUAGAGGUAGUUGCUUUCAAAGACCAACUAUAGUAGCCGAUCAAUUCUUCAGGUAAUAUGACACAACAAUGAGG
rnacentral:lncRNA from 1 species